rnacentral:lncRNA from 1 species
GGUGAGAGAAAGAGAGAGAGAGAGAGAGAGAGAGAGAGGUGAAGUGCGGGGUAUCGGGGCGUAUGGGAUUCGUACCGGGGAGUUCCCUUAAGCUCGGUAGCAUCGAAUCGAGAAAACGUUACAAUCCGUGUCGGAGGAGUCCACGUGGACUUUGAAAGUCGCGUGGGAGGAAAAGUACACGUGCAUCGUCACCACUCCUUCGGGUGGGUUGGCUGGUUUGAAAAAAACCGGUUGGAGCUUUUUCCCGUACGACGCGCGGAAGAUCUCAUCGAUUGCAUACGAAUUUUUGGUGGCAUUGGUUCGAUCCUCGCCGUUCGAUAUCUUUGAUGUCGAAUGGACGGAUGAGAUUCGAUGUAUUGAUGCACCGUAUGUGCUAACGCGGUUUCCGUAUUAGCGUACAUCAUUUACAAGGAGAUGUUGGUCGUUGAAAACAAUUUGAUAUUAAGAUUAAUUGUUUAUUAGAAAUGUAUGCUACACAAAAGUGUUUUUUUUUUUUUUUUUGAUAUCUUAUUUUUGGGUAAACUUCAUAUACUAUAUCUAUAAUUUUGCACUUUCUCACUUUAAUAUUAUGUUGUUUAAAAUAUAUUAAUUUAGUAUAGUGUGGUUUCAUUAUCUUUUUUCUUCAUUUAUUUUUCAUUAAAUCAUAUAUAAAAAACUUCACAUAUCUAUAUAUAAUUUAUUAAAUAUUCACUUUACUACUCUUUAAUUUUAACUUUGUCGCUGAUUUAACAAACAAAAUUAGUAAAGAGAAUAACAAAAAAAUAAAAUAAAAUCAUAAAGUACAAAAGUGAUACACUUUAAAAUAAAAAAUAUUAAAAUAUAAAAAUACGAAAUCACAGCAAUAAUAUUUAAAGUUUUUUUUUAUUUUUUUAUUUUGUUAGUGUCUACUUGGUGGAAAAUAACUUGUGAACAAAACUGGGACUGGUUUCCUUGUAAGGAAACACAACGGAAUACCUUCUCCUCGGCAAAGUCGCUGGACACUCCACCUCACGAGUUGACCCAUGACCCAACAGCCUAUUUGAUUAGGUUUCAUUUGAGAGUGUUGGUAGAGUGCUCCAAGCACUAUUACAAAGUAAAUAGGUUGUACACCUUGUCUGAAUCUUUUUGUCAUAGUGGUAACGGGUCCCUAAUAAUAAUAAUAAUAAUAAUAAUAAUAAUAAUAAUAAUAUGAGUUUGACUGGGUUACUAUUAGUAGUAAAAUUUUAUUAUUGCUAUCAGUUUUUUAGUCUUUGAAUUAACUCUUUUCAUUAUUUCUAACCAUUGAAUUAAAUAUUAUAAUCCAAUGGGGACUACUCAACCCUAGGGGGACCAUUAAACUCUAACCGACUAAUAUCAUCCUGGCCUUAUAAUUUUUCAUCAAAGAGUUAAAAACUUGAUUGCAAAAAAAGCAUUUUACUAUUAAUAGUAUUCUAGCCUAAUUUUAAUACUACUACUACGAGUCUGUUUGAUAUUGAGGAUUAUUAGUAUUGUCAGAUGAAAAUGAGUCGGGAGUGACUCAUCAAAUAUAAAUAAUCGGAUAUUUUUUUAUCGAUAAAUACACUAAUUUGUUGUGUACUUAUUAAAUAUAAAUAUGACUAAUAUAAUUCUUUACUAGCUUAAAUUUUUUUUAAAAAAAAAUAUUUUAUAAAAUUUAAAAUGAUAUUAAAGCAUGAGUUUUCGAGUUCAAAUCCCAAUCCCGUCAAUUAUUCAAAUCCACGUUUUGAGCCUAUAAAAUUAUAAUUGGUCCAAUUGAUCAUCUCUAACGUAAGUGGCAAAAAACUUGGUAGUUGAUAUUCGGGAUCUCAAGUUCGAAUUUUAGUUGAUUCAUAUUUUCAGCUAAGUUUAUUUUUAAAUAAAAAAUUAUCGCUAGUCCACACUACAAACAUGAGCAAAAAUAUUUAAUAUAAAUAUUAAAAAUAUUAUAUUCUAUUAAUUUCAAGUUUUAAAAUAUUAUAUUCUAUUGAUUUCAAGUUUUGAAAAAUAACGAAGCCUAAUUAAACAAUCCAUGGUAUUUUCUUACUGCACACAAAGCGAUUUCCUCGCACUCCCUGCCGCUGUGCCGCAGCCCGCAGGGAAGCACAGAACAAUAGAAAGUAAAAACUAUUUAUAGCGCAAAAAAGAAAGAAUACAGGGACUAAGGCGCAAAAGAGGUAGAGCCCGAACUUAAGACGCGCCCAAGACCUACCUGGUCGAGCUCGAGAGAGUGAGAUCUGAGCCGAGAGUUGUGAUGGUUCACACCACUCGAACCUCUGCGUCGUCGUCGUCGUCGUCGUCGCAUCCUCUUCCUCCUCCGCAUCGCCGCUUCCGAACCCUACCUCCUCCCUCCUCCAUCUCCUGCUACGUGUUGCUCGUCCUCUUCUUCUCCGCCUCACUCUUCCUCUUCUCCCACAACAAGAUCGCCGAGGUCGACCAAAACCCCUUCUUCCUCCCGCGGAAACACGCAUCGGUAAGCAAUCUCCUUUUCCCCCAACCCCUUUCUGUUUUCCUUAAGGAAUUCGAGAAGUUGCUGUAUCAAAUUUAUCGAUGAAUAGGUCUGUUCGGUGUAAACAUUGGAUCCUGUGAAUCCCCAUCCUGGCUACUCGAUAUAUUUUGUGUAAAUCAUGUAUCCUUUAUGGAAAUCAGCUGGUUUUUUUUUUUUUCUUGUUUUUAAAAUUGUAACUAAGUAGGGGAAUUUAUGAUAGCUUUUGACUGGAUUUUUUGCCAUUUAGUCCAUUUUUCACUGGCUAUUUGCCAAUUUAUCUACAUUGUGUAAUGGCCUUUGCUUAUAUAUAUGUUCAGGUAUUGGAAGAGCAAUUGUGGGGUUCUCCUUAUGGCUAUGGUUAUCAUGCUUGUGUCAAACCCACCUCUAAAUACUCAGGUAUUGAAGGCUAGCAAACUUUUUGUGUCAGGAAAUUUGCAGUAUUUUCUAUUUAGCAAGAAAUUUGUACCAAAGUUUUUCUUUUUCUCUAUCUUCGAGUUGAAAUGAGCUUAUUUUUAAAAACGAUAAAUUUAUGCAAAAUUUGUUAUACCUGUAACAUAUUUGAUUCUCGCAGCUCCUCAAGGCUGGGAUCAUUACUUGACUGUUAGAAGUAACGGAGGACUCAACCAAAUGCGCACUGGGGUAAGCACCUGAAACUGGGAUAUCAAAUGACUCGCCGUGCUUAUAGGCGGCCCAUAAUCUUUUAUUUGUCCUGUAUCGUCAUUAUUUUGUUUUGAUUCUUUAGAAGGUCUACAUAGCUUUUAGAGUGGAAUUUGAGAUUUACUCUUGUGAACCCACAAGAUAGAUAUUCCAGUAUAUCGACAGUACAGGUUCUAGUAUAUCUAAGUUGCAAGUCUUCACUAGUCUGAUCGUGAAUGAUCUUUUGUGAAUCAUUAGUGUGCGUUCUCAGAGAGGCAUGACUAACAUCGACCUUUUUAAUUUUACUUUCUGUCAUAUUAAAUAGAGUUUUCUACGUAGAGGCCUCUCACAAAUGAAAUAGGAAAUUAAAAUUUACUCAUGUUUUUCAAGCAGGCUUUGCUUACUGUUACAAUUUUCUCGACCUCACAUUUUCUGUUUCCUUGCAGAUAGCUGAUAUGGUUGCUGUCGCUCGUUUACUGAAUGCAACAUUAGUUAUUCCACAGUUAGAUAAACGAUCAUUUUGGCAAGACUCCAGGUUUUGAUUCAUUGCACAGUAUGCUGGAAGAGCUUGUCUUUCACUUAUUUCUUGCUCUUGACAAUGUUCUCAACUUUUUUUACAGUACUUUUGCAGACAUUUUUGACGAGCCCCAUUUCAUUAAGACUCUGCAAGGGGAUGUACGUAUUGUGAGAGAGUUGCCAAAGGAACUGGAAUCAGCUCCGAGGGGCCGCAAACACUUCACUUCAUGGUCCGGUGCCAGUUAUUAUGAGGAAACAGCCCGAUUAUGGAAGGAUUAUCAGGUAGUUACAUUACUCAUUAAUAUGCAUUUAUGUUAUGAAAUAGCAUGUUGAGCAGAAAUUCGUGUUCCACAGCCGACAUGGUGGACUAGGUCUGGGCCAUUACUUCUCGUCCAAUGUGGCUGUCGGGCUAAAGUACAUAAACUUAGUAUGUUGUUGUUCUUUCAGAUAAUUCAUGUUCCUAAAUCUGAUUCAAGACUUGCAAACAAUGACCUUCCUCUCGAUAUCCAAAGGCUGCGCUGUCGUGCUCUUUAUCAAGCGCUCCGUUUUUCUGCUCCGAUUGAGACCCUUGGAAAGGUUCGAGCUGCCUCUUUCAAUUCUGCAUCAUGUAGUUGUCUUGAUUUUAUGGUGCAUUUAAGAUGUAUCCCAUAUUUUGUAAACUAGGUUCUGAGCCUACAUAAACACUAACACCACAGAAGCUAGUGGAGCGCCUAAGAUCACGGGGACGAUACAUCGCCCUUCAUCUGCGUUAUGAGAAGGAUAUGCUAUCUUUCACUGGUUGCACUUACGGCCUGAGCGACCUGGAAGCUGAAGAGCUUAGGGUUAUGAGGUGCGAUAUCACUGUGGAGCAAAGAAAUUUUUCUAUCGCCAUUUGAAUAUAAAAUUCACAUAUAUACCCUGCAAAAGUGCAUAUGAAGAAUCUGACUUUACAGGGGUAUAUAUUGAAUUAGAUGAUUUUUCUGGGCUGUAUCCGUCUAUCCCCUUUAAAACUAAUGAUUUGUCUUCAAUUUAUCUACAGAGAGAACACGAACCAUUGGAAACUGAAGCAUAUAAACUCGGCGGAACAGAGAAAUGAAGGUAAUUGUCCUCUGACUCCAAAGGAGGUGGGGAUAUUUCUGCGAGCUCUUGGUUAUCCUCCAUCCACAUGGAUCUACAUUGCAGCUGGUGAAAUCUACGGUGGUGAUACUUAUAUAUCGCAUCUCCGAUCUCGCUUCCCAAACUUGGUUACCAAGGUUUUAUAGGAAAACCUUUAGCUGUUCUAUAUGGAUAGUGGAAAAUAGUUAUUUAUAAUAAGAGAAUUCCCAUCAUUAUUCAGGAGAAAUUAGCAACCAAGGAAGAGCUUGAGGAGUUCAUUGGUCAUGCUUCCCAGACUGCAGCUCUAGAUUAUAUUAUAUCAGUUGAAAGUGAUGCCUUUGUACCUUCAUAUACAGGCAAUAUGGCAAGAGCCGUAGAGGGGCAUCGCAGAUUUCUAGGGCACCGCAAGACCAUCUCCCCGGAUAGGUGUCCGCUCCCAAACUUCUUUCUUACAGUUUAAUCGCAUUGAUCUAUCACAUCAUCUUUUUUCAUCAUUUCGGUGAAACUUUCUUGAAUUCUAAGCACCUCCAUUAUCUUUGUAUUCUUUUGACUCCCGCGUAUAUUCAGGAAAGGAUUGGUAGAGCUCUUCGAUUUGAUAGAAAGAGGGGAACUGGAGGAAGGUCCGAAACUGUCAUCGCAUGUUACUGAAAUGCAUCAAUUCAGGUAAUUUAACAGCUAAAUAGUUCCUUUAAAGGAACGCAGACAUGUGCAUAAUUAUAUGAUAGAUAUAUGAGAUGAAAAUUUGGCUUCUAUUUGUUGCUUUACAGACAGGGGGCUCCAAGGAAAAGAUACGGCUCUCUUCCGGGAAGUAAAGGCCGCGAUCGCCUUAGAACGGAAGAAUCCUUUUAUGAGAACCCCUUGCCUGAGUGCAUCUGUCUCACUGGAAAGAACAGCGGAAAGCACUAACACUCGAGGUAUGUAUAAUACAUUAUAUCUGUUUUGUCGGAAACAUCUGAUAAUUUUUUUUGAUUACCAGUUAUUGUACAAGUUAUUCGCUUACAGAGUGUUCAUUCCCAAGCGGACGGCGUUUUUAGUUUCAUUUUUCUUCCUUUGUUAUCUUUUUGCAGGUGGCCUUUUUUGUUGUUCCUUGCUGCAGGAAUGAAGUAUUUACCAACAUGUACUAAUUUUGCAUCUCAUCCCCUUAAAAAGCAGGGUUAUAUUUCUGCAGCAUAGGUUGCUUAUUGAUUGAUAACAUUGUUUCUCCACAGCCACUUACACACUUAGAUUACGGAGCAAAUAUGUAAUUCCUGCUUGUGAACUCCAUAGUUGCAAUAGGUAUAUGCCUGCUAGAGAAGGUUCAAGAAAAUAGUUUUGAUUUUUUUUUUUUUGAACACUCAUUUAAAUUUUUGUUAGAAAUCGAGCGUGAACUAGCCUAGUCCUCCAAAAGAGGCCUGAUGCAUUUUCAUGGAUUGUUCUUGCUGGUCGUUUGUGUAUCACGGCGGUUGCCGUUUACUAGGGUUGUAAACGAGCCGAUCGUGCACGAGCUGAGCUGAGUUUAACUCUGCUUGAAUGAGUGGUUUGCUUGAGCUUGGCUCGAGCUCUAUCUCGAUCCGAGUCGAAAGAGGUCUAAACCUACGAGUGGCUUGCACAUUUGAGCCAACUCGUCCUCCGCUCGAAGUAAUAUAAUAGACGGUUCAUAUGAUCAUGCUUUUUUAGGUCUUGGUGGUUGAUAUAUAGUAGAAACUCCUCUUCCAAAUGUUAUUAAAUAAAACAUGCUUAUAAUGAGAUUAUUAUUGUCUAGUACAAUUAAGCUAUAAGCUAGGUAGUAUAUUGCAUGCCGAAGAAGAAAUGAUGAAUUAUAGAAGCUAUAAGUUGGAUGUAAAAUUAAUUUACUUAAUUGUAAUUUAAAUUCAUGUAAUAAGAAAAAAAAAAAAACUGUUCGUUAUAUCCCGUGAACAUUAGCAGCGCAUAAACCAUGAUGGCUCCUAAGCGAUAAAAGAAAGAAGAACUCCAUGUUUUUGGUUUAUCUUCUCUUUACUUAGCAGCAAGUUGAUUCACAAAUAUUUAUAUAUAGAGAGAGAGAGCUAGGAUCAUGCGCUUUAGAAAGCAUAGAGGUGUUCGUAUUUGUAAAUUAUUUUCAAUAAUGGAAUAUUCAAUUCGACAAUCAGUUCUGUUAAAUAUGAUCUUUGCUAUUAGAAUUAUUUAGAAAUUAAAUUUUAUAAUUUUUAGACAUUAUUUAUCAAGUGUUCAAAAGGCCUCAAAAUUGACUAUUUAACGGCCGAUGUGGUAUGUUCGUAAGUUCAACGCUGUAGAAGAAUUCAAAUUAUAUAAAAUUUUAAUAAAAAAUUGUACUUAACAUCAAGAACAAUAAUAAUACUUUCUAUUUAAAAUUGGAGUCUUUUAUCACUAUUUUUUAUAAAAUUUUUAUUUUCGGCUAUUUAUUUUGAUACUACUUGUUCAUUAAGCAAAUAAAAUUAAAAAGAUUAUGAAAUUUGAUUUCUAAAUAGUUUUAAUAGCAUAGAUCAUAUUAAGGGAGUCGAUCGUCAAAUCAGAUGUCUUAUUAUCGAAAACAACUUACAAAUAAGGAAGUCUCCUUACUUUUGAAAGUAUAGGAGUCUCUCUCUCUCUCUCUCUCUCUCUCUCUAUAUAUAUAUAUAUAUAUAGAGUCCUGCUAUGGUGCUUGUAAAAGCACCAAGCACUUGGUGCUUGUAAGUUUUUUACCGUUAGAUCUACUCCUCGGAUCAUUUUCAACCAUUAGAUUAUACUAUUCAACCAACCAUCUACUCAAUCUUAGGGGGCUCACAUCGUCCUAACCAUAUAUCUCUUAAUCCAAUGGCUAAAAAUCUACAAGCACCAAUAACUUGGUACUUUUAAAAGCAUACGAGCUCAAUUCUAUAUAUACAUAUAUGACAACAAAAAAUGUAUAGAAACUUAGUCUUAUCAAACCCUUGAACAUGUAUGACUAGAAAUUGAUUGCAAUUAACUGAGAUAAUGGGUUUGAAUUAACGAACGCGUUCGCAUUGUUUACCAUUAUUUAAGAUUAUUCAAAAACUUAGGUUCCAUUUAAUAUAUAUCAUUUUAUAUGUGAAAGUUGUUUAUAUAUAAUGCUAAUACUUUAUACAUACCGAUCGAAUCAUGUGUCUAUAAGGAUUUGCCUGCGCGCCCUUUUGACUUUGAUUAUAUUGGCAAAUAAUUGCCUCAGUAAAAAAAAUAUUAAUAAUAAAACAAAAAAAGCUGCUACGUACUCUAACUGUGCAUUAAUUAAUGUUCCGACAACUCCUAACUAGAUAGAACGUGUUAAACAAUAAAUGAAUGGUCGUUUUAGUAGUUGAGUCCAUGACAAAUUUCAUUAAAACAUCAUAAUUAAGCACCAUUACAAUACUGUAUAAUGCCAUAAUUACCGAAUAAUUAGGUCAAGAUCAAAAUAAUCGAAAAUGUACUAAUAAUAAACACGAAAUAGUUACAAAAUUAAAUAUGUAUGUAUAUGCAAACAUUUAUCACAAUCGCUCACAUUUUCUCAACUGUCACACUUCAUAUAACAAACGUGCACAACCGUUACUUAAUUUUCUGUGCAUUUGCACAAUUUACGCACACAAUUACCACGUGAAGAACCAAACCAACCCAACCAUGCAUGCAAAAUAAAUUAAAAUUAAAAUUAAAAUUAAAAAACCUCUCAGUUGAACGCAGAACAAUUUCGCCGGACCUCGCCGUCGACGCCGGUCCGCACGCCGAUCCGGCCCAUCCGCACCAUCGAGUCGGCGAAGUCGGAGCGGAAGAAGGGCCCGAACAAGGGGCUGAGGGGGUCGAGGUACGAGUCGACGAUGGCGCGCGUCGACGGGUCGGCGUAGAGCUGCGCGUCGGACUCGAUGGCGGCGAAGCCCGACCGGAUGUUGCGGAGGAUCUGCGCGUCGAAGACGGUCUCGCUGCCGCGGUCAAGGGGGAGCCGGACGUUGACGUCGCCGCCCUGCGGGCACUGCGACUCGAGCUCCGGCAGGAACGACGGGUUGAUGCUCGGGUCGGAGCCGCCGCGGCCGCCGAAGUUGUAGAGCCGGCUCUCCAGGAAGAAGCACGCCGUCGUCCCGAUAGUGUGUGCAGCUGCAGUAAAAUCCAAUUUGCAUUAAACUAAAAACUAAAUUUAAAAAAUAAUUAUUAAAAAAUCAAAACAUGUUUUUUAUAAACUUGGUGUUUCAUGAAACGGCUCAGAAAUAAUCAUAGAGAAUAUCAAAUUAUUUAUUCUUACUAAAUUCUGAAAUUCUGAAAAUGGUGUACUAACUAUCCACUAAAUCUAUUUAAAGAGUUUGGUACCACUAAGAAGUACUAGAUCGUUCCCUGAGAGGCCCUUCGCCGCGAAUUUCGCUUUUAAGACAUCGAUCGACUCGUGGACCUCCGGCAUGUUGUCGGCGUCGGAGACGUUCGAAACCCGGCCGUCCCUCCUGCCGGUCGGGAGUUCGUAGAACGGUCCUCGGCUCUGUACCAUAAAUAUAAGCGAAAUAUAUUUAGUACCAUACACUAUAUUCAUUGAAUCUGAUCAGUAUCAGUAGCAUGCACUGUACCAAAAAAACAGAGUCACGAGCCGCGAGAGCUAAGAUAUCCGCACACGAGACGACGCCCGGGCACUGAGCCUCCAACUGCUCCUUGGCUCGGUCGAUCACCUCGAACCCUCUCAACCCGGCGUGGUUCUGCGCGCUCUUCUCUAAAUUUCCUGCUCCGGCCGGUUGUUGUAUCAACACCGACCCGUCGCAACCCUACAUUGGACUCGCACGGGCACGCGCACGCACGCGCACACGCAUUCAAAAUUAAUGUGGCUUCAUUCACAAAAUUUUCGCUCGAAAUUUUUGUAUAAAGAAAAAUACACGUACUUGAACGAUGCAAUCGUGGUAGUGGAGCCUGAGUAACGCGGCGAGAAUGGUUACAUCCGAUUGAGCGAAUUCUCUCACAACCGAGCUCACAAUGGACUCGGCAUUUGGGCACGAGUUGGAGUAGAAACCCACUUGGAGUUGGGCUAAGGAGACCCACUGGGGAGUGAGAGCCAUGGCCAAAAUAUAUGGCCAAAAAAUGGAUCUAAACGUUGUUGAAAUCGCCAUUGAAGGGGAGGUGUAAGUGGAAGUGAUUGGGUUUAAGAUACACAAAACAAAACGAAGAUGAGGAAGAGGUGCACAUAUAUAUAUAUAUAUAUAUAUAAAAGAAUUAUAAAUGUAUGUGUCUUUUGCAAUUAUAUGUACAGGGCUUUAUUAAUUGUGAGGUAAAAGAGAGCUAAGGGGAGGGGUUAUGUACGUGUCACAAUGUCGUAACAUUGUUACCGGACCAAGUGUCGCUCGGUGGACCCGUUUGCGGAGUUGCAUGUGUCCCCCUCUUUAAUUUAUGGGUUAGAUUUGGUUUCAUAGAUUAAAUUUUUCAUUCGACUAUUCGAAAUUAAUAUGAAAAACAACAGUCACGUAUUAACUAUAAACUAAAAUUUUAAUCUGUACGUGAAAUAAGAAGUUUUUAUUAACUAAUAAUUUAAAGUUUCUAGAAUAUGAGAGGUUGAUUUAUAUUUUCCUGUCUCAGUUAUGUUUCAAACCCGUUCCGUUGAAUUGUCAUUUAUUAUCAUCCUCAGUUCAGUUUUAAGCUAAUCUUCUUUGGCAUAACAACAAGUGAAAAGUAUAAGUGUAGUAACCAAAUUAUUUAAUUUGAUUUCAUUUGCUUUGGUUUGGUUUUGUUUUGUUUUGUUUUUUUUAUUCAAGGAUGUGGUUGAGCCACCUUAAGAUGUUAUUAUCAAAAUGGGCUGUAUGAUUGUGACAAUCUCUGAGGCACCGCAAACACUGUUAAAUGUGGGAUAAGGAGUGUGAGCUGUGAUGAAUCUGAGGCCCCAUCCUUUUGCUCUAUAAAAGCUUUACUAUUUCGGUAGUAGUACCACACUCUCAUUUAUUGAACCCAUGUUAGCUGUACCCAAUUUGAUGUAAUGGAGCAGUAGAGCACAUACAUUUCAUAGAGAAAAUUACCUAGAAAGCUUUUUAUUAGAAUGCUCUCUCUCUCUCUCUCUCUUAAUCCCUUUCUACUUCCAAUUGUGACUUUUAUGUUAGAAUAAACUUUAAAUACCAUCUCUUUAGUUUCGUACUUUUUAACUUUAGAGCUCUAUAAUUUAACAUGUAUCAAUUUAGUACACUAUAAUUUUAUUUUUCACUUUAUUAGUGUUACUUUAUAUAAAUAUUUCUUUGUACAGGAGAUUAUGCAUUCCUUAUAUUAGUGUAUACUAUAUUAGUUUUCUUACCAAUUCACAACUCACCAUGUAUUAGCUUGAUCUUUGUUUAUAUAAAGAGGUCUUUUGUAAUUUAUUAAAUCAGAAAGAAAUAUAUUUUCUUCUCCAAUUAUUCUUUGUUUCAAUUAGAAUGGACUCUCUCUCUCUCUCUCUCUCUCUCUCUCUUAAUCCUUUUCUACUUCCAAUUGUGACUUUUAUUUUAGGGUAAACUUCAAAUGCCAUCUCUUUAGUGUCGCACAUUUUUUUUUUUUAGUACUCUAUAAUUUAACAUGUAUUAAUUUAGUACUCUAUGGUUUCAUUUUUCUCUUUUCGUCAGCUCUUCGUUAACUUUUCGUUAAAUUAUAUAUAAAAAACUUUAGAUAUCCGACCGAUAGUUUAUCGAAUAUUCACUUUAGUAUCCUUUAGUUUUAACUCUGUCACUGAUUUAACGAAAAAAAUUAAUAGAGAGGAUAAUAAAAAGAAAAAAAUAAAAUCAUAGGCUAUGAAAGUUAUACAUUUUAAACCAUAGGGUACUAAAGUGAGAAAAUGCAAAACCACAUGAGUGGUAUUUGAAGUUUUUUUUUAUUUUAUGAUUAAUUUCAAAUAGCUCCAUGUAAAUAUAUCGAAUAAUAUAUUCCUGUAAAAGUCCAGUUAUAUUCAUAUUUGUCCCUCUGAUUUAUUACUGUCAGAGUAUUGCUUAUUUUUUAACGGAAGAUAAGUGAAAAAAAAUUUUGUCAUCACAAAUAUAUUCCUUCAAAAAUUCAAAUUAUUAGAAUUAUACAGACAUAUCCUCCCAAAAAUUCCGAACGGUCAUCUUUUUUUUUUUUUUUUCUACCAUCCCAAAUAAUAUAAAGGGGUAAAAAAGAAUCAAUUUAUCUUAUUCAUUAACUAGCAUUAAGUAUUUUACCAAUGAUUAACCAUAUUUUUCUAAAGAAUUUUAACAGCAGGAGUAUAUUUAAAAACGUUAGGAUUUUUACAGAAAUAAAUAUAAAAAGCUAAACUUUGCAAAAGUAUAUUUAGUAUUCGAUAUGUUUACGUUAACCUGUACGCAAUUAACCCUUUAUUUUAUUCAACUUAAAUAGUCAAAUAAGAAAAUUUAAAAAUUAAUAAUAAAAAAGUCAAUCAAAAACAAAGGUGAGAGAGCACCAUUUCAAAAAGGCCUAUAACUGAGGGAUCUUCAUAUAUUCUGCAGGGGCCAUUAUACAUAGUUCUAUUGGGAGUUCCCAAUGGAAUUUUUGCUCCACUUUUGUAUCAUCUCCUCCUAAUGGAAUUAAAUAAUUAAUGUGAGGUAGUUUUGUUUGUUUUAUCCCUUUUGUUCUUUGUUCCAAGAGAGAAUUUGGGUGGUGGAUCAAAGCACAUUUAUGGAAACAGUGAGGCUCCUCCCCCUUGGACUUAUUAUCUUAAAAUACAAAAGGUAAAGAUAAAAAGAGAAAGGGAAAAAAAAAAAAAAAGGCACAUCCUAUUUAUUAUUUCCCCAUCCUAGCAAGUAACAUAUUCUAAAUUGCUUCAAUGGAGUGGUUGAGAUCACUAUGAAUGGAUCAUAAGAGAUGUUAAUAAGCAAUAAGAGGAGCCUUGUGUGUUUUCCUACACUUGGAUAUAUUUAGCUAAAAGGAGAUACUAUGAUAUCAUAAGGAUUCUUCUUCACCAAGCUUUUUUAUCUUAUGUGGUAUAUGAGAUGUAGACUAAAAUAAAAAGGCCCCACACUGUGUUCACCAAUUCACAUUGUUGUUUAACUUUUUUUUUUUUUUUUUUUUUUUUUUUUUUCCUAAAAUGCAUAUAACCCUCUCAGUAUAUCAUAUAUUGUACUUUAUCUUUUUGUAUAAAAAAGUAUACACUUAAAUCUCCAUCAAAGGGAAACCAAAAUAGCUCUCUCUUAUUUAUAGUGUUGAAAGAGGAUAAAUGCUAACGACAUAAAUUUUUAAAAAGAUUAAGUGUAUAAUGCAUUUUUCAAUCUGGAAAAUUUAGUGCAAUAUGUGAUAUAUUGAGGAGCGUAUAGUAGUACAUUUUAGCUUUUUCUCUUUUUUGGAGCUCUUAAUUAAGCUUUAGCUUUUAGGCAUUUUAACGGGCCUCUGGGUCGAGGAUUAUUAGGAUUGUUAAUGGGCUGGGCCACAAAUCUGUUAACAGUGUUGUGUUGUUUUGAGUGAUUAGAUUGGAUUUGGGGCCUGUAUUAUGUUUCGACAAGUACUACAAUAUCAUUUUGAAGAGUAAUUACUUAGAUUAAUUGUUUUCUCCCUCAAAAAAAAAAAAAAAAAAAAAAAAAAAAAAAAAAAAAAACUGCAUCAAACCACCUUUAACCUUUAAAACGAUAUUUGUGACAAAGGGUUGUCUAGGUUUGGAACAUCGACAACGGUAAUUGGAUAACCGAAAUAGUAGCUUGUUAGCGGGUUACUUGAGAGGGCAGGAACAGUAUAAUUUUUCGGAAGGCGUGUUGGACCCUCUCCUAGUAGUCUAUAAGAUCAAACAGCUGAUGAAUCUUUAGAAGCAGGCCCUCUCAGCUAAUAGGUGUUAGGGUUUUUUUUUUUGUUGCCUUAUCCAUAUAGUUUAAUUCAUCUCUCCAUUUGUUGGAGCAGAUAGUAUAAAAUCUUUUUUCAAAAACAAUUAAAUAAUAAUAAUAAUAAUAAUAGUAAGGAAGAAAUUGUGAAUUAGAGAAGGCCCAAGGGUGAAUGCAAAGGGAAGUGAGGCACCACCAAACCCACACUCUCUUUCCUCAUCUCCCUCUUCUCCUCCACCUCACUCUUCUCUUGCUUCUGAGAAAAAUUGAGCUUCUCCACCUCUAUCUUCUGCUGCUGCUGCUGCUGCUGCUGCUUUUGAUCUGAUCAUCACGGGUGCAACUUUGCAAUGGACUAGUAAGUAAGAGACACUAAGACCCUUUUUUUUUUUCCCAUUUUUUCCUAGCUGUUUCUUUUAAGCUGUUUUUCUACAAGCUGGUUUUUGGUGGCUUUUUUAUACUGAAGCUAUAUAUAUAUAUAUAUAUAUAUACUUUAUUUGGAAAUGGGAUUUGUCUACUGUUUGGGUUACUUGGUGGCCAAGGAGAAGAAGCACAAGAGAGUCAAAAAGGCACAUGUUCUUUUUCAUUUUUUACAAAAAAAAACAAUUUUAAUUUUUUAAUGGAGGAGAGUAGUGGAAAGUAACUGGAUGGAAAAAGCUAACAUAGGGCUAGUCCAGCUGCCUUCUUUGACGGGCCUAAGUCAAUUCCAGUAAAAAAAAUAUUGGAAAAACUUCAAAAAAUCAUUAUGUGGUUUCGUAGUUUCUCAUUUUAUCCUUCUGUGGUUUAAAUAUAUCAAAUUGCCCCUCUGUGACUUUAUUUUUAUCUUUUCGGUAGCUUUUUCGUUAAUAUUUCAUUAAAUUAUAUACAAAAAACUUCAAAUACCCAUCUAGAUUUAUCAAAUAUUCAUUUUAGUAUCCUUUAAUUUUAACUUUAUCACUGAUUUAAGAAAAAAAAAUAAAAUUGAUAAGAAAAAGAGAAAAAAAAACCACAAGGGAAUAAAUUGAUACAUUUUAAACCAAAGGGGGGCAAAGUGAGAAACUACGAAACCACAAGGAUGGGUUUUUGAAGUUUCCCCAAAAAUAUUUGUGAGCAAUCUUCAUAUGGAUCCGUACUGUUGAUUUUUAUUUUUUUUUGGAUAGAAAUAUAUAGAACUUAUCUGAGCUGCGAACGAUUUUGAAUUAGCUAUUCAACUUUUCAAGCAUUUAUUUUUAUUAUUCAAUCUUUUAAUUUGUUUGAUUUAGCAUAGCUAACGGUACUCUAACUUAAAAUUUUAAACUAAUUACUUAAUUUAUUAAAUUUAUAGUUACAAAAAUUGUAUGAAUUAUACUAGUUAAAUCUGUAAAGAUAAAUGACGUAUUUAAAUUUUGAAGUCAAAAAAUUAUUUUCUGAUUCAAAUCAAACAAAUAAAAAAAUUAGUUAAUAAAGUUAAAAUUUUAUAUUCAGAGCUCACGGGCGCAUAUAUUUUUAGUUUGAAAGGAUCAGUACCUAGUUUGGAGUGCCUUUCAAUUGCUCUAGAUAAUAGCCGGUGUAUAUUUUGUGAUGUAUAUUGUAAAGGGUUUCAUGGUUGGUAUCCGAAGUACCAAGUUCGAAUUUUAGUUGAUUCAUAUUUUCAGCUAAAUUUAUUUUUAUAUGAAAUAAACGAACCGGAUAGCGUGCUACAUAUCUCUCAAAAGAUAUAUAUAUUUAAUGGUUAAACAAAAAUAUACAUUUAAUGGGUAAACCCGGAUAAGAAUAAAAAUUAUGCGAUCCCUCUUUUUUUUUUUUCGUUUGAAUUGUAAGACACAAAAUGAUUGUGUGCAUGAAAGGAAAAUAAAAACUUAGCGCGCCAACAUAACAACUACUAUUAUAGUGCAUGUGUGGUCAACACAAAAAAAAAAUUAAUGUGCACUAAGAAAAUUAUAAAUCAUAUGAUAAGGGUGUUUAUAGGUGCCACGUUUCCUUAACUUACAAUCUUUAUUGCAGGACGAUUUACGAUUAUUUUUUAUUUGAAAUUUUUUUUUUUUCAUUAAUUGGUUGGAGAGUUGGAUUUGAACGAAGAGCAUCCGAGCCAUCCUCUUGUGAUCUUGCAAGUUAGAGCGAGGAGUUUCUCAUUAAUUUUUUUUUGCAUAACACUUACUACAAAGAUGUUGUUCUCUAUUUCAUAACAGCAGUAACCCUUUUUUUUUUCAUGUUUUGAAAUUCUACUACAUGUUUGGUGGAUUUUAAAGCAAUUUUUAAUUAAAAAUUAUUAAAUUAGAUAUCUGAUAAAUAAAAUAAAAGUUUGGUGAUCUCCGGUUAUGGUGAUGGUGGUCAUCUAAGAUUUAGUAAAUGAUUGGUUGAAUAGUAUGACCUGAAUAUAAUAGCCGGACUUAUAUAUAUAUAUGCCAUGUCGUUUACGUGGGUGACCAAAUCGUUUGCUAAAUGACAGAGUUGUCCCUGGUUAGUUAAUUUUGCAUUAAUACCUCCUCAAAAGCCUGGAAUAUUGGGAUAAAAAUUUUGUGGGCACCCAUCACGACCGUUCCUUUCCACAAUCGGCUUCUUUUUCUCUCUCUCUAAAAAAUCGGAGCCCACAAUUUUGUUUUCUUUUCAUUUCCGAUGGUUGCGAUGGGCACCGGGACCGUCCCCAAAAAUUUUGGGGACGAUGCCCACAAAAUUUUUGUCCGGAAUAUUGACCAUGCAAAAGUACUUUUGCCAAUAUUUAUUAAUGAAUUGGUCCAAAUGGAUUCUGUGUUUUCACUUUUCAGGGAUGUAAUUAAUGAUAAAUUUGUUGCAAGUAAUGGCACAUAGAUUCUUGGGUUCAAUUAGUGACAAGAGAAUACUUUUGCCGAGUUGUAUUUAUUGUUGAGAGAAUUACGAGUUACAGUACAAAAUCAACAAACAAAUACAUUUCAACAAAAAAAAAAGAAGAAAUAAAAUCCAAAACAAGAAACUGGUACUACAUAUAUAUAUAAGAUGCGCUUCUCUAUGUUCAGUACAACGCCAGAAACACUACCAGCUAACAAAUGAUCGAUCAAUCGAUCAGCGAAGGCCCGGUCGAGAGUGAAAUGAAAAGUACGGCGCAUACGAAGCGGCCUGGUCGAGGUUGUUCUUCUUCGUCUUACUGUCUUGGUUUUGCUUCUGCUUCUGCUUCUGCUUCUGCUUCGCCUCGGACUUCUCCUCUUGUGAGGAGGAGGAGGACUUCGUUGGGAACACCUUGGAGAGCCCUGGGAUGCAAGAGAAGUUGGAGGCCAUGAUCUUCUUCUUUUUUUUUUUUUUUCUCUUUAUUUAUGUUUUGAUAUGAUGAUGCUAUAUGGGACUUGGAUUUAAGAGGGCUUAUAUAUAUAGAGGAGGGGGAGCUACAACAAAUAGAGCUUACCAAGUAAGCUGUUUGACUCUAUAAUACAAGCUUCCUUGGGAAGCAAGGAUCAAGGAAUCUGGGCUUGUUGGGGUCUGGAAAUAUUUAAUAAUGGCCAGAAAAAAAUCCUUCCCUUAUCUCAUACAGAAUUAAUCUAUUGAUUGAUGGUGACAAAAGAAGUGGAGGGGCAAGAGAGGGAACUUGGUCUCCAGGUUUGAAAUGGUUUCAAUAACUGUGACAGUUAGGUGGUGUUUGGAUUGAUGUAUUUGUUGAUUCAACGUAAUUCGAGUGCAGUGAUAUUGGAGUUUUCCUGAAGUAUGUUUAUUUUAUUAUUUAUUUUGACAUAACUUGUACAGUUUAAAAGUUAAAUUUAAUUAUUUUUUCUGUUUUUUUUUUAUAUAACUUGAUGCCGGUGAAAUUAGUUUUUUGAGUUUUAUUAUUUAUUUUGAUGUAAAUAAGUAUAUCUCGUUAUCUCCUAAAUAUAUGGUAAACUUACUCCUAUAAAAUUUAACCUAUUAAAUAAUUAAAAUUUUUGUUAUUAUUUAAAAAUAAUCUUAAUUUAGUAUAAAUAAAGUAAUUCUAACUUAUUAUAAAAGAAAUAGAGUUUGGAAUUUACUAUUUAAUAAUUUUUUUAAAGAAGGUUGAGUGUGGCGGAAGUCGAGUUCAACACUUUAGAAGCGAAAGUCGAGAAUAGAUAAAGUGCAGGUCUAACGUAAUUUGAGUUAUACUAUAUUUUUAACUUACACAAAAACAAAUACCAAAAAUAAUGAAACUUAAGUUCCACCUCUCCAUUUAUACCAAAACAAACGCCCUCUUAGGGGUGGAUUCACCACAGCUCUAAUGCGGGUGGAUUCACCACAGCUCUGUUGCGCAAGGAAUUUUAUACUAUCACACUUGCACCACGUCAUCAAUAACAAGCCAAUCACAUUCCUUCUUUUCAAAUAAAAGUACAAUAAAAAUAUUUUUUUACAAUCAUGAUGGGACAUAUAUUCCUAAAAGGAGAUAUUUAAUUAAUUUGUUACGCCACGUCACCGAUACAUCCAUUGCAUUUUAGAAAUUUUCCUGUUGCGCGCAACAGCGAAAUCGUGCGGUGGGCUCGAUAUAGGUCGGUUUGGCUAAACGAUCGAAUUGGUUGUUCAUAUGUUAAACUUUAAGUUUUCAAAUGACGGGCCCCUGAUCCUGUCAACAACACUAUCGUACGCGCAUUUUAUGAAGCCCAAAAGCUUGGUACCAAUUUGGGCCCAGAAGCUCUAUUUUCGACAGUGAUAUUCGAAGAAGCAAUAAUAUAUAAAAACUUUUCUACUAAAACCACCUCAACAGUUUUUAGUUUCUACAAGCAGCUGCUAAAUUUUCAUGAUAUAUGUUGUUAGGGCUUUUUCCAAAAGCCAUUACCAAUGCAGUAGAACAGAUGUAAUCAAAGGUAGAACAUGAGCUGACACAUUCUUCUUAUAAACUGCAAAUCUUAUUAGAUAAAACGACAAGAAGCAAAAGCAAGCCUAAUUACAAGAACUAAAAGCACUUUCUAAGCAAGCACAAAAAAGAAAGUACAAAGCUCAUCUCCCAUCAGCCUCACAUGCCCCUUUUUAUUCCUUUUUAUUUAAGCACCAGAGAGGGUUUUUAGUUGACAUGAUUGAUAUAUAUAUUCGGCCCCUAGAGAAGGGAGCGAAAUUGAUCCUAACCGUCCAUGCGGAUGAUGCAUCGAAUGCUCUCCCCCUUGAGCAUGUAAUCAAAGGCCUUGUUGAUUUCAGAGAAUGGCACACUGUGUGUGAUGAACUUCUCCAAUUCUAGCUCCUGCACAGUUGUACGAAUCAUGGAACACACAUUAGAAUUUUCUUCGACUACUAAGCCAUAGUUUGCAGAUAAAUUUAGAUAGAAUAACCUGGUUUGGCCGAAGCUAUUAUUUCACUCGAUGCUCGCACAGUUUGACAAAAUGAGAAGCCUACGAUAAAAGCAAGCAUAAAUGUGUUACCUUAUUCAUAUACUUUUCCACGACCGAAGGGAGAUCGGUGCGAGGCUUGUAGUUUCCAAAGAAGGUCCCCUUGAGGGUUCUCUCAUUCAGGAAAUUCAUGGGUUUGGUUUUGAAUUCGGCGUCCUUGUUCGGCACCCCGACCAACACGGCAACACCCCAGCCCUGAGAUUCAAGAGCAAUCUUGUUUCACAAUCUGAUAUGAAUAAUUCUCAUAGAGUAAAAUCAGCAAGAAUGAAAAGAGCUCUCGAUUUGCCAUUCGGCAGCGGUGGUUAAGGAAAUUACAUCAUGAACACACUCAAACGCCGAUAUCAUGGCAUUUACAUUUCCGGUGCACUCAACUGCACGAUCAACUCCGCCCUUAGUCAUCUCAACAAGAACCUGAAAAAAGAGCAUCGCAAACGGACACAUACCUGAGAAUCAUUGAAAUCUCUAAACUAUACACUGACUAAAAACAGCAUACACAAUACAAACCUCUUGCACUGGUUUGUCGUAGUCCUUUGGAUUCACGAAGUCGGUGACACCAAAUUUCUUAGCUGGCAAUUGUAAAAAAAAAGAAAAAGAGGGGAGAACUUAAUGUGGGGCAUAGAACAUCUAUUAGCAAAGUAGAUUGCGGUAAAUUAAAAUUUUCAGGUAAGUAGCUUCAAUUUUUAUGAGAGCCAAUUCUAUAUUCCACCUUCUUCAAAUCUAUUUGGGUUUAAGUCGAUGCCGAAAAUUUUUGAAGCUCCUGCAAUCCUGGCACCUUCGCAAGCCUAACCAAUGAAAAGAUACAGAUUUGAUCAAUUACUACCGUGGUCUAAAAUUAUUCUGAUAUUGAAGAUAUAGACAAAUUCUAGGUCGAAAGAGGCUCACAGCUAGGCCUACAGCUCCCAACCCAAAAACAGCCACCGUCGAACCCUUCGGAGGUUUAGCAACAUUGAGUGUCGCACCGAGACCUUACAUAGAAAAACAAACAACUUCAUUACCAAAAUUGUCAAAAUGACUCUUCACGCGAAAUCAAAAGAUAGGCUUAAUCUCUCACCAGUUGAAAUUCCGCAGCUAAGAACGCAAACUUUAUCUAAGGGAGCCGAGGGGUUGAUCUUGGCGACACAUCCGACAUGGAUGACGGUGUACUCGCUGAAUGUGGAGGUCCCAACGAAAUGGUAUAUCGGUUUUCCAUUGAUCGAAAACCGCGAUUGCCCGUCGCCAAUCAUCACUCCCCUGUCAGUAUUGAUUCGAAGGAGAUCGCACAUGUUGCUUUCCUCCGACUUGCAGUGGGCACAUUCUUUGCAUUCCCCAGUGAACACGGGGAGGACAUGGUCUCCUGGUGCGAGCUCGGUCACGCCCUCACCUACGCUCUCUACGAUGCUGCGAACAUCAAAUGAUAGAAUACGAUGAAUUUAAUGGUUUCGACUAGAAUAUAAUGAACUAACAUAAACUUAUUCGCCAUCGAGGUCGGUGUAGUAUGGCUCAAACAAUUAAUCUUAGACAAAGCUCUUCAUUUUGAAAAUAACCUGGUUAAGUAUACUACUAUUAAACCCUCAAAAAGAAGGGGAAAAAAAUGUGUUACAUUAUUCAAAGCUAUGGAGCUGAAUUGUGUUAAAAGGUUACAGGUGAGUUUAAUUAACUUGACUCUCAAUCAAACAACUGCUUCAUUGAAAAUGUUGCAGAAAACUCAUAAACAAGAGAAAACUGAAGCAAAUUACAGAAGAAAAACUAAGGAAUUAGAAUAAUUCUAGGUAGAGCCAUACCCUCCAGCUUCAUGGCCGAAGAUGCGAGGAAAAACAGGAGUCUGCCCCUGCAAAAUUUAGAAAUUAAAUCAAGUUAGAGAUAUAGUCCUAAAUUCUCUUCUUCUUCUUUUUUUGUUUGAACAAUUUAACUCAGAUGAAAGGAAGGCCAAACGACUCGAAUUCUUCUAAAAUUAUCCAAGCAUUCAAAUGAAGAAGGCUACUCGAGUCGAUCGAAGGUUGUUGACGAAAAUCAACACAAUUGCGAGCUUCGCGUAUAAGACUUUUUAAAAGUUUAGGAGUCCUGCUACAAUGCUAUCAAUAGCUCCAAACACUCGGUGCUAUCAAGUUUUCCGCCGUUAUCCGCCGAUAGAUCUACCUCUUUGACUACUAGUUCUGACCAUUUCCGGUCCUUAGAUCAUACUAUUCCACCAACCACCCACAAAACUCUAAGAAAUCACUAUCGUCCUAUCAUCCUAACCGCACAUCCCUUCAUCUGAUGGUCUAAGAAAUCACUAUCGUCCUAACCGCACAUCCCUUCAUCCGAUGGCCGAAAACCUGAUAGGACCAAUGACUUGGUGCUGCUAUUAAUAGUAUUCCAGCCUAGUUCAAAGUAAGUUUAGACGACGAUCUGCAACCGAGCGAACAUUCAAGAUACCUCCACUAUAUAAACUAAAAACGAGAAAUACCACAGAAUUGGAUUUAAUUUACUACAAAAGGAAAGAUCAUCAUAAGAGAGGUUAAGCUAAGCUUAUAAACCUUAGCUUCCCAGAAGUAGACAUCAGUGUGGCAGAGGGCGGUGUAGAGGAUCUUCAGCCGCACCUCCAUCUUCUGCGGCGGCGCCACCUCCACCUCCUCGAUCACCAGCGGCUUCCCCGCCUCCCACGCCACCGCAGCUGCAUCGAACAACGUUCGAUUCACCAUCAUCAACUAUCAUAUACAUAAAUAUAUACACACUAUACACACGGAAAAAUGCUCUUCCUACAAGCAACCUCCACAUCAAUCUACAAAAUUUAGAAUUUAAUGGCUAGAUUUCACUAUUUCCCUCGCGAAUUACAACAAAAUUUUUUAUUAAACAACAGAUCCAGAUAUAUGGAAAUAAAAUAGGGAAAAAAAAAGAACAGGAACCCAUUUCCCCAAAACCCUACAGAGAAUAAAAAUAAAGCAGCAAAAAAAGGAAUAAUCCUUCGCCAAAAAUGAACAAACAAUCACCCCGAAAAGUGUACAAAAAUAACAACAACAACAACAACGAAGAAUUUUAAGAGAAGUAUAGAAACGACCCACAAACCUUUGCAUUUGAUUACUUUCCCAGCCAUGCUCGACAUGUCCCAAAAGCUCCUCAAAAACUCAAAUCCCACCUCUUCAAAACACACACGCGCACACACCAAAAAACAAAAAAAACCAAGUUUGGCCAAAAAAGUGAGUCGCUAUGAGGGCCUUAUAUAGCCCCACGUUGCUUUGUUCGCCUUUGAUUUAAUUCCCCUGGUUUACUAGCGUGGUAAAACCGGUGCACGAUUACGUUGUUCCUACGAUACAAACUUUUGUUAAACGGAACCUGGGGAUUAAAAACAGGUGAAUAAAUAAAUAAAUGAAAAAUUGUGAGAUUGGUGGGUUUUUUUCCUUUAAUUUAGAUUAGGAGAGGGGAGGGGAGUAGGAUAAGAGUCGCGCGGUGGGGUGGUCAAAAGACUCAAAACUGGGAACUUGAGCGAAAAGCGGUGGUCCCGGAAACCAACCCUGGUUUUGCAACAGCCAACCGGUUUUGUCGCUCCGGAUUAGGCUCGUUGACUAGUUUUUAAAUGGUUUUUUGUUUUUUGUUUUUUGUUUUAAUUUUUUCAAUCUCUUUUUAACAAUUCCUCUGUGUAGGUAAUUACUACAUGUGCAUUAAAUAUACAGAGUCCAUCUUCGAUACUUUCAAAAGUACGAGAGGCCCCGUGUUUAUAAGAUAUUUUCGAUGAUAGGAUGUCCGAUUCGACGAUCAGCUUCGUUCGAUAUGAUCUAUCCUAUUGGAACUGUCUAAAAACCAAAUUUUAGAUUUUUUUGACAUCAUUUACUAAGUGAUCAAAAGGUCUAAAAAAUGACUAUUUUAACGACCGAUGUGGCACAUUUUUAAGUUCAACGGUAUAAAAAUAUUCAAAUUACAUGAAAAUUUAAUAGAAAAUUCUACUUAACAUCAGUAGCAAGAUUAAUACUUCCGAUUUAAAAUUUGAAUCCUUUAUCACUGUUUUUUAUGAGAUUUUUAUUUUCAGCCAUUCAUUUUGAGGCUACUCGUUCACUAGACAAAAGAAAUCUAAAAAUUAUAAAAUUUGGUUUCUAAAUAGUUCCAAUAGCGUAGAUCAAGUUUAACGGAACCGAUCGCCAAAUCGAAUGUCCCAUCAUCGAAAACAACUUACAAGCACGGGGCCUCCCAUACUUUCGAAAGUAUAGGACCCUAGCUCUAUAUAUAUAUAUAUAUAUAUAUAUAUAUAUAUAUAUAUUAUUCUUUUUUAUUCUAGUAUAUAGAAAUAUCACUCAAAAUUUUAAAAAUAUUUUAUUUAUUUUUUAACGAUCAAAAUAAUUUUUUAAUUAAUUAAAAAAUUCAAAAACAAUUUCUAUUUUCUCUAGAAUUUACCAGGCGAUUGUUUUGUAUAAGAAUAUUUUGGUAAUUUUAUAAUAAAUUGAAAAAUUUUAAAUAACAAUAAAAAAUGAAUAAGCAAAAGCGUACAUAAAAACUGUUAGAUUUUUAGUAUCAAAAAAAAUUGACAGGAGAAGAGCCUAAUAUAAACCAUUGAAUGAGAUGGUAUAAAAUUUAUAUAUCUUUUUGAAUAUACAAAUAGAAUUACUCUAGCAAUUUAAAAUGCUCGUCCAUUGACAUUCAUAUGUAUAUAUUUAACAUUUGUAUUUAGGAUGUUAUCAAUAUAAUUUUUUCCAACAAAAUGAACAAUUUUUUUUUCAAUAAUCAUCAUUGCUCAUGCCCAAAAAAACGAGUAAAGAAUCCUCAAAAUAACUACUAUAAUAACUUCAAACUAAUAUUAUGUCCUCCAAAUAUAGCCUUACUCUUCGUAUUUUUCGUAAUGUUAAAAAAAGAGAAAAAAAAAGAAAGAAAAAGAGAAAAAGCAGCAUUUGAAAUUGGAGAAGUAAUUUUUCCUAAGAUGAACAUCUAAAAAUAAACCUCGUGUUCAUCUUAUAUUUGCAUAGCAUUUUGGAAUAAAAAAUUAUAGUAAUUAUAAAACCAACCAUAAAGGCCAUUAUAUCUUUAGAUUAGAUACCAUUAAUUUCUAUUGGAUGGUGAGGAGACUUAGAUUGUUGCUGAUGUAAGAGGCGUGAAUAAGUAACACUAGGCAAAGAAAAUAGUGUAACGGUUAGUCUAGAAUUAUUGUUUCAUCAUACUUUUUCCAAGAUUAUUGCUGAAAAGGACAAAUAAGACAUAUUGUCCUUUUAUUCUAUGGUAAAAAUAUUACAAGUCUNGUGAAAUAGUAUGAUCUAACGGGUGAAAAUGAUCAAAAGGGUAGAUCUAAUGGCGGAAAACUUGGUAGCACCAAGUGCUUCGUGCUAUUAAUAGCAUAGUAGCCGGACUCUAUAGAUAUAUAUAUAUAGAGUAGGCUGGCAUGCUUAUGGAAGCACGGAGCCCUCCGUACUUCCACUUUGUUUUCGAUGUUCGGACUUUCGAAUCGACGAUCGGUUCCGUUAGAGUUGAUCUAGAGUAUUUGAAGUCCCUAGAAAAUAAUUUAAGGCCAAGUUGGUACUAUGCAGCAAUGAAAUAUGCAAAUGAGGUGAACGAUAGCGAGAUCGAGAAAGCAACCCCCGAAUGUGAUUCACAGCAACUACACUCUUCAAUGGUCAUGUACUCGAGUGUGGUCGCGAUAGUCUAAAGCAUACUUUUGAGUUUGUUGAUUCGUACCUCACUGUAAACUAAAAUUGUUAAUAAAAAAGCUUACAACAAUAAAAAGUUUUAAUACAAGGCACAUCGAACUUCAAAAAAGAAGUGCCCAAUGUCCCAAAUUCAGAAUAAAGUUCUUCUUAGUAUAGCAAUUUUUGAGAAUUUUUAAUAGUGCAAACCAAACGCACCUUAAAAAACAGUCUCUUAUUAAAGAUUCUACUCUAAUCUCGCGUUACAUUGAUAUUUACAUCCCUUAAAAAUAUAAAUAUCUAGAUUAAUGUGAUGGCGAGGAUUUGACACGUAAAGCUGAUAUUUGCAAUCUUCUCUAGGUUGAUAAAUCUUGGGACCACAAAGUAAAGGCCAACAUUAUUCCAGAAACCUAUCUAUUUCAUGCACUUCCCUGUCACACUAUAAGGAGGGUUAUGUCUUUAUGCCAUUCUCAGUCAUGAACAUUGUCAAGUCUUCUUCUAAAUUCUAUGCUUCUCUACAAUGGCAUUGACUAGUUAGGCCGGGAUAUUGGGCCGGGCCGGGCCGACCUCAAUAAGUUGUGACAAAUUACGCCUAUGAAAUGGCUAUUUUGGUUUUGUUGACCCAAAUUUUUUUGGUAAUGGGCCGCCCAAGAGCUUCGGCACCAUCGUGUCUCAUUCAAUAUAAUAAAGUAGAGGUACUAUACUAUCAGAAGUAUAAGGAAUCUGAUACUUUCAAUUUUUUGGCCCUUAGAUCAAUAUGUUUAAUCAUUUCUAAUGUUUGGAUUAAAACUUCAAUCCUAGAGGGAUCGCAAGCAUUCCAAUUCUUACAAUUCUUGAUUGAAGGAUCAAAAAAUCGAAAGUAUAAAAUUUUCUGUUCUUUAGAUAGAAUAGUAACUCUACAUCAAUCUAUUGAUCAUUAUUAAUUAAUGCAAAUUAAAAUUAUGGUGAUGGGUGUAGAGGGUGUUUAGGCAACGGAGCUAGCAGACGACGUAAUUCAUGUCUGGGAUAGGUGGAUGGUCAAGAAAGGAUUGCGUAAUACGUGUCAUAGCUUUCCUGAAUUGGUUGCGUGCUGGUGGAUCAUUUAGAAGGCCAGGAACGAUAUGAUUUUUCGAAACAUCCAACUAGAUCCUUUAUUAACUGUGCACAGACUAAAGGAGCUGUUGAAAUUCUAGGGCCUUCUCACCCAAACAGUUAGAAGCCCUACCACCGCGUGAUAUGUGUUUUUUUUUUUUUACUCAACUGUCACGUUUUUGACUUGAGGCUUUAGGUGCCUCAUCCCUAUAGUCUAAUUCAUCCUUUUUUUAACUCAACUGCCACGUCUUUGACUUGAGGCUUUAGGUGACUCGCCCUUAUAGCCUAAUUCAUCCUUUCAAUGAAUGAAUCAUUGAAACAUGUAGCGUGCUAUCUUAUCUCAAAAAAAAAAUUCUUGACCAAGACAAGGAAGAUCUUGGCGAAGAUCUAAUUGGGAGUCAACUGCAUUUAGGUUGAACUUUAUUUUAAUCUUUCCGUAAUUUAGUAAAAUUAAUUUUUUGAAACUUAAGACCAAAGCAGUUUUUAAUACAAAUAUAGAGAUAUAAAUUUGGGUAAUUAAGUUUUAGGUAUUGGGAUCAGAUUGGUAAAUUACGAGAGCGCCCCUGUUUGUCGUAACAGGCUUAUGGGGGCGGGUGCCCCUCUCGCAGAAUGCGAGCUGUUACCGCUCAUCACAUCCCGUUUACUGCCUGAAGGAUCAUGGGGUGUCAAUAAGACCCCAGUGGCAAUUUUAUAUCACCCUCCCUCCCCAUCCCCAUGUUAUGCAUCCGAUGUGGGACUAAUGUCCUUGUAUUUUGGCCAGUUUCCAAAUUUGUCCUCGUUGUUUUUGCGUUUUUGCGAAAAAAAACCUUUACAACGGUCACCGAUGCGCUUUUAUCAUGCGGGAGAGGCUCACAAACCUCCUACGUAACUGCGGCGGCGCCGCCGCCGAGCUCCGGGCCGGAAUGCAAGCUCACGCGCACGCCAUAACCUGCGGCCUCCUCCCCCACGCGACGCUCGAGACCGAUCUCCUCCUCAUGUACUCGCGCUGCUCGUGUAUGAACUACGCCCGCCGAGUGUUCGACCGAAUGCCCCAACGAAACAUGCACUCUUGGAACAUCCUCUUCUGCGGCUACGCCCGCCGCUCCCUCUUUUACACGGCGCUUAGCCUCUUCCCCCGCUUCCUCGCCUCCGGCCUCCUCCCCGAUCGCUUCACGUUCCCGCCUCUUCUCAAGUCCUGCGGCGGAGUUGCCGAUUCCACCCUCGGAAUGGUCCUCCAUUGUUGGGUCAUUCAUCUGGGCCUCGAAGAGCAUGUUGUGGUUCAGGGUUCGGUUUUGGACAUGUAUGCCAAAUGCGGGUGCUUGGACCAGGCGCUCCGGGUGUUUGAAUCAAUACCCAGAAGAGAUACUGUGAUUUGGAAUACCAUGAUUGCGGGGUUUGCUAGAGCCGGGUGUUCACUCGAAGCAUUGGGUCUUUUCCGCCGGUUGCAAUGGGAGGGAGGGGCCGUGGAUUCGAUGUCUAUACCGAGCAUUCUAAACGCCUGCAGUAGGGAAGGAGACUUGAUGAAAGGGAAGGAAGUUCACGGGAGAGUGAUCCGGUGCGUAGUGUUCGAUUGGGAUGUUCCUGUUGGGAAUUCAUUGAUCGACAUGUACGCCAAGUGCGGCUGCUUGGAUGAUUCAAAUAAGGUUUUCUUAAGCAUGAGCAAUCGGAACAUCGUAACGUGGUCCACUAUGAUAUCUUGUUAUGGAGCUCAUGGCAAGGGCGAAGAGUCGCUGCGCCUGUAUAAGGAGAUGAUAUCGGAAGGGGUAGUGCCAAAUGGUGUUACGUUUACAUCUGUCUUAUCAAGCUGUAGCCACUCCGGCCUCAUUGAAGAGGGUCGAAGGAUCUUUGAGUCGAUAAGUAGAAUUCACGAUGCCGUGCCGAGUAUCGAGCAGUACGCUUGUAUGGUGGAUCUCUUGGGUCGAUGUGGUAGCAUUAAGGAAGCUCUGCAGCUGAUAAGUAGCAUGCCAAUGGAACCUUCAGGCUGCGUUUGGGGGGCGUUGCUCGGCGCCUGCGCUGUUCAUAAGAAUGUGGAGGUCGGUGAGAUUGCCGCACAAAGGCUUUUCAAAUUGGAGAAGGGGAAUCCGAGCAACUACGUGGCUCUUUGCGGUAUAUACGAAGCGGUUGGUGAUUCGGAAGGCGUAGCGGAGGUGAGAUCAAGGAUGAGGGAGCUGGGGAUGGUGAAGAUGCCAGGGUGUAGUUGCAUCGAGGUGAGAGGGCGCUUGCAUGCUUUUUACCAAGGGCAUGUUUCUCAUCAUUUGGCAAAGAAUAUUCAUGAGGUGUUAGAUGGAUUGGUUGAGGAGAUGGUGACUUUAGAAGGUGAUUAUGGGUGAGGAGGAUUUGCCUUGCUGUUGAUGUAUGGAAAAGGUUAUACAUUGUCUUUUUAGUUUCUACACGAUCACAUUGUUUUCAUUGUUCACAUGAAAACUUCUAGAUGAAAUGAACACUAAAUUAAGAGAACAAAUUAGAGAUUCCUAAGAUGGUGUACACAAACAUCGGUAAACACAGCUCAGUUCACUGCUACUAAUAAAGAUACAACAAAAAAUAAAUUAAAGCAUCUUCAAAGGAGUGAAAGUCUAGGUUAUGAAUGUCCUACACGGUACUACCUACCGAUGAACUUAUUCUCUGCUCUUGGACUUAUUCUCUGCUCUGGCCGAAACUAAACAUACAGAAGCGCCGAUCAAGCAACAACUAAUUUGCUCUCCGGGGUAGAUCACUUUGGGAGGCCAUUCACAGGAUCAAUCAAAGCUUGAUUUUCGUCAGCAAGGAGUUUCGGACCGCUUCCAAUUCUCGUGCAAAUGAAGUAGCUGAUGUCGCCAGCGAAUUUUUUACGUGGAACCUUAUCCUUACUUUCGGGUGGGGGUGCCAGGGCCUCUAUUCCUUCCACAGAUUGGAGACCAGCCUCUUGUAGUAUUGAUUUGUCUCCUAGAAUGUAGCUGAGAAGGAAUAAGCGUCAAGUUAGACUUUCUUUCUCAAUACCAAUUCGUAGGGCCAGUUUGGUCUUGCUGUCUCCUAGAAUAUUUUUAGGGUUCAAAUUUUCAUUCUUAGCUUUCUACUGCAGUAGAAACUCUGGGCAUUGCCACUUGCCAACUGUUCCUAAUAUAGAUGGCUAGAGGUGAAAGAAGAAGCAAAAGUGGAGCCAGCCAAACAAGGAAAGAAACAAAUAAUGGUGGACAAACAUCAAAUGAAGCAUACCUGGUCAAAUCAGUAUCUUGUGGGGGAGGGAAAUAGAACAGUAGCCUUUGAAGCAGAAGUGCAGCAGCUUGACGAUUCGGUGCGAUCAUGACAGCAUUGGGACCAGCAUCAAAGGUGUAAGCUACCUGUCAUAGAGUAGAUUUGUAACAAGAUUUUAGCGGCAGGAUUUUGCAAAUUAUUGUGGAUAAUAAAGGUUCACUAUUAGUCAAAGUUAACAACCUAAAACAACUAGUUAGGAGGAAGAUAACAGCAGAAAGAACAAAAAGAUCCUUAUAAUCAUUAUAUCAUAGGGCAUAAUUUAGGCUAUUUACCUGCAGUGUUCCUUCCGACUGGUUCCAUCUCUCGACAAGGCUAAUAAUCCUGAAGUUAAUGGGUAUAUAUACAUAUUAAUUACGUAGAAAUAACCAAUCUAAAUAAGCAGCUUAUAUAUUGAUUGAGUGGAAAUAUACAUGUGAACAGAAACAGAAUACCUGUGUGAGGUGUCAUUCAUAUAGAAUAUAGGGGGGGUAGUGUCCAAGCAGAUUGCGUGAAACUGAUUGCUAUCUGCACAAGUAAUGCGGGCAAAAGAUGCAAAAUCAUGAUCUCUAAUGGCUUCUUCGAUUUUCAACACUCGACUAGGGACCACAGUCUGGAAAUAGCAGAAAGUAAAUGAAUUAACAAUGUGAAAGUAAAUUUAAGAACUAGGAACACAUAAUUCUCUCUCAAGAGAGAAAUUGCAUCAUAAGGCUACAAACCACAAAAGCACAAGAGUACUUGUUUCAAGAAAGCAGUUAACACUACUGGGGUGCAGAACAGUAUGACACAUGAAUCAGCAUAUAUAAAAAAUAGCAAAUAAACCAUUCAGUUGAUAGAUAUUUGGAUAGUUCUAUCUUAAAAUAAUUUUCCCACUGUAAACAGCACUACACAUGAAUAAAAUGCAAAGAAUCCCUACCUCAGCCCUGUAUUUUAAGAGUGCACUUGUCUGAACACUUUCACGCAUUCCAGAGGUGCUACUUGUUUCCUUCUGCUUUGAGCUAACCUGGGUUUUCAAAUAAUAUUGUAAUAAUGAACUAUUAGAAGCAAUGAAUAGAAAUAUGCAACCAUUACAGCAAGAAAUAAAGCAGUUUUGGUGCAAGUCAGUCUCAAAAAACACAAACUGUAAGAGCAUCAUAGAGUAGUGAAGUUGUAUAUCAUGCACAGCACAAAGCAGUAUGGAAGAAAGCCAGCACUGAGGGUAAAAUACGGAGUUGACCCAGCAAAUACAAAUGAAGCUAUAUGACCAAGGCACAUCCCUUGGUGUAUAAUAGGGUAUUCCCAAACAUACUUGUAUAUCCAUGACAACUUGAAAAGUUACUUAUCCAACUACUUGUUUACAAAAGUUGAUCAAGCAGACAAGCAUUCUUUUGUAGAAAUUCACCAUCAUAACAAAGUUUAUGCCGAACAUUAGCAAUGUUUCAUGAUUCAACAGCUAACAUGCCUCGUAUAAGAAUGAACCAAAGAGAGUGACUUUGAAGUACUUUUUAAAUUGCUGUUAUGAAAUAAUAAUCAAAUAUCCACAAUACCAAGUAAUACGAAGUGUCAUGAAGAGAAACUACAUACCACUGCUAUGACAAUAAAAAGGUCAUUCCAAUGUGUUUCUUCAGCUAGUUGAAUCGCAAUGCUGUCGCUUCCAUCGGGAUUCUGAAAAACAAAAAAAAUCAGCUCUAAGUGAUGCAUUGCUUUUGAAGAUACAGUAAGUUAACUGAGCAUGUUGGCCUUACAUUUCCCAUGGCCCAUUUGACAAAUCCACCAUAUAUACUGCGGCAUGCACUGCCUGAGCCUUGCCUGUAUUAUACAAUUACUAUUUAACAAAUGCCAGGUAUCGUACGACAAGAAAAUCUUAUAUCAGCUGUAAAAUAACUGUAGCACGAGAGCAUCCUCCCUUUGAAUAUUUCACAAGCAGCUAUUAAAUUUAUAUAUCCAAAAGGUGGCUUUGGCAUGCUUGUACCUUAUAGAAGUAUGAAAGAGAGGGUAAACAUAAUGGUUACAGACCUGGCAAUGGAGGAAAGCUCUCCAUAUUCUUCCUUCACAUUCAUCAGCUUUGCAAGGGCAAAAACUGUCAACAAACAUUACAAAAGAAAAUAAAAAUUGUUAAAGAAAACUCUUCAUUAUGACAAUUAAGAGAUAAAAUUCAAAACAAUUACAUGUUGUUUAGAGCUGCUCUCUCCUUAAGAAGCUAACAUAAUGCUAGUCCAUAUUGAAUAUGAUUAAUACUAGAUGCCACAGUGCUUCUAUAUGAGUCAUUAAAAGAGAUUCACAAAUAUAUAUUUUCGUAUCCAUAAAAGAUAUAAUAAAUAUGCCAAGGAAGGUGUUUAAUCCCAGAUAGAGAGAGCAUACAUAAUAUAUGUUACUUUUAGUUUGACAAUAGUAGGCCCAAGAAGUUUAAACCUAUAAUAAAAAAACGUCUAGGGAAAAAAAAAAAAUCCUUAUUUUGAUUCGACUACAGUUAAACAACACACUCCAUAAUCCAAAGUAUUAGGACUAAAAUUUACCAAGACAUGCAAAGCCAGCGGCAGAAGAAGCCAAACCAGCAGCAGUGGGGAAAUUGUUGUAUGAAGCAAUAUGAACAUGCAAGUUAUUCCAAUCAUCUUUUUGGAUCCGAAUGCCCUUCUUCUCGUCCUCAACAUCACGAGCGCGCUUCCGGAUCUCUCUCAGGCAGUUUUGGUAUCUUCCUCCAGACAAUGAAAUCUCCUACUCCAGUCAGAAGUUCAAUCAAAUCUCCACGAUUGACAAGCAGUCACCAAAACUAGUAGCUUUAUUGUCUUAACAACAAAUAAUCAUUUGAACUUCAUAGAGAUUAGAGUGCUCAAACAAAGAAGCAAAAAUGUAUUUUUAAUAUCAAUGGGAAAACCAAAAAAACUAAGAUAAGAAUGUAUGGACCUUAUCCGAAUUAUGUUACAUUUUGAAAGAGGCCCCUAAAAUUUGAAAUUUUUUAUUUUCACUCUCAAAUCUUACAAUAUUUUUUACUUAUCAAGUCUCCAUCAGAAUUUACAAGUUUAACAAUUAAGUUUUAUUUUUUUGACAGAAUAUUUUGUAAUAAAACAUAACAUAUUCUACUAUUUGAUGAAAUGAGAACCAUUAAAUCCUUCUGAAAUUCGUAAGAAAAAAAUUUGGAGAAUUUUUGCAAAUUCAAAAGGAACUUAAGGUCAUGCAGUAAAAUAAAUAUACUUAAACUUCACUUAUUCAUUCGGAAAAGUGCUAUAUUUCAUUCUCAGGAAAAAUUAAAACAAAUAUAGAGAGGAUCAAUCAACCUUGCCAUUAAGCCACAUGCGAUCCUGCUCAAAGCUAGGGCUAACGGCGACGGUCGUGGUUGCGGAGAGAUGAUCCGGAUCGAGCGUAACACUGAUGCUAUCAUUAACAGGUAGGAUCAACUCCUCGUCGCGCUUCCCCCAAUACUUGAUCACCGCAAUGUUGGUGGGCGAUCGCGCCGUCGCCAUCAGGAUCCAGCUCUUCUCCGACUCCCCCGUCAUCUUCUCCUUCUCGACGACCUGAAACGCAUCAUAGAUCCAACCUCAGGUCAAACCACGAAAUCAAGAGUCUCAAUCCAUUUCGAUUAGCAAAACCCCCAAAAAUCAGCAAAAAUAGAUCGUGAACACAAAAUAUUCUACUUCAAUCAAACAAACCAACGACAUUACAAAUUUCGAUCAAAAAACCCCCCUAAAAAUUGGAAAAAAAAAAUAAAAGAUCGAAAGACGCAUUGCGGCGAGGAUUUCACCUGAUUUAGAGAUCGAGUGAGCGGAAACCGGAUUUGGGAAGAGAUCGCCGCAGAUCGAGAGAGGAGAUGAGUAAGGAGGUUGAGAGGGGUUUCGAAUAUUUCGCGCUUGUGAAGGAGAAAUAAUAUGGAGGGGUCGCGAUCGUCACGAAACGGGGAGAGAGAUCUAAUUAUGGAGCUUAUGCUCAUCCAACGGGCGUGGAACGAUCAAAAUAAGAUGAACGGUUGAUAAUUUUUGUAGGAAAAUUGAUCAUUUAUUUGGUGGUUGAAUACUUGAAUUUGAUGGGAUACGGUGAGGAUUUAGGUACCAGAGCUGUAUAUACGUACGUAGAAGAUUUUGGUAGCUGAAUACUUUAUUAAUUACGUGUCUCAAUUAUCUCCGGCAUAUAAUUAAAAUUAUAUAUAUAUAUAUAUAUAUAUAUAUAAUUGGGCUUCUAUGCUUUUAAAAGUAUCAAGACAUUGGUGUUUGUAAAUUUUCUGCCUCUGGAUUAAGAAAUGUGUGGCUAGGAUGAUAUGGGCCUCUAGAGUUGAGUAGGUGGUUGGUUGAAUAAUAUAAUCUAACGAGUGUAAAUAGUCAAGUGCUUGAUGCUUUUAAAAGCACCAUAAUCAGACUCUAUAUAUAUAUAUAUUUUUUUUUUAAUAUUAUAUUUUAAUUUUGUGUUGAAUAAGUCUAAUAAUUUCGCAAUAUGAUUUGACAUUAAAACAAUAAAAACUCUUACACGCGAUUGAAAAAAAAAAAAAAAACUCUCAUUUCAUAAUUUCGAUUUGAGUUUUGGAACUUAAAAAAGGUGUUGUAGAAGGAGUUUAACUGUGUUUAAUAACGUGUUAUCUUAACACGUUGCUGUUAGAAAAAAUGAAAAAUUCUAAAAGAGAAAUUUAUUUAGGACAGAAUUAAAAUGCAAAAUUGACAUUAUUUUAAUUUUUUAUGCCUGAGAGAAACUCAAGACACAGCCAAAAAAAAGUGUAAAGAGAGUUUUUAUAAUUAAGCCUUUAAUUUAUUAGGGACCGUUUGGUUGGAUAUAGUUGUAAAAAUAGUGUAGUUGAAAAUAUAUGCAGUUGUAAAUGCUGCAGUCAUAACUGUACCUAGUUUGUUUGGUUUUAUGUAGUUGCAGCUGCUGUAGUUACAUUUCUUCUAUUUGGUAGUCUGCAGUUGAGAUUUGUAUUUAUAAAUUCUGUCAAUUUUUAGAUAGAAAGGUGAUAUUACCUCUUCUGAGCAUAACAUAAUUAUGUUUUAAUUAUUAAUUAAGACUUUUAUAUCUAUAUAUAAUUUAUAUAUUAUAAAAUUAUAUAUGAAUUUAAUAAAUUUUAAAUAUAAAUAUAUUAUAAAUUUGGUCAAAAUAAAAAUUAAAAUAUUAUUAAACUAGCAGACUGAAAAAUAAGAAGCGUAUGAAAAAAAUUUAUUGACUCUAAGAAACAUUACUAAAUCUUAUCAAAUUUUAUGAAUAUGUAUUUUUGAAAAAAAAAAUAAAAAAAGAAACAUAUGAAAAAAAAAAUCACACUUUGUUUAUUUUUUUAAUGUGUAAGCCGACUCCGGCUCAACUGCUGCAGCAGUUAGUACUACGGCCAAUUUGGUUGCAGUACCAACUGCUGCAGUUGAGUCUUCUUGUGCAGAUGUAAUUGCAGCAUUCGGGCCUAAUUGCACCAAAUCAAACAAAAAAUUAAUAGAUGCAUGUAUUUCCAACUGUAAUGCAGUUAAAAAUGUAUGCAACCAAACAAUCCCUAAGUACUGCUGCAGAUUACUAUUUCUAUGGACAUGCAUAGAAAAAAUCGUUAUCGUACCCUUUCUGUUUGGUUGCUCCUCUUUUAUACAAUUUUACCGUUUUGUAGUUGUAUCUUAUUCAAGGUCAAUUUGACUAUACUUGUAUUUUUGCUUUCAACAAGAGUUUUCGAUAAAACAUAUGGCAAAUAAAAAAAGUUAAAAGCUCUUGCUGCAAGUAACGGUCGGCCGAAAAAAGUUUUAAACCUCAAGAGAGAGUUGAAUUUCUCCAGUAGUACUAAAAUUAAAAGAAAAAUUUAUAGUAAGAUUCAAAAAUUUUCAACACUCAAUACCAGAUAGGGAGCUUAUCUUAAAGAUAAAGAUUGGAUUGGAUGUAUGCACCUCAUCCAAAAGCAACACUUUAGCUUUAUCUUGAGUUAAAAUUUUUGUUAAUCUGUUGAUGACAAUGGAGAAUAAAUAAAGAGCACCACAUAAUAGUACUCUAUUGAAGUUCAGCAAUGAUAUUUUUUAUACUAGUUUCGUACUUAAAUUUAUAGUAGGAGGCUAAUCUACCCAAGAUCUUAAGAAAUGAAGUUGAUAACCUAGUAAAGAUGAUUGGUCCCAAUAUUAUUAUCGACUAUCUAUUAUAUGGACUAAUAUUCCGUUUGACAUAUAACAUUUCCAAAUUAUAUUAAUUAAUCUCUAUAAGCUUAAGCUUUGUGCACUAGCUGCAUUAAUAAUCACUAGUUAUCCUUCAGGUCGAAGUGAGAUGCAACUUCACUGCAAAUUCGACAGUAAAGCAUGCUUACACCUUGUUUUUCCUAGCAAUAAGAAUCGAAAAGUAAAUAUAUGACAAUUACAAAGAUAAUGCAUUACAAAUCAGAAACUUGUUUGACAGGAAUAUAUCACAAUUACUUAUUCAAAUCAAUUUAUCUCUCAGAAAAAAAAGAAAAAAAGAGUAAAAGAAAUGGUAAACACUUAGGUUACUCUAUGAACUAUUUGUUGGCAAAACGCAAGCCUCGUAGUCAGAAGAGUGUUCAAUCAAUGGAAGGAUAGGUUGUAUUGGGAAGUCUUUGUCCAUUUACAAAGGAUCGGAAGAGACGGAGGGCUCGAUCGGGCUGCGCAUAGGGAAUCAUGUGAGCAGCACCUCGCACUGUCGCAAAUGUCAAUAUAUUUCCAUACUCCGUUACCCAGCCACCGACCUUUCAGAGAAAAGAAAAAGAAUGUCAUUAUUCUUUGAUGUAUAUUCUCGAAAAUCCAUUUAGAAAAUCAUGACAAGAAAUUGCUUAGCAUUAAGAUUUUCUCAAUUCAAGGCCAUUAGUUGACUCCAAAAUGUGUUAACUUCUUCCAAACUCAUUAGCUCUAAAUUUAAUAGUCCUUCUUGUAUCUCUUUGUGUAAUAUUAGAAUGCGGAAUUAUCAGAGUAAAAUGAUAGUGCAUCACCAACAGAACAAACUCAGAAUGGUAUACCUGGCCUUUGUGGAACCAAGCACCAUAAGGCACUGUCACGCCGAACUUCAAGUCAUGAGCCAGUUCCCGAACUAGUGUUCGAGAGCCGAGGAGGGGAACAACAGAAUCUUGGUCACCACUGUAUGUAGAAAAGGAUUUGGUGAUCUUCAUUAUGUACUCGCCAAAGAAAAAUUCCUAACUCAAGCAUUAUUUCAGAGAUUUAUGGCAGAUCAAUAGCAUUCCUUACCUAAAAACCCAAACUGGUAUGUGAUGCUGAACGAUUCUCUUGAGCAAUGGCAAGAUGUUGAUGUUACCAUCGGUUGCACUAUAAUUCAAAACACUGCCACAAAAGGUAACAAAUAAAAUCAGUUAUUGAUGGGAUGUAUGUAUAACACUACAAGCAUAACGGACCGUCCAGUAACUUAAGUAUAUGCUAAUUGAAGAGAAUAGGAUGCCGUUAAAGGACAAAGCACAACUUUAACUGAUAGCAGUUCAUUUGAACCGUAAUUAUCUAGAAAAGAGAAAGAUGUCAUGUCGUGGCUUUCAUGUCUUAUUGCCUAAUUUAAGAGUACUUACCUUCAAUUCCAAUCCAAGUUCUAUUAUUAGCGAAAAUGACGAAAUUUUUCACAAAAAAGUUUUCAAGCCAGUUAGAGUUCCGAUAACAAUCUAAAUAACGAGAAAUAGACUAGUGGUUGUGAAGAUAUUCAGAAAGAUUUUGGCAACUCUAUGAAUGAUCACAACUUAAGAAUAAAUAAGUUUAAGAUAAUAAUUUAGAUAACGUAAUCGUUUUUCUCACAAACAAAAGAGAACAACGAUGAGUGCGACCUAUCAAAUAACAGCAUGUUCAUACGACCAUGCCGAUUGGCGACAGAAUCGUCAUCCAUACUGAAACACAUGUUAUCUUAUUUAGUAUAUUAUUUGGAAUACUCACUCACUGCACAUGCUCCAACUGUAUGGCAAGUUUGUCCUGUUAGCAUGAAGAGCGUGUUGUACUUCCGGAAGGUUGAAAUAGAAGUGCCUUUCGUAAGUCAUGCAUACAUCGACCCCCACACUAAUCUUAGUAGCCUGUCAUAUGAAAAUAAGAAAGAAGAGAAGCGCACCAAUUAAUAAACUGAAAUAGUGGCAAUUUUAUAUAAAUAUAGAUUAGACUUUGAAAAAAAUCGAGUUAUGUAAAACUUGUAGCAUGAGAUAAACUACUUACGUAUUUCCGCAAUCUCAACUCCUGCUCCACAAUUGAUGGGUAGCAAACAUCAAGAAUCACGUCAUAGUUAUUAAUGUAAUCUCCGACCACCUGAUUAGCAUCGGCGAUGGCAUCAUUGCACGAUUUUGUGACGUUAUGCGGGCCAUUGAAGGUAUAAUCUUCAAAAUCACACUGGUUCAUAAUGGUAAGGCCAAUCUCAUCAGAAAUCAUGCCAUGUGACCAGAAAUAUUCAUAAGUCGCUGGGACAUCUCUGUCGAGCUUGAGAAGCGGAUUUCCAAUCUACACAAGGAAGUGAUAGAAUCGGUAUACACGUGAUUUAUAAAUAAACAGCGAAGCCGAGCGGGUUAGUAGAAAAGGGGGUGCUCUUACAGCCACUCCUUUGAUGUUGAACUUGAAACCAGUCGAUUUCUCGUUAUGCGUAAGAAGAACAUCGGCCAGUUGGGGUAUGUAGUGCCCUGUACGCAGUUGUUCGUGACGUCAAAUUAGUAAUUCUACGAAAGAGCACAGGAGCGCUAACACUAAUAAUAUUACAAAUUCUGAACCUGCGUAGCUCUCCCCGGUCAGAAACAAGGCCCUUGACUUGAGCUCGGGAAACUUCUCGUACCAUCUCAAAAGGAACACAUACAUAUCCUUAGCUGCCAUGAUCAAAUGACCCAAAUAAAAUCAUCAGUAAGAAGUUAUAGAAGAAACAACAACAACAACAACAACGACGACGACGACAACAAAGACAUUGAUUGGAGGCCAUUGAAUUCACCAGCUGACUCAUCUCCGCAAUUAUAAUCAGACGUUGUAUUCGAGUAAGACCAGCCGACUCCGGCAGGAGAUUCAACAAAGAGGAGGUUGGAGGCUAUAACGACAAAUAAAGAGCGUGAUUAGUGACAGAUCAUUACAUAAUGCCAUGCUUCUAUACGAAGAGUUAAGAGAUUGUGUGAUCUAUGUUUUGAUCGAAAUUCUUUGAGUUCAUAUUCACAGUAGCUUAAAACAAAAUGUAACCUUUGUUCCAUGACUUUUUGUUCAUUCGAAGGCCCCGACCAUCACCCUUCGGGUAAAAUGGUCCGAGUUCAGUGAAGGCCCCCCCUCCAAUUGAAGAGCAACCUGGACCUGAACAUCAUUUCAACAACAAACAAAUGUAGUUUGAGCGUUAAGUUGCAUUAAAUUCAUUACACGGAGAGGGUAAUCAAUUAACAGUCCACACAAAAUAACUAAGACAUAUGAGCGAAAGGAUUGGUCAAUUUUCAGGGUAGUACUAUCAACAGAGCUAAUUUUGACACUGACGAAUACGUUAGUUGAAUUUGGUCACUGUUGGUGACUAGAUUUGACUAUAUUCAAUAAAUUUUCCUAGCAAAUUAAGAUGGAUAUACUAGAACUCUGUAUAAGACACAAACUGAUUACAAGUUUUGGGAAAAUGAAAAAAGAAAAGAAAAAAAAAAAAACUUUUGUCGGUGGGAUAGUUUAAUUGCUUUGGUAGGUACGCAGGGGCAACAGCUUUUCACUGUGUCUGCUCCCAACACAACAAGCCAUUAAAGCUUUUUCUUUCUGAAGGAAAAAACUGCAAGCUAGCAGCGCAUAGUACGACGCCACAAAUAAAGAAGUAAGAGAUUAUAGGUCAAUGAAUUAAGAAGAAGACUCAAAAAGAACUCAUUCAAUGAACCAAUCUAUCAACACACUCAUUUUCAUUAUAUAAUAAUAAUAAUAAUAAUAAUAAUAAGAAGAAGAAGAAGAAGAAGAAGUUACGAUGGUAUCUAAUGCAACAGUGCCAGUACACAUUAGGCAAAAAACCGCAUCAUAAAAUGGCAAUACAACAGUAAUAAUAAUGAGGAGGGAAAAAGCAACCUCCAUUGAGCCAAAGGGUGAGAGGCUUGCUGUGAGGAUCUGCAGCAGCUUGAGCGAAGUAGUAGAAGAGGCUCCGCCCUGCAGCCGCAUCGACAUCAACAUAGCCUGCGUAUUGCCUGAACCCAACUCUGGGCUGGCCCGGUAACUCCCUCACGAGAUCCUCUUCUGGGUACCCUCCCACUCCGACGCCCAUCACCGCAAGCCCCACCAACACCAGACCCCACCAUUGCCCCAUUCCCACCAUCUCUCUCUCUCUCUCUCUCUCUCUCUCUCUUUCUUUCUCUCUCUCUCUCAAUUCCCCUCCUCCAACAUGAACAACAACAAUUAGUACCCAGAAAACGUUGUUUUAUAUAUAAUAAAGAGAGAGAGAGAGAGGGGAGGGGGGGAUCAAAUGCGGCUGGGAAAUACAAAUACAGAUACAAGUACAAUACAACAAUACAUACAAAAUGGGGGGAAAAAACACCAAAAAAAAAAAAAAACAAAGUAGUGAGAAUUCAGUUGAGGUUGGCACGUGAGAUUCGGCGGAAUGCGGUUUAAAGAGGGUCUGGGCUUCUUCUGGCUUUCGGGAAGAGGAGGAGAUAUUAUUAUGGGGGAAUUGCUGUUGGGAGAAGCACUUCUGCUGUAAUUGGGAGGAAAAUUUUGAACUUCCAAGGGAAGGGGGUGGGUGGGUGGGUGGGUGGGUUGCUUUUGGGGGAGGGACGGAGAGAGGAGGUGGUUUUCGCUUUGGGUGUGGGCACUCUGGAAUUUUGCCUGCACCGGGUGUACGAGUAUAUAUAUAUAUAUAUAUUUUGUGGCUAGGGCUGCUGUACUCUUAUGAAUAUAGACCCCUAUAUAUUCAUAAGUUUUGGAUCAUUCGAUGAAGAGAUGUGCGGUUAGGAUGAUGUUUCCGGUUAGGUUAAUAGUGGCCCUUUAGAGUUGAGUGGUUGCUUGGUUUAAUAGUAUGAUCUAAACGGAUGGAAAUAAUCAAAGAAGUAGAUUUAAAAGUCGAAAAUGUAUGAGUACAAAAGAACCUAUACUCAUAAGAGUAUAGUAGCCGGAUUUUAUAUUCUGUAUAUAUUUAAGAUUUAAUUACAGAAAACCUACUUAUAAAUACUUUCUCAAUAUUUCAAGUUGUUAUUUUUAGCUCCCCUUCGUCAGGGUUCCAUCAUUCUUCUUUAUUUCUUAUAAUUUAUACCGAAAAUACCUUUCAAAAUAAUUGAAAUAUAUUAAAAAUAUAUUUUUUUCUUACCGAAAAAGUAAGGAUAAUUUGAUCAUUUUGCCCUCUCGGUUGACGUCAUACCAUCUAAAAAUAUUUCUCAAACUUUAAGAAAGAAAAUAUAGAUUUUUUGAAAAUCAGAGAGAAAAAAUAAAAAAAAAAGAUAUUUAUAAGGAGAUUUUUUGUAAUUUAGUUUAUAUUUAACUAUAAAAUUAAAUUCUAAUUUAUCGGUUAUGUUAUGUGAUAUUUAUGAGAUAAAUGUAUAAAAGUUGAUUAUCGUGACUACCUAUUUUUUUCAAAUCUUUUGGUUCUUCUUUAUUUUUACAUCUAGAAUCUUUUAAGAUCGCGAUUAUUAUUUUAAAAAAUAUUAAGUGGAGGCGUAUGAAUACACCGGGUUCAGGAAAUAAGCAGAUACAUGAAUAUAAUAUUAUCAUAUAUUUGUAGGAAUAUUAUUAUUGGUGACAGAUAAGUUCAUUUUUACGUUGUCCACUAAUUAAAUUUGGCGAAUUGUAACGAAUAUUUGUUUGUUGCUUGUGGCUCUGAGUUUGUAACGUAUAUAUCUCUACAAAGGAGAUUAAACAAAUUUAAUAUAGAAUAUCCUUCAUUUACUAUUGCAGUUGUAAAAUACAUCUCUCUUUGAAAAAGUAAAAAGUACUUUAAUGCAAAAUCAAACUUAUCUCAUGACCAUUUCUUAUUUGUCUUUCAAACUAAUAUAUUUUAUAAAAAUUAUUAAAAUAAAACUUAUAAAUUUAUUUCAAUUCCUCUAUCUAUCGACCAUAAUAAUUUGGCUAAUCAACUUUAUUUUAUAGAAAAAAAAAUGUCUAUAAAGCAUGAAAUUAUAUAUAAAAGUAAAUAAAUUAUUUUUUAUUAUAGAUAUCUUAUCUCACCGUAAUUUCAAAUGAAAAAUAAAUGACUAUAAUUAUAGAAGUUUGAAUGUUUACAUGUGAGAACUGAGACUUUGUGAGGACAAAUAUACACGUGUAGAGCUAUUAUACUAUCGGAAGUAUAGAGAAUUUGAUAUUUUCGAUUUUUUGACCAUUAAAUCAAAAAUUAUAUGGUUGAAAUGAUUGCAGUAUCUUUAGGAUUGAGUAAUACCUCAUAAGAUUGAGUGGUCCUAAUAGGAUAAUACUAUUAAUCUAAAAGUUAAAAAUAAUUAAAGAGGUUGAUUUAAAGAAUAAAAAAAUCGAAAGUAUUAGAUUCUGUGUACUUCCGGUAACAUAGUAACUCUACUCAAUAUACAGUUAAUAUUAAAUUUUGGGCAGCUUUAUUUGCAUUUACAUGAAAAAAAUAGAAAAAGAAAAAAAAGACGUCCACCACCUUUUGCCACGUGGCAGGAUCCUAAAAUUCCUAGGGUAAGCCACUGGGAAGGGUUGGCUCUAUGUGCUUAGGGUUGUGUGCUUUGUUGAGCUAAUGAUGAUGUACAAAGGCUUUUUAGCCAUGGUGCUCUCAUGUGUGGAUUUUAUUUAAUAAUAUUAUACCAUCUCUCAUAAUUUAUGCCUCUAUUUUUAUCUUUUUUUUUUUUGGUUAUUUGCAUACACGUUUCUACAAACAUAGUGAAUUACAGAAAUAUCUCUGCAAAAUAAAAAUUCUAUAAGUUGUCCCUGCAAAAGUCAUAAGUAAUACAAAUAUGUCCCUGCUGUUAAAGUCUGUUAGAGAAAUUUAGUUAACUACAGUUAAACUACUUAGCCACGAUUAGUUAAUAGUGUGAAUUUACGGUUCUACCCUUCUUCCUCAUCCUUCUCUUUUUUUUCCCUCUUCUUCGUCGCCGACGAAGAGAUGCGGCGGCAAUGGCGGCGAACCCUCUCCCUCUUCCUCUUCCCCCUUCUUCUUCCUCUCCCUCUUCCUCUUUCCUCUUCCUCUUCCCCUUUCUUUUUCCUCUCCCUCUUCCUCUUCUCUCUUCUUCGUCGCCGGCGAGGGAGAAGAUGCGGCGGCGGCGGCGGCGGCGGCGCUUCUUCCUCUUCCUCUUCCUCUCUCUCUUUCUUUUCUCCCUUUUUCUUCCUCUCCCUCUUUCUCUUCCCUUUUCUUCGUUGCCGGCGAGGGAGGAGAUGCGGCGGCGGCAAACCCUCUCUCUCUUCCUCUUCCCUUUUCCUCUCCUUCUUCCUCUUCCCACUUCUUCUUCCUCUCCUUCUUUCUCUUCCCUCCUCUUCGUCGCUAGCGAACCCAACCCCGCGUCGCCGCCGUUGUCCGCUCCAAUGGCCCGAAGAGGAAGAGAAAGAGAAGGGGAAGAGGAUAUUUUUGGAGGAAUAUAUUUGUGAGGGCAAAACAGUUAUUUCACAAGAAAACUNAUACACGUUUUUAUAAAUAUAAUGAAUUACAAAAAUAUUCCUGCAAAAUAAAAAUUUUAUAAAUUGUCUCUACAAAAAUCAUAAGUUAUAUAGAUAUGUCCCUAUUGUUAAAGUCUGUUAGAGAAAUUUAGUUAACCACAGUUAAACUACUUAACCACGAUUAGUUAAUAGUAUGAAUUUACGGUUCUACCAUUCUUCCUCAUCCUUCUCUUCUUUUUCCUUCUUCUUCGUCGCCGGCGAAGAGAUGCGGCGGCGACGAACCCUCUACUUCUUCCUCUUCCUCUUCUCCCUUCUUUUUUCUCUCCCUCUUCCUCUUCCCCCUUCUUCUUCCUCUCCCUCUUCCUCUUUCCUCUUCCCCUUUCUUCUUCCUCUUCCUCUUUCUCUUCCCUCUUCUUCGUCGCCGGCGAGGGAGAAGAUNUUUCUCUUCCCUUUUCUUCGUUGCCGGCGAGGGAGGAGAUGCGGCGGCGGCAAACCCUCUCUCUCUUCCUCUUCCCUUUUCCUCUCCUUCUUCCUCUUCCCACUUCUUCUUCCUCUCCUUCUUUCUCUUCCCUCCUCUUCGUCGCUAGCGAACCCAACCCCGCGUCGCCGCCGUUGUCCGCUCCAAUGGCCCGAAGAGGAAGAGAAAGAGAAGGGGAAGAGGAUAUUUUUGGAGGAAUAUAUUUGUGAGGGCAAAACAGUUAUUUCACAAGAAAACUGUUAAAAAAUAAACAGUUCACUAACGGAUUUUAAUCAGAUGGACAUAUCUGCAUAACUUAGGAUUUUUGCAUAGACAACUUAUGGAAUUUUUAUUUUGCAGGGAUAUUUCUACAAUUCACUAUAUUUGCAGGGACGUGUAUGCAAAUAACCUUUUUUUUUUUUGCUUUUUAGGCCAUGGCCAUUGGUCUCUCUGAGCAUCUUCUAAUAGUAGUUUCUAGAUACUCUUAAUGAGUUUACUGGAGAAAUCAAUGAACUCAUGAUGAGAAACAUAAUUUAUAAAGAUUUGAUUUGAUAAGGAUAAAUAAUAUUUAGUAAAUCUAAUCAAAUUUAAUAAAUAGAGAUUAACAAUUUUUUUUUGAAGUAAUUGAUCUAUUAUGUAAAACAGUACCAUAAAGAGUACAAACUUUCGUAUGUGCAUUUUGAAAAAAUAAAUAUUUCGGAGUAAACUCAAGUUUACUGGCUAUCAACUUUAUUGGGUGGGUUUAAGCAUUUAAUUAGGAUUGCUUUAUUUUAUUUUUUUUAGAUAAACUUCAGUGGAUUCACUUUUUUUUUUUACUUUAGUAUCAUAUAAUUUAAAAUGUAUCAAUUUAUGACACUGUAAUUUUAUUUUUUCUUUUAGUUAAAAUAAUAAAAAAAAAUUAUAUGAUACAAAAGUAAUAUAUUUUAAACCGCAUGUUACUAAAGUACGAAAAUUGUGAAAUCUUUGGAGUGGUAUUUGAAGGUUUUUUUUUUUUUUUUAAUCAAAAGUUGAUUUGGUAGUUUGGAUUAAAAAUUAAGGUGGCGUGAAAUAUUGGGCAUGGGUGGUCCACAGCUCACAUGGUGGAGCAGUUCUAGGCAUUAAUUUCUGUGGGGUUGGGGACCAGCAGGCGGUGGGCUGGCUGGUGGUGCAUGCAAAGGCUAGACUGUACUUGGCCUGGCAGUGGGCCCCACUUUGGCACACAAUUUGAUGCUUUUGAUUAAGCAGCGUUAUACUAAUCAAGGAUUAUUACAUUUUACACCUAGCUUAUAGAAAUUUAUGUUCACAAUUAAUUGUUUGUCACACAUAUGCAAUGCAAUGUAUUUAUGAGCCGUUUGGUUGGAGAUAAAUGCAUCAAUCACAUGAGUAGGGCUAGAAUACUUUUAUAAGUAUCACCCAAGUGAUAGUUGUGUGUUUUUAGCCCUUGGAUGGCGAGAUAUGAGGUUGAGAUGAUGGUGGUAGGUGGUGGUAGGUGAUGGUAGGUGGAAUAGUGUUUGAUCCAAGGGCUAUUUGUAAUCAAAAAGUAGAUCCAAUGGCUAAAAACGUGAUAGCAACAUCGGGAUGAUACUUGUAAAAGUAUCCUAAAUCAACUCUCAAUCACAUAUCCAUCCUGUUGUUUGCUGGGUGUUGGAGAGAGGGAUGUAAUUGUAAAUAAUUUUGUUUAAUUGCAAGUAGUUGAGAAAAUAUAUUUUUAAAAUUUGAUUAUUUUAUAUAUAUAUAUAUAUAUGGUGAAGAGAUUAUCUUUAAUGUAAAAAAUGUAUUUUAUAUGUAAAAGUAAUUAGGGAGAUAAGUUUAUCUUCUUUUAAAAAAAUUUUACAAAUUGUUGCAGUUGAAAUUACAGCCAGUUUAGACGUAANGAAUGGGAUGGGAUGUGCAACACUAGUGAGUUGUGUUGAUGAAGGAUCGAUGUAGCCUCUUUGUAAUGGGAUUCUUUUUCUUCUUUUUUUUUUUUCGGGAUCUUGCUGCCUCACUUUUUGUAGUUAAAUUUAUUUGCUGUGAAUGAAGCAAAUAAUAACGUGUUGUCUUAGAAAACAAUUACAUCCACCAAACAAAUCUUUAAUAGAUCAGCGUUGAUUGUUCAUGCCAUGUAUCUUUUCGUAAUAAAAAUAGGUUUUUUUAGGUGUAACCUAGCUAGGUUAAUCUCAUGAGAUGAGAACAUAACUUUAAAAAAAAAACUAUCAAAAUUUUACACUAUCGAGGAAUAGUUGUAUAACUAUACAUAACUUCUCCCUAGCUUUUUAUUUCAGACUUAUUAAUAUAAUCUUAGUUUGUUCAGAUACAAAGAGUCAAAAAUAAUAAUAGCAAGAAUAAUUUUCUCCUACAUUACCUGGAUGAAUAAAAGAGUAAAAAAAAUAUAAAGAAAAAAAAUAUUUCUUUCUCCUUUCCCUUCGCAUUUAUAUAAAAAUGAUGCAUAGAUUAAUCAAUAUAUGCAUACAUACCUUUUUAUGCAAAUUGAUUAUGCAAAUUGAGAUAUUUAAUAAAUGAGAAAUGGAAUCUCUGAAAGGUUUGCUAUUGAAAUCUUUAUAAAAAAAUCCAUGGCUUUUGCAUUGUCUCUUUUAUUAUCCGUGCUUCCAUGUGGUCAAUGAAAAAAGUUAAGCUCAAUGUCUUUUUUGAUUUCUCAUGAGAUGUUUAUUGCGAGUUGGACCCAGGCAACACAUCUUUUAACAUUUAAUCUGCAACUUUUGUCCUUCUUUUUUCUUUUUCUUUUUUUAACUCCGACGAAUUAGGGGUUCUUUAGUAUAAUUAGCAAAUAUAAAAGUGUCAACUGUAUUAUUGCAUGCUUACAAAGUGAUAAUAUACUCAAUUGUGGAAGUUCUUAUAUAGCUUGUUUGGUUUCGCGUGUUUUUUUUUUUUUUUUUUUUUUUUUUUUUUUUUUUUUUUUUUUUUUUUUGAGAGAGAUAGGUAGCACUGUUAUGUUGUUGAUACCUUUCUAUUUGCAAUCUAUGAUUGAAUACUGUUUCUGGUCGGAACCACUUGUAUUGUUUUGAUUGCGACGCCUAGGACGUAUAGGGAAAACUCUAUCCGUUCGACGGUCUGUCGGCGUGCCCGAACCCGACCAAAUAGGCGGGGCGCAGGGCGUGACAAGCACGCUUUCCACUUCGUUUAUUUCAUUUAGAAAUAAACUUAGCUGUAAAUGUGAAUCAACUAGAAUUCGAACUUGGGUCUCCGGUAUCAACCACCAAGACCUUUGCCACUUGCUCUGGGGACGGUCGGUAGCUUGUUUGGUUUCUGUCAGCGUUUUCUUUAAUCUCUAGUAAUAGUCACGCUCAGUAAAAUAUUUAGUAAGUAAAAGAGAUUAUGAAACUUCUCUUUAUGUGGCAAAAAAUAUGUGUAGAAAUGAAUGUGAGGCUUAAAACUAGAAGUGCAAUUGGAACUUUUUAGUUCCCUACAAUCAAUAGUGCUACCAUAGGUUGCUGGUCAGAAGGAGUUUUCAAAAUAAUAUUUGUUCUAAAAGUAUUAUUUAAACAGCUUUUUUCUCCGAAUCACAUAAUACUCUACAAUAUUAGUGCUAAACAGAUGCUUAAGACCUCUUGGCCCUGCUACAGGAUAUAGCGCUAGCUUUUUGUAUACAGCCCGUGUAAUGAAUUUACUAUAAAAAAAACUGUACCAUGUAUUUAUGAUUUAAAAAGGCAUAUUCCUUUGCUGUAGUUCUACAAGGAAGCAUAAAUUACAACCAAAUCAAAACAAAAAAGCUUAGUACAUUGCAUAGGGGAGAACUAGACAUCCUAGUAUGUUGGAAUAUGAGACUGCUUUGGACCUUGUGAGGGACAAUGUGCUCAGAGAAGCUCAGCUCUAUCCAUUGAGACAGCUGGAAUUUUUAAAGUAAUAUGGAAAUCAAAACUACUCAAAAUUUCAUAUUAGUUCAUAUCAAGAGAUACUACUACAUAACAAAGAGUCUGACUACGAUACUUCUAAAAGCACAAAGUACUUAGUGUUUAUAAGUUUUCCACCGUUAGGUCUAUUUUUUUUUUUGAGAAUUUUCAACCGUUAAAUUAUACUAUUCAACCAACCACCCAUUCAACCCUACAGGUACGUAUAUCACCAAAAAACUAAAGUUUUGUAGGAAUAACUGAUUGAUUACAAACUAUCCACACUGGCACAUCAUGCAAACAUUGGUGGCAUCAGAAUAAAUUAAAGGAAAAAAACACACAUACAUUAAUUAUUUAUUUAUAUCGCAUGGUUCCAAAAUCCAAGCACCUGUACAGGGUAGGGUUGCAUGGGGAGGAACAAUUUUGGAGAAGUACACCAAAUUAGCCUAUUUGUAUCUUUUCUAGGAAACCUACACCAAUUAAUGCCCAUGCUAUCUCCUUUAACCUUAUUUUUGCUAUUUUUAGAUGUUGGUUCCACUCUAUAUACAUUGUUAAAGAAAAGAAUAUACCUAUCAUAACUUUAAGUUCUAAUUACAAGAGUGAUUUCUAGUAAAAUAUUUCUAUUCAUUCAAAAAUAAAUAUUUUAUCAAAAGUUGGAAAAUACCAUUACAUUUUGAAAAAAUAUACUUGAAUCGGACUUAUUCCUAAGAUUGAUAACUUUUAAAUUUUUAUUAGGACUAUUAUUAACUUUUUCUAAAGUGAGAAAUAUUAAUGGAAUGGUGCAUAUAUAUAUACCACUUCUAUCUUUUUGUUCUGCUUUAAAAAAUGAAGGGAAAUUUUACUCAUUUGAUUUUGAAACAUAUUUAAAUUUUUUCCAAAACUAAAAGCAAAAUUUAAAAUACUUCAAGUUAAUUUUACUGUGAGAUAUAAAGUUCACAUUCCUUUGUGCCAAUUUUGAUUGUUGCUCCCUCACGCUAAAGCCCAGCCCAAUUCAUUAACUUGUUUGAGUGGGUUAAUUGGGCUCGGCCCAGUUAGUGCCUUGAGAGCGAGGGGUAUUUCCGUCAUUUGCACUUAGGGUUUCUUCGCAAUAUAUUCAUCGAUCCACGCCGCACUCUUUCGAUCGCCAUUAUCGUCUCCGAUUCGAAAUUUUUGGUCUUUUGAAAUCUCUCUCUCUCUCUCUCUCUCUCUCUCUCUUCGGAUUCUUCAAAGAGGUGAGGAUUUAGGGUUAGGGUUUUAGGAUUUGGGGUUUUGUGAAUCUGGGAUUUGGCUUUGUGGAUCGGCUAUGAUGAGAAAGUAUUAUCAGUCAUGCACCACUCUGAUGCUUUCUAUGUGCUGAUAACAACUCUACCCAUGUUUCUCUGAGCCAUUUUCCGAAUUGGAUCUCUUCUUCUUUUUUUUUUUUUCCUUUUCUUUUUUUUUUCUGGGAUUAAAAAAAACGCAUUUUUCUAGCGCAUUUUUUUUUCUCUGAUUCUUAUUAUAAUUUUUAAAUGCUAUUAUUCGUUAUUUUUUCUUAAAAUUAGAUAUAAUAGAAAAAAAAAAAAGUCGCAUAGAUAGUUUUAUGGGUGGAGGACCAUAUGAUGCGGGCCUAAGUAAUGUGGCCCAACCAUGAUGCGGACCGAACUGCGACCUAUGCGCAUUGCGGAAUCCUUUUUUAAUAUCUGAUGGUUCUCUUCUCCCUUUCUAUUAUUUUGGCGGAUUUGUUUUGAAUUUGAUUUUAUUUACUGUUGAUUCUUAUCAAUAGUUUCAAAAAUGAUUCUAUGUGAAAUACCUUAUCUAAAGUUUUUUAUCAAUUUUUUUUCGGCAUUUGUUUGAGCUCAACUCAAAAAAUCCUUUUUGAAAAUGUUUACUCAUUUUUCUAAUCCUUUUUAAAAAGUUGCCAUUUUAAGUCCUCAGAUAAGAAGAGUAAUUAAGAGGAAAUUGCAAUCCAUAUCAGGUCUAAAUCUGACAUCCUUUAGAUUCCAGGACUUAAAAAAAUUUCUAUUACAUUUUUAGGGGAAAAAAUGAUGAGGCAACUUAAAAAAUCAUAAUUAUGCAGAUGCUAGAGUAUGAGCUUUUCACAUCUAGUAUGAAUUUACAAUUAGCAUUGAUCUGAUGAAAAUGCGAUUGAUGAUUAAGGAAAUAUAAAAAAGGUAUACCUCUUCACAUCCGAGAAUUUACAGUUUAGCCAAAAAAAAAAUAGUUUAGUUUUUUUUUUUUUUUUUGAGAAUAAGAUAGAUAGAUUGUUAAUCUUUACAUAUAAAAAUGUAUAGAUAGUAUUUGCUCUAUUAAAAAGAUAAUUUGGAUAGCAUGAAAUUAACAAACCUAACAUUGGUAAAACUCGUAUGAUCAAACUUCUAGUAAGCUUAAAAUUACAUACAAUAAUCGAGCAAUGAGAUGGCAAAAAUUAGGUUAGGCCAAAAACAAAUUCAUUUAAAGGCAAAAAAAAAGGGAAACUCAGAGACCACAACUUAAAUUUUCAAGUUCAAAAAACCAGCUAUACAUUUAACCCAUCUCAUUGUUAGUCACACUAAACACCCCGUAGAGCAAUGAAAAAGGUGAAUUUUCUUUUACCAUUUCUUUACUGGAAAAAAACAAAACAAAACAAAAAAGAUUUUGAUUGCUUCUCUAAGCAAACUAGUAAUCAGCGGCUCAGCGAAUGCUAAGAAGCGCUUCACCAAAUUUGUUGAAUUUACACUGCUGAUGAGAAAUGAUAAGUUGGUAGCAAUUCAUGAUAGUAUUUGUUCCAGUUUGAUGGAGAACCGUGUCAGCAUCAAUUUGUUUAGCGGAGUCCAACUGAAGCCUGCGAGUCGCCGAGCUGCUACUGCAAAAGUCUCCGCAAAAGUCUAAAUCAUUGGGAGAGAGGAAAUGGACAGCAAUUUCUCUUCUGAGACAAUUGUACGAGGAGACGUCAAGGCAUGCAACAAAAGCACCAAACUUAUGCAGUAUCUAAUUAAUACAAACACUCUGGAUAUAAUUUAGUAAAAUACAACAUAAGAGAUUUUAGAUGUACGUCAUAGUUACCCUGGUAUUGCAGUUUAGAGUGAUCCAGUCAUGAAAUUUGUACAAUCUCUUUGUUGCUGCAAAGAAAUAAGAACAUGAGCUGUGCGUCUUACAACAACAGAAAGAACACACAAAAAGAAAAGAUUAUAGGUCCUAUAUGGCCGGAGUAAAUGAAAUAUCCCAGACAAGUAAAGAUCAGUUAAAUGGAUAUCCCUUAUUCUCCAACUGUUCUAUACACAAUUUUCAGUCGAUUCAAUUCCAGUUACUAUCCUGCCUGAAUGAAAAAAGAUGUAAAGCUCAUAGUUAAUAAUCUACAAAGACUUAGCUAGGUAUGUCCGUUUGUAGUGUGAGAACAAGAUCAAAAUUUAACCUAGUAAAUAACUUGACACUAAAACUGGUUCGACAGUUUCACUGACUCGCAUUAGUUCACCACAUGAGAAAGGAACCCAUGAGCAUAUUAACGAAAGCAAGAAACAGGCAUUGCAUAUAGCAGGCAAAGAAUCAUCUGAAAAGGAGAUUAAAAUUUUAUUGAACCCCUACCUUCGAAAUGAAUUCAUUUCCUGGUUGAAGCUUUCGAAGUCCUUCAAAUCAAACCAGUCUUCAUUGAGCUGAAGAUGAAAGCAAUUGAGAGGCAUUGAAAAGAGAAUAACGAAUAAACUAAAGCAGCAAAAGGGGGUAACAACAUAACAACUUACGAAAUAAGGGUAUUCCUCUUGUUUGAAUGUCUCUGGAGCGUUCUGCAGAAAACGGUAUAUGAAAUAAAGAACAAAUGCCCCACACUCCUCGCCAUUUUUCUGUUGUGGUACCUGCAAAGAACUUAUUCGCUUGGUUGCUUUCCAGGACGAAGAGGACACUCAAAAAUCAGAAAAGAGAGAAUAGUCACCUUGGGAAUUAAAAGAGGAAUUUUAGAUAUAAACCAUUUAGUUUCUUUCCUCCCUUCAAAUUUAUAAAUGUCAAGUAUGAACCUGGAAUAGAGGAAAAGAAAAAGGAAGUAAGAAACAUUAAAAAAAAAAAAAAAAAAAAAAAAAAAAAAAAAAAAAAAAAAAAAAAAAAAAAAAAAAAACAGUCUCUAGCUUCCACAGACUCUAGAUGCUAGAUAAAAUAACAAAGCAAAGGCCACUAGAUGAUACGUGCAGCCAUGUGACAACGAUAAAUAUAGUUGCUCAUACAAAUUGGAGGCAUAAGUUCCAAAAAACCAUAAUAACUAUCUGGUGCCUCUAAGAUAUUUGGCAUCAUAAUGACCAUAAGUCACAGAAAUUCCCAUACUAUCAGGAGUCCGUUAACUUACAAUUACUGUUGAUUAUGGCGCCUAAAAAAGGGCAAACAAUGAUAAAUAUUAAAAUAAAAAGAAGCGCCAUAAGUAAAUAUAAUCAGACCUUCUGAUUGCCGGUUCCAACCUCUUUGGCCCCGUUGUAUGCAGUGAAUCUAAUAGCAGCAUGCAUGGCUCUGCUGCUUUUGAGCGGCCUUUUCCCCCAAAAUGACACAAUAUAAGGAGGCUCCAGUGUUGCCUAAUAUUAUCACAAGUAAAUAAAGCUUCCAAGUUUACGUGAAAGAAUACGAUAUUUCGGUGAAAGUAAAACCUACCAACAGACUAUGGGAACAAAAACAUAUUUCCUUGAAAAUAUUUGUUUACUCUUGAUCCAACUAAGGAUCUUCGGCUCUGCCACUCCAUCCUUGUACAAAGAAAACCAUAAACAAUCAAGAUACACGCAAGAGUGCCUCUUCUCUUCCGAAAUCCUGCUCCAUAAAUCCCUAGACGAAAAAGAAAAAAAAAUAAUACUCUCUUACAAAAGCAGCCGGAGAGAAGCGAUACUUGAAAUUAAUAAGUGUGGAACUUACUCCAGGUAAGCUUCGAACAGGUUGGUGUCUACCUUUGUUUGAUUGCUGGAUCUAUCGACUCGGUUAUUUCUAAGUCGUUUUGCACGUCUAUACUGAGGAAGCGAAUCAUAGAAAGAAGGCAAGGUGUUUUCAGAUGUCCUCGACAUCUUUGCAGCUUGCCUUGUUAUGAUUCUAGUACUUCUGAGGUUCCAUACUAGAAACAAUGAAAAAUGGACACAUCAGGCUAUGGAAUAUAUAUGUUUUUACAGCGCCUAUAUAUAUACAAUAAUUUGCUAAAAUCAAUCUAGAUUUGGGAAUCUAUGAUUAUGUACCACUAAGAUUAUGUCCCAUAAGCACAUAGCCCUUAUAUUACAAUACUUCUAUGAGGAUUAAAGCAACAAAGAUUCUGGUGAUGGAAUAUGUACCAGUAAGAGAGAGAGAUAUCCAUAAGACAAUAAUCAUUGGUUAUCACAAAUGGUUAAAUCUAUGGCUAUAUCCCGAAAUUACUUGAAAAAAAGGACAUUUCCUGCUUUUAUAGCUUUAUUUUCAAGGCUUGAGAUUUAUUUACAUUGCUCAGUUAAUUAUCUAAGACCAUUAGCACUAAAAAAUGGCCUCAUCCCAAUACAAACAACAAUAAAUUAGAUAAUCUGCGAUCUAAAUUAGGGCACAAUGCAAUCACUAAUUCUCAAGAGAUUAAAGGCCACAAAAUAACAUCUAGAAUAUAACAUUUAAUCCAAUAAAAGCGGAAAAAUUAACAAAAAUAAGAGAUUAAGGAACAGUUCACAGAUUAAAAGCACGCGAUCUAAACUAAAUUAUUCGAAAAUUUCUACAUCCAGUAACAAACCCUAAGGGCAAAAUUUGCAGCGCAACAAGAAGAGCAUCUUAUAACAAACAUUUGAUCAGAGAUAGUAAAAAAUUACCCAAAAAUAAGGGGGAAAAAAAAACCCUAAAUCGUGAUCAAAUCCAUGGAAACAAGUGAAAAAAAGAUCCUCUAUCAAAGGAUCGCGAUAGGAAAAAAGAAAGAGAAAGAGAGAGAGAGAGAGAACGGGAUCUAAGCACAAUUUACCCCGAUUUUUUUCGCGAAACGGAGUCAUCCGAGCCGCUCCAGGGGCUCUCGGGGAAAUCGCUGUUCGAGCUUUUUGAGCAACAACGCAACGGAGAGAAGCUAGAAGAGAGUACGAAGCUAAACUCGGUGCUUUGUUUCGAACAGCGCACAUCAGAGACGUUGCUUUAGUCGAGCGGAGAUCACGAGGCUUUCGAGAUCAAUCGGACGGUGGUGGUGAAUGCAGGUGGACGAGGAAUAUGUACGACGCGGCACUGAGCGGAUCCCGUCGACUCCGACAAGCGGCGAGCUUUGUUCUGGUGACUUGCGUGCACCGGGUGCACCACAUAUGUUGAAUAAGACACUAGUUCAAAUUAUAAAAGAGUAUGGAGUAAUGAAAAAGAGAAAGUCGAUUUAGCUAUUGAUCGAUCUCUCUAAAAAUAAGAUAUUUUUUUUAUGAAAUUCGCAAAAUUCUAUAGUGUUACAAAAACUUUCAAAUGCAUAAUUUUAUCAUUCUGAAUAGUGUUAUUCUGAAUUGUGAGAAGCUCUAAUACCAUUAAAAAGAAAAACUGAGAAAUAACUUCCGAAGUUUCAAACAUGAACUUUAAGCUUAAGUUGAUAGAGAGUAUUUUUUUAAUAGAAUCCUAUCAAUUAACUCAGUUUGCAGUAAAAAAUGGAAUUUUUAAUUUACAAAUUUUUUUUUGAACGCUCGAGAAAUAUAUUGAUUAAAGUCUAUGAUAACCCAAUGAACAACAAGCCAUUACGACCGACCGUCUCUAAAGCAAGUGGCAAAAAAUUUGGUGGUUGAUACUCGAGAUUCAAGUUCGAAUUCUAGUUGAUUCAUAUUUCUAGCUAAGUUUAUUUCUGAAUGAAAUAAACGAAGCGAAUAGCGUGCUAUACCUAUCUCUAAAAAAAAAAAAAAAAAAAAGCCAUAAGGAGAAGGACUCCUUUGACUUUAUUUUAUUUUAUUUUCUAAUUGACACCUCUAAAUUUGAUUUUAACUCAACAGUACUGUUGAUUAGGUAAAGUUCUUAUUCAAUUUCUCAUAAUAGUGUGGAUGGAAACUGCUGUACCUGGAAUUUUUUAUUAGGGUAGAGGACAUAGGCAAUUCAUUUUUAAAAAAUAGUUAUUAAUUAUAAUAUUAAAAAAAUAAAAAAGACAUAAUUCACAUAAGAAUAAAGAAACAAAUAUUCCAAAAUUAAUUAUGAGAAGACUAAUAUUUAUUUUUAAAUCUGUAUAUUUAUUAGUAAAUAAAUUUUUAACUUAUAAGCUUUCAAGGCUAAAAUUAAAGAAUAAAAUACAAAAUAAAAGUUAUAAGAAGAAGCAAUCAUUCAAAAAAUCCCGAUCAGGUGUCACUUGGAAUAGCAUCGAAACGUCUCCAUAUUUAGGCCCAUCAAGUUUCAAUUGGAAAGGUAAGAUAUUUUGAAAAGCUGUAAUCCCUAACGAAAAAAUUUAGAAAAAUAAAAAAACAAAUUGUUAUGAGAACCGGCCAAAAUUCGGCCAAAAAGAAGGAUGGACAAGCGUAAGGAAAAGAAAAACUAUUGUGGGAUUAGGACGUUUUGUGAAGUACUAAAUUGAUUAGGCUGCUUUUGACUCGGAACUAAAUUUUGGAGAAUAAUUUUUAUCAUUUUUGAGAACAGAGAACACUCCCAUAUAAACUAAAAUAAGUUAUAAAUUAUAUCUGGAUGUUAUUUGUCUGUUUCUAGAGAAUAUUUUUGAUAGUGUUUGAAUGUUAAUGCUGGAAUAAAUUAAUUUACUAAUUAAGUAUAUUUGUACAUUUUUUUGAAAUUAUUAAUUUAGUAGUAUUCAAUUUAAAUAUUUUUUUUUUCGAAGCUAAUUUAAAAUACAGAUAUCUAAAAUAAAAUAGCACUUAUUAAAUUAAAUUAAUCAUUCAAUCGAUUUCUUUUAAUUUACUAAAUUAAAUAUUAAUAGGUCCAAAUAGUGUAGCACUUAUAAAUUUUUUUAAAAAAAUCUCCAAAAAAAAUCUCCUUAGCAUAUCCCGAUGAGGAAGGGUUAAAGGACAAAAUGAAAAACUAACAGAGCACCCCAAAUUGUUCCUCCUAAUUCUGCAACAACUCGUGAAGUUUGGAACAACAAAUUUUUCUUUUUUUUUUUCUGUUUAGAUAUUGAUUCAGGGAUAUGCCACCUUAUUCUGAGAUAUUUUGUCUUGCUCUGAAAUAUCCCUCCAAGGAAAGGCAGCCUUAGGAACUAAUAUUUUAUCAAUAUUUCGGGCAAUUGAUUGGUACUAAUUGAAAAUACUCUUAUAUAUAUUGUCCCUCCAAUAAAAAUGUGCAUCACGUUGGUAUAUAUAUAUAUUUAUAUAUAGUAGGGCUAGAAUACUUGUAAAAGUAUCAUGGGGGUGAUACUUGUGUGUUUUUAGCUUUUGGAUGGAGAGAUGUGAGGUUGAGAUGAUGGUGGUAGGUGGUGGUAGGUGGAAUAGUGUUUAAUCCAAGGGCUAUUAAUAAUCAAAAAGUAGAUCCAAUGACUUAAAACCUAAUAGCACCAUGAUGGUGAUACUUGUAAAAGUAUCAUAGCUCAACUCUCUCUCUCUCUCUCUCUCUCUCUCUCUCUCUCUCUCUCUAUAUAUAUAUACUUUAGCACUUCAAUUAUUGACCAAUUUUUUCAACACUUCAAUUAUUGACCAAAAUUAUUUUUUUUUGAGAGGAAGAUAGCACGCUACCUGCUUUAUUCAGUAAGAAAAUAAAUUAAGCUACAUGGGUGAGACAACAGGGCCUCGAUGUAUGGCGAGGAAAAAAAAAAAAAAAAAAACAACAACAACAACAACAACUAAACUACUUGUUUAAGUUACUUAGACUAAGAUUCAUUCACAGGUCCGUCAAUUGUUUAAUCUUGAAAAUACCGACUGUUGGGUCAGUCUGACUUGUUCGGAAGAUCGUUCUAUUUCUGAAUUCCCAAAUGACACAUCAGCAGGCUAUCAGUCCUAUAAGGCAAGUUGAGGUCGAUAUUGUUCUUUUUCUGCCUGCCCAUUUAUUCCAUACGGAACACACGUCAUCUCCCAGAUCUCCCAAUUGGAUACUUUCUUGGGUCAUAGCCAUAAGAAAUCUCGUCACUAUACAUUGUGUGAAUAGGUGGUCGACUGUUUCUUCUCCCAAUCCGCACAGCGCGCAUUUCGUAUUGCCGGUCCUUAUUGACCAAAAUUAUUGAAAAAAAAUUCGUCAAAUUUUCCAAAAAAUUUAUUAACCUUAAUAAAUUUUAAUUUUUUAUAAUAAAUAAAAUAAUUAACGAUUGAUAGCUAAUAUAAUAAUUAAAUUAUAUUAUUAUAUCCAAAUAAAAUAAGUAGAAUAAUAAAAAUAAAAAAAAUAAAAGAAAUGUCGAAUAAAUAUAUAUUAUAUAUAUAUAAACUUGAGAAGCCUAUUCCAAAACGACACGUAAUUGUUGGCUCUCUUUAUAUUUCCUUAUAAAAUAGAAGGAAAGCUAAGUUAACGAAUACACACACCUACCCACAAAAAAAAAAAAAAAAAAAAAAAACCACACACACCAUUAAUGGAGGAAACACAGAGCAAGAGAGGCAAAGAGAGAUGGUCGCUCCACGGAAUGACCGCUCUGGUCACCGGAGGUACCAAAGGAAUUGGGUAACACUUCAUCUCCACUUUUUUUUUUUUUUUCCUCCUCAUUUUGUAUUAACGGAACUAUUUUUACUAUUUAUUUUAUAAAAAUAUAUUCUAUUAUUUUAUAAUUAGAAAAAUAAUGUGCGUGUAUGCACGUACGUGUGUAGCCAUGCGGUGGUAGAGGAGCUGCUGAGCUUCGGGGCGGCGGUGCACACGUGUGCACGGAACGAGGCGGAGCUGCGGUCGUGCGUGGAGCGGUGGAGGGGUAUGGGUUACCCGCAAGUGACCGGAUCCGUCUGCGAUGUAUCGUCGCGGGAGCAGCGCGAGCAGCUCAUGAACGAGGUGGCCUCCCUCUUCGCCGGAAAACUCAACAUACUCGUUAGUCUCGUGUUUUUUUUUUUUUUUGGUACUCUUUUACCUUUUUGUGUAGCCAUCUAAUUAAGGAGUUCACAUCAUUCUAAUUCCAUAUUUCUCAAUCUAAAAACUAAAAAAUUAAUAGCACAAAUAGCUUGAUACUAUUGAUAGUAUUCCAGUCUAAUUCCUAAUUAAAUACUAUAAAUAUUUAGAAUUGAAUGUGUUGUUCUCCGUUGAGUCCGUUCAAUCCACAUGUAAUAGAUUACAGGUUUUUCGGGUUUGAUUUUUCUUUUUUUUCAUAGAAAGAAUGAAAAAUUAGGAUAAUUAUCAAUAUACCCUUCAUGAAUUUCUGGCUUUUGUAGUUAUCCCCAAAAAAAUACUACAUGCAAAUCAUUUUUUUUUUAAUUUAAAGUUUUUUAAAUAAACUUUAAACUAGGGGUAUAUUAGAAAAGUGGACAAACUUUUGAGAAAGUUAUAUGUAAAAUAAGGAGAGUUUUUGCUUAUAUAUUCGUUAUUGCUAUUUAAAAUUUUGAAAUUUAUUCUUUUAUUCUCAAAAUAUUAUUCUAAAACUCUAAAUUUCAUUAGUUAAUCCCAAAGUUUUAGGAAUCUUUGAUUUUUUUUUAAAAAAUAAUAAAAAUAUGUUAGUCAGCAAUAAUAUAAAACUAGUGUUGAACCCGCGCUUUGCUGCGAAUAAUUUUGACGCUAAUUCGAAAGUAUAAUUAUAAAAAAAAAAAAAGAAGAAGAGAACCAAGAAAAACUAAAAGAGAAUGACAACAAAAUAUGUGAUCAUCAACUAUACAAAUAUAUAUUUAGAGUGCAUGAUUACUAAGCAUAAAGAUAUAUUGGUUAAAUAUAAUUUAGAGAACAUAUAAAAAUAAGAAGGAAUUCUAAAAAUUGACACAAACUUAAGCAAUACAACAACCACUCUUCAUCCCGUCAGCACGUCUUCACGGUGGCGCAAAAUGAACAGUAUAAACUUUCAGAGAUCCAACAAAAAUAAAAAUAUAAAGCUCAGUGUAGAAAUCAAUGUGAAAGAAAGGUGAGAUAGAAGAGACUAUUAAGGUGCAAGCUGAGGUUAAGUCUUCUCAUACGCAUAUGUGCACCUUCACCUUUUUAACCUCUAUAUAUGGAAAAGGUUUUGGUCCAAAAGAAUAUAUUGGUCAAGAUAUUGACCCUUUCCAAUGUUGGUCCUCUUUCCAAUGUUGGUCCUUUUUCCAAUAUUGGACCAAAUCUGGGUAAAAUUUUUUUGCGUGAAAAAAAGAGCCACAUGUGAAGGCUUUAGGCAGAAGAAAGAAAAUAAAUGAUGUGGAGGCAUAAAUUUCUUUCACGUCUAUUGUCACAACUAUCAAAUUAUGUAUUUGUAUGAAUAAUUUUAAAAUAUAUAUUAUAUAUUAUUUCUUAAAAUAAAAGGUAGUAAAGGUAGCCCAUUAUUGACAUGGUGGUAUCCCUCCAGACGAAAGUUUUUUUUUUUUUUUUUGAUCAUUAUUAUUUUUUGAACAGGGUGAUAUUAUCUGUAGGUCUCUAAUAUAUGUGUAUAUUUUUUAUUAUAGCUUUCAAAAAAAUUUAUGAAUCCGUAAAAUGUAUAUUCUAUAAUAAAUAGAUUAAUACGACGAUGCCUCUCUUUUAUUUCAAAAAUGUUUAAAUUAUCAAUAAAUAAUAUUUUUAAUAUUUAUAUAAAAUAUUUUCUGAUGCUGUACGUGUGAUUAAUUGGUGUGCAGGUAAACAACGCAGGAACAGUCAUAGUAAAACCAACUACAGAGUACAGCGAAGAGGAUGCUGGGCGCAUAUGGGCCACUAACUUUGAAUCAGCCUUUCAUCUCAGCCAACUUUCGCAUCCACUCCUGAAGGAGUCGGGACGCGGCUCGAUCGUCUUCAUCUCUUCUGUCGCCGGUGUUGUCGCUGUACCUUACGGGACCCCUUAUGCUGCAACUAAAGGUAAUCAUUUUUAGUUUACGCGCGCACACACACAUGCCGGAGUUCGUGCUUACGAUUUCAUUGUUGUGAUGAUAAUCAAACUUCGCGUUGUAACGCAGGAGCAAUGAAUCAGCUGACGAAGAAUUUGGCAUGCGAGUGGGCGAAGGACAACAUUCGGGCUAACUGUGUCGCGCCUUGGCUUACGAAAACUCCGCUAGCUGAUCCGGUUAGUUGUUGCUUUCUCGCCCGUUCUUUUCUAUUUUCUUUAUUAUAUUUUUCCUAUAGAUUUGCUAUGCACAGAUUACUACACUCAUCUUUUCUGUUCGAAAAGGUGAGGGUGAGCGGGAUAGUUAGUUCGAUUGAUCUAAUUAAACCAGUUCAAAGCACGAAGUCCCAUCCGUUCAUUGUUAACAUCAAUUACCAAUUUUAAAUUAGGAGCAAAUAUUACUGUAACAUUAUUAACUUAUAAGCACCCCCCAAAAAAAGAAAAAUCUAAAGCUAUGAAUGCAUUAAAGGAUUGGUCCAAAAAUUACUAAAACUAUGGAUGCAUUCCUUGUGUAUAAAAUAUUUAAAAAAUUUAUUAUUCGGGACUAUUUUAAGAUUUUAUAAGUAAUCAUUUAUUAAUUUCACAGGUGUAGUGAUAUCUCUAUUUAUACUUUUUUGCAGCUUCUGGACGAGCAGACACUGGCGAAGGUCCGAUCUCGCACGCCACUCGGGCGAAUUGCGGAGGCGGAGGAGGUGUCGUCGGCGGUCGCAUUCCUUUGCCUCCCUGCAGCUUCUUACAUCACCGGACAAACCAUCACCAUCGAUGGAGGCAUGACGAUCAAUGGGUUUUUCUUUAAUUAGAAUAGAAUUUACCUGCUAAACUUAAUUAAUAUCCAUGAUUAAAUAAGGUGGGAAUCAAUAAGAGUUCCAAAGUUGUAGGUUGCUGCUUCCUAUAGGUGCAGAUGUUCCCUAACGAAAGAAUGUGCUUAUGAUCAGCUUAUUGCUAUUUUUGUUUUAAUUUUUUUGUGUGUGCCUUUUUGACCCUUUAACAUUGUCCUUAAUUAGCCAAUUACCAAAACCGUUUUAUUGACGCUCCCUCAAUUUAUGGUAAAAAAAUAUUGAAAUUGAAAGCUAAAAUAUACUCUUUAUUAUUAUUAUUAUUAUUAUUAGAGCAAUGCUUCUAUGCACCAAAAAAAUCUCGGCUUAAAUUUUUUAAAAUGAAUGGUGGAGAUGUCAUUUAGUUAAGAGGGUGACUGACUUUUGUUACCAUAGGUAUCAGUCACCCUCCUACCAAGGGUAUAUUAUUUCCUCAUAUGUAAAAUUAGUAUGAAGGGUUCUUUUUGUAAAUUUCUAUUUUCAUUCCCAUAAUGCUCUUCUAGUAAUUUGGUAAGAUAUCCCAUUUUAUUCUUAGAAACUUUUCACUCACAGAUAUUUUCCUCGAAGCUAUUUUACCCUUUUUUUUCUUUGUUGAGAGAGAAAUCCAUGUCCAAUCUACAUUUAAAUUUAAAUUUCAAAUUUAAUUUUAAUCAAUAUUUUUAAAUUUUAAUGAUGUUUUUACUAUCGAAUGAACAAUUUGAAUUUAAUUUUAAAAAUAGAAACCUUUAAUUUAAAUAAAUAAUAAAAAUUAUGUUUAUAAAUAGGCCAAUUUGCAUAAAAAAUCCACUUAUUUUGGGCUUUUGCAAAAUCGGGCCACCUUUUUCAUUUUUGCAGAUUCGGUCCGCUUUUUCAGCAAACUGACCAAAAUACCCUUAUUACUUUUUCUCUUUCCUCUUUCUCUCUCUUCUUCGUUUCUCUCGUUCUUUUCUUUUUUUCUCGCCGGUAGAGCGGAGGCGGAGCGGAGGCAGAAACGGUCCGUCUCGUCUCUCACCCUCAUGCUCUCGCCCUCGCCCUUGCCCUCGUCCAUGCACCCACCUUCCUCGCCUCCAACCUCGUUAAGGCCGCGCCGUGACAUUUUUUUUUUUUUUGCUUUUUUCUUUUCUUUUCUUCUCCGAUUCUUCUCCACCGUCUCCGACGACGACGCCUCUCGCCCUUCCCCGCCCUUCUCAUCUCUCCUUCUCCCUCAUUUUCUGCCGCCUCCGACGACGAUUUAUCUUCGCCGGCGCCGACGUCGACACCGUAGAAGUCACUAAGGCGCUACAGUCUCGGAGCGGGGGGUCCUUAGCGGCGUCGUCACCGGCGCCGUAGCAGUUGGCAGAGAAGAUGACAAAAAAAUUAUAGAAAAAAUAGAAAAAAAAUAAAGAUAAAAAAUUAUAUAAAAAGAAGGAUGAAGAUGAAAUUACAUCGUUAAUUACAAAAAAAUUAUAAGUUGCACUAUUUAAGAUGUAAACUGCUGCUUUAAAAUAAAAAUUAUACUCUUUGAACGAAAAUUAUACUAUUUUUUAUCUUAAACUGCAUCAUUUUAAGUGAUAUUUAUACUAUUUCUCCUGUUGUUGCACUGUUUCUCCUGUUGUUGCACUAUUUCUCCUCUUAUUUACACAAAAAUGGUGCAACAAGAGGAGAAACAGUGCAACAAGGGGAGAAACAGUAUAAAUCUCUCUUAAAAGGGUGCAGUUUCUCCUCUUAUUGCAUUGUUUCUCCUCUUGUUGCACUAUUUCUCCUAUUGUUUAUACAGAAAUGGUGCAAUAAGAAAAGAAACAGUGCAACAAGAGAAGAAACAGUAGAUAUAUCUCUUAAAACAGUGCAGUUUCUCCUUUUGUUGCACUAUUUCUCCUCUUGUUUACACAGAAAUUGUGCAACAAGGGGAGAAACAAUAUAUAUAUCUCUUAAAACAGUGCAGUUUCUUCUCUUCUUGCACUGUUUCUCCUCUUGUUACACUAUUUCUCCUCUUAUUUACACAGAAAUAGUGCAAUAAGAGGAGAAACAGUAUAAAUAUCUCUUAAAAGGGUGCAGUUUAAGAUAAAAAACAGUGUAACAAGAGGAGAAAUUGUGCAACAAGAGGAGAAACAGUGCAACUUUUGUUUAAAGAGUGUAACUUUCAUCUUAAUGGAUGCAGUUUACAUCUGAAAGAAUGUAAUAAGAAGAGAAACAGUGUAAAUAUUUCUCAAAGAGUGUAGUUUUGGUUUAAAGAGUGUAGUUUUCAUCUUAAAGCUGCAGUUUACAUCUUAAAUAGUGCAACUUAUAAUUUUUUUUGCAGUUAACGAUACAAUUUGAUGUUCAUCCUUCUUUUUAUAUAAUUUUUUAUCUUUAUUUUUUUUUCUGUUUUUUCUAUAAUUUUUUUUUGUCACCUUCUCUGCCAACAGCCACGGUGCCGGCGACGACACCGCUAAGGACCCCCGCUCCGAGCCUGUAGCGCCGCAGUGACCUCCACGGUGUCGACGUCGGCGCCGGCGAAGAUGCAUCGUCGUCGGAGGCGGCAGAGAAUGAGGGAGAGGGAGAGAUGAGAAGGGCGGGGAAGGACGAGAAGGACGAGAGAGGCAUCGUCGUCGGAGACGGUGGAGAAGAGUCGGAGAAGAAAAGGAAAGAAAAAACCAAAAAAAAAAAAAGUCGUGGCGCGGCCUUGGCGAGAUUGGAGGCGAGGAAGGUGGGGGGUGCGUGGACGACGGCAAGGGCGAGGGCGAGGGUGAGGGCUAGAGAAUGAGGGUGAGAGGCGAGACGGACCGUUUCCGCCUCCGCUCCGCCUCCGCUCUGCCGGCGAGAAAAAAAAAACGAGAGAAACGAAGAGGAGAGAGAAAGAGGAAAGAGAAAAAGUAAAAAGGGUAUUUUGGUCAGUUUGCUGAAAAAGUGAACCGAAUCUGCAAAAACGAAAAAGGUGGCCCGAUUUUGCAAAAGCUCAAAAUAAGUGGAUUUUUUAUGCAAAUUGGCCUUAUAAAUACAACAUAAUUUACAAUUUAAAAUAAGUUAAUAUAUUUGAAAUUUCGUGUUGUUUUAAUAUCAAAUUUACAAUUUGAGUUGAAAUAUACUAUUCAUUUAAACAUAAAUUUUUUCGUUCUAAAAAUUUAAAUUAAGAUUAAAUUUGAAUUUAAUGUACACAAUUAUAAAGUUUAAAUAAAGGUUUAUUACUUAUCAAUUAGCACUUGAAUUUAAUUUUAAAAAUAGAAGCCUUUAAUUUAAAUAAAUAAUAAAAGUUAUGUUUAUAAAUAAAUACAACAUAAUUUACAAUUUAAAAUAAGUUAAUAUAUUUGAAAUUUCGUGUCGUUUUAAUAUCAAAUUAACAAUGUGAAUUGAAAUAUACUAUUCAUUUAAACAUAAAUAUUUCGUUUGACAAAUUAAAAUUAAAAUUAAAUUUGAAUUUAAUAUACACAAUUAUAAGGUUGAAAUAAAUGUUUAUUACUUAUCAAAUUAGCACUUUCUAAUUUGGUAAGUAACAAAAUUAAAUAAGAAAACAAAUAUUUGUAUAGGGUUAAUCAAAUUUGGUAAUUAAUUUGUAUUUGUUUUCCCAUAUUAUCCUUACGAAUGGUAACCUGUUGAGCAGAUAACUAUUAUGCAAAAACCAAUCACUACAAGAAAAUUGACAAUUAGUGGCAUAUAUAAAUGUUGCUAUAUGUGCAAGAAAUGCAUCUAGAUCUUUUAGCAACAUUUAAAGUUUAGUGUUGCUUAUGCCCAUGUUGCUGAAUCAUUUAGCAACAUAUAGAAAAAUUGUUGCUAGUUCUGAGUAAUUAGCAACACUUAAUAAAUGUUGCUAUAGAUAAAUUUCAUAUGACAUUUUCAAAAUAAUUAUAUAUGUAUUGUAAUUAAUUAUUGCAUUAAUAAAUCCUCCUAAUUUAAUUUAAAAUUUAUUAUUAUAAUUGAUAAUUAUAGUAUUUAAAUUAAUUUAAUUAAAUUAUUAUUAAUUUUUUGAUCAAUUAUUAUAAUCACAAUGUAUAAAACUCAUUCACACCAAAUAAGAAACAACAAUUCAAAUGAUAGAUAUCAAUCAAAAUUCUAAUUCAUAUAUAUAAUGCAAUUAAUUUGAAGAACAAUAUCAAAUAAAAUGAUAUCCAAAACCAUUAGGUAUCCAAAAACAUCACAAACUGUUUGAUACAUUAAAUAUCCAAAAAUAUCACAAACUGUUCAAUACAAAAGGUAUCUAACAAAAUGAUAUAUAGUAGUAUAAAUACUAUCAUAACAAAAUGAAAGCUUAAAUUGCUUCACGAACAUUUCUUCAAUUUGAACUUCUCAUGUGCAUUCAGCUUUACUUGCGCUUAACCUGUACAAAAGAGUAUACAAAAUUAAAAUUUGAUUUGCAAAGUUAUAAAAUAUAGUAAGAAAAUUUAAAAGAAAAAUUAGUAUUUUGUGCAUACAUAGGUAUAUGGCCAAGCCACCGUUACACCUACGGCAUCUCCAAUGGUCAAAUAAUUUCCAUAAGGUCUUAAUAAUGGCUCAUUGUGAAGUAUUGCUACGUCUAUUUGAACCUCCCAAUAUUGUGGUCCUAACUCGACUCCUCCAACUUUCGUCAUGGGAUCCUUACUUAAUAUGUAACCUCGUGCCACGUUACCAUGAGGUUUUUUUAAACUUUUCAAGUAUACUUCAUUUCCACCCUUCAAUCAACAAAGAAAUAAAUCAAAUAUUUCAUGUGUUUUGAUAAAAGAAAUAUAUAAAAACAACAAAGAGAACAAUAAUGAAAAAAUCUAGAAGAUAACCUGAGCAUCUGAUGGGAUAAGAAAAUUCUUCACAAUAUCUUUAGCUCGAAGUGCCUGUAACAAAAUUGUCUAAUAUAGUUAGUCAACAUUAUGUUUGAAUAUUAUAAAUAUGCAAGUUUAUUUUCUUGCUUAUGCUACUUUCUUUCUUUACUAUUGCUUUAGACUUGAAAAUGUCAUCUUUGGAUAUAGUGUAGUUAUUGGAACUACAUGGUUGCAAAUGCUAGUCGAAUCGGCAAAAUUAGAUAAAUAUACAAGCAUUUUUAAGUUGCAUUUGAGACGAAAUUUCUAAUUACACUUGACAAAAAGAGUCUUAAGAGACAUAAUAUAUAAAAGAGAUAUCAUUUUGAACUAAAUUAAAAAGAGAGAGUAUGAACAGAAAGAGAAUACAAAUAUUGAUAUAAAAAUUUUUACUAAUAUCAUAAAGUAUACAAUAUAAUUAGGAUAAAAGAACUACCUGAGGUGGAGGUACUGCAUGACUAGAUUGUGAUGAACUUACAUCAUUCUUAGGUGAUCCAUUGGGAGAAAUAUAAUUGUUAGCAUUCUGUUUGAGAGAACAAAAUCAUUAGAUGUUAUAUGAAGACAAAUUAGUUAUAAAUGAUAUAUAAAUUGGCAUAAUAAGUUGUAUUACCGGUAUACCGAUUCUUUUUUCUGGUUUAUGCAAGUCUUGGGGCAUUUUCUCUGUUGAUUCAAACAUUGCUCUGAUCAUCGACAUAUCUCUUUGCACAUCUUCAUAUUUUUGUUUCAAGUUUGCUAUCUCUUGUUGCAUUCGAUGUUUCUCCUCUUUACCAGCAUUUUUAGUUUCAGAAAGAAUUCUUAAACAUUCUGCACGAGUUGGGUUUGAUCCAAAGACAUCUGAAGGAGUGGGAACCAAGCCGAAACAACGAACAUGACCACGUCUAUCUUCUCCUAAAACUUUCACUAGAAGGUCAUCUCGGGAUUCUUCUUUUUGUGCAAUAUCUGGAUAUAUAGGAGCAAUUUCUGUAAUAGCACCCUACAAAAAAGAAGAAUCAUGCAGUUCUUUCAUAGGUUAUAUCCCUAUUGUGAAAGAAAAUUAGUACAAAUUUAAAAACUUACUAUUUUUCUUUUACAAUAUUCAUUUAGAGGUUUGCCAUUCUUUUUUGUGUGUGUUCUUAUGAAUAGCUCGUGUCUCUUCGGUUUAACUUUUCCAUUUUCCUUUGUCAUCUGCAUGCAAAAAUUAUAGAAGUAAAUUCAAUUAUUAAUAAUCAAAAUAGAUCUAUAAAGUUAAUUCUCAAAUAAUGAUAAAAAAAUUUGUAAAUUACCUCUGCGCGAAUUCUUGCAAAACUCUUUGUACCUGCAGUAUGUGCCGUAUGUAGUUUUGCACGGCUAACUUUAUUUUUUGCACUACGAUCCUAUUAAAAUUUAAAGACAGAUAAUUCAAUACCAAAUAUUUAAAAAUAUUAAACAUAAUAUUCUGUAUCGUAAGAACAGGUAGCAUACUGUACCAUAGGAAUCGGUCAAAAAGAAAAAUAUUUUAAAGUUUAGUUAGUUGUUCAAUGUAAUAUAUAGUUAGAAAAAAAACACUUAAUAACAACCAUUGUAUCAUUUGUCUUAUCAUAAAAUUAGUAAAUUUAAUAUUUAAAUUUAUUUACCUGUCCAGUUUCAGAGCUCCAAUGCUUAACAAGAAACUCCCAAGCAGAUGGAUGGACUCGAGUGUCACAAUCUGCUAUCCUUUCUUGAUAAGUCAUAUGGUUGUUAAAAUGUAAUUUCUUAAUCCUGCUUUUAAACUCCCUCCAUUUUCUUCCUAUGGACAUUAUAACCCAUUUUUGCCCUUUUUCUGAAAUUUUGAACUUAGUCUGUAUGAAAAAAUAGACACUUGUAAACAUUGAUUGCAAUAUUAUAAAACAAAAAAGACAUCUUAAGGAAAGAAAUAAUUAAUAUAUACCAAAACCACCGUCCACAUAAUAUUUUUUAGCGUGCUUGGAACAAGUCUCCAAUCUUUAUAAUCAAGUGGAGCUAGUUGUCCAUUUCUCGCAAUCAACCCCAAAAAAUUGCUUAGUGUCGCCGCCGCCUUUCCAAUAGGUUGUCCAUAUUCAUUCACUUUCACAGUUUUUAGUGAACUCCUUUUAAACAAUUUGAGCAAUUUGGUUUGACCUCGAGUAUUUUUCGAUAAUUUUGUAUUAUCUGACAAGCAAAAAAAGAAAUUCUAAUGAGUGCUACAAUAUAACAAUUGGAGAGUUCAAUCUGUUAAGAAAAAAAAAAUCAUAACUUUGGAAAAGCAAAGUAUAAAAUUAUACAUAUAUAUAUAUAUAUAUAAAAGACUAUUAUAAAAAUCAUAUCUUACAUAAAAAAAUAACAAAUGAUGUAUAUGUAGCUCUUUAAAGUUUCAAGUGAUUGUCAAUUCUACGAAAUUGCAAUCAACUGCACAUAGACAUCUCUACACAAAUUAAAGAAACACAAAUUAAAGAAACAUCUCUACACAAGUAGAAAACUACUAGGUGAACAAUUGAUAGUGUUAGAUUCACAAGUAGCUAAAUCAUAAGAUUAAGAGAAAAAUAUAACAUAAAAGAAAAUGCUUCACGUAACUAAAAUUUGAUGCAUAAAUCAAAUUUAAAAGUAUUAAUACCAUAUAACAAAUAAGGCCAAUUGCCUACCAUUGUCACUAUCAUCAUUUGAUUCGGAGCCAUUGGAAUGGUUUGGACUUUGUAAGUCAUUCAAACGGGAAGGGCUUUGCACGGGAUUAGAAUAGUGGCAAGAGGUAAAGUUUGGAUUUAUCGGAGUUUCUUCUAGAGGGAAUGAUCCAACCUGUCUUUGAUGAAAUAAAUUUAGUUGUUCCGGUAGUGGUGUUGCUAUUGUGUCGGCAUGUCCUUGCUUGAUUUGAUUUGCACUCUCACUGUUGUAAAGUACCGGUUGCUUCUCUGGGUGCAAAUUUGAAAGUAGUUGGGCAAGGUAGCCAUGAAGUGCAUGCUCAAGUGUUGCUGACGUUUGAUCUGGACGAGAGUGACAUUCAAAAUGACCUUGAUCUAGUAGCAUUUCAUCAUACUCUCUUUGAUCAAAGUAUGGCUGUUUUGAACUCUUUCCUUUUUCUUUUGUGGUCUUCAUGAUUAAUACCUGUAUUCAGCGAAGUUGAAAUUAAAUUACUCUAAAGUACAAUAAUGACUAGAUGCUGCACAAAUAUAUUAAUCAUAAAAAUGCUUGAACACUAUACAAAGAUUUCAUAUAUAACUGUGACUAUGUAUUUAUUGCAUGUGAGGUCCUUAAUUUAAGUAAAAUGGAAGAAACCAUUCAAAUACAACUGUUUGCAAUACUAAAAACACAUUCUAAUUAACUACUAUGGUAAUAUACUAAUAAGUAGAGUAAAUAAUAUGUACCUAAAGCAAGUUCGAAUCGUCUAAGUCGUAGUCAUCUUCCGUAUCCACAUUAUCGUAUGCGUUUGCUUCCAAAUCAUGAGUGUUUAUUACAUAGCUGUCAAUUGUAAGUCCCGGCACAUCAUUUCUAUUCCAACUAAGCUCUCCUUCAAUAUUAUUCAUGGUGUUUUCAGAUGUACCAUAAUCCAUAUGAACCUCUAUAUCAUCUUCAAGAACUUCUUGCUGCAUAUCAAACAUGUCUCUUGGUCUUAUUUGAACAACUACUUUCCAAUCCUUGUUACUAGCAUCUUGUACAUAAAAUACUUGGUUCACUUGAAAUGCUAAUACGAAAGGUUCAUCAGAUAAUUGGUUGCCUGUAUAUAAUAACUUGUUGAAGUUUACUGAUGUGAACCCAUAGUCAUCUUUCUUCAUUCCUUUACCUUGAGAGUGAACAUCUACCCAAUCACAUUUAAAUAAUACUACUUUAAAUUGCUCGUAGUAGUUUAGCUCAAUUAUAUCCGUGAUAAUACCAUAAUAUGUGACAUCUCCACUGAUUGGAUUUUGAUCUCUAGCACUGGCAUAACUUGAUAUCUUAGCAGUUAAAGCGAUUCCACUAUUUUGAGUUCUUCUGCUUAUUUCACGAUCUUUAACAUGAAAUCUAUAACCGUUGAUCAUAUAACCUUUGAACCUCUCUGCAGCUCUAUGAGGGCCGCGUGCUAGUGAUAUAAUUUUCUCCGAAACAGCCUCAUUUUUUUCUUCAAGUAAUCUGUAAAUCUAGUUAAUAUAUAAAAAUAGUAAGAAACAACUAAAUAUACCAUUGAUACCAAAAGAGAAAAAUAAUUAAAUAUACUUAUGGUCUUUAGUGUCGUUAAUGUUCACUUACAUGCACCCUAAACCAUUCAUGAAAAGUGUUAUUAUGAAUUCGCUCAACAUCCAUAUGUCUUGUUCUUGACGUUUUGUAGCUUUUAUUGCGUCAUAUGUUCUCUGUAAAUUGACGCAAAAAAAUGAUGAUUAGAGUACUUUGUGCAUACUAUUCAAAUCAAAAAAUUAAUUUGAAUAUAGGCAACUUAUGUAGGUAUGGAGAAAUAAUGUCACAUUAAAUAGCACAUAGCGAUGCUGCCGCCAUGACGUUUCAUCAAGUUAAACAUUCACCGUGCCCAUUAGGGCGACCUAGGUGAUAGGGAAAAUGAUGCUUAUGCAAUUCCACUCAACAUCACAAUCCUUCUGAUUGAUUGAAUUUGAUUUCAACACUUGCAAGUAUUGUGAGCAAAAUGUAAACUUUCUUCUGUAUAUAACCUUCUGCAUUGAUCCCUCUGAUAAUUUCGGUUGCGCACAUAAGAUUUAUAGUAAGUAGGAACCUACGAUUAUUAUAUUAUUACUUCCAAAUUUAAGAUCAUAAUAUAAGAUUCUCUAUAAAAUUCUUUUGUCUCUAAAUAUAGAGAAUAAUAGAUAUAUUUUAUAAAAAAUAUAAAAGUACCUUUCAAUAGGAUAAUCCAUCUGUAAUGCACUGGUCCAGCUAUCUCUUAGGCUCAUAUGCUAGAUGCUACAGUUAAGAACAUAAUAAUCAAAAAAACGAUGGAGGAAAUAGUCUUUCAAGGUUGCAAAGGUGUUUAACGGCAAUUCUGAGCUAUUAAUUGCUGAUUGUUUCCCUCUAAUAGCAUUUGGCACAUAUUUUCCCGAAAGAACUACUUAAUUCUAAGAACUAAAUCUGAAUUCUUAGGCAAACACUCACGUAAAGCAAGCGAAAGCAAUUGUACAAAAUAUGACUUGUCGUGACUCUUGAGACCGAAAAUUUGCGAUCCUUUAAUAUGCACAUUUUGCAAUAUUUGCUGCACAUAUCUUCAUCCAGGAACUUUUAAGUUGACUUUAAUAGCUUUGCACAGAAAAAUUCCUUUCUCUUUGUAGAAAGUUAAAGCAAGCAGUAGAGGAACUAACUGGUUUUUGGUUUUAUUUAUGUCACAAUUGAAAGUGUAAUCUCUGAUACCCAUGUGUUUGCAAAUCAAGACGCGGACUUCCAUUGUCCUUUGUUCUACCCUUCAACAUUUAAAAUGUCCAGAAGUUCAUUAUCACAAACAUUUUUCCUCAAUGUGCAGAUUGAAUCUAAAUUGUGGCCGUAUAGAAGUUUUUUUCCAAAUAUGGUAAAGAAAGAAAUAUUACUUUUUUUCUUCCAUAUAUAAGACUGAAUGAUUCUUUUCUCGCUUUCUUUUUCUUUUGUCACUAUUUCUGAUUUGCCAAAACUUUCAACAUUUUGAAUUGUUACUAUCUUGAAACCUAGAAAUGGAAUAAGGUGAUCUCUAACAUUCUUGGUUACAUUUAAAAAUAACAUGUGUUGUCGAACAUUUUGAUUUUUUUCAAGAGAUCUACAGAAUGACCCAUAUAGCCAAAAUUUUAUCGACCAUACUUUAAAUAAUAUGAUCAGUGUCAACAUUACAAGAAGGGACAUGCCAAUCUCCUUUUGAGUGUCCAGUUCCGAUAAGUUCGCAUUAUGCUAGGAAAGUCAUAAAUAGUCCACAAAAUGCCGCAUGCAUUUGAAAUUCUGCUCAUCGACUGCAUACAAUGUUGCACACACCAUUUGCCAAAGAUAUUUAAGUCAUCAAUUAAUGCUUAAAUAGAUAUCUAUGUCAUUUCCUGGUGCAUUUUGGACCAUGGAUAAGUAAAGACAAUAUAAAAUUGGUUGAUUUCAUGCACAGGCAUGGGUGCGUAGAUUGUAUGGAUCAAGAUAACUCGGCCAUAUUGUACUUGAGAAUUGUGCUCAUGAAUCGAAAUGGAUGAAUCCAAUCCUUGCUUUAACCAGUCUUACAUUGCGAGGAUCUGGAGAAAAUUCGGGCAUGUUCAAAGAUCAAAAUGUUUGCUCAAGCGGGGAAUCUGCGGAUGCCUCAUCCUCCAUCUCGUUGUUCGACCUCUCUUGAUGCCAUCUCAUUAGGGAGUUGUUUGUUGAUGACGAUUAAACAUCCUCUGAAAGUCUUGGUUUUAAGGCAAAAUCUUAGAACUUGGCUGAAAUAUGUUUUGCUUUUUUAGUAGAUGUCGAUGUACAUAUAUCCAGCAUUCUUCUCAGUUGACUCUCCACCUUUGGAAGCCCACAAAUGGCACAUAUAUUGAAUCUUGUCUCCUUUAGUACAAUGACCAAUUCAUUUGGACAAGUAUGUCAAUUUUUUUAUAACCCAGACUAAAUAUUUUGAUAAAUUUUUUUUUGCUUCAUAAUAUGAAUUGUUGGUAUGUUUCUACCUUGACAAUGCUCUUUUAGUUAGGUGAGCCAACAUAGUAAAUGAUUGUUGUUGUCAACCAUUGAGGCAUUCAAGUGAAAUAAACUCGAAACAAUGAAAGACGAGCUUUGAAACUUCUUCAACCAUGUAUAACACACAUCUUGCUCAGAAUCUUGACUAUUUAUUAAAAUAUCUUUCGGCUUUUCAUUUUGGUAUUUUUCCAUUGUAAUUAUGUUCUUCUGCUGGCAUUUCCUCUGUUUGUUUUUUCAUCAAAACAUCCAAACGCAUCAUUUAGCAUCUCACGUAUUAUCACAUGCACUAGAAUACCAUAAUACUGAUCCGAGAAAGAUGAUGUAUGUCUUCCCCGUGAUAAACCAACAUGUGUAAUCAUGGACAAUCCAUCACAAAUCAAAUGCUCUAAGAACAUUUUCUACUCGUUCCAAAAGCGUUGCUACAAUUUUUACCAAGGGCAAAGAAUUAGCCCUCUUGGCUUGCGUUUGAAAACGCAAAAUCUAGAUAAGUCCGAACACCACGGAAUAUAUUUUUCACUUGCCUAUAAAUUUUUAAAUAAAAAUUAAUUAAUAAAAAGAUAUUAAAAUAAUUUCAAAAUUUUACAACAAAUUAAUAAGAGAUAGACCUCGGUUCAUUUCAUCCAACUCUUAUCCAUGAGGUUGAUGUUAGCAAUAUGAUGCACAAAGAGAUUGAACUACACUCAAUUUAAGAAUGUUGUCAGCCCAAUUUAGUAAGAAAAAGGUAUAAAAAAACUGUAAAAAAUAUGGGUUUUAAGUUAUUACUGAUCACAAGUAAAAAUUUUUACUUUACUUGUCACCAAAAUAAUGCAAACUAGUGGCCAUCAAGCAGAAACUUGGGAUUUAAACUAAUCAAUCAAAUUGCAAUUGAUCUUAGUUUCUAAUUAAUCAUAAAGUGAAAUAGUAAUUAGUCUGAAGUUUGCGAAAAUGUAGAGUGAACUCGGCUAUUCAAAACUAAAAAAAGAAGAAUAUUGAUAAGUCCAAACCUUCAAGUUUUGCUGCAUUAUUGAGCAUUUUACUGCAUGCAUCUCUAUUGACUAAUCUAUUACAUUAUAGACUAACGUUAUUGGAUUCAAUUCCAUUGUUUUAUGGUUGUAACAUUCUCUAGUAAAUCAAUCAAAUAGGAACUAUAGCAAUGCUCUUGUAGCAUGCUACUUUGGACUAAUAGUUCUUUAUCUUUUUAGUAUUGCCACUAGUGCUUUAUUAUUGUCAAGAAUAUAAUAGUUUAUCUCAGGUCUUUGUGACAAAGAUCUUUGUGAUUGUUAUUAUUGAGGGUAUGAUAUUUAUUAUCAACUUAUAAUGAAUCCUCUAAUUAAUACUCCAAUGUCUUUCUCUGUUACCAUCAUUUUUGUAACUAUAUUGUGUUUAUUCUCAUUUGUCGAUUUGAGAGAAGAUCUUCACCUAAUACAAACUAACUGUUAGAGCCGAAACAUUACAUAGUUAUUCAAUUAUCGCCACUAAGUCAAAAAUUUCAAGCAUAACACAGAGAUCAAGAAGUUGGAACUCAAAGACUAAUGAGGAAAUUUUGAGAAUAUUUAAUUUAUCUGAUCUUUCAAUUUCCUAUCAAAUAUUUUAUUGUGCUUUUUGAUGAGUCCCAUCUUGGUUGAAAAGUGUAGUCUAAGCAAAGAACUAAACUAUUUGCAGCUUAUAUGCCCUCUUGUUGCUACCAAAAUUACUCUAGACUUUUAUGUUCUCUUUCUAUCAGCUUACCAUGUUUUGGUACACUUAUGCGUUUUAAAAGAACAAAAUUAAAUUACCCAGAGAUGUUUUUUCCUUUUAGAAUAAAAGCCAAAAUUACUCCACUUCUUGCAUGUAGAACAAUAAGUGAAACCGAGUUAAACAAGCACCUAGCAUUUAUAUUAGCAGAAGAAGAACAUACUUUUACAUUUGCAUAAGGUUGUAAAUAGUAUAGUGACUUUCUUAUGUGGAGGAAAGCUCUUUGGCGUGUGGAUGUAGUCAUUUUAGCCGCGACCUCCAGUUGUGCUAUAUGCACACCUGAUUCAAUUGUUUUUUUUCAAGAAAAGCUACUUAUUUUCCACCUUAUAAUUAUAGGCAUGGGUUGCUCACAAGGAGUAAAUGUGGAUAGGUGCAUUAUUUUGGAUCUGUUUGUUGAUCUGCUUUGGCAAGUACUUUUCUUAAUGAUGAUUUACAUGCUUAAUACAUGUUGAAGUUUUUUCUUGUGCUCCUUACUACUACUUAUAUUGAAUCAUUACUUUAUAUCCAUUCUUUUCUUGGAUCACCUGUUUGGCCCAAUCAGUUGACAAUCGUAAUUCAUACAAGCAAAAACUCCUAAAUUAAAAUAUAUAACAACUUCAUGGAUUUUAGUAAUUCCAUCAAAAUUAAUAAUGUUAAUAUACUUUUAGUAAAUAAAAAUUUAGAAUAAUUAAUGGCCAAUAGCGAAUAGAGCCAUCAAAUUUAAUUAAAAUUGUUAACUGAACUAACUAAAACAACUGAAGUUGAUAAAUUAGUUAAAGAAUGGUCUAUUUCAAAAAAGCCCUACAGGAGGAAUUCGUUAUAUAUCUUCAACACUGCUAAUAUGGAAGAAAUGAUAAAGAUUAUCGGUGCCUAAUUAAAAUUUACAAAAAUAGGGCCAUAAAUUUACAGAAAUCAAAUAAUAAUCAAAACUAAUUUGAGCCAAUAGCACUAACAAAAGCAUAUAAUAUAUAAAAAUAUCUAAAUCAAAAAUAAUAAUGCAAUCCAAGAGAGCAAACUAUUUUAUCAAUUAAUUACAAAAAAGAAAAGAAAAAAAACUUACUCAACCCACUAGAAAGCUAGCUAUCCCACCCAGUUAAAAACUACAAAGACUUUUUAUUAAAAAAAAAAGGGUCAUAGCUCCAAAAAUAAUUCUCCUCAAGGAUUGGACCACAACCAGGGACCACACAUAUGCUAAUUGAGAAAACCAAACACAUGACAAUAGAAAAAGCAUAAAUCCAUACCUUAAAUGAGGAUGUGGAGAAGAAAGGUUUGCAUCAAGUCAAGGAAACCUCCAACGCCCAAGCUUCUUCCUCUUGCAAAGGGGGCGACGGGUUUGGUUUCUUUUCUUUUCUUUUUUUUUUCUUGAAACUGAUAGCCAGCUAAGUAAAAAAAACCCCUUUUACCUAUUUCAAAUCCUAACCCAUGCCCCCCACGCCAAAAAAAAAAAAAGCGCGGGCUUAAAAAAAAAGCUAGCGGGAAUUUAUAAUAUAUAAUAGUCUGCUUAAUUUAUUUUUUUAAAUUUGCAAAUUAAUAUUAUUAUUAUCACUCAGGGCCCUCUAUUAUAUUAUAUUAUUAAAUAUUAUUAUAUUAUAACAAGACUCUUAAUGCAAAUUAAAAAAAAUAAAAAUUCAUAUAUAAAAUCAAAAUAUUUAACCAGACUAUUUAAUAUGCUAUAUAUUAAAUUAGUAUAUUAAAUAAUUUCUAUAUAGUAAAUGCUAAAAUAAAUAGCUUUAUAUUAUAUGUAUAAAUUUUUUUUUUUUUUAACGAGUAAUGAGUACAGAUAAAAAUAAUAAUUCCAAUCCGAAUAAGUUGGAUUUUUAUUUUUUAGAACCAUAAUCAAACCAAUACAUCUUUACUAUCGAUUAGACUGGCACAUUUGAGUUUGGUCGGAUUUGGGUUUGGGUUUCGGUUAAUCUUAAAUAUCUUUUCCUAUUUAAUGACUAAAAAUAACAAAUAUAGUAUUAAUUUGUGGUUUUGAUUGAUUGAUCAAACUAACAACUUACAUUUAUAAUUAAAAUUAAAAAAAUUCUAUUUUGAAUUUAAAUUUAGAAUUAAAAUUAAUAAUACAAGUUUAAAUAUGUAAUUUACUACAACAUUCAUAUGCAAGUUAAAAUGCAUUACUAAAGUUAGUUUCAAAAUCAAAUUUAAAUUUGAAUUUUAUAUUUAAAUUGAAAAUUAAAAUUUGAAUUCAAAUCUUAAACAAUUAUUAAAUUUAUAAUUUUAAUUCAUAUAUAAAUUUAAAUUUUGAUUUUAAAAUUUUUAAUUAAAAAUUUAAGUUUAAAAAUUGAACUUUUAAUUUCUAUCUAACCUUUGAUUCAAUGUGAAACUAUAAAUUAAUUAAAAAAUAUAUAAGUUUGCACAUGAGGGCAAAGUGGUUCGACCACUAAUUAAUAAGUUUUCAUACUGUUGUUUGUGCAUUUAAGAUAUUUUUUAAUUAACUACCAACAUUUUUUAUAUUUUUGUUAUUUUCAUAAUUAUUUUAUAAUUAUGUUUGUAUAUAAGUUUUAAAUAUUAAUUUUUAUUGCGACAUAUAAUAAUAUAUGCUGGUAAUUAUAACCUUUAGCAACAUUUAUUAUAUAAUGUUGGUGAAUUUAUAUAUUCAGCAACACUUUCAUUUGUGUGUUACUAAAUAAAAUAAAUAGUAACGUAUACCUAAGUGUUGCUAGAAAAAUGUUGCUAAAUAUCAAUAUUGUUGUAGUGAAUCUCGCCCCUCAAAUAUGAACGGCUAGAUUUAAUUUAGCCGAUGUAUUAAAACAUUUCUCUUAUUAUUAUUAUUUUGGAUGUUUGUUUGUCUCAAUCUUUACAUCAAAUCCAUCAAUAUAAACUUGUAAAAAAGAAAAAAAAAAUUCAGGGAUUUAGCAAACUUACUGGCCACUCCCAUCGAUCCGAUGAGGUAAAAAUCAUGCUGAGUUAUACGCUCACCACAACAAAUAAAAAAAAAUAAUACAUAAAAAUAAUGUUCUUAAAGAAGUGGAAAUCACAUAUCUAUAAACCUAAAUGAAAGUACAAUAUUUCUUGCCACGUGGCAAGCAAGCCUUCAUCCCUUCAUCCUUAUAAAUAAAUAAAUAAAUAAAUGAAACCACUCCUUCUAUCUAAAUAUCAAAUUAACAAAAUAACGCACCUGGUAUUAAUUUUAUUGCUAAUCAAUGUAGAUUCAUUGAACCACUAAGUAAUAGUGACAUUAAUCCCCCAAAAAAAUGCUUUGUAUUUUCUUUACUCUUGGACUUUUACAUUAUUAAACCAACCCUUUGACUUCCCUCUACAUAUAACGUCUAAUUAAUGCGUCCACCCAAUUUAAUUCUAUCUAAACCGUAAACUUAGAAACCCAUCCAAAAAGCCCAACCCUUUGCCUUUCCUCCGCAUAUAACGUCUAAUUAAUGUAUCCACCCAUUUUAACCUUAAUAUUAUCGUAAACCAUAAAAACUUAUGCAAAAGCUCUAUUCUCUCUUAUGCAUGUCAUGAAAAUGAAAGCCUAUUUUGUUUCUUAUAAUAAAUUACAACCUUUUUCAUUUAGCAAGAGGUAUGAAAUCCAUUUAUUUUUUUUCCUUUUUUUUAUAAAUUUCUAAUUUUGAUAUAUUAUCCUCUUCUCAUUUAGCAUGAGAUGUGGGAGAUGCUUUAGAUCAUAGCGGUGGCAGAGGCGGUAAAUGUCAUGGUAGUGGAGACCAAGACGGCUGCGGAAGAAAGCACGGGCAAUGACAGUGGAGAUCGAGGCGGUAGUGAAAGCAGUGGCAAGCCUCGCCCUCUUAGAGACCAACAUUAAGUGAGAGUUUCUCUAUAUUUUAUUUUUUUCUCUCUUCUUAUUUUCUAUUUUUUUAAUCUAAUUUUAACCUAUUUUACAGUAUUUUUUGUAAUUAUUUGAUAGUUUCUAUUUAAGAUGAGUUGGAUUGAAUUAAAAAUCUAAUAUUUCGAUAAUACCUGCCCGCCGCAUCGCGCGGGUAACUAUACUAGUAUAGAAUAAAGAAGAGAGCACCACAAUUUAUGCGACAGGCCUAAUCUGUACAAUUUUUUUUCUUACGUAAAAUACUUAAGUAUUCUUUUUUAAUUAGUAGAUUAAAUUUAAAUUAUCAGAUAAAAACAGUUGAUAACGCCAAAAUUUUGCUGUUAAUAUAUUUGAGACUGUCAACAAAAUAAUUUGGAAUUAGUUCUGUUUAUAGGCAUGCUUUAAGUGAAGAGUAUAUUCACCUAAUCAGAUUGUGAGAUCUCAGAUAGUUUUAUAUAUAAAAUAUAAUAGGGCUAAAAUUUUUAACCCGGUUUAAACAUAUUGGGUGGUGAUUAGACCCAAGAGAUUAAAAGAGGUAAGCGUGUUAGAACGGGAGUAAUCGUAGGAUGGGUGGCCCUUUGAAAAAUUGGGACGUUAUAAUUGGUAUCAGAGCCAAUUACCAAGCGAAAAUAUAAGAUGAGUCUCGACUGAGCUAGAAUUAUAUAAUAGAAAGAUGAGUCUCGACUUAUACCCCAUCUAAAUGGUAUCUUGAACAACAAGCCACUCCUUUGACUUUAUUUUAUUUUAUUUUCUAAUUAACACCUCUUAAUAUAAUUUCAACUCAAUAGUACUGUUAGAUAAAGUUCACACUCAAUUUGUCAUAAUUAUACGGAUGGAAAUUAAGUGCUACGAAAUUUUUUAGAGUGGAGGGCGUAGGCAAUUCAUUGAAAAAUGGUUAUUAAUUAUUAAAUUAGUUCAUUAAUAAAAUACAUAUAUUCAUAUAAAGAAUUAAAAAAAUAAGUACUUUCAUAACUAAUUAUGAGAAGAUGAAGAUGAAGAAGAAGAUGAAGAUGAAGAUUUCGUAACUUAAAAAAGCGAAAAAAAAAAAGAAGCAGAUACAUAAAUCGGUCUUUCAAACCUAUACACAAGUUAGUAAAUAAAACUAGCUAUUAAGCUCUCAAGGCCAAAACUGAAGAACAAGAUAUGACAAAAAUUAUUCGCAAAAUUAAGCAACCAUUCAAAACCCAUUCUCGAUCCGGCACUACCUCAAACCACAUCGAAACACCUCCACAUCUAGAUCCAUCGAGUUUCAAUUUGAAGGAUGUUCUUAAAAAUUGUAGUACGUAACAAAUAAAUUAGACAAAAUAAACAAAUUGUUAUGAUAAUUAGUCAAAAUUUGACCUAUUGCCUCAAUUUUGGCCAGAGAAUCAGCCAAAAUUCAGCCAAAAGACGGGAGAAAACGUAAAUUAAGAUCCUGAGGAUGUUAGAGAGAGAAAGAAAAGGGCGGAAAAGCAUAUGAAAAAGAGAAAUACCAUUGUGGGAUUAGAAUAGAUUUUGAUACGUUGAGCGUUUGAUUUUUUUUAUGAUCGACAUAUAUAAUAAGACUUUGAGGUAAUUUGUACGAAAGAUUAAAUUGCACUAAAUUGAUAAUAAUUUUUAUCGUUCCUCGUAUAAUGCAACGCAAUUUUAUCAGGUUAUUCUUGAAAAAUUAUCUAAUAGUUAAUAUUUGAUUAAUGUUUCAGUAUUACUGUGGAGGUAAUUUAAACUAAGUUGAAACUAUAAGGCUUCGUUUGGUUCGGGUAUAAGCAAGAACUAGUUAUACCGGGGACAGGUACAAGAAUGAAUUUUCGUAGGAAUAAGCAUAUUUUUUUUGUUUGAAUGAAAAUAUGAGUAUAAGCUGAAACUAAAAAAAUUAUGUUUGGAAGAAAAUCUGAGAAUAAUGCGGAAUAGUUGGUAGUUAUAGAUAGAAAUAAUAAUUUUACCUCUAUAAUUGAAUUUAACAUUUUAAACUAAUAAUUUUAAAUUAAAAAUUUUAACUUNAAGCUGGAACUAGAAAAAUUAUGUUUGGAUAAAAAUGUGAGUAUAAGGUGGAAUAGUUGGUAGUUAUAGAUAGAAAAUAAUGAUUUUACCCCUAUAAUUGAAUUUAAAAUUUUAAACUUAUAAUUUUAAAUUUGAAAUUAAUAUUAAAACUUUUAAUUUUUAAAUUUUAAAUUUAAUAUCAAAUUUAAAUUUGAAAGAUAUAAAAUAUCAAAUUUAAAAUUUAAAAUCUAAAAAAAUUAAAUAUAAAAUUUAAAAAUUAAAAAUAUCAAAUUUAUAAUUUAAACAUUACGAAUUAUAAAAUUAUAAAUUUAAAUUUUAAAAUUAUAAAUUAUAAAUUUUAGAAAUUUAAAUUUAAAUUAAAAAUCUCUCUUUUUCUCUCUCUCUCUCUCUACCCGGGAGGGGUGGAACAAGUUGUUUCACCCCUUGUUCCACCCCAGGGGUGGAACAACUUGUUCCCACCCAAUCCGGUACAAGGGGAGCUUGUACCCCGUGGGUGGGAACAAAUUGUUUCCGGCCCUCAAACUUGUGUUUGGGUACAAGAGGGGGGAUAACCCUCUUAUCCCCCCUCUUGUUUCCAUUCCAAACGGGGUGUAAAGUAAUAAAAUUUUAAUUUUAAAUUUUUGAUACUAAUUAUUAAAAUUUUAUCCAAUUAUAUUAGGUAGGCUCACUAAUCAUUCCAAAUGGUUGUGUUUGGUAAUAUGUCAGUUGAUUGAUUGGUACUAUCGAUAGUACUCCUUUGUCGCCCUCCAACAAAGAUGUGCGUUUCCACGUGCGUAUAUGUUCUCUAGCACUUCAAUUAUUGACCAAAAAAUUUCAAUAAUUUCAAUAAAUUUAUUAAAUUUUAAUUUCUUAAAAAUAAAAUACUUAACAACUGAUAACCAGUAUAAUAAUUAAAUUUUAGGGCUAAUUUCAUAUAGCUUCCUGCAAACAUGGUAAAUGUCAAAUAUAUUUCUACAAAGUUCAACUUUUAUAUACUAUAUCUGUAAAAGUUCUGAUAUUUUUAAAUAUAUAUACCUCUGAUUUGUUACCAUUCGAAAACUGUUUAUAUUCUCAAUUUUGUCAUCACAAAUAUAUCACUUCAAAAAUCAUAACAGUAUAGUAUAAAAGAAUAAAAAUAGCAAAAAUUAAGUAGGGUUAAGUAUUUAACCUAUGGUUAACUAAAUUUUUCUAACGUAUUCUAACGGUACGGACAUAUUUGAAAAUAUCAAGACUUUUACAAAAAAAUAUAUAAAAAAUAAAUUUUGUAGAAAUAUAUUUGUUAUUUACUAUGUUUGCAAGAAUCUGUAUGAAAUUAAUCCUAAAUUUUAUUAUAUCCAAGUAAAACAAUUGAAAUAAUAAAAAUAAGAAACUAAAGAAAUAUCGAUAUAAAAAAAAAAAAGCAAAUUUGAGAUUCCCACAGUUGAGGGAUUUCUCUACAAUUUCGGCCUUAUAAGUUAUAAAAGGAAAGCUAAGGUAACGGAUACACACCCAGCCACCAAACAGAAAAAAAAAAAUAAUUUCAAAAAAUGGAGGAAAUAGAGAGUAAGAAAGGCAAAGAGAGAUGGUCUCUCCAUGGAAUGACCGCUCUGGUCACCGGAGGUACCAGAGGAAUUGGGUAACCUCUAGUCUUCGUUUUUUUUUCCUACAUAUUUUAUAUUAACAUAAUUAUUUUUACUAUUAUUUUAUAAAAAUAUAUAAUUUUUAUAUAAUUGAGAAAUAAUAUGCAUGCAUGUACGUACGUACGUAUGUGUGAAGCCGUGCGGUGGUGGAGGAGCUACUGAGCUUUGGGGCGGCGGUGCACACGUGCACACUGGACGAAGCGGAGCUGCGGUCGUGCGUAGAGCGGUGGAAGGGGAUGGGUUACCUGCGAGUGACCGGAUCCGUCUAUGAUGUGUCGUCGCGGGAGCAGCGCGAGCAGCUCAUGAAGGAGGUGGCCUCCCUCUUCUCCGGAAAACUCAACAUACCCGUGAGUCUCAUCAUUUUUUUUUUUUUAAGUAAGUUUCAAAUACUAUCCUUGUGGCUUCGCACUUUCUUAUUUUAGUACCAUAUAUAUAUAUAUAUGUGUGUGUGUGUGUGUUUUAAAGUGUAUCAAUUUAGUACCUCUUGAUUUCCAGCUCAGCUCCUUCAUUAAUAUUUCGUUAAAUUAUAUGCAAAAAAUUUCAAAUACCCUUUCCAGAUUUAUUGAAUAUUUACUUUAAUAUUUUUUAGUUUGAACUUUGUCACUGAUUUAACGAAAAAAAAUUAGUAGAUCGACGUGAUAAUAAACAGAGAAAAUUUAAAUUAUAAGAUACUAAAUUGAUACAUUUUAAAUCACUUAGUACAAUAAUAAAAAAGUACAAAACCACAUAGAUUGUAUUUGAAGUUUUUUUUUUUUCCUUUCUUUUUCCUUUUUUUUUUUCCCAAGCUAUAUAUGUGGGUCACCUUGUAAUUAAGUACUACAUGUUUUUAGAAUUGAAUCCUGUUCUCCGAUCAAUCCACAUGUAAUAGGUUAUAGGUUUUCGAAUAGAAAAAUUAGGAUAAUUUCUGGUUUUUAUAUUUAUCCCUAAAAAAAUACUGCAUUUUCAAAUCUAUUUGUUCAAAUUUUAAAAAAAUUUUAAAUAGGCCUUUAACACGUGAAUAUUAGAAAAAUAAAAAACUUCCGAAAGGUAUAUUUGAAAUAUGGGGCUUUUUGUUUAUAUAUUCAUGAUUUUUUUAAAAAAAAUUUAUUUAUCUUCUAUUUUAAAAUAUUUUUUAAAAAUUAAUUAUUUUUUUUAAAAAAAAAUUAAUAAAAUUAUUUUGAUUAACCUUAAAUAUUUAAGAAAUUUUUAAAAAUUUUGAAAGAUAUUCUAUCUAUUAUCCCUUGAAAUAAAGAAUAAAUAUAAAACUCAAUACCUUUUUAUAAAUAUGUCCACAGUUAAUUAUCUUAAGAAAAUUUGGGAUGAGCUAGAAAAAGUGAUUUAUGAAUUAUGAUUGACAUGGUGGUAUCCCUAGCACAAAAGUUUUUGAUCUUAUAUAUUAUUUUUUGAGCAUAGCAAUAUUAUCUCUACGCUUCUAAUAUAGGAGUACAUUUUACACUAGAGCUUUCAAAAGGCUAAAAUUAGAGACUUGUUUUAACAAUUUUUUUAAAUACCUAAAUUUUAACUAUAAUAAAAUGUGCAUAUACUUUUUUUUUCUUUUUUUUCUUUUUUUUGAGAAAUGCUAAACGCAAGUAGAACAACAUGACAAGGCCUCUUUUUUAUUUUUAAAUAUUCAAAUUAUCAACGAAUAAUACUUUUGAUAUUUAUAUGUAAUAUUUUUCUGAUAAUGUACUGUACAUGUCAUUAAUUGAUAUGCAGGUAAACAAUGCAGGAACAGUCAUAGUAAAACCAACUAUAGAGUACAGUGAAGAGGAUACUGCGCACAUAUGGGCCACUAACUUUGAAUCAGGCUAUCAUCUCAGCCAGCUCUCGCAUCCACUCCUGAAGGAGUCAGGACGCGGCUCGAUCGUUUUCACCUCUUCUGUCGCCGGUAUCGUCGCUGUACCUUACGGGACCCCUUACGCUGCAACUAAAGGUAAGAGUUGUUAGUUUUUGAAGAAUUUGAACUUAUGAUCUCAUUGUUGUGAUCAUCAAACUUUGCAUUGUAACGCAGGAGCAAUUAACCAGCUGGCGAAGAAUCUGGCAUGUGAGUGGGCCAAGGACAACAUUCGGGCUAACUGUGUCGCUCCUUGGUUUACGAUGACUCCCUUAGUUGCUCCGGUCAGUUGUAGCUUUCUCGCUCAUUCUUUUUUUAUUUUUUAUUUUUUGCUUUUACUUUAUUUUUAUUUUUUUUUAGAUUCCUAGAGGUUGCUGUGCAAACUAGCAUGCAAAUGGAUCUUAGUCAAUGGAGCUCUCAUUCAGACCCACUGAGAAUGAAAUAAUAAUAAUAAGUGGAGGACCCCUCUCCGCACCCUAUCCGCUAAAAGAAUGGAGCAGUAAACAGAGGAUUCCUUUCGUCUCUUGAUUCGCUCCGAUUUAUCAAAAUUUAUAAAAUCCUGUUUUCGUCCCAAACUGCUCUGGAUAGAACAGUAAAUAAGGACAAAGAAUAAUAUAAAUCAACAUGUUCUAAGUCUCUCAUGAUUCCCUAAAGAAUAGGGGGGCUAUAACCAUGAGUUAAAAGGUGUGAUUUGUUGUGUGGGAUUAGAGUUGGACCUUUCCCUGAGAUUGUGGGUUUGAUCAAAACCAGUCCAAAGUACGAAACCCUAUCGGAUCAUUCUUAAACUCAAUUCCUAAUUUUAAAUUAGCAGCAGAUUUUACUACAAAAACUAUUAACUUAUGACACAAUAAAAAGAAAAAAAAAAAAAACUAUGGUGUUCAUAUAUAUGCUUUAGUCCAAAACUCCUAGAACCAUCAUUAAUUGGAGCCAUUUGGAUGACCCGGCUGGAUAUAAAAUAUUAAAAAUACUAUUCUUGAAUAUCUUAAAAAGUUUUAGAGUACUUGGUUAUUUCAGAUAUCUCAUCGUAGCUCUAUUUAUACUCUUCGCAGUAUCUCGACGAGCAGACACUGGCAAAGAUUCGAUCUUGCACGCCGGUCGGGCGAGUUGCGAAGCCCGAGGAGGUGUCAUCAGCGGUGGCAUUCCUUUGCCUCCCGGCAGCUUCUUAUAUCACCGGACAAACUAUCACGGUUGAUGGAGGCAUGACAAUAAAUGGGUUUUUCUUUAAUUAGAAUUUGCCCGCUAAACUUAAUUAAUAUCCAUGAUUAAAUAAGAUGGGGAUUAAUAAGAGCUGAAAAUUGUAUGUUGCUUAUUCUUCAAUAUAUCCAGAUGUUCCCUAACGAAUGUGCUUAUUGCUAUUUUUUUUUAUUUUUUUAUUUGUGUGUGUGUGUGUUUUUGACCUUUUAACAUUGUCGUUAAUUAGCAAUUAUCAAAACCAUUUUAUUGACACUCCCUCAAUUUAAGGUUAAAAAAAAUUAAAAUUGAAAGCUAAAAUAUACUCUCUAUUUUUUUUUUUUGGGAUGUUUGCUUUGUCUCCAUCUUUACAUCAAAUCCAUCAAUAUAAACUUUGUUAAAAGUACAAAUCUUUUUAUGAUAGAGCUUUUUUUUAGGGAUUUAGCAAACUUAUUGACCGCUCGUACCGAUUAAACGAGCUAAUAACAAUGCUGAAUUAUUUUUUUAAAAAAAUAAAAAACUUUAAUGGAUAGACAUGAAAUCCAGUUUGGCACGGUCCGAUUUGUACUACUACUACUACUAACAAGAUGAGGGCUGUGCUGGCUCAUAGGUCUAAAAACGUAAUAGUUUGGUAUAUAUGGCAGGACCUAGAUUUGAAGCCAUGUUGGAUUGAGUCGACCCUGCGUCAAGUUUGGGCCGAAUGAAUAUGAGCCGUACUGGAUUACAUUCCUAAAUACAAUGCACUCUAACCGUCUUGCCUUCGAACAAUCACCGUGGAGCUAUAAAGAUAACAAAUAGACAACGAGAUUUGUUUCUAAACUUGCAUCAAUAUUUCGGUAUGUAUUGACGUGUUGGCCGACUAUUUCGAAUGAAAAUUAAUUUAUUCAGAGCAAAUUUUAGUACUAUGAAAUCAAUGUAGUGGUGACUGCAAGUGGAUGAUGAAUUGCACAAUGCCACAAUGAGUAGAGAUGUCAACGGGUCGGAUUCGAGGCGAAUUUUUAAAAACCUGAACCCGAAUCUGACUCCAAACCCGAGACCCGAACCUGAACCGGAACCCGAAGCCAAACCAGACGGAUUUUAAAAAUCCAUAUCCCAAUCCGAACCUGACUAAAAAUCUGAAACCCGAACCCAAACCCGAAAAUCUGAACCCAAACCAAUUAUUAUUUUUUCAAUAUUUCAAAAUAUAUUAUAUUAUAUGUAAAUUUUUAAAAUACAAAUUCAAAUAUAACAUCAAAUUUAUAUAUAUAUAUAUAAUACAAAAUAAAUUCGGGUUCAGAUUCGGGUCGGUACAGUCAAAUACAUAUCCGUCGGAUUUUUAUUUUUGAUAUCCAUAUCCGAAUCCAUAUCCAUUUAGCAUCGGAUAUAUCCGUUUUAUUCGAGUUCAGGUUCGGAUAAAAUUUCGAACAUCCAUACCCAUUGACAUCCCUAGCAAUGAGCGGAUCCCGUCUACUCGGACUUUGUGCUGGUGAGAGGGAGAAACUGUUGUGUGCACCGGGUGCACCACAUUUGUUGAAUAAGUUAUUAGUUUAAAUUAUAAAAGAGUAUAAUUUUGGAGUAAUAUGAAGAGAGAGAGAGAGAGAGAGAGAGAGAGAGAGAGACAGAGAGAGAGUCAAUUUAGCUAUUGAUCUCCCUAAAAAUGAGAUAUUUUUAUGAGAUCCCAAAAGUUCCGAAGUAUUAUAAACACUAAAAAUGCAUAAUUUUAUUAUUCAGAAUAAUAUUCUCUCAGGUUUUGAAGAGCUCUAAUAUCAGUAAAGCGAAAAAUUUUGAAAUAAAUUCUGAAGUUUCAAACAUGUGACUUAUAAACUAAGCUGAUAGAAAAUAUUUUUUAUAUAUAUAAAUUUGUAGUUAACAUCUUUUGACAAUUCAGUUCAGUGUAAAAGUAAAAUUCUUUAAUUUUACAAAUUUUUCCUUGGAUAUGCUCGAGAAACAUAUAUUAAAUUAAUAGGGCAAUUGUUUAUAUAUCUCUGAAAUUUUUUUUAUUUUCUAAUUUAUCUCUCUUAGAAGACUAAUAUUGAAAAUGCAUUUUUUAAGUUCCAAUCAAUUUGCAAUAUAUCUCUAGAGUUAAAUUCUUUUAAUGAAUUGUUAGUAAUAGCUGUUAUCUCUAUAAAAUUACUAUUUUGUCCUUUUCAAAUAUUUUUUUUAUCGUUAUAAACUUUUCUUAUUUGCUCUUAAAUUAGAGGCAUGAAAAAUAUUUUAAUUUUUAAUUUUUUUCAAAUAUAUCAUUCUACCAUCACCAAUAUUUUUCAUUUGCCUUUAAAUUAAGGGCAAAAUAGCCAUUUUGAUUUUUUUUAACUCUAAUAGAUAUUUAACUCCCUAAUUAACUUAACGGUUAGUAACUGUAGGAAUAUUUUAAAAUAACGGAGAAACAUAUGAGGGAUAUAUUUAAAAGAACAAAAUAUGAAUAAAUGAGAUAUUUUUGAAGUUUUGAGAAGUAUAUAGACAAUUAUCCCUAAAUUAAAUGUAUGAAAUCCUUCAACAACAAACAAUUAUGAGAAUGAGCCCUUUGGCCUUAUUUUAUUUUAUUUUUUCUUAAUUAACACCUCUUAAUUUUAAUUUCAACUCAAUAGUUACUGUUAGGCAAAGUUCUCACUCAGUUUGUCAUAAUAAUACGGAUGGAAAUUUAGUGCUGCGAAAUUUUUUAGAGUAGAGGGCGUAGGCAAUUCAUUGAAAAAUGGUUAUUAAUUAUUAAAUUAGUUCAUUAAUAAAAUAUAUAUAUUCAUAUAAAGAAUAAAAAAAAAUAAGUACUUUCAUAACUAAUUAUGAGAAGACGACGAUGAAGAUGAAGAUGAAGAUUUCGUAACUUAAAAAAGCGAAAAAAAAAAGCAGAUACAUAAAUCGGUCUUUCAAACCUAUACACAAGUUAGUAAAUAAAUCUAGCUCUUAAGAUUUCAAGGCCAAAACUGAAGAACAAGAUAUGACAAAAAUUAUUCGCAAAAUUAACCAACCAUUCAAAACCCAUUCUCGAUCCGGCACUAUCUCAAACCACAUCGAAACCCCUCCACAUCUAGAUCCAUCGAGUUCCAAUUUCAAGGGUGUUCUUAAAAAUUAUAGUACGUAACAAAUAAAUUAGACAAAAUAAACAAAUUGUUAUGAGAAUUAGCCAAAAUUUGACCUAGUGCCUAAAUUUUGGCCAGAGAAUCAACCAAAAUUCAGCCAAAAGACGAGAGAAAACGUAAAUGAAGGUAAAUGAAGAUCGUGAGGAUGUUAGAGAGAGAAAGAAAAGGUGGAAAAUCAUAUGAAAAAGAGAAAAACUAUUGUGGGAUUAUAACGGAUUUUGAUACGUUGAGUGUUCGAUUUUUUAUAAUCAACAUAUAUAAUAAGACUUUGAGGUAGUUUGUACGAAAGAUUGAAUUGCACUAAAUUGAUAAUAAUUUUUAUCUUUCCUCGUAUAAUGCAACGCAAUUUUAUCAUGUUAUCCUUGAAAAAUUAUCUAAUAGCUAAUACUUGAUCAAUGUUCCAGUAUUGCCAUGGAGGUAAAUUAAACUAAGUGAAAACUAUAAGGUACCGUUUGGUUCGGGUAUAAGCAAUAAUUAGCUAUUACAGGGAUAGGUACAAGUAUAGGGAUAAGAAAAAUAAUGUUUGGAUGAAAAUUGGGUUGUUUUCGGGGAUAAGAACAAUUUUAGAUAGUUUUAUAUAGAAAAUGGAGGUAUUAGUGGGGAUAACCGAGAACUACUAUUUUGGGGUAAAAAAUUAGCGUUUAGGUAUAAAGGGGGAUAAGGGUCUAUUUCUAUCCCUAUCCCCUAACCAAACGCUGCCUAAAUUAAUAAAAUUUUAAUUUUAAAUUUUUGAUACUAAUUAUUAAAAUUUUAUCCAAUUAUAUUAGGUAGGCUCGCUAGUCAUUCCAAAUGGUUCUGUUUGGUGAUAUGGCUACGCAGUUGAUUGAUUGGUACUAUUCAUAGUACUCCUUUGUCGCCCUCCAACAAAGUUGUGCGUUUCCACAUGGGUAUACUUUAGCACUUCAAUUAUUGACCAAAAUAUUUCAAUAAUUUCAAUAAAUUUAUUAAAUUUAUUAAAUUUUAAUUUCUUAAAAAAUAAAAUACUUAACAACUGAUAACCAAUAUAAUAGUUAAAUUUAAGGGUUAAUUUCAUAUAGCUCCCUGUAAAUAUAGUGAAUGUCAAAUAUAUUUCUAUAAAAUUUAAUUUUUAUAUUGGUUAUCAGUUGUUAAGUAUUUUAUUUUUUAAGAAAUUAAAAUUUAAUAAAUUUAAUAAAUUUAUUGAAAUUAUUGAAAUAUUUUGGUCAAUAAUUGAAGUGCUAAAGUAUACCCAUGUGGAAACGCACAACUUUGUUGGAGGGCGACAAAGGAGUACUAUGAAUAGUACCAAUCAAUCAACUGCGUAGCCAUAUCACCAAACAGAACCAUUUGGAAUGACUAGCGAGCCUACCUAAUAUAAUUGGAUAAAAUUUUAAUAAUUAGUAUCAAAAAUUUAAAAUUAAAAUUUUAUUAAUUUAGGCAGCGUUUGGUUAGGGGAUAGGGAUAGAAAUAGACCCUUAUCCCCCUUUAUACCUAAACGCUAAUUUUUUACCCCAAAAUAGUAGUUCUCGGUUAUCCCCACUAAUACCUCCAUUUUCUAUAUAAAACUAUCUAAAAUUGUUCUUAUCCCCGAAAACAACCCAAUUUUCAUCCAAACAUUAUUUUUCUUAUCCCUAUACUUGUACCUAUCCCUGUAAUAGCUAAUUAUUGCUUAUACCCGAACCAAACGGUACCUUAUAGUUUUCACUUAGUUUAAUUUACCUCCAUGGCAAUACUGGAACAUUGAUCAAGUAUUAGCUAUUAGAUAAUUUUUCAAGGAUAACAUGAUAAAAUUGCGUUGCAUUAUACGAGGAAAGAUAAAAAUUAUUAUCAAUUUAGUGCAAUUCAAUCUUUCGUACAAACUACCUCAAAGUCUUAUUAUAUAUGUUGAUUAUAAAAAAUCGAACACUCAACGUAUCAAAAUCCGUUAUAAUCCCACAAUAGUUUUUCUCUUUUUCAUAUGAUUUUCCACCUUUUCUUUCUCUCUCUAACAUCCUCACGAUCUUCAUUUACCUUCAUUUACGUUUUCUCUCGUCUUUUGGCUGAAUUUUGGUUGAUUCUCUGGCCAAAAUUUAGGCACUAGGUCAAAUUUUGGCUAAUUCUCAUAACAAUUUGUUUAUUUUGUCUAAUUUAUUUGUUACGUACUAUAAUUUUUAAGAACACCCUUGAAAUUGGAACUCGAUGGAUCUAGAUGUGGAGGGGUUUCGAUGUGGUUUGAGAUAGUGCCGGAUCGAGAAUGGGUUUUGAAUGGUUGGUUAAUUUUGCGAAUAAUUUUUGUCAUAUCUUGUUCUUCAGUUUUGGCCUUGAAAUCUUAAGAGCUAGAUUUAUUUACUAACUUGUGUAUAGGUUUGAAAGACCGAUUUAUGUAUCUGCUUUUUUUUUUCGCUUUUUUAAGUUACGAAAUCUUCAUCUUCAUCUUCAUCGUCGUCUUCUCAUAAUUAGUUAUGAAAGUACUUAUUUUUUUUUAUUCUUUAUAUGAAUAUAUAUAUUUUAUUAAUGAACUAAUUUAAUAAUUAAUAACCAUUUUUCAAUGAAUUGCCUACGCCCUCUACUCUAAAAAAUUUCGCAGCACUAAAUUUCCAUCCGUAUUAUUAUGACAAACUGAGUGAGAACUUUGCCUAACAGUAACUAUUGAGUUGAAAUUAAAAUUAAGAGGUGUUAAUUAAGAAAAAAUAAAAUAAAAUNUUAGAUAUUAUCUAUUUAAUUUCAAAAUAUAUUUUCUUUUUAAGAUAACGGAUUUUAUUUUUCUAUUUAAUUUCAAAAAUUUAUUUCCUAACAGAUUUUAUUUUUCUAUUUAAUUUCAAAAGUAAUUUUUGCAUUAGUGAUUAUUGUUAAUUAUUUAUCAUUUAAAGCAUAUCUUUCUUAAUAGCGUGAUUUAUUAUUUUAAAUUUUUUAGAUACAUAUUUGGCAAUCAUAUAAAAUAUGGCCUAAAAUUAAAAAAUAAUUUUAAAAAAUUAUAACUUUUUCUAAUAAUUAUUAUGUGCAUUUGCACGUACAUUUUACUAGUAUAUAUAUAUAUAUAAAUUUGUAGUUAACGUCUUUUGACAAUUCAGUUCAAUGUAAAAGUAAAAUUCUUUAAUUUUACAAAUUUUUCCUUGGAUAUGCUCGAGAAACAUAUAUUAAAUUAAUAGGGCAAUUGUUUAUAUAUUUCUGAAAUUUUUUUUAUUUUAUAAUUUAUCUCUCUUAGAAGACUAAUAUUGAAAAUGCAUUUUUUAAGUUCCAACCAAUUUUCAAUAUAUCUCUAGAGUUAAAUUCUUUUAAUGAAUUGUUAGUAAUAGCUGUUAUCUCUAUAAAAUUACUAUUUUGCCCUUUCAAAUAUACUCUUUUAUCGUUAUCAAUUUUUCUUAUUUGCUCUUAAAUUAGAGGCAUGAAAAAUAUUUUAAUUUUUAAUUUUUUUCAAAUAUAUCAUUCUACCAUCACCAAUAUUUUUCAUUUGCCUUUAAAUUAAGGGCAAAAUAGCAAUUUUGAUUUUUUUUUAACUCUAAUAAAUAUUUAACUCAUGUUUAACCCUAAUUAACUUAACGGUUAGUAACUGCAGGAAUAUUUUGAAAUAACGGAGAAAUAUAUGAGGGAUAUAUUGAAAAGAAAAAAAUAUGAAUAAAUGAGAUAUUUUUGAAAUUUUGAGAAGUAUAUAGAUAAUUAUCCCUAAAUUAAAUGUAUGAGAUCCUUCAACAACAAAGAAUUAUGAGAAUGAGCCCUUUGGCCUUAUUUUAUUUUAUUUUUUCUUAAUUAACACCUCUUAAUUUUAAUUUCAACGCAAUAGUACUGUUAGAUAAAGUUCACACUCAAUUUGUCAUAAUAAUACGGAUGGAAAUUAAGUGCUGCGAAAUUUUUUAGAGUGGAGGGCGUAGGCAAUUCAUUGAAAAAUGGUUAUUAUUAUUAAAUUAGUUCAUUAAUAAAAUAUAUAUAUUCAUAUAAAGAAUAAAAAAAACAAGUACUUUCAUAACUAAUUAUGAGAAGAUGAAGAUGAAGAUGAAAAUUUCGUAAUUUAAAAAAGCAAAAAAAAAAAAAGCAGAUACAUAAAUCGGUCUUUCAAACCUAUAUACAAGUUAGUAAAUAAAUCUAGCUCUUAAGCUCUCAAGGCCAAAACUGAAGAACAAGAUAUGACAAAAAUUAUUCGCAAAAUUAAGCAACCAUUCAAAACCCAUUCUCGAUCCUGCACUACCUCAAACCACAUCGAAACCCCUCCACAUCUAGAUCCAUCGAGUUUCAAUUUGAAGGAAUCCAUCGAGUUUCAAUUUGAAGGGUGUUUGUAGUACGUAAAAAAAUAAAUUAGACAAAAUAAACAAAUUGUUAUGAGAAUUAGCCAAAAUUUGACUCAGUACCUAAAUUUUGGCCAGAGAAUCAACCAAAAUUCAGCCAAAAGACGAGAGAAAACGUAAAUGAAAACCCUGAGGAUGUUAGAGGGAGAAAGAAAAGGGUGGAAAAGCAUAUGAAAAAGAGAAAAACUAUUGUGGGAUUAUAACGGAUUUUGAUAUGUUGAGUGUUUGAUUUUUUAUGAUCAACAUAUAUAAUAAGACUUUGAGGUAGUUUGUACGAAAGAUUGAAUUGCACUAAAUUGAUAAUAAUUUUUAUCUUUUCUCGUAUAAUGCAACGCAAUUUUAUCAUGUUAUCCUUGAAAAAUUAUCUAAUAGUUAAUACUUGAUCAAUGUUUCAGUAUUGCCAUGAAAAAGAGAAAAACUAUUGUGGGAUUAUAACGGAUUUUGAUAUGUUGAGUGUUUGAUUUUUUAUGAUCAACAUAUAUAAUAAGACUUUGAGGUAGUUUGUACGAAAGAUUGAAUUGCACUAAAUUGAUAAUAAUUUUUAUCUUUUCUCGUAUAAUGCAACGCAAUUUUAUCAUGUUAUCCUUGAAAAAUUAUCUAAUAGUUAAUACUUGAUCAAUGUUUCAGUAUUGCCAUGGAGGUAAAUUAAACUAAGUUAAAACUAUAAAGUAAUAAAAUUUUAAUUUUAAAUUUUUGAUACUAAUUAUUAAAAUUUUAUCCAGUUAUAUUAGGUUGGCUCACUAAUCAUUCCGAAUGGUUGUGUUUGGUGAUACGUCUAUGUAGUUGAUUGAUUGGUACUAUUCAUAGUACUCCUUUGUCGCCCUCCAAAUGUAGUUGAUUGAUUGGUACUAUUCGUAGUACUCCUUUGUCGCCCUCCAACAAAGAUGUGCGUUUCCACAUAUACUCUAGCACUUCAAUUAUUGACCAAUUUUGUAAUCACAAAUAUAUAUUUCCAAAAAUCAUAACAGUAAAAUAUAAAAGAAUUAAAAUGUCAAAAAUUAAUCAGAGUUAGAUAUUUAACCUAUGGUUAACUAAAUUUUUCUAACGUAUUCUAACGAUACAGACAUAUUUGAAAAUAUCAAAACUUUUACAGAAAAAAUAUAUAAAAAUUAAACUUUAUAGGAAUAUAUUUGUUAUUUAUUAUGUUUGCAAGAACCUGUAUGAAAUUAAUCCUAAAUUCUAUUAUAUCCAAGUAAAACAAUUGAAAUAAUAAAAUAAACAACUAAAGAAAUAUCGAUUAUAAAAAAAAACAAAGCAAAUUUGAGAUGCUAUUCAAAAUGGCCUGUAGUUGAGGGAUCUCUCUACAAUUUCGGCCCUAUAAAAGGAAAGCUAAGGUAAUGGAUACACACCCAGCCACCAAACAGAAAAUAAAAAAAAUUAAAGAAAAUGGUGGAAAUAGAGAGUAAGAAAGGCAAAGAGAGAUGGUCUCUCCAUGGAAUGACCGCUCUCGUCACCGGAGGUACCAGAGGAAUUGGGUAACCUCUGGUCUUCGCUUUUUUCCGACUCACCUUAUAUUAAUAGAAUCAUUUUUACUAUUAUUUUAUAAAAAUAUAUAAUAUUUAUAUAAUUGAAAAAUAAUAUGCAUGUACGUACGUAUGUAUGUGUGAAGCCAUGCGGUGGUGGAGGAGCUACUGAGCUUUGGGGCGGCGGUGCACAUGUGCACACUAGACGAGGCGGAGCUGCGGUCGUGCGUAGAGUGUUGGAAGGGGAUGGGUUACCCGCGAGUGACCGGAUCCGUCUGUGAUGUGUCGUCGCGGGAGCAGCACGAGCAGCUCAUGAAGGAGGUGGCCUCCCUUUUCUCCGGAAAACUCAACAUACUCGUGAGUCUCAUCAUUUUUUUUUUUAAGUAAAUUUCAAAUACUAUCAUUGUGGUUUCGCACUUUCUUAUUUUAGUAUCAUAUGGUUUAAAAUGUAUCAAUUUAAUAUCUUAUGGUUUUUUUUUUUUUCUUUUCAUCAACUUCUCUAUUAACAUUUUAUUAAAUCAUAUAAAAAAACCUUCAAAUACUCUACCUAAAUUUAUCACAUAUUCAUUUUAAUACCUUUUAGUUUUAAUUUUAUCACUGAUUUAACGAAAAAAAAAUAGUAGAUCAGAUAAUAAAAAGAGAAAAAUGAAACCAUGGAGUACUAAUUAAAUUAAUACACUUUAAAGCAUAGGGUGCUAAAAUAUAAAAGUGCAAAAUCACAUUGGUGCUAUUUGAAGUUUUUUUUUUUUUUUCCUCUUUUUCCUUUUUUUUUUUCCAAGCUGUAUAUGCGGGUCACCUUGUAAUUAAGUACUACAUAUUUUUAGAAUUGAAUCUUGUUCUCCUAUCAAUCCACAUGUAAUAGGUUAUAGGUUUUCGAAUAAAAAAAUUAGGAUAAUUUCUGGCUUUUAUAUUUAUCUCUAAAAAAAUACUGCAUUUUGAAAUCUAUUUGUUCAAACUUUAAUUUUUUUUAAAUAGGCCUUUAACACGUGAAUAUUAGAAAAAUAAAAAACUUUCGAAAGGUAUAUUUGAAAUAUGGGACUUUUGUUUAUAUAUUCCUAAUUCUUUUUACAAUUUUUAUUUAUCUUCUAUUUUUUUAAUUUUUUUAAUUAAUUAAUUUUUUUUUAAAUUAAUAAAAUUAUUUUGAUAACCUUAAAUAUUUAAGAUAUUUUUAAAAAUUUUGAAAGAUAUUCUAGAUAUUAUCCCUUGAAAUAAAGAAUAAAUAUAAAACUCAACAACUUUUUAUAAAUAUGUCCACAGUUAUCUUAUUAAGGAAAUUUGGGACGAUGGAGCUAGAAAAAGUGAUUUAUGAUUGACAUGGUGGUAUCCGUCACACAAAAGAAAAUUAGGGACUUGUUUUAACAAUUUGUUUAAAUACCUAAAUUUUAACUAUAAUAAAAUGUGCAUAUACUAAUAAUGUUUUUUUUUUUUUUUUGAGAAAUGCUACACGCCAGUAGAACAACAUAACAAGGCCUCUUUUUUAUUUUUAAAUAUUCUAAUAUUUACAUGUAAUAUUUUCAUGAUAAUGUACUGUACAUGCCAUUAAUUGAUACGCAGGUAAACAACGUAGGAACAAACAUAGUAAAACCAACUACAGAGUACGCCCAAGAGGAUACUGCGCACAUAUGGACUACUAACUUUGAAUCAGGCUAUCAUCUCAGCCAGCUCUCGCAUCCACUUCUGAAGGAAUCAGGACACGGCUCGAUCGUCUUCACCUCUUCUAUCGCCGGUAUCGCCGCUCUACCUUACGGGACCCCUUACGCUGCAACUAAAGGUAAUAGCUUUUAGUUUUGAAGAAUUUGAACUUAUGAUCUCAUUGUUCUGAUAAUCAAACUUUGCAUUGUAACGCAGGAGCAAUUAACCAGCUGACGAAGAAUCUGGCAUGCGAGUGGGCCAAGGACCACAUUCGGGCUAACUGUGUCGCACCUUCAUUCACUAGAACUCCCUUAGCUGCUCCGGUUAGUUGUAGCUUUCUCGCUCAUUCUUUUUUCUUUUUUUUUUUGCUUUUACUUUAAUUUUUUUUAGAUUCCUAGAGGUUACUAAACAAACUAGAACGCAAAUGGAUCUUAGUCAGUGAAGCUCUCAUUCCGAUCCACUUUGAAUGGGAUAGUAAACAGAGAAUCCCUCUCUGCCCUAUCCGCUAAUAAAAUGGAGUAGUAAAUUGAGGAUUCCUAUCGUCUCUUGAUUCGCUCCGAUUUAUCAAAAUUUAUGAAGCUCUGUUUUCGUCCCAAACUGCUCUGGAGAGAACAGUAAAUAAGGACAAAAAAUAAUAUAAAUCAACAUGUUCUAAGUCUAUCCUGACUCGCUAAAAAAAUAGGGAGGCUAUAACUGUGAGUUAAAAGGUGUAAUUUGUUGUGUGGGAUUAGAGUUGGACCUUUUCCUGAGAUUGUGGGGUUGAUCAAAACCAGUCCAAAGUAUGAAACCCAAUCGGAUCAUUCUUAAACUCAAUUCCUAAUUUUAAAUUAGCAGCAGAUUUUAAAAGGUUUUAGAAUACUCGGUUAUUUCAGAUAUCUCAUCAUAGCUCUAUUUAUAUUCAUUGCAGUAUCUUGACGAGCAGACGCUGGCGAAGGUUCGAUCUCGCACGCCACUCGGGCGAAUUGCGGAGCCCGAGGAGGUGUCAUCGGCGGUGGCAUUCCUUUGCCUCCCGGCAACUUCUUAUAUCACCGGACAAACUAUCACGGUCGAUGGAGGCACGACAAUAAAUGGGUUUUUCUUUAAUUAGAAAUUACCCGCUAAACUUAAUAUCCAUGAUUAAAUAAGAUGGGAAUUAAUAAGGGUUCCAGAGUUGUAUAUAUAUGUUGCUACGUACUUCUCCAAAAGUCCUAUAUAUGCAGAUGUUCCCUAACUAAUGUGCUUAUUGCUUUUUUUUUCUUUUUUUUCUUUUUUUUGUGUGUGUGUGUGUUUUUUUGACCUUUUUACCAAAACAAUCUUAUUGACACUCCCUCAAUUUAUGGUAAAAAAAAAUAUUUAAAUUGAAAGAUAAAAAACACUCCCUAAUUUUCGGGAAGUUUGGUUGUCUCUAUCUUUACAUCAAAUCCAUCAAUAAUAACUUUGUAAAAACACAAUCUUUUUUUUAUAAAAUAUUUUUUUUAGGGGUUUAGCAAACUUAUUGAACAAGCUAAUCAAUAACAGUGUUGAAUUAUUUUUAAAAAAAUAAUAAAAAAAUUGAAUGGAUUAACAUGAAAUUAUCCAGUUUGGUACGGUUCGAUCUGCACUAUCCGGUUGAGGACUGUGCUGGGUCAUAGGUCUAAAAACGUAUGGCUUGGUAUGACAUGAGCUAGAUUUGAAGCCAUGUUGGAUCAAGCCGACCCUGCGUCAAGUUUGGCCCAAAUGAAUAUGAGCCGUACUGGACUAGCACGACCUUCAUUACAUUCUUAAAUACAAUGCACUCUCACCGUCUUGUCUUCGAACAAUCACCGUGGAGCUAUAAAGAUAACAAAUAGACAACGAGAUGCUACCUUUUUCUCAAGGAAACAAAUAGACAACGAGAUUUGUUUAUAAACUUGCAUCAGUAUUUCGGUAUGUAUUAGUGCGGUAGCUGAUUAUUUCAAAUGAAAAAUAAUACAUUCAUAGCAGAUUUUAUUAUUAGCAGAACAAAAAGCUCAAAUCAUAACUAAAUUCAACAUAUCUAUUCAGUCAGUAUCAAAAGUUAUUUUGGAUUAUAUCAAAUUCCAAAUAGGAUCUGGUUGAGGAAUAGGUUGGUUCUAUUGAGUUUUGAUUGUAACUGUGGCGCACUCAAAUUAAGUCUCAAAUCAGAUGUGCUUAUCUACUGAAUUAAAGUUUAACACUUCUAUUAUUGACCAAAAGUGAUUGAUAUGGAAUUGCUGGAGGGCAUGUAAUUUUAAUCAAUUUGAGCAAACUUCAUACUAUUUUCAAUAAUUUUAUUAAACUUAAUAAUUUUAACUCUCAGAUGUAUUAAUAGUAAAAUUUAACGAAAUGUUCAAUAUAUCUAAGUAAAACAACUUAAAUAACAAAAUUAGAAUUAAAAGAGAUUUCAAUGAAAAAGAGUGUAAAAUUGAGAAGUCUUAUCUUUAAAUCUUCCGUAGUUGAGGGAUCUCUCUGCAGUUUUAUAUCUCUUUCACCUAAUUUGGCCUCUUCUCUCUCUCUCUCUCUCUCUCUCUCUCUCUCUCUCUGCCAACCCCAACCCCCCCACACACACACACACACACAGAGAGACAGAAAUGGAGGAAACAGAGAGUAAGAAAGGCAAAGAGAGGUGGUCUCUUCAUGGAAUGACUGCUCUGGUCACCGGAGGUACCAAAGGAAUUGGGUAAUCUCUCUUCUCUGCCUUCUUCAAAGUUCUUAUCUAUCAUUUAUUAAUAGAAUCAUUUUUACUAUUUAUUUAGCUAUGCGGUGGUGGAAGAGCUACUGAGCUUCGGGGCGGCAGUCCACACGUGCGCGAGAAAUGAGACAGAGCUGCAGUCGUGUGUGGAGAGGUGGAGGGGGAUGGGUUACCCGCGAGUGACCGGAUCCGUCUGCGACGUUUCGUCGCGGAAGCAGCGCGAGCAGCUCAUGAGCGAGGUGGCCUCCCUCUACGCUGGAAAACUCAACAUACUUGUGAGUAGAGUGCUCUCUCUUUCACUCUUUCUUUAAGAAAUGCUUGAUCUAAAACCACAAAAAAUUAUCUUAGAAUUUUUUAGAAUUCAAUAAAAUUUUUAAAAAAUUUUAGUAAACAAAUUGGUCGCAAUUUGAUUUGUAGAUUAAAAGUAGACAUUAAAUAGAAUGAUUGUAGAAUUAUAGACCUAGUAAUUUUGUUUUUUAAUCGAUGAGAGUGGAAUUCCAGUUAAUUAAGUACCACAGAUUUUUAUAAUUGGAACUUGUACUCUGUUCGAUAUCUUUGUUUACACAUUAUUUGGAUUGGGUAUAAGAAAGAGGAUAAGACCUUUAUCCCCUUUCUUGUACCCAAACACAAAUCCAUCUUGGUGGGAACUACAGUUCCUAUCCAUACCAGGUUAUUCAAGAUAACCCGCUAUGGGUGGGAAUCGUAGUUCGUGGAAAUAAGCUUGUUCUCACCCAUUUUGAUAGAAUUAUAAUUUUUUUUUCUUUAUACCUCUACUAAUUUAAUAAUAAAAUAUUUUUAAUUAAUAUAUUAUAUAUUAUUUUAUAAAUUAAUUAGCUAAAUUAAUACUUAAUUAAUUUAAUAAUAAAAUAUUAGAUAAAUUAAUAAUUAGUUUGUGUGUUUAUGUAAUAACUAAUAUCUAUAUUGAUUAAUCAAUUAAAUAUUUUGGCCAAUAUAACUAAUUAAAUAGAAGUACUUUAUUUUAUUAAUAUAUUAAUUUAAUAUCUUAAUUUAUUAACUUAUCAAAUUAUUUAUAAUUAGUUAAUUUAUUAAUUAACAGUACUCAUAUUUAAUUAAUCAAUGAUUUGUUCUAAUUAAUUUAUUAAUUAACAUUUAAAUUAUCCAAUAAUAUUCAGGAUAAAUUAAUUAAUUAAUUUAUUAAAUAUCAUUUACUUAAUAUUUUAAUGUUAAUUAUAUAUAUAUAAUGUUAUUAUUUAACUAUUAUAAUUACUCUUCUUUCUAUUAUUCCUAUCUAACUAAUCAAACAUUAUUUUUUUUAUUCUUGAAAAUGAACCACUUUUCAUCCAAACGUAAAAUUACUCUUAUUUUUAUUUAUUCCCAAAGUUGUACCUAUCUAGGAAUAACCAAAAAAAGAUUUAUUCCAAAACCAAUGCGUAACCAAGAGAACCGCCUCGAGAGGCCGUACAAUGUAAAUAGUUUUUUAUCUCUAAAAAUUACAGUUACCUAUAAAUAACCCACUUAGCCUUAAAAAAUCACUAGCACAUCCCUUUAUUUAAGGAUCGAAAAUCUAAAAACACUAAUAACCAGAUUCUUUUAAAAGCAUAAGAGUUCACUUUUAUAUAGAUAUGUAUGCAUGUAUGUAUAUUCGAACUGAUUCCAACUUGGGUUCAAUCCUUUAAGAUUUCUAGUUGAAAAAUUCAACUAAUGUUCUGCUUAUUUAUUAGAUGAGCGAUCGAUUUUGAACUCAUUACAAGUCGAGCACGAACUGACUCGCAAACUCUAAUAUGAAUAGCCAUUUUCUUUACAAUUUAAGUGUGAUCGAUAGUUAAUAUAUACGCAGAUAAACAAUGCGGGAACAGACAUAACAAAACCAACUACAGAGUACACUAAAGAGGAUGCUGCGCACAUAUGGGCCACUAACUUUGAAUCAGCCUUUCAUCUCAGCCAACUCUCGCAUCCUCUCCUGAAGGAAUCGGGACGCGGCUCGAUCGUCUUCGUCUCCUUCGUCGCCGGCGUUGUUGCGAUACCUUACGGAACCCCUUAUGCUGGAACUAAGGGUAAUUAUUUUUUAUUUUUUCAAAAAUUAUAUAUAGGGAGGUUUUGAACUUUCGACCUUAUAAUUAUGAUAAUAAUCAAACAUUGCGCUGUAACGCAGGAGCAAUGAAUCAGCUGGCGAAGAAUCUAGCGUGUGAGUGGGCAGUGGACCAUAUUCGUGCUAACAGUGUCGCACCUUGGUUUACGAGAACUCCGCUAGCUGAUCCGGUUAGUUGUGGCUUCCUCGCUCAUUCUUUUUUCUUUUUCUGCUUUAAUUAAAUUUAUUAUUUAAGAUGCCUAGAUACUAGGAAUGCAAAUGGAUCUGAAUAGGUGGAGUUCUCGUCCCGAUCCACUUCGAAUGGAAUAAUAAGUGAGAGUCCAAAAUAAAGAAAAUACUAGAUAAGUACCCGCGCUUCGCGGCGGACAACAAAAUUUACCGUGAACACACAACAAUAAAUGCUAAACAACAUAAUAAAAUAAUAUUUGCACAAAUAUUUGUGCUACUAAAGAUUAAUUCAGAUCCAAAGACUAAACAAAACCAUGAAGGCGGAGAAUCCGAAGGGAGGAAUUGCUACCGCUCACCUUGGAGGAGCCGCGAGGGGAGUCGCCCUCGGAAUCGAGCUCGUCGAAGGAGGAGGAGGAGGAGGCGGCGGCGACGACGAUGGCGACUGAGGAGGCCAUCAUCAGAAAUGUCUUUUUGUUUUUUUUCAUGUGAAACCGUGCAUCAUCAAACAGGUGAAUCAUCCUAAUCUAUUAUCAAAUCUGAGAAGGAAAAAAAGGCAUAGAAUGCCUCCUUUAUUGGAUCAAAGAGCACUAUUUCUACCAGCAUCAAAGAAAUUAAAUCCAAGCUAACCUCAUCAAUAUAAUACCUAAAUGAAUCCAAUUGUUCAACUCCUGAGCAAAGCCAACAACUACUAAAUCCCAUCUAUGAGAUUGCUAUGAGCAAUAAAAAACCCAUUUUUCUUAGAACUAAUAGUUAGCACAUAUGCAUCCCAAAUUGAUCCCCUGCAGUUCGAACAGAUAUAGCUGAAUUAAAACCACAGCUAAUAGACUCAUGAAACCCUAGAAAGAGAAGCAACUACUGCUGUGUGUAAACAGCAAAUAAAAUGAAAAAGGGCAGCAAAAAGCAAGUUAUGAAACUGACCAUGGAUGAGGAAACAACCAUCUUCUUCAGCAGAUUCUGAUACCCCAUUCCUGCAAAUGCGAUGGGAUUGAUUAAAAAGGUUAGUUUUUUUAUGGUUUUUGGAGAACAGAGUAGGGGAUUGGAUGGUUCAAAAGAUGAUCUUUUGAUGAACCAACCAAAACCCAGAUGAGAAAAUUGGGGAAAAAGGGGAAAUUUGCAUGAGGAAAAUAGGAUUUGAUUAGAUAAAACCUUUGCAUUCGAGGCCCAAAGAGAGCUAAAGGAGGAGCAAAUGAAGCAGCAGCAGCAGCAGCAGCAGCAGUUGUAGGGAGAGGAGUUGUAGGGAGAGGAAUAUGAGGAGAAGAGGGAGUGUAGUGGAGAGAGAUUUUUUCUUUGUUUGUUUACCUAAAUGCGAGCGCGGAUUCCUGUGGGGUGAUCGGAGAGAGGUCGGAGAGAAAGAGAGGCGGGAUCAGAGAGAGAGAGCCGGGAUAGGAGAGAGAGAGGCGGGGGCGAGGCGGUGGCCAAGAGAUCCUCGCCAGAUCUCAAACCGGCGAGAAUCGUGCCGCGAAUCACGGCGGGAGGUCGGAGAGACCGCGGAUCCCGACAGGUAGAUCGGACGGCGGGUUGCAGAGAGAGAAAGAGAGGGGAACAGCACGGAAGGGAAAAAAAAACGCCGCAGAUCGCGCCGCGGAUCCCGGCGGAUCUGCGUAGGGAGAUCGGAGAGAGAGAGAUGCGGGGAGCCACAUCACCCGUGCCUGGCCCGCGUCGGCUCGCACCCGGCCCGCGCCGACUCGCACCAGCACCAGCACCCGCCCCGGCUCGCGCCCGCGCCCGCGCCCGCCCGCGCCGGCGCCUCGGCUCCUCGCUGGUAGCCCCCACCGGACCCCCCAAAAACACGGGGAGAGAUCCGUACUAAAAAAAAAAGUACAGUGCCAGCCGUGAUGUACGAAGCCACACAGAGGGACCCACCCAGACCGAAAACGCGAAUGCACUGUGGAGCGAGUUUUCGAUUCGCCCUUUAAUAUAUUGGUAUUGAUAAUUUGUUCCCAAUUCAGCUCUAUCUGCUAAAAAAAAUAGAGAAGUAAGCGGAAAAUGCCUUUCAUCUCUCCAUUCAUUUUGAACUGCCGAAAAUUUAUAAAAAUUUUGUCCCAGUCUGAUGGAACAAAAUAGUACAAAUCAAUUUCUUCUAAAUUUAUCCUGACUCGCUAAGAAAAUAGGGUGACCCCGGGAUCCUCCCCAUUAACAUUUCUAAUACGGAUACUUUUUAUAUUCAAAACCGAAUUCAAAGCCGACUCAUAUAGCCCGGUAACCAUGAGUUAAACUGUGUAAUUUGUUGUGUGGGAUUGGACUUGGACCUUUUGGGGUUGAUCAAAAUUAGCAUCGAAUAUCAGCAUCUUAAAAGGUUUUGGAGUAUUCGGUUAUUUCAGCAAGUCUAAUCUUAUAUCUAUUUGUACUCUCUAUAGAGUCUUGACGAGCAGACACUGGCGAAGAUCAGAUCUCGCACGCCGCUCGGGCGAAUUGCAGAGCCGGAGGAGGUGUCGUCCGCGGUGGCAUUCCUUUGCCUCCCUGCAGCUUCUUAUAUCACCGGACAAACCAUCACCGUCGACGGAGGCAUGACGAUAAAUGGGUUCUUCUUUAAUUAGAAUAGAAUUUACCCGCUAAACUUAAUUAAUAUCCAUGAUUAAGUAAGAUGGGGAUUAAUGAGAGUUCCAAAGUUGUAUGUUGGCAUGUUGCUACUUCUCCAAAAGUCCUAUAUAUGCAGAUGUUCGGUAACGAAUGUGCUUAGUGCUAUUAUUUUAUUUUUUAUUUUUUUGUGUGUGUUUUUAAUUUUUAACAUUGUGGUUAGCCAAUUACCAAAACCAUUUUAUUGACACUCCCACAAUUUAUAGUUAAAAAAAAUUAAAAUUGAAAGCUAAAAUCUACUCUCUUUUUUUCUCGGUUGUUUGCCUGUCUCCAUCUUUACAUCAAAUUCAUCAAUAUAAAUUUUAUUGAAAAAAUAAAUCUUUUUAUGAUAAAGUAUUUUUUUAAGGAAUAUAAUAAACUUAUUGAUCGCUCGUACCGAUUAGACCAGCUAAUAAUAGUGCCGAAUUAUUUUUUAAAAAAUAAUAAACAAUUUAAUGAAUAGACGCGAAAUCUAAUUUGGUACGGUCUGAUCUGCACUGUCAGGGUGCUGUGGUGGGUCCUAAGCCAGGUAGACAUGAAACCUAAUUUGGUACGGAUAAAAAAUUAUCAAAAUAAGAUUAUUAAGUUUAAUCUUAUUUUGAUAAUAUCAAAAUUUAUUUUGGAUUAUAUCAAAUUCCAAAUGAAUGGUAGUGUUUGAGGAUCUGGUUGAGGAAUAGGUUGGUUCUAUGGGGUAUUGAUCGUACCUGUGGCGCACUCAAAUUAAGUCUCAAAUCAGAUGUGCUUAUCCACUGGAUUAAAGUUUAACAUUCCUAUUAUUGACCAAAAGUGAUUGAUAUGAAAUUGCUGGGGGGCGUGUAAUUUUAAUCAAUUUGAGCAAACCUCAUACUAAAUUUCUCAAUAAUAUUAUUAAACUUAAUAAUUUUAACUCUCAGUAUAUAAAAUUGAACUAUUUACCGUCCCACCUCAAAUGUAUUAAUAGUUAAAUUUAAUGAACUGUUCAAUAAAUCUAAGUAAAACAACUUAAAUAACAAAAUUAGAAUUAAAAGAGACUUCAAUGAAAAAGAGUGUAAAAUUGAGAGGUCUUAUCUUUAAAUCUCCCAUACUUGAGGGAUCUCUCUACAGUUUUAGCCUUAUAAAAGGAAAGCCAAGGUAAUGGAUACCAACACCAACCCCAAAAAAAAAAAUCACACACAAAUGGAGGAAACGGAGAGUAAGAAAGGCAAAGAGAGGUGGUCUCUUCAUGGAAUGACUGCUCUGGUCACCGGAGGUACCAAAGGAAUUGGGUAAUCUCUCUUCUCCGCCUUCUUUAAAUUUUUUUAUCUAUCAUCUUAUAUUAACAGAAUUACUUUUACUAUUUAUUUUAGCUAUGCGGUGGUGGAGGAGCUACUGAGCUUCGGGGCGGCGGUGCAUACGUGCGCACGAAACGAGGCGGAGCUGCGGUCGUGCCUGGAGCGGUGGAGGGGGAUGGGUUAUCCGCUAGUGACCGGAUCCGUCUGCGACGUGUCGUCGCGGGAGCAGCGCGAGCAGCUCAUGAACGAGGUGGCCUCCCUCUACGCCNAACGGAGUGGAUUAUCAAAUCGGAUGUCCUAUAAUCGAAAAUAACUUUCAAGCACAGAGGCUUCCGUACCUUCGAAAGCGUAAGAACCUGAUUCUAUAUAAUUUUAAAAUAUUCAACUUAUAUUCAGCUUAUUUAUUAAACUAGUGACCAAUUUCAACCUUAUUUCAAGUUGAACACGAGUUGUCUCGUAAAUCCUAAUACGAAUGGCCAUUUCGUUUACGAUAUGUGUGAUAAUUAAUUUAUAUGCAGGUAAACAACGCCGGAACAAACAUACCAAAACCAACUACAGAAUGCAGUGAAGAAGUUGCUGCGCACAUAUGGGCCACUAACUUCGAAUCAGCCUAUCAUCUCAGCCAGCUCUCGCAUUCUCUCCUGAAGGAAUCGGGAUGCGGCUCGAUCGUCUUCGUCUCCUCCGUCGCCGGUGUUGUUGCGAUACCUUACGGAACCCCUUACGCUGGAACUAAGGGUAAUUAGCUUUUAUUUUUCUUAAAAUUAUAUAUAUGCGGAGGUUCGAACUUUUGACCUUAUAAUUAUGGUAAUCAAACAUUAUGCUGCAAUUCAGGAGCAAUGAAUCAGCUAACGAAGAAUUUAGCGUGUGAGUGGGCGAAGGAUCACAUUCGGGCUAACUGUGUCGCGCCUUGGUUUACGAGAACUCCGCUAGUGAAUCCAGUGAGUUGUGGCUUUCUCCCUUUUUUUUUUUUUCUUUUUUUUCUUGGACUAGGAAUGCAAAUCGAUCCGAGCCGGUGGAGCUCCCAUCUCAAUUCGUUCUGAAUGAGACAAUCAGUGGACCCCAAUCCGCUCUAUCAGCGAAGAGAAUGUAGCUUUUUUUUUUUUUUUUGCUUUAAAUUUUUUAGAUGCCUAGAGGUCACACUAGGAAUGUAAAUGGAUGUGAGUCAGUAGUGCUCCCAUUCCGAUCAGCUCUGAAUAGGACAGUAAACAGAGGACCCCUAUCCACCCUAUCCGCUAAGAAAAUAGAGCAGUAAAGAGAGAAUCCCUUUUGUCCCUUGAUUUACUUUCAUCCAGCAAAAAUUUAUAAACCUCCAUUUUCUUUUAGAACAGCUUCGGAUGGAACAGUAAGUGAGGAUAGAAAAUAGGAUAAAUCAAAAUUUGUUCUAAAUUCGUCCUAACUCGCCAAGAAAAUAGGGCAGCCCCCCGAGUCCGUCAUGUUUGCAUUUCUAAUACAGACGCUUUUUAUAUAUUUGAAUCCGAAUUCAACACUGACUCAUGUAGCCAUGAGUUAGAAUGGUGUAAUUUGUUGUGUGGGAUUGGAGUUGAACCUUUUUCCUAAGAUUGUAAGAUUGAUCAAAACCAGUCCAAAGCGCGAAACCCAAUCGAUCAUUCUUAAACUCAAUUCCUAAUUUUAAAAUUAGCAUAGAAUUUUACUGUAAAAAAUAUUAACUUAUGGCACAAUGAAAUAAAGAAAAAAUGGUGUUCAUAAUAUUGUAGUUCAAAAUUUAUAGAAUGAGAUCAUUAAUUGGAGCCAUUUGAAAAGCCCGAAAGCGUAUAAAAUAAUAAAAAUAUUAUUCUUUAACAUCUAAAAAGAUUUUAGAGUACUCGGUUAUUUCAGAGAUCUAAUCAUAACUCUAUUUAUACUCAUCGCAGUUUCUCGACAAGCAGACACUGGCAAAGAUCCGAUCUCGCACGCCGCUCGGGCGAAUUGCGGAGGCGGAGGAGGUGUCGUCGGCGGUGGCAUUCCUUUGCCUCCCUGCAGCUUCUUACAUCACCGGGCAAACCGUCACGGUUGAUGGAGGCGUGACAAUAAAUGGGUUUUUCUUUAAUUAGAAUAGAAUUUGCCCGCUAAACUUAAUUAAUAUCCAUGAUUAAAUAAGAUAGGGAUUAAUGAGAGUUCCAAAGUUGUAUGUUGCUACUUCUAUGUAUGUCCUAUUUAUGCAGAUGUUCCGUAACGAAUGUGCUUAUUGCUAUUUUUUUAUUUUUUAUUUUUUUUUUUGUAUGUGUUUUUGACUUUUUAACAUUGCCGUUAGCCAAUUACCAAAACCAUUUUAUUGACAAUCCCUCAAUUUAUAUUUAAAAAAAUUAAAAUUGAAAGCUAAAAUAUACCCCCUUUUUUUCGGAUGUUUGCUUGUCUCCGUCUUUACAUUAAAUCCAUCAAUAUAAACUUUGUUUAAAAAACAAAUCUUUUUAUGAUAAAGCUUUUUUUAAGAGAUUUAGCAAACUUAUUGACCGCUCGUACUGAUUAGACGAGCUAAUAACAGUGUUGUAUUAUUUUUUUUAAAAAAAUAAAAAAUUUAAUUGAUAGAAACGAAAUCCAGUUUGGUACGGUCCGAUCUGGACUACCAGGGUGAGGGCUAUGCUGGGUCAUAGACAACGGUGUCAAUGAGUACGAUCUGCAUUACAUUCCUAAAUACAAUGCGCUCUCACCGUCUUGCCUUCGAACAAUCACCAUGGAGCUAUAAAGUUAACAAAUAGACAACGAACCGACCGUUCCUAAAGCAAAUGACAAAAAAUUUGGUGGUUGGUAUCUGAGAUCCAAGUUCGAAUCCUAAUUGAUUCACAUUUCCAGCUAAGUUUAUUUCUAAAUAAAAUAAACGAAGCAAGUAGCAUGCUAUCUAUCUCUCAAAAAAAAAAAAAAAAAACAAAUAGACAACGAGAUUUGUUUCUAAACUUGCAUCAAUAUUUCGAUAUGUAUUGGUGCGGUGGCCGACUAUUUUGAAUGAAAAAUAAUACAUUCAAUGUAAAUUUUAUUAUUAACAAAACAAAAAAGUUCAAAUUAUGAUUAAAUAUAACAUAUCUAUUUUGAUAAUAUCAAAAAUUAUUUUGGAUUAUAUCUAAUUGCAAAUGAAUGGUGGUGUUUGAGGAUCUGGUUGAGGAAUAGGUUGGUUCUAUGGGGUAUUGAUCGUACCUGUGGCGCACUCAAAUUAAGUCUCAAAUCAGAUGUGCUUAUCCACUGGAUUAAAGUUUAACACUCAUAUUAUUGACCAAAAGUGAUUGAUAUAAAAUUGCUGAGGGUAGUGUAAUUUUAAUCAAUUUGAGCAAACCUCAUACUAAAUUUCUCAAUAAUAUUAUUAGACGUAAUACUUUUAACUCUCAGUAUAUAAAAUUGUACUAUUUACCUUCCCAUCUCAGAUGUAAUAAUAGUUAAAUUUAAUGAAAUGUUCAAUAUAUCUAAGUAAAACAACUUAAAUAACAAAAUUAGAAUUAAAAGAGACCUCAAUAAAAAAGAGUGUAAAAUUGAGAACUCUAUUUUAAAUCUCCCAUACUUGAGGGAUCUCUCUACACUUUUAGCCUUAUAAAAGGAAAGCCAAGGUAAUGGAUACCAACACCAACCCCAAAAAAAAAAUCACACACAAAUGGAGGAAACAGAGAGUAAGAAAGGCAAAGAGAGGUGGUCUCUUCACGGAAUGACUGCUCUGGUCACCGGAGGUACCAAAGGAAUUGGGUAAUCUCUCUUCUCCGUCUUUUUUUAAUUUUCUCAUCUAUCAUUUAUUAACAGAAUCAUUUUUACUAUUUAUUUUAGCUAUGCGAUCAUGGAGGAGCUACUGAGCUUCGGGGCGGCGGUGCAUACGUGCGCACGAAACGAGGCGGAGCUGCGGUCGUGCCUGGAGCGGUGGAGGGGGAUGGGUUAUCCGCUAGUGACCGGAUCCGUCUGCGACGUGUCGUCGCGGGAGCAGCGCGAGCAGCUCAUGAACGAGGUGGCCUCCCUCUACGCCGGAAAACUCAACAUACUUGUGAGCAGAUAACUCUCUCCCUCACUCUUUUUUUAAGAAAUGCUUGAUUUACAACCAAAAAAAAAUUAUCUUAGAAUUUUUUUAGAAUUCACUAAUUUUUUAAAAAAUUUUUAGUAAACAAAUCGGUCGCAACUGGAUUUGUAGAUUAAAAGUAGACAUUGAAUAGAAUGAUUGUAGAAUUAUAGAUCUAGUAAUUUUGUUUUUUAAUCGAAGUGUGAGUCGCAUUCCAGUUCAGUUUUCACGCUUAAGUACCAAUCACAUGUAGUUGGUCAUAGCCUUUUAGGCUGAUCCAGAUUUUUGACUUCCAUGGUAUCAAAAGAGAGAAUAAAAGAAAAUAGGAAUGAGGUGGAAAAGUUUGUUCAUGGUUGAUAUGGACCAUACGUGUCCAAAUUUGUGUGGUAUAAAUUAUUUUCGAAUUUUAUUAUAAUAUAUUGUUUUUUUAUCGAAAUGUUUGAUUUCGGCCCGGUACAGCUCAGGCCCGUUGCGGGCCGUCGGGCCUUAAAAGGAGCAGCCCAGCAUGACCGGGCACAGACGCUACAGUAUCCACCGUGCCGUGUUGUAGUCCGGAUCGAGGCCGUGCCGGACAGAGCAGCCUAUUUUACAUCCCUAUCUAAAAGUUAAAGUUACCUAUAAAUAUAAUAUUUUAAACUUAUUUAACGCUUUAUAUUAAAUAAUACUAUAUAUAUUUAUUUUAUGUUUUAAUUUUUCAUCCUAGAUUUUGAACGGUUAAAAUUUACUCAUUUGUCUUAUUAAUUUUUUUAAUACUAAAAAUUGAAAUUUAUUUUUAAAUUCUUGAAUUAUAAAGUGUAAAGUAUACAUCCUAAAAUAAAGCCCAUCAACGAGCCAAAUACAAAUGAGCUGGGCAGGCUCGUGUUCACUCGUUUGAACGAGAUGAACACAAGUUGACUCGCGAAAAAUAAACUAGAUUGUCAAACCCAACUACUGAGUGAAAAGUUGAAAAAAAAAUAAAUAAUUAAAAUCUUAAUCUAAUAAUUAAAUUUUAUAAAAUAUAAAUCUCCUUAUAUUUGGGAGGCAUAUUUUUUAAAUAGUAGAAAUAUUUAAUAUAUAUAUAUAUAUAAAGAGAGAGAGAGAGAGAGUACGUCUUCUACACUUUCGAAAGCACGGAGCUCUCCGUAUUUAUAAGUUAUUUUUGAUGAUGGAACAUCCAAUUUGAUGAUCAGCUCCGUUAAGUAUAAUAUAUUCUAUUAGAACUAUUUAGAAACUAAAUUUCAUAAUUUUUCGACAUUAUUUAUCAAGUGAUUAAAGGGUCUCAAAAAUGACUAUUUUAAUAGUCGAUAUAGCACGUUUGUAAGUUCAACAGUGUAGAAGAAUCCAAAUUAUUUGAAACUUUAAUAAAAAAAAUUUAUUUAAUAUCAAGAGAAAAAACAACACUUUUAAUUUGAAGUUUGAAUCUUUUAUCAUUAUUUUUUUAUAAAAUUUUGAUUUUCAAUCGUUCAUUUUGAAGCUACACGUUUACUAGGCAAACAUAAUCAAAAAAUUAUAAAAUUUGAUUUUUAAAUAGUUAUAAUAAUGUAGAUCAGCCCUAACGGAGUGGAUUAUCAAAUCGGAUGUCCUAUAAUCGAAAAUAACUUUCAAGCACAGAGGCUUCCGUACCUUCGAAAGCGUAAGAACCUGAUUCUAUAUAAUUUUAAAAUAUUCAACUUAUAUUCAGCUUAUUUAUUAAACUAGUGACCAAUUUCAACCUUAUUUCAAGUUGAACACGAGUUGUCUCGUAAAUCCUAAUACGAAUGGCCAUUUCGUUUACGAUAUGUGUGAUAAUUAAUUUAUAUGCAGGUAAACAACGCCGGAACAAACAUACCAAAACCAACUACAGAAUGCAGUGAAGAAGUUGCUGCGCACAUAUGGGCCACUAACUUCGAAUCAGCCUAUCAUCUCAGCCAGCUCUCGCAUUCUCUCCUGAAGGAAUCGGGAUGCGGCUCGAUCGUCUUCGUCUCCUCCGUCGCCGGUGUUGUUGCGAUACCUUACGGAACCCCUUACGCUGGAACUAAGGGUAAUUAGCUUUUAUUUUUCUUAAAAUUAUAUAUAUGCGGAGGUUCGAACUUUUGACCUUAUAAUUAUGGUAAUCAAACAUUAUGCUGCAAUUCAGGAGCAAUGAAUCAGCUAACGAAGAAUUUAGCGUGUGAGUGGGCGAAGGAUCACAUUCGGGCUAACUGUGUCGCGCCUUGGUUUACGAGAACUCCGCUAGUGAAUCCAGUGAGUUGUGGCUUUCUCCCUUUUUUUUUUUUUAUUAAACUUUUUUAAGAUGCCUAGUGGUUAAUACACNCUUUAUUAGGCAUGAUCUAUAUUAUUAUAACUAUUUAAAGUUUGAAUCUUUUAUCAUUAUUUUUUAUAAAAUUUUUAUUUUUAAUCGUUCAUUUUGAAGCUACACGUUUACUAAGCAAACAUUAUAAAAAAAUUAUAAAAUUUGAUUUUUAAAUAGUUAUAAUAAUAUAGAUCAUGCCUAAUAAAGUCGAUUAUCAAAUCGGAUGUCCUAUAAUCGAAAAUAACAUACAAGCACGGAGACCUCCGUACCUUCAAAAGCGUAGAAGCCUAGUUCUAUAUAAUUUUAAAAUAUUCAACUUAUAUUCAGCUUAUUUAUUAAACUAGUGACCAAUUUCGAGCUUAUUUUGAGGCGAACACGAGCUGUCUCAUAAAUCCUAAUAUGAUUAGCCAUUUUCUUUAUGAUAUGUGUGAUAAUUAAUUUAUAUGCAGGUAAACAACGCGGGAACAAACAUACCUAAACCAACUACAGAAUACAGUGAAGAAGAUGUCGCGCACAUAUGGGCCACUAACUUUGAAUCAGCCUUUCAUCUUAGCCAGCUCUCGUAUCCUCUCCUGAAGGAAUCGGGACGCGGCUCGAUCGUCUUCGUCUCCUCUGUCGCCGGUGUUGUUGCGACACCUUAUGGAACCCCUUACUCUGGAACUAAGGGUAAUUAGUUUUUAUUUUUUUUAAAAUUAUAUAUGUACGGAUGUUCGAAUUUUUGACCUUAUAAUUAUGAUAAUCAAACAUUAUGCUGCAAUUCAGGAGCAAUGAUUCAGCUGACAAAGAAUUUAGCGUGUGAGUGGGCGAAGGACCACAUUCGGGCUAACUGUGUCGCGCCUUGGUUUACGAGAACUCCGCUAGCUGAUCCAGUGAGUUGUGGUUUUCUCCCCCAUUUUGCUUUAAUUAAACUUUUUUAAGAUGCCUAGUGGUUAAUACACAGACCGUUGGAAAAAUAUUUUUGAUCUUUUAUUACAAUAUUCUUUAAAAAUCAAUUCAAAAAUUUAAAUUAUAAGUUUCGAAAUAUUCCGCGAAAGAAAUUAAAUAACAAAUACUAUAAAAAAAAGGUUUAGAUAAGGUCUAUGGAUCGAGGCGUGCAGAGUAUUGUCCUAGAAGCGAAAUUAUCCCUCCACGUGCGAGGCUUCUCGGCAAUUACUCCUAACGAUACAACGAUCAUGUUUCACCCCGUCUGCACGCUUUCAAGGUGGCGCAAGAUGAACCCAACCAGCUUCAGAUCCAGCAAUAAAAAACUCGGCGAAAAUCCAAAAAGCAGAAAAAGACGAGAGGGUUUAGAUAUGCUCAGGUUAUUAAUUAACUCGUGCAAUCUCGCCCCAUAUUUAUAAUCUAGGUGAGAAUCUUGUUUCAACGCGCCAAAUCCGUGUAGAAAAAGAUAAGCCUAAGAUUAUACGGAAAAAAAUUAGGAUUAGAAUAAAAAUAAAGAUAAGGAUUAAACUAAAGAUAAAACCGAAAAAAUAAAAUAAAAUAAACCGGGUGUAUGAACCACGCACGUCACCGCCCGCCCGCCCGCCCCGACUCGUGCUGUGUGUGCGUGUGUGUAUUUAAACGAGAACAUUACUCUCACUUUCUUCCAAACAACUAGCUUGAGAACUGAGAACAAAAGAAUAUAUAAAAAUCACAAAUACCCUUUUGGUUUUCAAUAUGGGACUAAACAUCACACAUAAAAAUUUUAAUUGGGGUCCCAAAUGGUCCAUUAACAAAUAUUGGGCUCUCAAAAGGCCUUAACAAAUUUUAAAUCACAACAAACCUAAUAAAAUCUAAUACAGACUAGGAAUGCAAAUGAAUCUACGUCUGCGGAGCUCCUAUCUCAAUUCGUUCUGAUUGAGACAAUAAGUGGAUCGCUCUAUCAGCUAAGAAUGGAGCAGAUUUUUUUUCUUUUUGCUUUAAAUUUUUUAGAUGCCUAAAGGUUAUACUAUCCGGACUAGGAACGUAAUGGAUGUGAGUCGGUAGAGCUCCCAUUCCGAUCAGCUUCGAAUGGGACAGUAAACAAAGAACCCCUAUCCACCAUAUCCACUAAGAAAAUGGAGCAGUAAUUAAAGAGAGAAUCCCUUUAGUCCCUUGAUUUGCUUUGAUCCAGAAAAAAUUUAUAAAAUCUCAAUUUUCUUUCAGAACAACUACGGAUGGAACAGUAAGUUAUGAUAGAAAAUAGGAUAAGUCAAAAUUCGUCCUAAAUCUGUCCUAACUCACCAAGAAAAUAGGACAGACUCUGACUCGGUCCUGUUUGCAUUUCUAAUACAGACGCUUUUUAUAUAUUUGAAUCCGAAUUCAACACUGACUCAUGUAGCCAUGAGUUAGAAUGGUGUAAUUUGUUGUGUGGGAUUGGAGUUGGACCUUUUUCCUGAGAUAGUAGGAUUGAUCAAAUAAGGUCCAAAGCGCGAAACCGAAUAGAUCAUUCUUUAAACUCAAUUCCUAAUUUUAAAAUUAGCUUAGAAUUUUACUAUAAAAAAUAUUAACUUAUGGCACAAUGAAACAAAGAAAAAAUGGUGUUCAUAAUUUUUUUUUUUUGAGAGAUAGGUAGCACGCUACCCGUUUCGUUUAUUUUAUUUAGAAAUAAACUUAGUUGGAAAUGUGAAUCAACUAGGAUUCGAAUUUGAAUCUCGGAUACCAACUAUCAAACCUUUUGCCACUUGCUUUAUGGACGGUCGGUAUGUUCAUAAUAUUUUAGUUCAAAAUUUCUAGAAUGAGAUCAUUAAUUGGAGCCAUUUGAAAAGCCCGAAAGCGUAUAAAAUAAUAAAAAUAUUAUUCUUUAACAUCUUGAAAGAUUUUAGAGUACUCGGUUAUUUCAGAGAUCUAAUCAUAGCUCUAUUUAUACUCAUCGCAGCUUUUCGACGAGCAGACACUGGCAAAGAUCCGAUCUCGCACGCCGCUCGGGCGAAUUGCGGAGGCGGAGGAGGUGUCGUCGGCGGUGGCAUUCCUUUGCCUCCCUGCAGCUUCUUACAUCACCGGGCAAACCAUCACGGUUGAUGGAGGCGUGACAAUAAAUGGGUUUUUCUUUAAUUAGAGUAGAAUUUACCCGCUAAACUUAAUGAAUAUCCAUGAUAAAAUAAGAUGGGGAUUAAUGAGAGUUCCAAAGUUGUAUGUUGCUACUUCUAUAUAUGUCCUAUUUAUGCAGUAUGUUUCGUUCCGUACAUGCUUAUUGCACUUUCUUUUUUGAUUAUUUGUACUUUUUAUACAUUGUAGCUAAGCAAUUACCAAAAAGGCGAAACCUUUUUUUCUUUUUGUGGCUCAACUUGAAAACCAAAAAAAAAANCUAAACUUAAUGAAUAUCCAUGAUAAAAUAAGAUGGGGAUUAAUGAGAGUUCCAAAGUUGUAUGUUGCUACUUCUAUAUAUGUCCUAUUUAUGCAGUAUGUUUCGUUCCGUACAUGCUUAUUGCACUUUCUUUUUUGAUUAUUUGUACUUUUUAUACAUUGUAGCUAAGCAAUUACCAAAAAGGCGAAACCUUUUUUACAAGUAUAGGCACAACAAAUAAAUACAAAAUAAAAAGAAGAAAAAAAAAUAAAGGAUAAGUAAAUUGCUGAAGGGUCCUCGAAAUUUUAGUGCAGUUUUAGAUUAGUCCACAAUUCAACUUUUACAGUUAAAUUCCAAACUUUUACGACCUUUUGUAACUUUAGUUUCAAUCAAAUUUGUACUCAAAAGGGAAAAUAAUAAAAAAGGGAACAAGUUCGAAUGCAAUUCAUCCAAAAGUUAAUAAACCACGAUAAUCCAACUAUGAACAUUAUGAGCAUGCUGAUAUGUCACGCGUAAAUUUGUUUGUACAACAGAAGCAAGUAUAGCAUACUGAACAGAAGCAUUAAUGUGUAUAUAUAAAGAGAUGAUUAGAAAUGACCCCUGAAGCAUUUCCCAAAAAGUCCAUGAACAUUAUGGGCUCAAAUUGAACUAGUUUUGCGGUCCAACCCGGCCCGGUCCGCCCAAUGCGACCCAACAUGGUCUAUUAAGAAACCUACGCAUUAGCAUUUUUAUUAAAGCAUACCAAUGAUCCAUUUUGCACUAAAUACCAGCAAUAAGAGACCAAAUUCACUUCGGAAUAAUUCAAGAACACCUUGCUUGCUCCGAACUCUCUUUUAUCCUUCACACAUCAAACAUACACAACUUAGUCAUAUAAUUAACCCCCUCUCUUCUCUUUCUUAUAGCUUUGCACUCACCUCUUUGAGUUCUUUUAAUUCGCUCCGUUUCACAUCACAUGUUCUUCUACUCUUCUAGCACUAACCAACAUGGAAGAGAGCUCUCCAAUGUUUGUUCACUCCAUCUCCGAGACGGGCCGGUUACUACCUUCGGCAAGCCGUUGGAACUCCAUAGAAAUCGACUUCGAUCUUUUCCCGACGUCUUCGCGGACGAACGAUCCCGUCCCCUCAAAGUACUCAAAGUCUUAUACAUUUAAACUCGGCAUAACCGACAUGUCGCAGCUCAAGUGCUUCAUCUACGUGUCGAUUGCUUUAGUUCUCAUCGUCGUCGCUUUAGUUCUCUUGAUGGUUCUCUUGCCGCGCAAACGCGGCCACCAUGGCUCUUCUAGCAAUCUACCAGUUGCUCUAGAGUAUAGCCUUCUAUUCUUUGAUGCCCAAAAAUGUGAAAUCUCUUUUCCUACUUAUCUAUGUAUUAAGCGCCUAUUCGGUCUGGCUUCUGCAGCAGCUUCUAUGCUCUGGAAGUAAAAUACUUUAGAUGGUUUAGAUCUUAUGUUGCGGCGAGAAGAAAAAUGAGAUUCUAUGCCACAAACAAAGAAGCUCCGAACCGAAGCUUCCACACAAGUUGCAACGAGUAUUUGGGUAUUGGAGCUUGUUCGAACAGCUCUACCCAAAUCGCACUUCUACAAAAGUUCCAGGUCAAAUAGGCUAUGAGUUGGUACCAGGUUUGUGUGAUGGAUCUUACUUUCUUUGAUUAUUAUUCUACAGCUGGGGUUCUUCCGACAAACAAUCCGGUGAAGUUCCGUCGCAAUUCAGGGUUAAAGGAUGGCCCGGAUGCUAGUCUUGUCGGAGGCUUCUAUGACUCAGGCAACAACAUCAAGUUCAGCUUCCCCACAGCUUACACAAUCACUUUACUGAGUUGGUCAGUGAUUGAGUACCAUAAAAAGUAUUCAUCUAUUGAUCAGCUUGAGCAUGUUCAGGACAUCAUCAGAUGGGGAUCUGAUUAUUUACUUAAACUCUACAUCCCAUCCAACACAACAUCAAAACCUGCACUGCUAUAUUCUCAGGCAAGUUACUAUUCCUUAAAAUCAGUUGGUUGUUACACCAUAUGAGGACAUCACAUAAUAUGUGUGAGACUUUGAUGCAGCUAAAAUUCUGCAAUGCUGUUGAACAUCUAGAAAAUGUGAUCUGCAAUGCUGUUGAUACGCUAAUUACUUUACUGAUAGGUUGGGAGUACAAAUACAGAUAAAAAUUUGCAAGAUGACAUGACAUGCUGGCAAAGGCCCGAGGAUAUGACCUACGAUAGACGCGUGUCGAUAUGCGGAGGUUCUGCAGCUGAUCUUGCAGGGGAAGUUGCAGCAGCAUUAGCUGCAGCUUCUCUUGCAUUGGCAGAUCAAAAUGAAACAUACUCCCAGAAGCUGGUUGAAGCCUCAGAAAGCGUAUUUAAGUUGGUUAGGAAAAGCCAGAAUAAAGAGACAUAUACUGCAGAUGAUGCCUGUGGAGGAGAAGCAAGAGGUUUCUACACCUCUUCAAGCUAUAAGGAUGAGUUGGUUUGGGCAGGGACAUGGCUAUUCUUCGCCACGGGGAAUUAUGCGUAUCUUCGAUACACUACCGAUAAUUUCGAGCUCGCGGUGAAGGAAGAGAUGGAUUCAAACAGUGGGAUUUUCUACUGGGACAACAAGAUUCCAGCAAACGCAGUAAAUUUCGCUUAAACUGCUUCUGAACAUGAAGAAAACAGAUUUGGAAGGGUUAAUUAUAUUUGAUUGAUUCUAUUUGUAGGUUUUGCUAACAAGGCUAAGGUAUCUCCAUGAUCCUGGAUAUCCAUAUGAAGCCGCACUAACAGUGUGCUCAGAUAUGGUUAACAUUCUGAUGUGUUCCUACCUCUCUUAUUCUGGGAGUUUUAACAUGACACCAGGUACAAAAUCUAAAAUCCACCAUGAAGUAUGCUUAAAUAUUAGCUGCUAGCAACUUGUGCAGCUGUUGAAUCAAGAUUUUUAGCGAAGAACUAGUAUUUUUUCCAUCAGUAUCUCCUCAAACAGUUUUCUACUGCUGCUGAAGCAAAAGCAAAAGCAAAAGCAGAAGCAGAAGCAGAAGCAGAAGCAGAAGCUCCAAUUGUAGCUUCCACUUGAUUGUUCAGAAGCCCAUUUCAUUUUCCUGCCUAAACAAGAUAUUGGAUUUUUCAUUUACAUGCAUUUUAAAGUUAAAAAAGAAAAAGCAAUUUCAUUAGGAACAGUAAUAUAUAGCAUAAUGAAGAGAUGCAGCAGUGCCUGUGGGUCGGUGCAGGUGGGCUGCUUCUCCGGAAAGAUAACUUCAGACCACUCCAGUAUGCUGCAACUGCUGCUUUCCUCAGCAGUAUUUACAGCGACUACCUAAACAUCAUUCAGGUCCCUGCCGCAAGCUGCGGCGCCAACACGUUCUCCGUCAAACAACUGCAGAGCUUUGCAAAAUCACAGGUCUUCCUUAACUCACCAAUUCUUAAAGAGUCCAAGUAGAUUCAGCUAUAGCAGUAACACAACAUAAUGAUCUCAGGUGGAUUAUAUACUGGGGAACAAUCCCUUGAAGAUGAGCUACAUGGUUGGUUUCGGCGACAACUUUCCACAGUACGUUCAUCAUCGGGCGGCAUCGAUACCAUCAGACGGCCGGCGGUACAGCUGCAGCGAAGGGAAAGCAUGGCUUAGCGCAAAGGACCCUAACCCGAAUGUCGUGACGGGCGCAAUGGUGGCGGGCCCGGACAAAGAGGACCAGUUCUUGGACCAGAGGGAGCUGCCUGAGUACACGGAGCCAUCCAUAUCAGGCAAUGCUGGUCUUGUAGCAGCUCUUGUUGCACUGUUGGAUUAUCCUGUCUCUGUAGAGUAUAAUCAUUUAACAGGUGGAAUGGACAGCGAAAGAAUCUUUGCUAACAUUUCAUAGCGCACUUGGCGUGCAUAAUAAAUUUGUUGUUUGUUUAAUAAUAGAGGACAUUAACUGUUUCCUUUUAAUCUAAACACUAGGACAUAAUGUUCUAAUAUUGCUAAGUUGGGAAAUGUGACAUUUUUGGGUUUUUUUUGCAAGUUUUUCAUUUGAGUAUGGAAAAUAUUAGACAGCAUAAGAAGCUUGGUUGUAAAUUGUUCUAAGUUAGCAAAAGAAUAUUAAUUAUCCGAGUAUGACAUUCCCAAUUGUAUAGCCUAGAGAAUCUCUAAGUAGAAUAUAUAACAUCGAACCCACACAUAAAAUCUUUCAAUUAAGCCAAAGUACACUAAAAUCCAACUCCCAAUUUUAUAAAUUUGAAGGUGCAAGUGAAAUAAGAAAAGAGGUGAAAUUUCAUCAAAAGUUGGGAGAGUAUUGCAACUGCCGGAGAAAAUCAAAACAAAGUGCACAAAUUGAAGAUCAUUCUCCAUAUGGAAGACAACACAAAAUUAUAGGAAUUAGUAGGAUCCAAGCACAUCAAAUUUACACCACUAUCUUAACUCACGCACAUAAAUACGCUGAUAAGUUAGUAAGUCAACAUGUUCAACAGUGCACAAUCCUGCGACUCGAAAAAGCACAAGAUAAAUAAAGCAUAAUUACUGGAGGAAGUUUGUUUAUUACAAAAUAUAUAUAAAGGGAGAUAGAAACAUUCUGUUCAUUUGUCAAGAGUGCCUCAGCAGUUCAUAGGCCAGUGCAGCAACAGAGCGGCAGCAGUAGCAUUAGCAGCAUGAAAGCAACGACAGCGGCAGCAAAAGCAGCAAGGCUAGAGCUGAAGCAAUAACAAGAACCUUAAUGUUAUAACUUGGAAAGUCAACAGCUGCGCGCUAACAUAAAGCUGAAGUGCUUAUUCUAAAGAUACUGUCCACAUAAGACCAUAUGAAACUUCAUGUUAGUAAGGCAAAAAAAUAAAAGUGAAAGAAAAUGAAGUUCUUUGCCUUCGAUAUCAGUUCUUAAAACGAAAAGGACAUUAAAAAAAAAAAAACACUAGCUCACCAAUAUUGUUUAUUUUUCCCCCUUUAAAAGCAUAGAGGAUUGUGAAACUCUAUUGUUUUUUCACUUCAAUGUGGUUGUGUGUGAAAGGAAGGAGGGGAUACCAUACAUUGCGUAUCAGAACCACUUGUUUCCUCAGGCAUGGUGAUAUAUACUUGCUCAUUCUCAGCAAUGUGAUGUAAGUUAAUGGUCAGUAAAAUGAACAAAAAUUAGAUAGACCCAAUUCCAUGAACAUGAGUUACCCUUCUAGCUUGUUUCGGCAGUUUCUUUCUGGUAUUUUCAUCCUUUAGGAACUAUUAGAGGUACCAAUUUUAUGAUUCAUUGGCACUAUAAAGCAUAUUUUCAGAAUGUAAAAGAAAAGCUUUUAAAUAUUCAUAUAUUUUAGCAGUCCACAACUCCACAUGUGCUCUGCAUCAACAUAAGUCUUAACACUGUUGCUGAAGGAACCAUCUAACUCAUGGGACUCGAGAUAAAACAAACUGUGGCUUCUUAAUUGUAUUUUGCCCUUCAUUAUUUACUUAGUUUAAAUGAACUUUUGGCCGGACACUACUUUAAAAUAAGUUAUUAUUCCUACUACCCUCAUCCCAUAUAUUUUAUGCUUGUUUACCUACAUCCUUUUUAUUGACCUGCGACCAUGCAUCAACCAUUGUAUGCUGCAGCCAGCCCCUAUCAUCCUCUUGUAUCUACUGCUAUUGCUGACAACUGCCACCACCCAAUAUAUUCAACUCUGGCCAGCCCCUUUUCAGCAGAUAUUUUGUGACUUUUCGAGUUCAUUAUGGCUAGGGUUUCAUCCCUUUAAUGUUUUAUCUUUUUUUCCCUAUGUUUUCAAGCCCUAUACUUAGGGAUGCAAACAAAUCCGGGUUGGUGGAGCUCCCGCCCCGAUCCGCCCCGACGGGGGUAGUAAAUGGGAGAAAAUAAUCGAAUUCGGGGCAGGAAAUAGGGUAAAUUUUACGAUCCGAGAUGGAUUCGGGGCAGGAAACGGGAGAAAUUUUGAUCCGCCCCGAAUCCGCCCCGCCAUGAUCCGCCCCGAAUCCGCCCCGAAAAUCAAUUAUAUUUUAAAAAAAUAUUCCUAAAAAAUAAUGUAUUUACAAAAAAAGUUUAAAAUACAAAUAAGUUAGUACUCUUAUUUCUAAUGUAUUUGAAACUUUUGAAUUUUGUUUUGAAUUGUGAUUGAUAUUUUUGAUUUUUAUAAUUGAUAUUGUUAAAAUAUAUAUAUAAUAUUAUUAAAAUUAUUAAUUUAUAUUUUACAAAAUAUUAAUAAUAUUAUAAUUUUAUAAAAAAUAUUAAUUGGCGGGGCGGAUUAUGGGAUGUAUUUUUUAACCCGUCACGGAUUCAGGGCUGGAGGCGGGGCGGGAUUUUGCUAGUCGGGGCGGGAGGCCAGGCGGGGCUCCUGCCCCCAAAUUCACCCCGUUUGCAUCCCUACCUAUACUCAUCCCCUUUUUUUCCAUCCUUUUCUUCUCAAACCAGUCCGCACGUCUGGUUAUUAUAUUAUUCUCCUCCUAUUUUCUAAUUGGGUGGUAUUUUAUUAUUUAUUUCAUUGUCCUCUACGUGCUUCCAGAUUAAUUUAAGAAACUUUUCAAGUUCUGACGAAUGAAAACACUAUUCCACGGAAUCAAUGCAGUUCAGAGUCAUCACCAGAGUUGACAAUCUAUUUGUAGUAAAAGUUUGUAAUUAAGAUGGACAUACACUUGAACCUGUUGAAGAAGUAUCCUCAAUUAGAAUAAUGGAUGGGUUUCAACUCUGUUCACUUUUGCAGCACUUAGAGCAGUUGAUGGGUGAUAGAAACGGCAAACAGGUCGAUGGCAAAGCCCACGUCGAAAAUCACGACAAACUUCAACCUGGUCCCCAAUCACCUAUAGAGAGCACAAAAAUCAAUAAACUAAUAAAACACUAGCGCAGAACAAAUAAAUAUAUGUAACUCAAUUAUUUAUAGUAGUAACUUCUUGAUGACUACAGAUGAUACCAAAAAAAAGUUGCCAUACCUCGGUUUGUGAAUCAGGGUGAGCAUAUUUACAUGACUCCCGUCUACACAUAUUCUUCAAGAAGUCUUUACAUACUGGUAAAACGUCUUGAUCUGUUUAUCAUGAAAGUAAAACAUUACCCGAUGACAAUUGAACAUAUAACAAAAAUAUAAAGUAUUGUUUGGUUACACUUCCAUCUUUCAAUUUUUCCAGAACUCAAGGCCUAUGAGAUUGACUGUGCUGACAGAUGUCAGAUUGUUUGCAAUCUAUACACUAAAGGGGUUGCUUGGCAACAAAAAAAAGAAAAUUUUGUAGUAACUUUUUGUCUUUGUUUUCUUUUAUUAUUUUUUUCUUUUUUUUUCCAAAGAAGAUGAAUUUGCAAGCUAACCAACAAUAAUAAGAGCCGAAGAGUCUAUUGGCUAGCAAAACUCCACCAUAUAAAAUUUGAGUUUUUUCCUAAAGGAAUAAAUUUACCCAAAAAAAGGUUGAAAGUUUCAGAUUUUAUGGGGUCGCAACUAUAUUCCAAAUAGCAACCACAAUGAAGUAAUAAUCCGCAUGCGACUUAGUACAUAAGUGACUUAUUGGGUUAGUUACAGAAGGUGCAACAGAAAAACCAUUUUAUAGCAAGUUAAAACAAAAGCACAGACAAUAUAAUCAAGUGCUUACGAUUUUACCAUUAGCAAUUCGAGGAGGAGAAUUGGGCACAUUCAUGGGUGCUCCACGUGGUAGCAAGUAAGCCUAGAAUCAAAUGGAAUAAAUCAUCAGCAAAAGUUGUAAAAGUUCUUAAAAAGAAACCUCUGCAGAAACAGACAUAAAAGACGGCUGCUCCAGUACAGCCAAUAUCUAUUUUGCAAAAGGAAGAAAGUACACAAUAAGCAAACACAAUGAUCAAGGAUAAAGGUAAUUUUUAACCUGCGGCAUUGAAUGAGCUGGAACAUGAGAGUAACGACAAGAUUUGCGUUCACACCUUCCAUGUAAAAAAUCUUGGCAAACCUUUAAAAGAAGAAAAUUGAAAGAAACUUUAGAACAUAAUCAGGGACAUGAUUUUCAUGGCUCAAUCAAGAAGAGCAAAUAAUUUGCAGAUAUGAAGAAGUCAAUCUAAUGACAUCCUGAUAAAUUGUCAUGUUUCAUAAAUUAAAAUAUCUGUGACAUAGCAGAAAAUCCCAAUACAACACUCAAUAGUUUAAAAACAAUAGGUGUCAAUCUGACAAACAAAAUAAAUUUACAUGAUCAGCAUGUAUGUCAGUUUAUUAUGCGGGAACUAUUAAAAAUGAAUAUUACAUAUUCAAAUUCUCGCAUGGUAUUUGAUCGAGAAAGUACAAUAUUUGUACUCAAAUAAGCAAUGCGUACUUGAUAAUAGAUUAUUAUUGUGUAAGAGGAGCUUACUAUUUCAGAAUUGCCACUUGAUAACUGGUGAGAAAAUCGGCAUUCUCUAGCUGAUCUAAAACAUUUUCCCCGCAUGUAGUCUAGACAGACCUGAUAAAAUGUUCAUAAAGGGCAAUGAAAAAAAAAAUAAAGAGGCUGAACAAAAUACACAACUACCUAAUGAACAAAGCAUUACACAAAGAAAUGACCGUCCAUAUGGGCACUAGGCCUGAAGCAGGCAGUUUCCUCAUUGAAAACUGUUUAACCAGGUGAAAGAAGACACUGAUGCUAACACUGAGACUCUCAGAGAUGAGGUUUCCAAAGCAUUGGUCACAUUGUCUCUCAUAGUCAGGGCUUCAUCUCAUUAGCAAAAGAGAUGCAGAUUAUGAUAUUAAACCUUUGCAUGGGAAAUCUAUUGCCUGGACCUGGGCCGUGAAAUAGCCAUGAUCGUCCAUCACAUCAUCUCCAUCUGAUACUAUAUUUUCAAUAAAACCAACCAACUCACCUUUUAAAGAAAAACAACUUCUAAAUGAGGAAUAGACAGCAAUCACAGGGCAGUAAAAAUUGAAUUAAAGAUGGGAUGGAGGAAGCUGGGGUAGGCAGUCCAUGGCUGACAUUGUUGCUCAGGUCCACACAAUAAUUUCUACUUCAAAUGAGUAUGGAUGAGUCUUAUGAUAAUCAUAGUGGUACUUGCCAAUGAAUGCUUAUGGUAAUCAGUGAGCUCCUUCAAUCCUUCACCAUUUUAAAGUCAUGAUGCCACAUAAAAAAAAAAUUCCAGCAUUUUACAUAAGAAAUUUUCUUUUCCUGAUUUACUUCUGGGGAAAGAGGGGUAUAUCCUAUGUAACAAUAAAGAACAGUAAGAUAGAUAAUCUUAAGGACCACAAAGAGAACAAACCCAACAUUGCUUCUAAAAAUUACCACAGACAAAAAGAAUUGCGUAUCCAGAUUCAACAAACUGACAAACGGAAGCAAAACUUACUGUCUCCAUCUUUGCGUCUUCUAUGCCAAUUGAUUCCUGCAAUGACCUAAAGCAAACACGAAAGCCGACUAAGCCACUAGCUCCUAAGAUUGUGCUUAGCAAUUUUAUCUCAAAGGUCACUUCUUAGUUGCAUUAUUGCGGAUCUUAUCAAAAUAAUUUAUAUUUGCAUGCUAGCAAAGGGUACCUAAAUUUGAAAAAAGUUUAACCAUAGCUAUAAAUGAAAUAAAAUCCCAUACGAAUAACUUGCUCCAUUGUAGAAUCUUCAUUAUUAGUCACUUGGACAUUCAGGAAGCCAAGCUAUGGACAUUAACAUUUUUUUUUGAAUUUUAAUAUCAAACGAUGGAACCAUGCUAUAGCAGCAUUAGAGGCUGAAAGACUAAGAAAUCAGAAAGGGCGUACUUCUGGAUGUGUGGGGGAGGAUGGUAGUAACGGCAAGUCAGACCACGGAAGCACUUGUUCCGAAGAGAAUCUGCACAUGCAGUGACCUUAUCCCUAACAAAACAUUAAAGAUUAGACGAUAAAAUGGCUUCAACAGAUCAAAGAUAGGAAUAGGAAAGAGCAGGGGUUUAGGCUUGAUACCCCUCGAUGGUGACGGCAGGAAGAGGAUGGGCGAACUUGCAGUCGAUCGGUGGUCGACGACAAAUGUGGCGAAUGAAAUCCUUACAAACCUCGACAGAGAGGUUGUUCCGCCGGCGUUUAGCACUGCCAUUCCCGUAGCCAUCAUCAUCACUGUUGUAGCUCCACGGGCUGGAUCUUGGGGAGGAGGAUCGGCGUCGCUUACGAGGAGAACGUGGCUAAGCAAAGAGGAGUAUAUUCUAUGUUAUGUUAAGCAAAAUAAGAAAAUAGUACAUGAUAGGAAAAUCUAAGGGCAGUGCUGGUUAAAAUGAGCCAGAAAACAAUUUCCAUGAGAAAGAAACUGAAAAGCAGAAUCAAGAACACAGCAACAUUAUCUAUCUCCACCUUUGGGUCUUCUAAGCCAAUUGAUUUCAGCAAUGACCUAAAUAAAACAGAAACAAUCCAACUUAGUCAGUAGCUCCUAGAUUGUACUAGAAAUUCAGGAAAUUUCCAAAAUCAAGAUAUAAUUUUAAUUCCACUUUACCACCCUGUGUUUCAAAGGGCGGCACUUUGCAACCCAUUCUAACAGAGAUUUAACAGCAAGGUUUUAUUGAAACAAAAGACAAUAACUACAUGGGACAAAGAGCUACACUUGGUCAACUAGAGGGAGGUAAAGUGCAUAUUGUAUACUAUGUGACAAGGAAAGUUUCUGAAUUUUCCCUGUAUUUACAGUUUAGAGAGGCAUCCAAUUGUCAGGACUCACUUGUAAUGGCAAUUUAAGUGAUCCUUAUGGGGAAAAAAAAAAAAAAUGAAAGCAACAACUGUUGGAGUGCAAAGUGGUACACUUUGAACCACAUGGUAGUAGUAACAUCAAAUUCAGCAAUAUCAAGAUUUUUUUUUCUUUUUUUUUUUGUGAAAGUGUCAGUAAAAGUUUUACAUCCAAUAUCAAUCCUCCGUUGCCUUCACGCAACCUUCUCAAAGAAAAUAAAAUCUUGGUUUGUUUGCUACGAGAGGUAACAAAACUUGAGAAAAUUAACUGGAGCAAUGAACAAAACAAAAUCCAUCCAUGAAUCGAUAGUCUCUAGUAUACUCUUCGUUUUAAGUUGCUUGAACUUUAAGGAGAACCAUACAUGAAGAGUAAAAAGUUCUAUUAUCAACCUUUUUGUAAAGAUAGCUUAAUCACAUCUCAAAAUCAGAAACACAUACUUCUGAAUGUGAGGGGGUGGAUGGUAGUAGCGGCAGGUCGAACCGCGGAAGCACUUGUUCCGAAGAGAAUCCGCGCACGCCGUCACCUUAUCCCUACCAGAGACAUCAAUGUUGGAUCAAAAGAACAGUGCCCAAGGAUCAGAGACGGAGAGAACGAAGAGCUAGGGUUAGGGUUAGCACCCCUCGAUGGCGACGGCGGAGUGGGGGUGGGCGAACUUGCAAUCGACGGGAGCUCGACGACAAGUGCGGCGGAGGAAGUCCUUGCAUACCACGACGGAGAGGUCGUUGCGCCGCCGUUUUCCUUCGCCGCCGCCGCCGCUGGCGUAGCCGUCGAUGUAGUCGUCGUAGCUCCAGGGGCUGGAGCUGGGAGAGGAGGAUCGGCUUCGCUUACGAGGAGAGCGCGGGGAGGAAGGAGAGUUAGGGCUUUGGGGAGCCAUCAGGGUUUAGGAGGGACGAGGAGGAGGAGGAGGAGAAGAGGGAACGAGGUUAAAGGAGGCUCCUUUACCGGGUAACGCACGAUGGGCGCAUGAUAGCAGCUCCCGCGGCUUCGGACCUUGGUGUGCGCAGCGCACAAUAGAACUCGGCAAAAGUCGAAAUACGGCAACGUCUGUGUAUAUUGUGCCGACUUCAGUUAAAAGUGGCAAAAAUCAGAUUUCGGAACGGCUUUGUAAAUUCUGCCGACCUCAAAGAAAAGUAGCAAUACCCACACAAAAAAAAAAACAAUGGAGAUGCGGGGUAUCGAACCCCGUACCUCUCGCAUGCAAAGCGAGCGCUCUACCGUUUGAGCUACAUCCCCAUUUGCUUCAACUUCCGAGAAAAAUAUUUAUUAAGAUAAUACAGCAGCCCACCAUACUGUGUCAUUUCUGUACUUGGCUUGAGAUGACAACAACAAAUUGUUUAAACAAAUCCAUCAUAAACACUCUGAUCGAUUCCACAGGAUCCCAUAAACCAAAUCACCAUGUAGUAAUAUCUAAUUCCAUUCAUAUUUUUUGUAAAGUAAAAUACACGCGCAACUCAAUUUGUACAACAUACAUAGGUUCAACCUUCCAACAAAGGAACAUUGGAUACAUCGUAUCAUGAAUCAAAACAAGGUUAUUUACUAUCUUCUUGGUACUAUAAACAUACUUUACAUUGUAUUAGCAGCUCAGAUUUACAUUGCCGAGUAGACAAAUUGGGACAAAAAAAAUAAAACAUAAAUGGAUGCAUGCUAGGAGGCAAUAUGGCCUAUUAAACAGCGGUCGUGUUGUAUUACACAUUGUAUGAAGGGGAUAGCAACGAGACAAAUGACUAGUAUUCAUUUGUACAAAGCAGUGCACUACCGUAUUCAUCAGAUAACCUAUCGCCGAUCCGACAGAACCGACUCGCUCCAGUGAAGCAUAAAAUCUCGUGUAGCAGUAGGCAAAUCUGCAUGAAAGAGUCCGUGGAAGAGCAGCAUGUAAAGGUUAGGCAAGCGCUUGGAAAAUAUAAAGUAAACUAUCAAAAAGAUGGAAAAAAACGAAAAGUAAAAUAUGUAGAUGUAUAUUCUUUUUUUACCUCGCAGGACCUCCAAUGCAACUGAUGGUACAUCUACAUCUUCUUCAACCAAUCUGUAUACGUCUACAAGCUAAAAAGAAAGAAAAACAACAAAUUCAAUACACCCGCCAAACACCUAGUGUGCUAAAAGGUCAAAAUCGACCGACCUACUAUAUAAAAUUGAGCUGGAGUGCUUCCGGAAGGAUCAACUUAGGGCUUUCAAUUUUUGGGCUCUUGGAUCAAGCCCUUUGGCCCUUGGAUGAAAAGUUAACAAUGCUGGCUAGUGGUGGAGCCCCUCUAUUAUGCAUGAUCUAAGGGCCGAAAGGUUGAUCCAAGAGCUAGAAAGUUGGAAGCACCAAGGGGUUGGUGAUCAUAGGCUUCCAAGAUUUGGAAAUUAUAGUUAUGCCACCUAAUUAACCACAUUGAGACUUGGGAAAAUCUGCCAGUGCUUUCUUUGUUUUCUAUUGUUUUCUGCACCACAAAUUGCUGCGUCCAAGCAGCUAAACUAAUUCUAAUUUUAUACUCAAGGAAAGAUAGCAAAGAUAAGGGCCAUAGAAGAUAAUUGCCUUAAAUGUGCUAUACUGUUCGUCUUUUUUCUUUGUUUUACUUUUUAAUGAAAUGAUACAACUUAAAGGUCCUGGUUAAAGAUAUUGCAAACCUCUUGAAUGUGCAACUUUGAGUCUUCAGUUAGAGCCAUUAUAAGUUGUCUCCUGAUCCCAGCAUCGAUCAGGAACAUACGUGCUCCAUCCUUUAUAGUUUCUGUGAGGUCUAAUUUCUUCCCAAAUUGGCCAUUUCUUGAACUUCGCCUGUAAAGGACAGCAGGAGUUUAUAGUUUGUAACACACCCAUAAGACCUAGCAAGAAAUUAAAAUUACAUACGUGCUCUUCACUUUCAAUGCCGGAUUGCUGUUCAUCUUAGCCACAUUUUCUUUAGCAAGAACUAUGAGGUUUUCAAGCCGUUUCCAUUGGAAUACACCAUCCUUGAAUAGCACCUGAAUGCAAAAUAAGAUAAAGCAAUUAUUAACGGCAACAUCAAGAACAAAAUUGAGAUUAUAUACCUUAUGUGACAUUUCUACAUGAUUAUACUGGAUUACUAAGCUUCCUAAUUACCAAUAAUUAUAUCAAACUUAUGCUUAAUAUUAGAAAUUAUACUAUAAAGGAGGUUGUAGACGACAAACCUGUAUAAGGCGCUCACGAAGUGCAGGAUUUGGGUCAGUCAAAAGGCGCUUCGCUACAUAAGGAUAUGCAACCUUCAAAAAAAGUCAUAUACCAUAGACAAGCACCUUAGCAGACAAAACAGAUCCGAAGCAUCAAAAGAAGCGAUUAAGUGGUUGAAAUAUAACAAACUUAAAACCAGCGACAAAGUUAGAUAAAGCAUCAUUAAAAUAUGUGCAGUGAUGGAAAAAGGAAAUGCAAGUGGUACCUCAAGAAAUUUAAAAUCUGGCUCUAAAGUGAAGCAAAUUCCUUCCUGGGUCAACAAUGAACGAAUAACAAGAGAAAACCUCUCUGGGAUACGGAUAGGAUAAUUGUAAACAAGCUGAUUGAACUUCCCUGAAAAAAGUUCCUAGAUUAAGUAUUUUACUGUUUAAGAUAUUCUAAGUAUGUCCCUUGCAUUUCAUCAUUAUUACAAAAAUAAUUUCUGACCAUCAAGCAUUCACAUAAACGUAAAACAAUCAAAUUGUGAAGUUGCUUCACAUGUGACUACAUACAGAUGCAUAGUUUGGGUAAAGCAUCAACAAUUCAACAAUCAAGCAUAAGAUAAAUAUCAAUGACAUUCAUGGAACAGUUAACGACAUUUGUUAUUAUAAUAAAAAGAUGGGCCUUUCGUCUAUCUUUGUGCUUAGCUCUCCUCUAAUCAGUACAAAGAACUGAUCACAACAAAGAGCAGAUAGAAGAUGAAAAGACAAUACUUCAGUCCUAGAUUAAUAACUAUUUACAGACCAAAGUUUCAAUUUUUUGCUUUCCCUCACAUGGAAAGGUUAUAGAUGUAGAGAGGAGCACACAGUUUUGUGCAAGGAGCGGUCUUUGGUACUUAGGAUCACAUUCUGAGAUACCAUAAAAAUUCACUUCAAUUGGUUCCUCCUAUUUUAAAAAGUAUAUCAUAUAUACCUUAUUCAAAAUGAAAAUGAUAAUUAAUGAAAAAGCCAAUCAUCAUCCUUUUCCCACUUAAUAUCCCUGAGAAGAUGGUUGAUAACCAAAAAGGGAAAAAAAAUAAAGUUCAGAGUUGAAAAACAAAAUAUGAAUACAACGUGAAGUGAAAGAACCAAGAAGAAAAAAAGAUUGCAUUGAGAAAUUCGGCAAGAAGAAACAUGUCUUAGAUUAAUGCAAAUAAAGAUAAGACAAAAAAGAUAGAAGUCAAAUUAACAGACUAUACCAGUGACACUCCGGAAGUUAAAGUCAGCCAAUCCUUUUCCAACAGAAUUUUGCCAGAUUGCUUCUAACGCAGGAAUAAUUGGGGAAACAUCUGUUCCACUAGCAAGGAAUCCAAGCCUUGUGAAGUCAUUUGCCAUCUCAGCAUAGUCCUCAUUCACAGCAUGAACAACAGCAUCAAUCAGUAUUUGUUUGUUUUGCUGAAACCAAAGGAUCGGAAAAGUAGCAAAAUCUUCAGUUACAGACAUAUGAGACUAUAAUAUCCGUUGCCACCUGAAUAUUAGAAAAGGUUAGAAAAGCAAUUGGCUAAUAAGCAUGCUCCAAUCUAGCUCACCUGACUAAGCACAGCGACAUUUCCAAAAUCAACAUAAGCUAUUCGACCAUCACGCAUUGCAAAAAUAUUUCCAGGAUGGGGGUCCCCAUGAAACAACCCAAAUUCUAACAAUUGCCGCAAAGCAGCACUCACACCGACUGUGAGGAAACCAUUUACGUCAAUCCCUGCUUCUCUAAUGGCCUGCUUCACAUGAGAACAAAGGAAUUAGUUCAAUCAUGUAAGUUUAAAACUGUAAUGUGCAAAAGAAGCAAUCCAUCUUUUUAAAAAAGAACAAUAUAUAUUGACAAUCUCAAGGAACUUCUAGAAUUAUAAAUGGUAGAGGUAACACUUAUUCACAUAUUUCAACCUGUGGGUCAGUACACCGAAUUCCGUUGAUCCACUCCAUUACCAGAACACGCGAACCAGAGAGUUUCUUAUAAACUCGCGGAAUCUUGACUGUCGGAUCAUCUUUAAAGUUCUCCAAGAAGUCCUCAAUAUUUCGAGCUUCCUGAACACAUUGAAGGGGAAAAAUAAAGGAGGCAAUGCACCACACUUUAAGCCCUAAACAAAGUAGUUGAGCAGACUUACAAGCAUAAGAGAAAAAUUGUGUUUCUAGUGGAAGGGGGGAAAGGGGGAUUGAGCAGACUUACAAGAGUAUAGUCGAGUUCUUCCAAAAGCUUUUCACCAAAUUCAUCAACAAUAAGCUCUGCAUUGCAGCCUAAUUUUUGCAGACUAAUUCCAUUCAAGAAGGAAGCCAGAGUUCGGAACAAAAAAAGGUCUCGAUAAAUUAUUGGUUCUAUCUCUGGUCUUAGAACCUGCAAAUAUUAGUAGUCAGCAGAAAAAACACAGCAACAAGCAAGAUGGAUUUAUUUGCUUUAUGAAAUCCGAACUAGAUUUAGAUAAAUGAAGAGAUAUGAAACAUAUGCACAGGUUGUAAUCAUGAAAGUUAAAUUGGUGGUAUUCCUUGUUUGGGCUAGCUUCUUUUUCAGCUUUGAACUGCAACAACCUCGAGUAGAGCAUUUGACAAACAGAAAAAUUUGAAGCUUAUGCUGCGGUGGGAAGCGUAGAUGAGAUUCUAAGCCCCAAAAACAAAAGCUCCAACUUGGAGCUUCUGUUUCCAUUGAAAAGAAAAGCUAUCAAGGAAUUCUAAUAUACCACAUCUCCUAAUACUAAUAGCACCACUCAAGCAGUAAAUUCAUCGAAUAGCAUACCACAUCCCUAUUUGAAGGAUGAAAAUUGAAAGUUACCAAAUCAAAAUAAAGACUGCAAGUAGUGCAACAAUAUAGCACACCUAUCAAGUAAAAAAAAAAAAAAAAAAAACCCAAAUUAGACAUUUGGCAAGCACUCUGACAAGACAAUUUGUGCAUUAAAGUAAUUUUUUGGUAAAGUACCUGUUCAACUAUACAACAUGAUACAUAUUCAUGUACAAAAAUAAACUACAUCUGACAUUCACAACCUUUAUGGCAACAUCCUCCCCCGUCUCCCGUAGGGUGGCACGGUAAACUUGGCCCAAACUUGCAGCUGCUAUCGUCUGCGAUGAGAUUCGGCUAAAUACCUUCUCAAGAGGUUGCCCUAAUUCCUCUUCAAUUAUAUCAAAAGCUACCUAAAAAAUCUCAAAAAAAAAAAAGAAGAAAAAAAAGAGAAACCAAAAAAAAAAAAAGGUUCACUUUGAUGACAAUAUGCAUUUGCUCCACAUCAUCACCUCAAAAGAAAUGGUAAACUCUUCUUUGACUUGAAAUUAAACAAAAAUUUCUACCCGAUUAGGAAAGGGAGGAACAUCAUCUUGAAGAAUGCAGAGCUCAUUCAUAUAAUCCUCUCGGAUUAUAUCAGGUCUGUUUGCUAGAACCUGACGAGUAAAAUGCCAGGGACAAGUUAAAACCAUUCGAGAAUGUAUAUGUAUCAAAGGGGUACAUACAGAUAGAAGAGUAUUAACCUGGCCAGCUUUGAUAAAAGAUGGACCCAAGUCACAUAGAAGAUUUCGAAGCUGGCGAGCUCGGUAUGGAACUACUUCCUCAUCUCGUCCUACCAAGCAGUCAUAAGAAAGAGCAGACCAGUAAAGGCCGAGUUUCCAAACUAUCUCAACCCCUCGGCCUAUAAGGGACAAUAUGGACCCUCUUGACUGCAGGACUGUAUUCCUGACCUAACACAGCAGCAGCAGACCAUCCAACACAACAGAGAUAUGAGAGUAAAUUAAAUUGUGAAAACCAUAUAUAUGCUGCCUGAACUUCACAGGUUUUCAAGGAUACCUGUACUUCAGAAGUUUGACAUUUGUACGAACUUUUCACUAAGUUAGAACUUAACGGUACUUGUAACUCUAACGGAAUAUUCUGUAAUUUCUUUUGAGAAACAUAUUCCAUAACUCUUUUAACAGACACAACUUGUUAGAAAGACACUUAAAUCGAAAAUAACGAAAGCUUAGGUAUCAAAAUGAAGACUUUAAAAGUUCAAGUACCCAUUUCAAAACACACUUUAGUUCAGCUAGUGUCUGGAAAUAUUUAUGUAAAUUAAACAACGGUAUAAAAUAGGACUUAUGCUAUAUAUACUCACCGUCUCUGGAGUAUACUUCCGAUAAGGGAUGCACACACCACGUUCAAUAUCAAGCUGUUCCAUGGCACUGCUCGACUUAUCCGUCGUGAUUGAGCCGUUUCUGCGUGAUGAUGGGGCCAUCUUUUGGGAGGACGGUAGAGGCGUAGCAGAUGCAGCAUUCAUUACACGAAAUGAAGGUAUCCUUUUGCUUCGUGAUCCGGAGUUCCCGCACCUACACGUGCGACAGCCCCGUGCAGGCAAUAGCAGGCGUGCAGCAUCAGAUGAACUUGGUAGGCACGUUGCGUGAAGUUCCAUAUUGUUUGCCCAAAUUUUACCGUCUUAUAUCUGAUCGAUUAAUCGAUUUCUACCUGAACAAGCAUCAAUUACUACAGCGAGCAAGAUAACGAACACAAGGUGAGGAAAUUCAAACAAGAAAACGUUGUAUUGAAUUCAAACAAAAUAAUUAUUUUCGUUGAAGAUCUGAAUAAAUUUAAUAUAGGUAAUAGACUUCUUAAUAAGUCAAGAUCAUUCUACAAGACUAAAUUACUGUUGAGAUUAUGAGUACCACACGUAAAAAUCGGGCCUUUUUUUUGAGAGAGAGUUAAAAAAAAAAAAAAAAAAAAAAAAAAAAAAAAAAAAAAAAAAAAAAAAAAAAAGCCUCUUUCGAGCCCCAUAUCCUCCCACAAACUGGAAAGCCCUCAAGUAGCAAAACAAUCAAUCCUAAAAAUUCAAAAAUGAGUCCACAAAAUAGGAGAGAUUGGAAAACUCAACGACCUAAUUCGGCCACUCCGCUUACAGAACAGCUUCAAUCCACAUAUCUCAAUGAGCAGAAAAAAGAAAAAAACAAAAACCUCAAAUUUAAAGGAUCUACAUCAAAACGAUCUACACUCGAACUAACCUAAGUAAAUCGAACUACAAAGAGAGAGAGAGAGAGAGAGAGAGAGAGAGAGAGAGAGAGAGAGAGAGAGUCCCCAACCUAAAAAAGGGAGCGGCGCCACAACCACCACCACCACCACCACCGCGAUUUUUUGAGAUCAAAGGGGGUGAGAGGAAGAAGACGAAGAAGAGGGGAGAGGAGAGCGCGUUAAAACUCGCCAAAGAAUCGCAAUCCAGUGAGCUGGGGAGUAGAAGUCCAAAAAGAAGGAUGCAUAGAAGAACCCCAGUCCCUGAUUUUGCUGAGAAAAAGCAUCAUAAGAUGUGGUACGCGACAAAAUCGUGGGUGCUCAUCCAUCCGAUUCGUUUGUGGCGGGGAAGUUUGAUGCGUCUGUAACAAAUUCACUAUUCCGAAUUAAAAAAAAAUUAAAUAAAUUCUCUCAAGAUAAAUAAAUAAAUAAAAUAAAAGAUAAUAAAAUAAAUAAUGGCACGGUACUGUAAACAAUUCUUGCAACAUAUUUUCCUCGCAUUUUUGCCUCCAUAGUAAACAAUUUUACAGGAACUGUUGGAUUUAUGUAAUCCCCAUAAAUAAUCGAAUCUCAAGUAUUAUUUGUAGCUAAGCACACCGGAGAUAACUGGAAGAACUAAAAUUGUUCUUAGAAUUACUCUUCUAUUUUUGAGCAGAUUAAAAUCUCUAGAUCUUGACCUAAAAUCCUAUUAUUCAGACCAACCACGUAAAUUGGAUCUAAAUUCCGAAUAUAAUAAACUAAAAUUUUUAUUUUUUAUUUUUUAUUUUCGAGCAUUUGAAAGUGGAAACGGUACCUAAUUUGGUACCGUUUGGUUCGGGUAUAAGCAAGCUAUUACAGGGAUAGGUACAAGUAUGGGGAUAAGAAAAAUAGUGUUUGGAUGAAAAUUGGGUUGUUCCCGGGGAUAAGAAUAAUUUUAGGUAGUUUUAUAUAGAAAAUGAAGGUGUUGGUGGGGAUAACUGAGAACUACUAUUCUCGGAUAAAAAAUUAGUGUUUGGGUAUAAAGGGGAGAUAAGGCCUAUUCCUAUUCCUAUCCCUAUCCCCUAACCAAACGCUGCCUAAAAAAUAAGAAACUAAUGAUGGGGAAAUUAUAUCCCAACCAAUCUAACAGCAUAACAAGAAUAUUCCCUAUAAAUACGUACAAGUACUUGGACAUGAACAAGUGAGAUGCACUCAAAAUAGAGAAAUACUGCUCAUAAAGAUUUGCCCUCUGGACAUAAAAAAUGACAAAAAAAAAGAAAGAAAAAAAAAGGGAAAGAAAAAAGCCCUCUGCACACCUAAAAUUCAAACUGAUAAAUUAGUUCUGGAGCAAGCAUCCAUCAAAACAGAUCUCAGUUUCCGAGUUUCCGUCGCAACACACUCGCGGUCAAACAAAGCAGAGACAAUCGCAAUGCCUUUCAAAUUUGGGACACCGAUUUCCAUAACCGAACGAGCAUUCGCGAUGCCGAUCCCGCCAAUGGCCACAACAGGCAAUUUGGAAGCCAAGCAGACAGCCUUCAACCCUUCCAUACCUACAGUAAUGUUGUCCUCCUUCGUGGUCGUCGGAAAAACACCUCCACAACCGAUGUAGUCGGCCCCGUCGGCCCAGGCCUUCUCAGCUUGGGCUGGAGUCUUACAAGAUACGCCGAUAAUCUUUCCUGGCCCCAAGAGCUCGCGAGCAGUUCGUGCAGGCAUGUCGGACUGGCCCACGUGCACACCGUCGGCACCGCAAGCUAGUGCAACAUCGACCCUGUCGUUGAUCAGAAGUGGCACUCUGCUCGACCGGCAAAUCUCCAGACAUGCCUUGGCUGAUUCUAUGAAUUCACGAGUCUCGGCUUCCUUUUCUCUGAAGUCAAUACAAAGAGCAUUACUACAUGCUAGCAACUCAAGAAUUCAAUCUAAAGAAAGAAACCAAGGACCUAAUUUGCAGGUUAAACCUCAUGUAGAAGCGUUAUCCGCUUUUUGUAGUUAAAACCCCUUAAGAGCUACUCACCAGAGCAGAAGCAAAAUUACCCAAAGAUCAUUUUUCACUUCCUGCCACAACAGGAACUCCGGAUUUUUUAUUAGCGAAAUACCUAGUUUCUGGAAGUUUUUGUAGAAAAGAUGUCCCACAAACCAGGCCGAACUAGUGCUAACAAAACAAGCAAUCACACACUUCUUUCAAAAGAGGAAAAAUGUGCUAGGUAUAGAGAUAUUCAACUUUGAAAUGGAAAGAGUAAGAGACCAAGUAACGGACCUCAACUGGAUAAUAGUUGCGCCUCCUUCAAUUGCAGCUUGGACAGCGUCGGUUAUGGAACGACCCCACUUCUUAUUCAUCCUUGAAUCCGUAACAGCAUAUAGGAAUAGAUCAUCUGGAUUAAACCUUGGUGUCGCCCCCACAUUAUAAUGAGGACUCUUGAGCCUAAAUAGGUGAUCAAAAGGGCCUUGAGGUCCAUUUCCAAUGGCCAUAUCCUUGCUGUAAUGAAGUGCUGACUCGACAAAGGCCUUCGCUUCCUGCAAAAUUUGCAAAAUGUCCAUACAGUUUAUUGUGUUUCUCCAAGUAUCAAUAAGCAAGAAUGCAGGAAGUACUGAUGAGAAAAAAAAAAAAAAAAAAAACACCUGAACAGCUUGCAGCAUAGCAGAACCCUUAGCUAAUUCUGCUGCUAUACAUGAAGCCAUAGUGCAGCCAGUUCCAUGAGUGUUGCGAGUCUUCACACGUGAACCACGUAGCUCAUGGCACGUCUGCCCUAAAUGAAUGAAUCACCGAAUACAUCUCAAAAUUCUCGAUAUUUACAACUGAUGAGCAGUUAAGUAAGCAUGAGUUUCAGGGCAAAGGGGGAAUAGCGCAAGUUAUCGCUUGUAUUCUCCUAAAACAAAUGUUCGAGCAAACAUAAAGUGCUCUUAUAGUCCUACGAGAAUCAGAUGGAAAUUUUGAGACGAUCCUCCAAAAGCAGUCGUAAGAUGAGAGUCAUACCAUCAAAGAAUAUAUCAAUGGCAUCAGAUGAGUCUGAUAGAUCCCCACCCUUCACAAGCACAUGUCUGCAGAUGACACAGUUUCAUUGCACCGGUUUUCAGACAAAAGUAGCAAAAUAAUGUUCAUUCACCAUUACAUACAGCAUCCAAAUCACAAGAUAUCAAAAUUAUAGCCGACAACUAGCGCUUACCUGGGACCUAAAUUGUAAAUCGAUUUUGCCGCAUCACGCAUGUCGUACACCGUUUUCAGCGGCGCGCCCCCAAGUAAAGCUGAUGCUUCUUUCAAAUUGGGGGUAACUAUGUCAGCCAUAGCAAAAAGCUGAUCCCUGUUACCAAAGUCCAUUAAGCUGAGCAUGAUAAGACACUAAAUACAUUGUACAUAAAUCAACAGACACGCGAAACAACAAAAGCACCUAUAUCCAGAAAGGGUAGACGGUGCCGAAAGUGUAUCCCCGCUCGUCGAAACCAUGACUGGAUCCACCACUAAAGCUGCCUUCAGAAGAACAUAAACAUAUAUCAAUCGCCCUAGUGACAUGCCGAAACUUAUUCAGAUACACGACGACGAGCGCCGCGACCUCAUACCUUUAACAGGGAAUUUUCUGAGACUAUCACACAAAACUUUGACUACUCCAAUAGAUGGAAGCAUCCCCGUCUUCACCUGAGCAAAUUAAAGCGAAAUUGCUAUUGAAUGCCACAUCAAACUGUGAGGUCUCGAAAAUAAAACACAAUAUUCGCAACUUUUACAGCUUUUCUGAGAACAGUAAGCCUAGUGAAAGUUUAAGCUAUCAGAGAACAACGACAUUUUAUCGGUUACAAUGCUGAACACUCACCACAUCAACGUCCAUAUCCGAGAGCACCGAUCGGAGCUGCUCCUCGACGAAGCUCUCCGGCACAACGUGAACUCCCUAAGCAAAUCCAAAUCCAUCAAAAAGAGAACCAAAAAUUAGGUCUUUUUGAUUCGUAGAGAUUGAGAUAAACCAUGCGGGAGAGGCGGGGAGUUGGGGGACCUGGACGCCGACGGUGUUCUGCGCGGUGACGGCGGUGACGACGGAGGAGCAGAAGACGCCGAGCGCGCCGCAGGCCUUGAUGUCGGCCUGGACGCCGGCGCCGGCGCCGGAGUCGGAGCCGGCGACGGUGAGCACGUGCGGGAGCGGCUGCAGCUUCCUCUUGUGCGCACCAUCCGCGGCGGAUCCGUACAUCGCCGACGCAGCGACGAGCGCCGCUCUCUUGCGCGAUGCGAGAGCUCGAUUCACCCGAGGAGGAGAAUGGAGAGGCGUCGUAUUUCUCGGGAUCCGAGUGGAGAGCGUUUGGAAGGGUAAGGCCAUGGGAGAAGAUCGAAAAGAGGGGAGGCGAAACUCGAAAGCGGGUUUCGGUUUUGCAAACGGGAAAUUCGACCUCGCCCCGACACGGAGAGAGGCACGGGAUUCUCGGUGGGAACUAACCGCUUACGUGGCGCCCUUUUAUUUGUUGCGUCGAGUUAGAAAUAUUUGUUGUGCUAAGGAGAUGCAAAUUUAUACCGUAUGUGUUCUGUAACCAUUGAUCAAAUGUUAUCGCAUCUUCUAUUUUCUUAAAAAAGAAUUAGAUUUUUUUUUUUUCUAAAAAAAAGAUUGUUAAUGUAUUAAAUUGGCUCAUUCUGCUGUCUCGUUUUCAGAUUUCGUGCAAUUUUGCUUAAAUUUUGUUCAACAUCUGGAAAGUUUAAUCAGUAAAAAAGAUCUGCAGAUUUAUAAAAGAGAGGCAGAGUAACAGAUAACACCGCUAGACAUCAAUAUCUAUACAUAUUGAAUAUUGUUCAAUACACGAGAGAACAUUUUGUUAAUUACAGCUUGACAAAUCUCUUUUUCUAAUCACUCGGGACCUGUCCCCAGUUCAAAAGAAUUCGCAUAAUAAAUAAUCACUAACAGAAUUGAAUCCUUAUGCUUCUCAAAGUUCCAAAAAUAAAAAAGACCAAAAAAAAAAGGGAAAAUUGUCUUCCUCAUGAGAGCUUUAUAUGGAUGACUCGGCGCUUCGUAGUGUCCUUGUGUUGUACAGUUUUUAACUUCUGGAGAAAGAGCUGCUACAAUGGAGCCUCACUGUUCUUUUGACUGUCACAUGUUGCAGAUAAUCCCUCGGAAAUGUAAAUUAUCUCUAAAUUAAUUAUAGGAGUUCCAGAUUCCAUGAAUUCUCUCCGGCAGCACUACUGAGUUGCUCGACCAAAAUUGAAUGGUCGUAUGCCGUUCACGGCUUGCAGAGUCUUCAUUUACCAAUAAUCCCCACAAGAACAAGAACCACCUCUAAACCGAUGGAACCGAAUUGGAUCCCUUAAUACAAUUUCCCUUGUUUCAGUUUCUGAAAACAAUUUCAUUGCCGUGUGACAAUCCCUGCAUACUCUCAAGUUCUUCAUCACUCGUAUGGGAGCCAAUUGCGGGAGAAGAAUCAUUCCAAGUACCACCGCCAAUUUCUCACUGUGGCAGUUCAUUAAACUUACUCUCGUCGUGUUUGUAUACCCCAUCUUUUCUAUCUUCGAGAGCAUUUCCUCAAGCUUCGCAUAUAUUGCACUGCUUUGCGGAUGAGACUUAUCACCAACCACGAACGAAUGAACUUGUGCCCCAAUCUCGAUCCAACUAAGACCGGGCUCCUUCUUCACCCCUCGCUCUUUCAUUAGAUCUCUAGUUUUCAUUGCCAAGGAAAGUUUCCCAGUGUCCAAGUACAUGUUGUAUAAGAGCACAUAGGAAGAAGAGGCAGUGGGUUCAAGUUCCAUUACACGCUCCGCCACGCGCCUACCCCUUUCAAUGUCUCCAUGAACACGACAAGAGGCAAGCAAAGACCGCCAAAUGACUGGGUCGGUAUCAAAGCCUGUGUCCAAUAUGAAGUCCUCAGCAUCUGCCAACCUACCGGCCCGGCCUAGGAGAUCAACUAUACAAGAACAGUGCUUGACACUUGGACCCAAGUUGUAGUCAAUCUUCAUGCUUUCGAAGUACCUGCAGCAAUCAGAAAAAGGAGUUAGCAGUUUGUAAUCUACAUUUGGAAACCGUUUGCUUAUUCUGUUACUGAUGAUAUAAUAAAAUCAUGUUAAGUUUGUUAAGAUGUAAGAGCUAAAAGUUUAAUAUUGAAACAAAAAAAAUAUAGGUAUUCUCUACGAGUUAACUAAUUAAUAAUACAAAGAAAUUCACCUGAAUCCUUCAUCCACCAGUCCUCCAUGACUACAAGCAGUAAGAACGGCUAGGAAAGUAAUCUCAUUUGGUGCAACUCUACGAUCCUCCAUCUCCUCGAAAAGCAUCAAAGCAUCCCUAGCACAACCAUGUUGCGCAUGGCUUGAUAUCACUGCAGACCAUGAGAUAGCAUCGCGACUCUCCAUCUCUGAAAAUGUCUUAGUAGCAGCAUCAACAUCCCCUGCUCUAGCAUACAUGUAUAUUCUGGAGUUUCCAAUUAUAGUAAAUUGAUCAAAACCGGCUUUUGUCGCAAAACACUGAAUUUGCUCGCCGGUCCGUGCAACUGUCAAAUUCGCACAAGCACUCAUCACACUCGAUAAAGUGAAAAGAUCUGGUUUUCUCCCUUUACAUAAUAAUUCAUGAAACAAGCUCAGUGCUUUCUCAAACUGUUCAUUUUGCACACAUCCAGAUAUCAUCGAUGUCCAAGUGACUAUAUCUUGCUCAGGGACAGAAUGAAAGCACCUUAAUCCUUCUUCAAUAGAACCUGAAUUUGAGUACAAGUCAAUUAAAGCACUCCCAAUGUAUUCAUCACUCUGAAAAUUGUAUUUGAACAGUUGUCCUUGGAUUUGCUUCCCAAAUUCAAAGCCAUUUACCAAGCUACAAGCUCUUAUAACACUCGAGAAUGUGAACUUUGAAGGUCUCAUUCCCCUCCUUUGCAUCACGGAGAAGAGGAGCAAUGCUUCUUUUGAGAGUCCGCUGCCUAUUUUGGUCUCCAAUCGGGAGAAUCCAGCAAUCAUAGCGUUGAAAACAACCACGUUAGGGCUUGGCAUAGCUUUGAAGAACUUAAUUGCUUCAUGCAAGACACCAUUCUUUGCAUAUAAGUCUAUCAUUCCACUUCCUAUGAAAUCAUCAGAAUCCAAACCAACUUUCACCACACAUCCAUGGAUCAUCUCACCAAAAUAUUUCACAUCAUCGUGUUCAGAACAGGAUUUCAGGAUGCUACCAAGAGCAAAGGAGUUCAACUUAAUGCCAUAACUAUGCAUCCGAGAGAAAACUCUUAAUGUCUCCUCUACAUUACCUACCCGAACAUAACCUGAGAUCAACGAAUUCCACGAGACAUCGUCCAAUUCGUCCGAAGCAUCAAACAAGCGCUUUGCUUGACCAAUAUCACCACACUUUGAGUACAUAUCAAUGAGGGAGUUGAUCAAGAAAACCUGCUGAGAAAAACCACCGACCACUACCAGCCCAUGAAUCACCUUCCCCACGUUCAAAUCAACUCGUCGUGAACACACGCUUAAUGCACUCGCAUACGUAAACUUAUCUAUCUUAGUUUGGGCAUUCCUCGCCUCAAUAAACACAUUUAGCGCAUCAUCAAACAGACCCAUUUGCGAAUACCCGGAAAUGAGCGAGUUCCACGACACUGCAUUUCUUGUACGCAUACAAUCGAACAAUUGGUGGGCGGAAGCCAAGUCCCCGCAUUUACAGUACAUAUUAAGGAGAUUAUUCACAAGGAAUAAGCAAGGAGUGAACCGGGCCUUGAUGAUUUGGGCGUGUACUCCCUUUCCGUGGGUCAAAGAUUGAAAAUUUGUCGAGGAUUGGAGGAGCUCCGCGAAAAAUGCGUCCAUGGAAGGGGCAAGAGGGGGUUGGAGAGAGAUGUGGUGGGUCUCGGACAAGGCUUGGGGAAAUGCGGUGAAGUGUUUGAAGGGUUUGGAGAAGGAGACGCGCUCCGAGAGCCCGAUGAGGUAUUUGUGGGAGCAGCAAAGCAUUGCGAGAGUGCUUGCGCGCGCGCGGGGGAAGUGAUGGCCCCUACAGGGGAUUUAAAUGUGAACUGUAGUCGGCGGUGCAGAGCAAAACGGCGCCGUUUUCAGAGCGAAAAUGCUUCUAGAGUGAGUCGGCAACGAGACUUACAACUGGAUAGCUUGGCCCAGCACAAGCUCUUAUAUUUGGGCCUGUUUGGCCCAACUAAAGCUUUUUCGAAACCAAUUUAUAAAUUUUUUAAUAGUUUCUCGGUGCAACAAAAGAGAUUCUUAGUAUUGGAGCUUUCUAUAUAAAAUCUUAGAUUGUAUCUAGUACAGUUGACUAAAAGGUUAAUAAUUGAUACUCGAGUUUUCAAGUUUGAUAUUUAAUUGUUUUGUAUGUUUGACUAAAUUUUUUUUUAAAAAAAAAACCAAAACGGAUAGCUUAUUAACUUUCUCUUUCAAAAAAUUAUUGCAUAUAAAAAUAGGAUUAAAAGAACCUAUCUUUGGAAAAAUAGCAAGUAAUAUAAUAUAAAUUAAGUUCAUCAACUAUGUCCUAACUACAUAAGGCCAAUAUUUAACACCUAUGGCUCAGUACAGUAGCUUGUUAUUGGGAUCCUAUCGAAGAGGUCGAGAAUUCGAAUCUCUGUAUAUUUAUACAAAAAAUUGAAAAGUAAAAUAAUAUAUAUUCCAAAAAAGGCAAAUAUUUAAAUGGGUGGAUGAAACUAGAGGCUUGUUUAUUUAGAUUCCUUUCCAAUGAAAUAAUUUUUUUUUUUUUUUUUUUUUUUUUUUUUUGUUUUUUUUUUUUUUGAGAGAGAGAGAGGUGUUGCAACUCGUUGCUUGUUGUGGGGCCCACUCCCCAAACGUGUGGUCGAGUCCUCGAGUGGAUAAGCCACUUUGUUAAUUACGAAAAUUUAUCGUUUUAAAAAAAUAAAAUAAAAACCUUGUCAAAAAGAGAUGACGUGGCAGAAGCACUUUAAAAGCCAACGAGUUGAAUGGCGAAUAGUGAUUGGAACGUGGAGAUCCUCGUAGAUCCGUGGAAGCAUCUCCAAGCUCUGUGAGCCGUCCAUCUCCUGUUGUACAAAAAAAUUGGUUGUGUAGGAAAAGGGACCUGAUCCUACACAGUGGAGAUGUUCCAAUUUGAAUAGGGAGUAAUAUAAACGACUCACGAAACAAUAUCUUAAUAAAAUUUCAUUGAGGAGCUUGUCGAUAAAAUUAUGCUUUUUAAUUAGAGUCGACUAAACUAGUAUUUUAAUAUUUCAAAUGAUCAUUUUCAUCGAGAACUUGAGUUAUUCAAUAAUAAUAUUCAAGUAUAUAUUUUAUAUUUUGGACUUCUUGAUUAAUUUAAACUGUAUGAAUUGAGCAGAUAGAAAUUAAAUAAAAUUAGAAACCCAUAUAAAAAUAUAUAUAUAUAUUAUACUGAAAACUUAAAUUACAUGAGAACAAAUCUUGAUGUUUUAUAAUUUAACAUAAUUAGUAUUACAACAAAUAUGAUCAUCAACAAAAAAAAAUAAUUCCUUUUUUCCUUUAUCAAUCUUAUUAUUCUUAGCAUGAUAAUUAUCCAUAACAUCAUUGCUGAUAUCUUUGACAAAUGGAGAAUGAAAACCACUUAUAACUACAACAGCAACAGUAUCCACAAAAAAAAGAUAAAGAAAAAUGAUAACAAUGAAUAUAUUAUUUUUUAAAAAGAAAGUUAGCAUGUUAUUUAUUUUGGUCAUUUUUUAAAAAAUAAAUAUAGUUGAAAUUACGAAGUAAUUAGGCUUCAAACUUAGGAUCUCAGAUACCAACCACCAAGCUCUUUGUUACUAUGAAACAACCGUUGUACUCCAAAAGCUUAAGCUGUUAGAGAAUAGUUAACAUUCCCCCUCACGUCUGGGCUCGAGACUUUUUAAUCGGCCCAUAACGUGGGCUUGAAUUAAAUACCAUGUGAAACAACCGUUGUACUCUAAAAGCUUAAGCUGUUAGAGAACAGUAUUUUAAACAUUUUUAUAUUUAACACUCCCCUUCACGUCUGGGCUCGAGACUUUUUAAUCGGCUCAUAACGUGGGCUUGAAUUAAAUGGAAGGAAAUUAAUAUGGUAGGAUCCUGACGUGACUCGAACUCAGGACCUCCUGCUUUGAUACCAUGUGAAACAACCGUUGUACUCUAAAAGUUUAAACUGUUAGAGAACAGUGUUUUAAACAUUUUUAUAUUUAACAGUUACUUCCUUCGGGAAUGGUCGGUAACAAUAAAUAUAUUAUUCACAUAGGGAAGGAAUGACCUGUUAACUUUUAGAAAUCAAAUAAAUGAUAAUUAUACUAAAAGUGAAAAGUAGAGAAAUAGGUAUUGCUUAGAUUUUCUCCGCGUUAUAUAUAUAUAUAUAUAUAUAUAUAUAUAGUAGGUCUUGUGUGCUAUUAGGAGCACGGAGCCCUUCGUGCUCCUGAGCCGUUUUCGAUGAUGGAAUUUUCGAAUCGAUGAUCGGCUCUGUUAGACUUGAUCUAGCGUAUUUGAAGUUUCUAGAAAUUAAUUUUUGCAAUUUUUUGAUAUAAUUUACCUAGAAAUCGAAAGAAUUUAAAAUCAAUAAUUUUUAAUGGUUGAUAUCUGCCGUUUUCAAGUUUAACGGUGUAGAAAUAUUCAAAUCAGAUGAAAUUUUGAUACAAAAUUCUUUAUACUAUCUACAACAAGAUCAAUAUUUCUGAUCGAAAAUUUUAGUGCUAUAUCACCAUUUUUUAUAUGAUUUUUAUUUUCAGCUGUUAAAAAUUAUUGAUUUUGAAUCCUUUCGAUUGCUAGGUAAUUGAUAUCGAAAAAUUACAAAAAUUAUUUUCUAGAAACUUCAAAUACGCUAGAUCAAGUCUAACGGAGCCGAUCGUCGAUUCGGAAAUUCCAUCAUCGAAAACGACUCAGGAGCACGGAGGACUCUGUGCUUCUGAGAGCACAGCAGCCCUGCUCUAUAUAUAUAUAUAUAUAUAUAUAUAUAUAUAUAUAUAUAUAUAUAUAUGAUCUGCAUCAGUUCAAAAAUUAACUCUUAAUUUUGUCCACCAAAAAAUAAAAUUUCAACAAAAUUAAAGCUCUCUUGGCCUGUUUUUCCUCUGGACCAAGUAGGUGGAGGCAAUAGUUUCUCCACAUUGAGCCCCACAUGCACAUGGGGAUUUAAUCGGGACCAAAUCAAUUCUCUACAGUGUAAAUGAGCGGAAAUAAUUGUUUACUGACGUAACAUUAAUACAUAUCACAAGAUAUUGAGAUAGACCCACACUUUAGAAAGAUCGUUGGAUCUCUGUUUGAUUCUGCACAUAAUUAAUAUUUUUAUUGAAGUUUUUAAUAAAUAAUAAAAAAUUUCGAAACUUUUGAUAUAAGGAAUCUGAAGGGCAAAUGUCUUAAUUUAGAACUUGGAGCUACUUAUAUAUCGUGCAAAACAAAAGGCCUAAUACUUUAUUAAAUAAGUAGUUGAGUUUAAGUUCGAACCCAAUACCAAACACCAUUAGCGUGGCCAAGUAUCUGAUCCCUCCACCAACCCCACACAUGGAAUUAAUCCUAAAACCAAAAAAACUACAUGUUUCAUUCAUGUUUAUUCUUUGACUUAGUGGGAGACAAUGCUUAUAAGAAUCAAUUUAAUAUUUAAUAAACUACUACUCUUCUUUCACGUUUUUAAAUGCCAAAAUUGACUAAUUUCUUUCCUAUAUGUACAGUUCAUACAACUACGACUAAGAGAGAAGAGGAGAUGUAAUGUAUAGUUAAUUAAGAAAAGUAAUCGUACUAACUAGAGUCAUCUUUCAGCUAAAUUAUAGAUUUUUUUAAUUAAAUUGAUUUUUUAAAUAAUAUAGUAUCCGAAUUAGUUCUAAAACACCAUCUCUUUAAAAAGAUUAUAAAUUCGAUUCUUAUAUUAGCCAUUUCAUAGAAAUUUUCUUUUAUAAUUGUGUUAUCGAUCCUUUCAUCUUUUAUUCAACUGUAAUUUCUGCUGUCUUCAUAAUUCACAUCUUAUUCGCCUUACACAUGAACAAAAUUGCUAAGAUAAAUUCUGAGCUGUCGAUUAGAUCGAGGUUUUGGGCAAUAAAUAUUAAGAAUAUAUCAAGAUUAGAUUACUAUCAUUCUUAAUCAAAUUUCUCUCUAGUAUUGAGUCUUUCUCUCUUAAAUAAUGGGUAUGGGUUAGGGAGAUGAGAAACAAGAGUUCUACGUGUACAUGUGUUACAGGACAUUAGUAAUUGGUUAGUACCCGACAAUUGGAUACCAAAUUCUCUAUUUAAUUUCUAUUAUUAUUUUUAUAUUUAUUUAUAAUAAUUUUUGUUUUUUUUAAUGAUGCAUCUAUAGCGCAUGUUGACAUUUGUGCAUUACAUUAAUUGAUUGGAACAAUUAUCAACAGUACUUGCUAAUAAAAUCAUGACAAUAAUUAAUGAUUUAAUUGUGUUGUAUAUUGAAUGGCAUGUACAUGUUGUAAAUUUGGUCCCCAUCCAUAGAGUAAAUUCACCCAAGUUCAACGUAUUUACUUUACCAGCCACAAAAUCCUUAGUAUUUAUUUAUCACUAUAUAUACUUUAAUUAAGAGGAGAAAUGAUAAAUGGAAGUUUUUUGUCCCCCAUCAUGAAUACAAUAAUUAAUAAAUUAAGUUGUAUAAUUGGUUGCUACAAAAGCAAAAAAGUCAACUUAAGCAUAAAUACCAGUUAAAUCAAGCUUAGAACAGCUUAAAAUUCGACAAACACAUAUACUUAAAAUAAAAUUUAUAUAAUAUCAGCAGUUCUACACCUAAACUAACAAAUGAUAGACACAUAAAUGAUAUAUACACUGAUUCGUACAAAAUCUACUUUGUUCAUAUCAAAAUUUGGUUCAAUCUUAGUUCCCUCUUCAAAUGUAGCGAAUUUAUGCGCAUUUUUUUGUCUAAUAUUUUCUUUUUCUGUGGCACGAUCGAGGACCCACUCUCGACAUGUAAAAUCGCAAUAAAACGCACACAGAAAAUAUGUUCACAUGUCACGUAGCGAUAAUUAACAAAACAACUAGUUAAUUAAUGGGAAUCUAGGUAGUUCGCCUAACUUGUAUAGUUAAGCGUUACAAUCAAAUUGCACGAUACCUACCAUUGGACGGAUUGGUGGAGGAGUACCAUGUAUGUAAAGUUUUUUUUUAGAGAGAAAUAUAGCACGUUUUCUGCUUCAUUUAUUUAGCAUAUGAGUUUAGCUACAAGUUAAAGCAACACAAUUUUGAUAAGGUAUAAGACAACUAUAAUAAAACAGACAAAAACAAAAAAUAAAAAAAUAAAAAUUAUACCACUCACUCAAACCAAGUGGUUAAGAACUAUAAAACUCCGCCCAUACCCUGUCCAAGUCUCGACUUCGUCCAACAGCCGAUAGCGGGUCAUAUGAUUGUGUUGAUGCCAAAAUUGAAAUUAACAUGCCAACUUAGCCCACGUAUGAGCCAAAGAAAUAAGGACACGUGGUAUACCAGGAGUCGGCAAUAAAGCGCCUGAAAGUCAAGAGCGUUUAGGCGGAAACGGUUGAGAAGUGGAGGCGUAACUUCCAUUAGAAGUUGGCGUAACUUCCACAAUUAUGGUUACAACCACUCCCCCCACUACUUUCAACCGACCAAUAAUGUGGACUGAGAAGAUAUCACUAUAAAUAGUAACUUCAAAGCCUGUAAUAGGGUCUUUCUCUCCCCUGAACGAGAAGACCACCACAUUUUCAUAUCUUUUCUUUCCUUCAUUUAUUGCUUUCUAGGAGUAGUCUAAAUGUAAUCUUUUUUUUUUCGCAUUUACUGCUUUCCUAGGAGUAGCUUUUAAGUAGAACUCUGGAGUCUGUCUGCCCCACGGGCAUCAUUCUGUUGUAAACUACGUAUUUGCAGAGUCUGUAUGUCCUUCGGGCACACUCUGUUUUAUUAAUAUAUAUAUAUAUAUAGGCAUUCGGCUCUUUCAGCCUACCAGUUAUUGUGUAUUUCAUUUAUUCGGCUCUUUCAGUCGACCAGUUACUGUGUACUUCUUCCAUUCGACUCUUCUGCCAACAUUGAUCCCUGUACAGUUCAUACAUUCGGCUCAUCUAGCCGAACCGAUUUCAAAAGUAGAGGUUUUCGAACUCAGCUGAUCCGAUACCUCAUCAGCCGAAUCGUUUGAUCCAGUCGAAUGGCGCAAAUUUCGAGGGUCACUAUCCGCAGCCGUUCCUCAUCCCGACGUGCUCCCCAAGGGGGAUCUUUGAUCGGGUCAAGGGUAAGAAAAUUCGGCUCCCAACAAUUUUUGGCAUGCCUGGUGGGACUCGAUUUUAGGUAAAUUCAAUAUUUUUAUUGAAAUUAUGGCUAAUGAUAAUGCCAUAAAUUUGGGCAAUAGAGUUGUUCCUAGAAAUUCUCGGAGUGAUCAAUCUAGUGAUUCAGACAAUGCUGGCGAAUGUCAAGCAGUUUUGCCAGUUGAAGGAGAAACUAAUGGACGGUCGACUUAUCAAGAGCCGAGUCUAACUCAGGCACUUGGCCAGAUGAACCGAGUUCUACAAACUUUAAAUCAAAAUAUCCAUCAAAAUACCGCUCAACUAGAUGCGGUGCUGGCCGCCAUCACAACCUAUAAUGAAAAUAUUGUUCGAAUCAGACAAUUAUUUACCCGAAACGAGCAACCUGAUGGGGGGCAACAAAGGCCCCUAAAUGUGCCGGUGCAACAAAAUCCCAUCACGCCGAUGGUCUCACAGGUGCAACCGCAAAUGUCACCUUUCCAGACUGCUUAUAGGUCGGCGAAUAUCAACACCGGCCCGUAGUCGGAGAUUGCAUCAGGUUUACCUCCCUUACCAGUUUAUCAAUAUCAAAAUAUAGGGAUUAGAGCCGGGGGGCAGGCUCUGAAUAUGCAAGGAGUUAAUCCUGUUAUACCGAAUUUUGGUCUACCGCAAGGACCGAAUGUAGUACAAGCACAGAUUCCUUUGCAGGGGAAUAAUAAUGAAAUAUACGCACAAAUUGAAGAAGCCAUCCGAAAUACUUUCGAAGUUGGCGCAAGGCCGGCAGUGCGGCCUGUGUUUUGUUCCCCUUAUCCCACGAGUAUAGACGCAGAACAUCCGUAUCCGGCAAACUGGAAAAUGCUGAAGUUCGACAAGUUCUCAGGCGAUGAGACCGAGAAUACGGUCGAGCAGGUAGCCCGAUUCACGGCCCAAUGUAGAGAAGCGGUCACUGACUCAUUUUUGAAACUUCGAUUAUUUAACACGUCGUUAACUAAAACGACGUUUACUUGGUAUACAAGUUUAUCAGCCAAUUCCGUCCAAGAGUGGGACGAAUUGGAAAGAAAAUUUCAUGAGCGAUUCUAUAGGUCGGAGCACCAAUUAUCGGUAGUCAACUUGGCUUUAUAUCAACAAAUGUCAGGUGAAACGGUCGAAGAGUAUUUGAAUCGUUUCAAAAUAGCAAAAACCCGGUGCUUUAUGAGAAUGCCGGAAUUAGAGUUGGCCAAAAUGACGUUAAUGGUCUGCAUUUUAAGAUAAAAGACCAUUUUGAAGAUAAAUAUUUUUCUAACCUAUUUGAUCUAGUUGUUCGAUUGCCCAAUAUGAGUAAUUUUGGAAGAAAAAUAAGGACAAUCGGCUGCAAUGAAGCCGAUAUAAAAAGCAAAGCAAAGGCAAAGAGAAAUGCUUGAUAGAAGAACAGUCGGUUCAAGAAGAGCCGAGCCAAUCGAGUGAAUGCGGCUGGUAAAGAGCCAUUUUCUUUAAGGAAAAAUCUUUGAUAGAAGAACAUUCGGUUCAAGAAGAGCCGAAUCAAUCAAGUAAAAGUAAAGAAUCGGUUGAUGAAGUCGAGAUAUAUACGACUGGGACGAUAAAGAGCCAUUUUCUUUAAGCCAACCAAGACCAGCGAAACUAAAACUUGGGUUUCGGCUGUGUCAUUUGAGCAGUCGAUUUGGCACCAAUAGUCAGCCAAAUGUUUAUUCGAAAGACUGUUGGGGGGGCAUUGUUGAUGCCAAAAUUAAAAAUAACACGCCGACUUAGCCCACGUAUGAGCCAAAAAAAUAAGGACACGUAGUACACCAGGAGUCGGCAAUAAAGCGCCUGAAAGUCAACAGCGUUUAGGCGGGAACGGUUGAGAAGUGGAGGCGUAACUUCCAUGAGAAGUGGGCGUAACUUCCACAGUCAUGGUUACAACCACUCCCCCCACUACUUUCAACCGACCAAUAAUGUGGACUGAGAAGAUAUCACUAUAAAUAGUAACUUCAAAGCCUGUAAUAGGGGUCUUUCUCUCCCCUGAACGAGAAGACUACCACAUUUUCAUAUCUUUCCUUUCCUCUAUUUAUUGCUUUCUAGGAGUAGUCUAAAUGUAAUCUUUUUUUUCUGCAUUUACUGCUUUCCUAGGAGUAGCUUUUAAGUAGAACCCUGGAGUUUGUCUGCCCCACGGGCAUCAUUAUGUUGUAAACUAUGUAUUUGCAGAGUCUGUAUGCCCUUCGAGCACACUCUGUUUUAUUAAUAUAUAUAUAUAGGCAUUCGGCUCUUUCAGCCGACCAGUCAUUGUGUAUUUUAUUUAUUCGGCUCUUUCAGCCGAUCUAUUACUGUGUACUUCUUUUAUUCGGCUCUUCUGCCGACAUUGAUUCCUGCACAGUUCAUAUAUUCGGCUCAUCUAACCGAAUCGAUUUCAAAAGUAGAAGUUUUCGAACUCGGUUGAUCCGAUCCCUUAUCAGCCGAAUCGCUUGAUCCAGUCGAAGGGCGCAAACUUAAAGGGUCACUAUCCGCAGUUGUUCCUUACCCCGACGCGCUCCCCGAAGAGAAUCUUUGACCGGGUCAAGAGUCGGAAAAUUCGGCUACCAACAGAUUGGCUUCUAAAUUUUAAAUUAUUUUUUGCUCGAUCAAAAAGUUGAUGAAAAUGUAUGUGAAGGUUUUAAUUCAGAGACUUGAUCAUAAUGUCACCACCUUUCUCCUUUGGGAAAGACAGAGGGAGUGAGCUCACGACCACUGGAUAGUAAGCCACGAGUAGCGGAGGUGGGUCACGUAGAUUUGGACCCGUUCCAAUUUGAUUCCCCUCUUUAAUUGGGUCACAAUACUGUGGACCAAGAUCCGUUUCCUAGCGCGCCUCGAAAUCGACAUGUGGGUCUUUUAUUUUUAUGAGACUAGAACUUUCACCAAUGAAGCUUGCGCAGGGCAGAACUGUGUGACAAAGUAUUAAUAACUUUUCGUUAAAAUUUACGAUAAUUUUUUUCUGUAAAAAAAAAAGACCAAUAAAAUUGUCGGUUCUGUUUUUCAGCACGAAAUCUCAUAAUAAGCUUUUCCUUACAGCAAAAAAUUUUGAAAUUUUUGUUCGACAAAUAUGCUAAAAUAGGUGAUUAAAAUCGUGUCAUCAGCAGAUAAUUUUUAUGAAGAAUAAUUUAAUCGGCCAUCCAAAACAAAAGCAAUUAGGCUAAUUCGGCGAAUUAGCCGACAAUCAAAUAGCUAAAACAAAAGCAAUUAGGGUAAUUCGGUGAAUUAGCCGACAAUCAAAUAGCUAAAUGCGUAUUGUUUAGAAUGUUCGGUAAGAUCGAUCAGUCGGUGCGCAGAAAAAUUUUAUGCUUAGGCUGUAAGGCACUUCCUUCAGAUGAGCUCUCAUGUCUCUCGUGCAAUCUCCGCCGUCCGACGAAUCACUGAUCUAAUCCACACCGCGCGCCUUCUAAUCCCUCGAAGAGUGUAGGUAAUGCUGGGUGCUUCGGAGGGGCAAUUCGGUAAAUGGAGAGUGGUCCCGCACCGUGAUUUUAUGCGCGAAUUGGGACGGGGUUGGAAAGCGAGGAGACGUCGACGGGAGGACAACUAUGCGGAACGACGCGCCUCCGCCUCCGCGAAGGGACCGGACCCCACGUGGCGCGCAUCCGACCGUCGCUUCUGGCCGCGCCACCAUUAAGUUUAACGGUGACGGGAAGCCACGCGGAUAAGGUUCUGGAUCCCCCGCCGAGAUCCUGGACGACACGCUCUUUCGCGUUUGCCCCCUCAUAUUUUUCUAAUUGCGUUUUUGGUCCUUACUGGCCACCACAAUAUUUUUCGUAGGAGCAAUAAUAAAUUUGUUGACUAUGAUAUUUAACCGCGAAUAGAUUUAAUGAAUUUAUCUGUAAUAAUAAAAUCAGAUUGUUUAAUUACAUCAAUUUUAUUGAAAGGUUGGUGUUAAUGAUGGUAUCAUCAAUACUACUUUUACGAAUAAUAUAUUAUAUAUUAUUUUAUUAUAUUUAUUUUUUUUGAGAAAAAUGUAGCAUGCUAUUCGUUUUAUUCAAUGGAACGAUAAAUUAGGCUACAUGGGUGAGACAGCAAGACCUUAAUUGGGAUGAGAGGAUUAAAAAAAAAAAGACGAGAUUAACUAAGAGCAGACUGUUCCCACGAGCUUGUCAAUAGCGAGAUCUUCUGCACCAUAAGGUUCGGGUCCGAAUGAGUCGGUCGGAAGAUUACUCUAUUCCGUGCUUCCCAAAUGAUCCACCAGCACACAGCUAGUGCGGAUAACCGGGUCCUCAUCAAUGGUCCACCCAUGCAAGCCAUCAGUCUGUCUCAGAGAGAAAGGACAUCUUCCCCCAAGUUUGAAGGUUGGAGUAAUUCUACGGACAUAUAAAUCACUCGGAGGAACCUGGUAACGACGCACUGUGUGAAUAAGUGGUCGACAUUUUUCCCUUCACCACCACACAUCACACAUACGGAGUUGCCUGACCAGCCUUGCCUCGUGAUAUAUUUAUAUAUUGAUCAUUAUUACUAGAACUAUUUUUAGUAGAGGCAAAUUGGAUUUACUGAAUUUGAUCAAAUUAAUUUAAGUGAACAAUGAUCAGAAUCAAUAAGUUAUUUUAGUAGCAUUAAAAUCAAAUUAGAUUCAUUGAUUCUGAUGAGAGUCUAAACAAAAACAAUAAUCAAAUGCAACAAUUCUCUAUGCAGGUUGCAAAUAUGGAUCUAGUGCUAAUACAAGAAGGUGGUGCGUUGUUAAUGGUUUGCUUAAUCGAUCCAAUUAAAUUUACUGAAUUAAGUGCAUUCCUUGGAUGCUUGUGUACAGUUAAUUAUUAAUUAAUGAUGAAAUGAAAUGUCCGGAGACACAACAACGUACUAGAUUGGUUGGUGCGACGAUUGACGUAAGAAUGUAUCAAUGCGAUGGUUGGAAUUUAAUUCGGUUGACAAAUUAUACAUAAUAUCGUCGUUAUAUAUUGUUGGUGUCUUUUGCAUCUGAUAUGAAUAUUUUUUACAAAUUUAUACAUACAUAAUAAAAAAUAUUAUAUAAAUUCUUCAGUAUAUCAAUCGAUAUAUAAAACCAAUAUUAAAAUAUUUUGUGAUAUAAUUAAAUUGGACUAAUGUCUAAUUUAUAAUGUUGGCAUAGGCUUGUAUAGAAGACCCACUCCAGUCCACAAAUGAAACCAUAAUAAUAUUCAUAAAAAUAUGUAAAAGAGGGUUUUUGCUGAAAUAUUUUGAAAAAAUAUUAUGCGUAAGUAGAGUAUAUGACAAUUCUCUCUUAUAAACUUUAGGUCGCUGAUAAAAAAAAUCAGUUAGCUUAACUUUUUUCUAAAAUAUGUUAUGUUGUUGUUAGGUAUUAUUUCGUGAUAAAGUAAGCUCGAACAAAGGCUAAAAGUGAGAAAAAAAAUCUCCUUAACUAUUAUUUUAAUAAUUAAAUAGAUACUUUAUUCUCCUAUAAAGAUACAAUAACAAAAUUGAAAAUUCUUGUUUAAAUAUUAUUUUUAUUUAACAAAUUAUUUUUAAUUAAAUUGUAACUGUUUUAUCAAAUUGGACGAGAGAGUAUGGCAUUAAGUGGCUAGAGAAAUAUACAUGGUGUUCAUAUUAUGUUUUUAUUUUUUUCACUUUUUAAAGUCUGAGGCUAUAAAAAAUAAUAUUAAUAUUUUAUCAUAUUUACAAUUUAGCCAAUAACAUGUGAAUAACGGNAAAAAAAAACACACACACACACACACACACAAAUAUAUGCAUUUUCCGGGGGCCAUUCAGUAAAACACCAAAAAGCGCGGGUGGUCCCAACAACCAACGAAAGCUUCUAGUUUAUUUAAAAGCCUUUCAAAUAGCCGUUGCCUAACGGCGUCGCCACGUUACUUUUAACGUCUUAAACCCCCGUUAUCGAAACAAAUCGAACGUUUCGUAAUUUUCCACUUUGCCCCCGCAAAAAGCAACUCGUUAUAAAGCGACGCUUCUCUUUUUCCAUCUCUAUUUCUCUCUCUCUCUCGCUCUCGCAAAAGAAAGAAGUGAGUCGACCCGAAGAAACGAUCUCGCCUUUUCCAUCUCUCUCUCCCCCCCAUUUUCUCUUCGAAUUCCUCGCGAUUUCGCCUCCGAUAAGCGAUCGGAGAGCGAUCGGAAACUUGGUUUAGUCCUUUUUGCCCGGUGAUUUGAUCGACGGGGGAUGGAUUCGAGCGGCGGGGUGGAGUCGCCGGAGACGGGGAGGCCCGCGGCGGUGGUGCUGGACUUUCCGGCGGGGGAGCCGUCGUCGCCGGCGAAGGUGCCGCGGAGGAUCCGGCGGAGGCUUAUGGAGGCGAAGAGCAGUUCCCCGACGAGCGUGGAGGAGAUCGAAGCCAAGCUUAGGGAAGCCGAUCUCCGGAGACAGGUGCUUUUUGAGUUCGGAUUGUUAGUAAAUUUCUCAGUAAUUCUUAAUUUAUCGGAUUAACGGAUGCUUGCAAUUUGGUGUUCUUGUUUAAAAUAUUGGAACUUUGUGGAGGUUUUGGAAUUCGGGGGAUUAUCGGUGAAUUAAGGCUUGCUUUUGGUUCUUUAAACAGUUUCUGUUGUUGUUGGGCUAUCAUAGUUGCUUAAAAAUUGAGUUCUUCUCCUUUUUGGUUUCUUCUCAUAGUUUGUUGAUAUAACGGAAGUUUGGAUUUUCCUUUUCUUUUUAAAACUUUGGAUUUUGUGGAAUAUUUUAAAUUCGAGGGAUUAGUCGGUGAAGUAGGGUUGGGAUUUGGUUCUUUGGACGGCUUCUUUUGUAGUUUGACUAUAGUAGCUAGUUUAUAUUUGAAUUUUUUAUUGUUUUUGGUUUUUUUUAAAAAAAUCUUUCUUUGGUUGGUUACUUGGUGCAAAGAGUUCCCUUUUUGGGGUUUUUUCUGUUCUUUCCUUGCAAAUAUUUGCUAGUUUUAGAUGCUUCUUUUGUACUAACUUACUCUUAUUUUACUUGUGAUAUAUGUUUUUAAUUCAUCAGGAUGUACAACCAUUUUCUUGCUUCUUCUGUUGAUAGUACAUAGUUCGUAUUUUACUACGUUAGAAACAUUACUUGCACAAUAGCUUUAUUUGAAUAUUGGAGGUUUCUUUCUAUUUCUUACAGUUCCAAAUUUAAUGUUCUUCAUCAAAGUUUAUAAAUUGGUUGUAUACUACAUCAUCAUGUAGUCCGUGGCACUUUGUCUGGAUAAUUUAAGAGAAAAGUAUAUCUAAAGAGUUUCAGAUUUAGAGUGGGAGCAUUAAAGAAAGGAAAAGCAAGGAAAGUUAACAUUUUUUUUUUCUAUUUGCGAGAUUAAUAUUUAUUUGAACUGAAUCAGCUUACUACUAGCCGAUGAAAGAGAGUUCAAUUGACUUGAUAACCUAGCUUAUUGUCACAAAAAAUUCGCAUUUGCUGCUAAACUUAAUGUCUCUGUUCCCAGCCCUUUUUUUUCUUGUAAUUUUUCGUUCCCUGUUCUCUUUGAUAGUUUCCUGCAUAUCUUGUAAUUUGAAAAUAAUUCCUUUUAAGUUAGCUGCUUUUCUUUAGUUGAGAUUGUUGCCUUCAGGAUUUUCCACAGUUGACUUCUAUUGUGCGCCAAAUUCUUAAAGAGUACUACCUACUUAUUUCAGUUUUCAGUUGUGUUAUUUUAGUUUCAAAAUUUGUUCUUGAUACUGCACUGUCCUUGUUUGCAUUGCUUCUGCUUUGGUUAUCUUUUGUUUCUCUGUUUCCUUCUCUUGUUUGCAGUAAAGUUCUUCUAGAUCCUCAUACUGACGAAUGCUCUUUUGCCAGCAAUUUUAUGACUGGUUGUCUAGUAAAGCAAGGCCUAAGCCAAGGAGCCCUUCAUGGUCAUCUCAAGAGGAAGAUCUCGGCCAGAGACUUGAGGCUAAGCUUAUAGCAGCAGAGCAGAAAAGGUAUAUGUCUUUUGCCUAAUAAUAUGCUUGUUAAAUCACUUUUGCGCAGCUUACUCUUGUUAUUAGUCCAUCUCCUAUCUUAUUUUUUAAGGUGCCUGAGACUGCUUAUGCUUCCCUCAUUUAUUGUUUUCUUCGUUGUUUUUUUUGGCCAUAGUUGGCUCAGAGUUGCUGUGGUUGAGUUCGCUUUGCGGACGAGCAUGCUUUUUCCCCUGUGAAUUGUAGGUUGUAUGUUUUCUGCUCAAAUAGGGUUAUCCCGAUUUAAUCGGAAAAAAAUAAAAUUUUUAAGGUGCCUCUGUUCUGAUAUCUGCUCUGAAUUUUAUUAACUUACAUUUGUUCUCACUUAACCUGAUUCAAAUUCUCUUUACCCUUCUAUUAUAUUGCCUUUUCCUUUCUUGUUUGAUUCCUUUAUAAUUAGUUCUGUUAAUAUUGGAAAAUUUUGCUAAUGCUUGUGAUUUUUUCUUUUUCCAAGCGUGCAUUUGAGUUUCAUAUGAUCACUUAUCAAAUAUUUCCGUCUACUUCUUUCGACAGGUUGAGUCUCUUGGCAAAGGCACAAAAGCGGCUGGCCAAGUUGGAUGAGCUGCGACAAGCUGCUAAGACCGGUGCAGAGAUGCGACUUGAGAAGGAGCGUGAAGCGCUGGGCACGAGAGUCGAAUCUCGAGUCCAACAGGCUAAGGCAAACCGAAUGCGCCUCCUUAAUGCAUACAUGCAAAGAAGGGCCGCCGCCCAUGAGAGAACAGCCAGAUCACUUGUACAGAGGAUAAUCCAAGAGAACAAGUAUAAAGAGUGUGUCCAAUUGGCAAUAUAUCAGAAGCGUACUGCUGCCGAGAAGAAAAGAAUGGGUUUGCUAGAAGCCGAGAGGAAAAGGGCUCAAGCCAGGGUGAUGCAGGCUCGUCGAGUAGCCAAAACAGUAUGCAGUCAGAGAGAAAGUGAGAGGAGGAAAAUGAAAGAGCAGUUAGAAAACCGGCUUCAAAGGGUAUAUGAUCUUUUCCUUUUCUCUGUUGUUGUUAUUUGGUUUUGCAAUUUGGGCCUGGUUAGUCUAGUUGGAGCUUCUAUAAAAUUGCUGUCGAGUAGGACUGUUUGAAGAAACACUAAUGGCUUUUUAAUUAAAAUCUUUCCUACCAGCUCUUUGCUGCAGCAAAAGCAGAUGAUCCAAAUUGGAGCUUUUAAUUUGGGGCCAGAAGUUUAUUCGAGCUUUCUAAUAUUUUUAUUUAUUAAUCACCUAGAUACUGCUUUUUUGAGCAGAGAAGCUCCCACAAAAGCCACACCAAAGAGGCAUCGACUCUACUUCAACAUGUGCCUGUCUUUGUGUCUAUUAUUCUGCAUGGUGGCGAAUGCCAGCUUAGUUGUUCUCUCAUAGAGAACAUGAUCACAACAGUUUAGUUUCGAUUGUUGGUGUUUUAUAUCUUAGAAAUUAGAAUCACUUGUUAUUUCGAUGAACAGGCAAAGAGGCAGAGGGCAGAGUAUCUGAGACAGAGAGGAAGCCCUCGUAGUUAUGCACACAUCAGUUCUAUCAAAGACGGAGAAUUUCUUUCAAAAAAAUUAGCCAGGUGCGUUUUCUGUGAUCAUAUGCUUAAUACCUUUUUCUCUAUCUAUAAUAUGCUUUAUGUCGGAACAUAUUUUGCAUGUAUAGGUGUUGGAGGAGGUUUGUGAAGUCAAGGAGGACUAGUUUUGCCUUGGCUAAAGCCUAUGAAGUGCUGGGGAUUAACGAGGACUCUGUUAAGUCUAUGCCAUUUGAGCAACUAGCUCUCAAAAUUGAAUCACCUACAACACUUCAGACCACAAAAGCAUUGCUUGGUCGGUUAGAGAGCCGAUUUUUACUGUCUCAAUCAUUGAACUCAUCUGGUCCGGAGAAUAUAGACCAUUUGCUCAAGCACCUUGCAUCUCCUAAUAGAAAAAUGCCGUCUGGCAAAUCAUCAAGGACUAAAGGGACAACCAAGAAAGGAGCUCGAGCUGCCGAAUCAAAUAAUAAGCUCUCAAGAUAUUCAGUUAGAGUAGUACUCUGUGCUUACAUGAUACUCAGUCAUCCAAAUGCAGUCUUUAGUGGACAGGGUGACAAAGAAAUCCGAUUGAUGGAAUCAGCUAUAAACUUUGUUCGGGAGUUUGAGUUGUUAGUAAAAAUUAUAUUAGGACCAAAUAACACUAUGGAGAUUCAUCUAGACUCUUCAGCCGGUACUACUUGCCAGAAAUUCAGUGAACAAUUGGUAGCUUUUGAUGCAGCAUGGCGCUCUUAUCUGUACAGAUUUGUGGUGUGGAAGGUGAAAGAUGCAAGGGCUUUAGAGGAUGAUCUUGUGACAGCUGCGUGCAAACUUGAGCUCUCAAUGAUGCAAACAUGCAAGCUGACUCCUGAAGGGCGGUCGUGUGACCUCAGUCAUGACAUGAGGGCUAUUCAGAAACAGGUUUGCUUGAUCUACAGUAAUAAUUUAUCUUUAUUUAUUAAGGUUAUUUUUUUUUUCCUCUGUUUUGUUUUCCUCGUGGGACACUUCUGAAGUGAUAUAUCAAUAUGAACUCUUUGAUAAAAAUGUUGCAAAGCCAUUGAUCAGCUUGCUGUUCUAUAUCAUAAUGUCAGGUUCUGUUUGUAAAUUUGGUUAGGAUUGCCUUAUGGAAUGGCGUCAAUUGACUGUUACUUAAUUCAUUGUGUAAAAAUGUGCUACUUUUCUGUCGGAACUAAAUAACCAUUGCUAGGUAUUAUAAGAUGAAUUUAUCAAAGUUAUCAUUUAGUUUUCCUGGGAUGUGGAUGCGUAUUAUCAAUUGGUGCCGUCCUGCAAUCCUUUCUUUCGAAUGCUGUUUUGCAUUGCAUGUGGUAACAUAAAUUAUUAUUUCGCGUAGAAUCAUAUAAAUUAGUUAAUUAUUCUGAAUGACCGUAGGUUACUGAAGACCAAAAACUAUUGAGGGAGAAAGUACAGUACCUGAGUGGCAUUGCUGGGAUUGAGCGAAUGGAAUGUGCUUUAUCUGAUACACGAUCCAAAUUUUUCGAAGCGAAGGAGAGCGGCAGUCCUUUGGCGACUCCUAUUGCUCAUAUAUCAUCUACUUCGGUAUCCAACUCUGCUGAUCAGUCUUCGGCUUCUCUCUCUAAGGAGCAUUAUAGUGCAAACAAUGAAAAGCCCAAAAGUGUGGUCCGUUCUUUAUUUGGAAGUUCAUCUUCACCACCGAAAAACAACACCAAACUGAAGCUUGAUGAUCCUUAUACAAUUGGCAAUCAAGAACCGAAGGAAAAUGAAGUUCUUGUCAAUGAGAUUCUCCACGGAAACCAUGGAGCAUUUGCUAAUUCUCUUGACGUUGGUGGUGCUGAGGAGAAUAUCAUGGUGAGUUUUUUUUUUUCUGUCAAUAAAAUAGCUGUAUGUAAAGAAAUUAUUUUUCACAUAAAAACAAGGUAUUGUAUGGACCUUACUUAGCUAUAAUCUAUUGGAAAUGUCAGUUUUUGAAUGUUAAUUUUUGAAAUUUUCUCUCUUUUGAUGUCAUACAAUUGUGUCAUAAUCUGUUAAUUAUUGGAAUACAUGGCUUUGUAUUAAUCAGGCAAAGGUGAAAGAGACUAUGGAGAAGGCUUUCUGGGAUGGAGUUAUAGAUUCCAUGAAAGGAGAUGAACCCGACUAUAGCCGAAUUUUGGGCCUUGUGAAGGAAGUAAGGGAUGAAUUAUGCGAUCUGGCUCCUCAGAGGUGGAGGCAAGAGAUACUGGAUAGUAUCGAUCCUGACAUUCUAUCUCAGGUAAUUCCGUAGAAAACUACAUGACUUAUUCACAUUUACAAGUUAAUUUUUUUUACCUUUUCUUUAAGUUAAUUUUUUUACCUUUUCUUUCCUUUUAUGUGGUAAAGGUACUCGAGUCAGGCUACCAGGACUUGGAGUAUCUAGGAAAGAUCUUGGAGUACUCACUCAGCAUUCUUCGGAGAUUAGCUGCUCCCGCAAGUGAAGAUGAUAUGAGGAAAGCUCACGAGAAAUUAUUAAGUGAAUUAUCAGGAAUCUCUCAAUACCAAGAUGAUAAACGAAGUAGCGCUUUCAUUAUAGCAAUUGUCAAGGGUCUCCAAUUUGUUCUGGAGGAGAUACAGGUAAUCUGUCAUCAUUUAAUUUAGUCAUCGAUGUGCUAUAAAAUUUGUAGUGCGAGACAUUUAGUCGGGGAGUUGGAAGAUUUUAAUGACAUAGAUUUUAAAUGGUUUUAUGCUCUUUUAAUGGCAGAAACUGAAAAAAGAAGUGAGCAAAGCACGCAUACAGAUGCUGGAACCGAUCAUAAAGGGUACUGUUGGCUUGGAGUAUUUACAGAAGGCAUUUGCUGAUCGUUAUGGCCCUCCCUCAAAUGCUCUGGAUUCUCUCCCUCUAACUAAGCAGUGGAUUUCAUCCUUGAGGGACAGUUCAGAAGAGGAGUGGAAUGAACAUGGGGAUUCUCUUUCCGUCCUGUCUACAAGCCAUGUAAGUCAUGAAUUUAGUUUCACUUGAUUUUGAAAUGUGAAUACUGCCUGAUAUGGUUGAGACAUGGUAUAUCUUAUUGGAAUGUUAGUUGAAAUAGAUAGUUUCAAACUGCUACUAAAUAGUCCUACUUUUGCAGAAUCAACCUCUUGUUACUACCCUACGAACAGGUGGAGGCAUUCCACAGGGAACGAAACAAGCACUUUCCCAUCCCGAUGCUUCAGGUGCAUACUUGCUUCAACUUUCCUUAGCCCUUCCUCCUUCCAAGUUCCAACUUAUGAAGAAUAUUUAAAUUUUGACUCAUUACAUCUGCAAUUUCAUUGCUUGAGUAGGUAAUGGUGAACAACCGGAAUGCAAUGGAGAAAGGAUCGACUUGUUGGUGAGGCUCGGUCUAUUACGACUUGCUAGUGGUAUAGAGGGUGUGACAGUUCAAUCGGUGCCCGAGACUCUUCAGCUCAAUGCUUUAAGACUGAGGUCUGUCCAGAGCCAGCUUCAGCAAAUCAUUGUCAUCUCAACGAGGUAAAUAUGUACAGUACAACUAGCCAAACUCGCGAAGUGUGGCCUGUGUAUUUUUAGAAUUGGUGGCUUUUAAGAAGCAGAUUUUAACCACGCCUUAAAAUGCAUAAAUGCAGCAUGUUGGUCCUUCGGCAAAUUAUUGUCAGUGAAAACUCCACUCGCCCUCCUUCGGACUUAGAAAGCUCGAUCUCAGAAUUCGCCAAAAACCUCACGGCACUCCUGGAGAGCAAUGCUGAUGUGGGCAUUGAAGAGAUCGUCGAGACCAUGGCGAACUCAUCUAUCUCAUCUUCAGAGACAAAGCUUCAAGGUAGGAAGGAAAUCAUGGCGAGGAUGCUUACGAAAAGCUUGCAGAACGGCGAUGCGGUCUUCACAAAAGUCUCAAGAUCCAUAUACUUAGCGGCACGAGCAAUUCUUCUCGGCGGUAGCGGGUCAAAGGGUCGGAGACUGGCGGAAGGAGUGCUAAGACGUGUUGGGGCUGUUAUGCUUUUGGAUCGAGUGGUUACGGCGUCAGAAGUGCUGAUUAGAAUGGCGACGAUAUCAGGCUUUGUUCAUGGGCCUUGGUAUAAAUGCUUGCUGUGAUUAUUUAGUUUUAUCGCCGUCGCGUAUAUAAAUAAAUAAACAAAUAAGUAUUAGUGGGAAAAGUAGUCUGUGAUCAUGUGGUUGGAAAAAAAAAAUGUAAAGUGUAGAACAUUAACUGUAGAUAACUAUGUACAUGCAUAGUGGUGGUCAUUGAGGUCGUGAUUGUUAUUGUCCUCCUAAGUUAGUUGAGGUCAUUGUUUAUAGUUUAUUAUUGUCCUAAGUUAUUUGUUGUCAUUGUUCACGGUACUUGGAAAUGAUUACUAUUUCUGCAAUUAUGAUCAUCAUUAUUAAUAAGAUCUCUGUAGUAAUAGUAGCACAUCCCCAUACGAAAAUACUACUGGAAAAUCCAAAAAGAUCUGUGAGUCCACAAAACAGUUAAUCAACGGCAUUAAUCAUUAAUUUUUCUAAUAUAUUAAUUUAAAUGAUAUGUUAGGUACAACAAUGUGACAAAUAUAGCUUUACUGUAUCACUGCAUCUUUUUUUCUCUAAUACAAUGACCUCUAAAUGGAAGCAAGCCUAGAUUAUGCUGCUUAUGAAUCUUCAAGCCAGACUCACCCGAAGCACAAAAUACACGCAACAUUUCACCUAAGAAGUAUUGAUUGCAUCAUCAUCCUUUUCAAGUUGCCAAAGAUUGAAUAGCAAGCCUUGCCGCAACCAUGUUAAUGUUUUGUUUAACAUACUCGAUUCCACCAUGAAGUCUUUCUAGUGUGUCUCUUGAAUUCAUUGCUUGUAACUUCUCUCUUUGCAAGGCGAGGAAUUCCGAAUCCGACAUCCCUGAAGUUUAAUAUUUGGAAUGCUAUAUGAGUCAUUAGUUGCUCUAAUUUGAUAUAUUUAUUAUGAGCAUUGAAACUGUUAAGUUGAAGUAACCAAAUAAAUAAACAAUUUAGGUUCAAUAAAGGACAUAGCGGUAAUGCCACCUGAAACAGGUUGGAAUGCUGCGAAGGAUAGACGCUCGGCUAGUUUUGGUAUAAAAGCUUGGUUGCAAUCUUCAUAAAUUGCAUUUUCAGCCCAUAUAAGAGAGCUCUUGAUAUGGGUUUGCAGAAGUUCCUCCUCAGGUGCCUGAACGAGUAAAGAGCUUUUAGCAUGUUGAUGAUUCAAACCAUUAGGUAAAAUCAGCUUUAUAAUUGUAACAAAGACAAUAAUUACUUAAACUACCUUCAGUUUCAGUUUCAUUUGCAACCUGUGUAGACUGCGCAUGAAGUCCCUUAGCUCUGAAAGUUUCAAGUCUAAUUCAUUCUCUUGGUAAGGUGUAUUGUCCAGCAUUGGCACAACAGUUCCCCGCAAGUAUGGUUCCAUCUGGAUCAAUGAAGACUAUCACCAUCUAAAAUGGAAGUGAGCCGAAAGAGUUAAAGUAAAUUCCCAGCUUCAAGUAAUUGCUCAAUUUUCUUUCUUCUGUGACCUAGUGUUCAAUACUAGAUCCAAUAUAAGCAGUUCAUACUGGUUUCGCACCAGAAAAAAUGUACUGUCCACAAGAAAACUACUCACCUAAAAUAGCAAUAGACUGAACUCAAGUACAACAUUGUACAUUCAAACCUUUGAAGCUUACAUGCACAAGUUUCACAAUGUUAACCCGGCUCAUUCCUCUAAUGGAAACCAGCGCUCCAAUCUCCAGCUUGUCUACCUGGACCAUAACAUAAAUCUUAUUAAUUGACAUAUGUAUAUGAUGUAAUAUGCUAAACCCAGAAGCUUACAUUCUCUAUGUGGACCAAACAACCAUAACUAGCAGUGAAGGAUGCUCGAUUUGAAGAUCUGCUCAUGCGAACUGGAUCAAGCACAAAGUGCACAAAAGUCUUCUUUCUUCUCAACAAUGACUGCAAAUAAAGCAUCAGCAACAGGUAUGAGCUUAUUCAGAAACAACAUUGAUGCGACCUUCUGCUUGAUGCAAAUCCACCAUAUUUCAGUAUGUAAGUACGCAAUAUCAAUCUCAACAAGUAAUACAAUAAAAAAAGGGUCAUAUUGUGGCAUUUCUUUGUGACCAGUAUUUACUAAAGUCUCCGCUUUCAAGGGCAAAAAAACAAAUAAAAAAUUACAGCAAUCACAAAAUUGAAAUAUACGGCCAUUGUAUAUACAUAACUAUCUUCCAGUAAAUAUGCGAGUGAUCAAAAAAAGAAAAAAAAGAAAAGAAAAGAAAGAAAGAAAAGGGGAAAAGCUAGAUGUAUCAUUUUACCAAAGUCAACAAAUUCUUCCACUUAAUGAAAUUUCAUAGGGGCAUAUACCUCCUCUAGUAAUGCCAGAAACCUUGCUUCGUAUAAAUGCAAAGUCUUGCACUCAGAUGGUAUUAGAACCUAAAUCAAAACAAGAAGAAAAGAAUGGAUAAAAUACAUAACAAAGAGUAAAUAGCUCAAAGCCCAUCAUUAUCUGCUCAUAUGUAUGGCGUAGAUCAAAUGAACAAUACCGUAUAAAUAACAAGGAUUAAUCCAAUUAAAUGGCGGGCGUAGGUGUAAGGAAUUGAAUGAAGGAUAUGAAAAUUAUAUAUACUCAAACUAAUGCAACUUUGGCAUUAUUCAAUCCCCUUUAACCUCAAAUUUUACAUUGAACACACGACAUCUUAGAACUGAGAGGGCCUCAGACCGGCUUAAUACCAUAUUACUCUUUAAAGAUCAACAUGAUAAGAGCUGGACAUCAAUCAAAAGCCAUGAUUUACACUACCAAAUUUGUUCCCGGACUCAGGGACUAGAUUCACACCAUCGAUCGAUCGCCUAAUCAGAGUGGAAGCUAAAGGAAUCGAAACAUUACCUCGCCCAAUUCAAAGGGAAGAAGCGGAAGAUCCAGAGAGUGCGUCGGCGACGAGCAGUAGCUUCUGAACAGCCGAAUCCGCUGGAGGGAAAAGCCAUUUGGGGCAAAAGAUCGAGGACUAGGGUUUCCUGGGAGGAGGAGGAGGAGGAGAGAGCGGGAACGAAAUGGGGAAUGGGCGAGAGCUAGGGUUCCGCUACUCAUUGGAGGCGAAAAGUGAAGUGAACUGCAAAGGAAGAUAGAUAGGGUUGGUUAGGGGAAAAGGCGCGGGAGGCGCACGUCCGAUUAAUUGAUCAGGACCGUUUAUCAUCUAACUUCUCGCGUCUUAAAGCAGGCGUUUUGACUUUUGCGAGAGAAAAGCAAAAGCUUAACAAAAUAACAACCUGUCCCAUAACACUUAAUUGCCUAUAGCUCCUAACAAAGAAAUAAAAUAGUAAAUAUAUUUUUACUAAAUUUAAGAAUACCAAACCCUCGGUAUGCGUCUUAGUGAUGGAGAUACGCUUUCUUAGGCACACUUGGGAUUUACUUUGCUAGUUCUUUUAUUUUCACUAUCGAGACUGAGUUAUCUGACUUUGUAGUCCGAUACAUCCUCCUAAUAAAUAAAGCGGUAGCAUGCUACCACAUUCAAAAAAAAACAAAAAACAACCUGUGUCAUAACACUUACAAAAAAUUUAGAAAUAAUUACGUAUAUCUCCUUACAAAGAUAUCAAAUAGUAAAUAUAUUUUUAUUAAAUUUAAGUUAUCAGAUUUAUUCCUCAUCUUCUCAUCUAUAAAUAUGUUAUCAAAAUUUAGAUAAUCAUGUAAAAAACUAACUGCAGUUGGUUAAAGAGUAAAAUAAUCUUUUUACUUCAUAUAUAUAUAAUUUUGUAUUAUAAUAUUGAGUUUUGUCAGCUUUCUCAUCUUCUUUUCUUUAUCUAUAACGACGACAAGAUCUACGGCGACGGCGAUGCCGAAGAGAGGCCCUCGAUUGUGAAAAAUUAAGGUAUGUUACACGUGCCACAAUAAAGGCGAGGAGAGCGAGAAAUAAAGCUAAUUUUUAUAUAGACAAAUUUAUAAAGAUAAAAUAGUCAUUUUAUACCCCGCGUUAAAAAAGUAACAAUCGAUCAAAGGACAUAUAUAAAUGAACCAAAAUUUUUGAAGAGAUAUAUUUGUAAAUUAAAGAAUUUUUGAAGGGAUAAAUUUGAUAAUUUAAGUUUUGUAUGAAUAUAUAUUUACUAUUCCAUAUUUUUUUGGGACCGGUAUAAAAUUAACCCAAAAAUAUUAUAUGUUUAAAUGAUAUUUUUAUUUCAAAGUACACGAGCAUCCACGCAUUAACUAACAACGGUAACUAACUUCCAUUUGGGAACUCAUGAAACCUCUCUGAAACCAACUUCUCCUUUUACACCCCCAACCGUUAUAAACGGCCUCUUUUCAGUAAUCAGUACAAGCUCGCAAUGUAGGGGCUGCAGAAGACCUGCACCUCCACCAAAGUCGCCCUCGACUCGUCCCCGAACAACGACUCCUUCCCGUCCUCCCUCUUCUCAUACGAGAGCCCAAGGCGCGACCUCGCCGCCCGCAGAUCCCCGACGCCAGAAUUCGUGUCCGGCCCUGCGAAACCCCCCAUCACCGGCGCCAGCGGUGGCCCGAUGAGGAGCCCGUCGGCCCCGAACUGCGGCCCGCCCCGCGCGUAGUCGAACAGCGCGGCGCCGCUGCCGCCGACCUUGCGCAGCACCGCGGGCUCGCCGUCGUCGUCGGUGUCCUCCUUCCAGUAGAAGAGAAAUGCGUCGAACGUGUCGUAGUAGUCGUCUGUGCUCCUGUACCCUUCCGGAUUGAAUGCGCCGAAUCGGAAUGAGUUUGUGGUGCGGCCAAUUACCACGCAGGGGCCCUUGAAGUCGCAGCAGCGGUGGAAGUCGGCGGCGCUGAAGCCGUCGACGGAGGCCAUGUAGCAGCAUUUCAGUUCCCGGCCUGCGCAGUGUUAGUGCUCAGAAUUUCAGGAUUUGUUGCGUGUAGAGAGAGAGAGAGAGAGAGAGAGAGAGAGAGAGAGAGAGACUGGCUGAGGCAAUUGAUCGAACACCUCGUAGGUGGGUGUUGGCUACGAGGGAUUUUGGGAACGGGAGGUCGACGUCGUGGUACUUGGGCGGAUUGCGUUCUUGGGUUCUUUUGUUCUUGGCCCAGUCGAAUAGGUUGAGGGUCGUCUUCUUCCUCCAGCUCCUCGGAGUGGUGGGAUUCACCAUGCAAGCCACGGCCAUGGGAGGAAGAGGGAGAACGCUUAGUUGUCGCAAAUUUGAGUUUUGUGGUUCACAUAAUCGUUAUCUAUAUACUGCUCGGUGUAAUUCGACACUUGUUGGGCUCUCAUUUCCUCAAGUGUUGUGGGCUCCAAUGUUUGGAGAUAUUAUUGCUGCUGUAUCCGCACAUCUGAAACGCACUUGCACCCAAUUUCUGAUGAUCAAUACUUGAUCAGAACACAUUUUAGGCUUAACAUUUUGUGGAAUAUAUACCAUGAUAUUAAUUGUUAAGCAUUACAAUUUGAGUAUUUUGUCUCCAAUUUUGAGAAUGGAAAUAUAAAAUUAAAAUAACUUUAGAAAAAACCUGUAUGAUUAACACAUGAAUUAUCUUUAUGUACGCCGAAUCGCAUCUCAAGUAUAACUUGGUGUACAAAAAUAAGAAGGAAACAAAAAAGCUGAUCUUCUCAGGAAAGCAUUUCUUCUCAAGAUGCAUUACUUGGACUCAAACUUUUGUCCUCCGCCGGUUCCCUUGACUCAACUUGAACUUCAGGAACCGCAUUCGCGUCGCUAUCCAACUGCAUACUCGAAGGAAUUUGAGCCUCCACGGUCGGUGGCGAAUUUGAAGACUCGGAAGGAACUGAAGCUUCGACGGACGGAGUACUUUGGAGUUCGGGAGCAACUGAAGCUUCGACCACCGCCAACUCCUGCUUGAACUUGUUGAUGUAGUAACUCAGAGGCGGUCCGGAGUACACCACGCUCUGCUCUUGUGGUUGGUUCUUACUAACUUGGAGGAGGAUGGAUGAAGCCGCGGCUAUGGAGAUGAGUGCGAGGCUUGCGGAGAUGGCGAGGGUUUUCUCUGCUCCCUGUGCGGAUGUGCCCGCAUUCCCCGAGCUUAUUGCACUAUCGGCGACGUACACCGCCGGCUGAAUGACACGGCAUACCAUCAUCAGUUGAUUGAGAAAUUUGUUUCACGAGUUCCAUUAAAUUUCACUCUAUGAGAAAAAGGGAAAAGUCAUAUUUUAAUUCUAGAAGAUCUUGUUUGAAUCUGAAUUGAAUUAACACUUCGCGCAUAAAGGUAGUAAGAGGACGACGAAGAUAAAUGCAGUGGCACGGUCAAUACUUGAAUCUAUUUCAAUCGAGAAGCAUAUGUAAAUAUGAAGGGAAUCAUGAAGUUCAAUACGGUUCAGCGAAACGAAAUAAUCAAGAACAAGAAAAGCACUUGAAGGGAGCUAAUCGCUCUCAUCAAAUGCCAUAAGAAUAUCUGUUUCGAAAUGUUUGUAGCACAGAUUUGUAAGCACUAAGGGCAUCUUAUUUUAGGGGCUUUUUGCUUAUAGGCAAUAUGUUAGAAGAACAAGAAACUGAUGAAGCCAAACUACACAAUUCCAUGCUAACAAGCUGAGGCUACUUAGUAUCUAUAAAGAAGGAAUAUAUAAGCUCUGUGUCUCUAUGCAUACACAUCCUAAUUUAGCAAGUACUAUUAAGCAUUAUCUUAUGAGGACUAAAUCCAACACUAUAUGUCAAUUCAUAGCAUUGCAAAAACAAGAAGCAUUUAAACAACUUGCAAAUAACAGCUUCUGCAGUGUGAAGAAGUAUUCUGUGACAGACCUUGAAUGGAAGUUGCGGAAUCAAUAAAUAACAGGUCGAAAUCUACAUACCUCAACUGAGUAUAUAUUUGUUUGCCCAGCUGUAUCUUUCUCCACAUAACCAGUCCAACCUCUUUUCCUGGGAGGGAAUGUCCCAAUCACUUUGGUCUUCUCCCCAGCUAGCCACUCCCCGCUAACCUUCCCGACCUGCAACUCUUUACAGUAUCAUCAUGCCUACUAUUUAAUAUCUGAUUUGUAUGAUUCAUACUUCAACUUUGCUUAAAAGAGCACUAUUCUCUCUCUGACCAUUUAAGUUUUUAUAGAAAAUUAUUGUUUCGCAUAUUAUGUUAUCAGAGUAAGAGAUUCUGAGUUUAAAGAUUCUCAAAGUUGAGAUAGGAGAAGAAGUGCUGAUACACAUACCUCUUUCUCAGGAGCACACUCCUCCACAUUGCAAUCAGCAUCUUCUGACCCAGUUGAAGCAUUCACUCUGAAGAAUUUGGUGCUCCCUUUUGCUCUCGGAGGCUUCUUGGGAGUCUUCUGAUGAGUUGGGAAUGAACAGCUAUUUGCUGAUAACAUAGACUGGGAGGUAAAGGCCAUUUGAGAAACCCCCCCAGGAUUUUUUAAAGAAUAAAAAUAAUUAGGAGAGAGAGAGAGAGAGUAAUUUUUAGGUGGAAUUCUCUUUCUCUAUGGACUAUCAAUUCCUUGUGCUGUUCUUCUUUUUCUGUCUCUUUUUCUUCUCCUCUGGUUUGUUGAUGGUUCCCUCUUUUUAUGUUUGAGUGGAUCUGUGUCGGCCACGUGUCUCUCUCCUGUACUUCUAUAUCUAUGUAUGUAUAUGAUAAUAAUAGCAGGCUAUAGAGAAAGUUGGGCCAAAUCAGUAACUGGGCCAAACUAGGUAGUAUCCUGUUCACUUCAAAAUACGACACAAACCUUUACACGUGGUGAAUGCCUAGAUCAUAUAACGCCCACAAGGCCACAGACCUGAAUUAUUUUUUGAGGAAAAGAAUAACAUGUUAUCGCUUCAUUUAUUAAGUUGAUGAACUCAGCGACAGAAUUGAAGCAACAUGGCCUCGGAGAACGAAAAAAUACAAGACAAAGGAAAUGAGCAAACAGAGGUACGAAGCAACAUGGAGAAAUGAUAUAAUUUGAGCCGAAACUCUCCCCAACGACCCUGAACGCUCUGGCCUUGAACAAUAAUUGGUUUCCAAAUUGUGUUAGUGGUUCAGUAGGGUCCAAGGCACAUGUCCGAUUAAGUGCUAUUCGACGGCUCAUAUCGAAAUUAAGUUUGCAAGGGCGACACGCACCCAUUGUGUGUGAGAAUGACUUGAACAUGCCUCUGAGCUUUCUCUCAUCCUCAUGAUCAGUCUCCUAAAUUCCUCUACCCCAUCUCUCACCAAGGACUAUAACUGAACCCUGCGGUGAAGCCGCAGUGCUAUGAUAUUGAGAUUUGCUUUCAAUAUUCACCCUCGUUUGACGGUAAAUAACGAGAAUGCCCCUCUUGUAUUUGGUUCUUUCCUAGCAAAUUAAAUUUAUACGAGCACAUCUGACAGGGCUCGAGCAGGAGCAUCAUUGGGGCCAUAGUUGUUCGCAAGGCAAAACAAUUUUUCAUCAAAAUCUCCUCCAUAGGUUUUCACUAAAACGAAAGCAAUUUUUUUUAAAAAAAAACCUGAGAUUAUCUGUUCGAGACUAUUAAGAUAAGCUCACUAUUUCAGCCCUGCACUACAUAACUUUUUCUUUAUCAAAUGUCAAGCCUCAUCUUGUAGUAAAGUUGGUAGCGUCAAACCGACCAAUAGCAUGCCCACAAAUCCUCACCGACUCCUCAACCACAAAUUCUCAAGAGUGGUGUAAUUAACAAAGUCACUUCUAUUGUUGACCUCUUUUACAAUAUUCAAUGAAUUCAAUCCCAGGAAAAGGCGAUACAAUGUAUACCAGAGAAAAAUAAUUUUCACACAGAGAACAGUUGGAAAAGGAAAAAUUCCAAAUCACUAAUACAACUGUUUCUACAAAAAUUCUAUUUGUCAGAAGUUCACAGGGCCCCCAAUGAAUCUUGAGUGUAAGAGAAUCUACUGCCUUAGGCAAGGGAAAAAAAAAAGAAAAGAAAGAGAGAGAGAAAGCUGAUAAAAAAUGUACUCCUAGCAACACACUAGAAUAUACAAAGGGUUCAGGGAAUUUCAAAAGAAGUGCAAAAAAAAGAAAAGAAGAAGAAGAGUAUUUAAGUAUUGACACUGCUUGCCGGAGGUCUAAGCAUGCACUUUUAAUCUCAACCCUGCUCACGUAUUUGCUUGCAGUGUUAGGUUGGCCUCUAUUCAGAUUGUGAUCGUCGGCUCGCACUAUUGUGGACUAAGAGCAACAAAAAGGCUACUCACAGUAUAACUAAAAUUUCUUCAAUCAUCAGGAUCCAUCUCUUCAUCUUGCUCUGAAGAUCUAUUGGCGUCAGAUUCUGGCUGCUCCUGUGCCUCAUCAUCUUCUUCGGGUAAGUCACCUUCGUCGUCGUCACUCACCUCUGCAGAAACUAUUGCCAGACCGCGUUUAAUCCAUUCAGGACAUUCGUCCUCACCUCCGUAUACUAGUUGGCCGUAGCUAUCCUUUUCGGGGCUUGCGGAGCCGAUGAGGUUGGAAGCUCUACAGGAACACUCGGGCAAUGGGUGAGAAAGGAAAGAUGUGGGCUUCAACAGUCGGGCCUCUGCAACGAACCCAUCCACGCCCGCACUCUUGUUAAGAAGUUCCCGCAACGAGAUGGUCCAAUUACGUGGAGGAUGAUAUAGAUGAUCAUUGAGGGUUCCAAAUAGCUCAACAAUGCUUUUUCUGGCGAAAAAUUAAGAGGAAUCUAUUAGUACAGGAAAAUAUAUGCCACAUUUUGUUGGAUUAAAAUUUACGGUCACUCAGACUUCUGAGAUAGCCUGGAAUCCAGGCAUACAAGUCAAAGUUCAUGAGAUAAUCGCUUACAUAGCAAGUAUUAACUUUACAGAAGUAGCACAUCCUUAAAUUGCUUAAAAAUUAAUAGAGAGCUUUGGCUAAUGGAUUAAAUGUUGAGAGAUGGCAUGGAAAUCUAGCCUUAUGAAUUUUUUCUUAAAAAUUUAUAUUUGUUUACCAUCAAUAUCAGCAACUGCUGAUGGAGAAGCACAAAGAGUUUCUCUUUACUAAUGUCGAUACUAUCUCGGUAUCUCCAACCGUAACAUACCAGCAUAAAAACUUAUUUACCUGUCAGGGCGAUAAGUCAUGCCAGAGGCCUUCUGAUACAACCGGUGCCCCAUGAUCAAGCCCGAAUAAUCCGGCCACCCCCUCCCAUCGUUAUUAAAACCAGGAAAAAAUGCAUCAGCUUCAAUAGAAACAUAAUAGUCUAGAGCGUCCCACAGCAACCGGUGUGCUUGCAUCCUUAGAUCCAUGGGCGAAGGAUCCGGCUCAAUGUCGGUCUCUGAAAUCCAACCAUACCAACCUUCUUUCUCGUGCUGAUAGAAGGGCCGAGCCGGAGGUGGAGGGAGGGGUCGGGGACGGGGGCCAGCUCUCUUCCACUCUUCAAUAAGUUGUUUCUCACUUUUGAUUGGCGGAGGAUGAGGCAUGUUAGAGGGGAGAGGGGAUUCUGGUCCAAUCAGAUUGAACAACUCUCUCUCGCUGCAUAAGGAAGAACGAUCGACCAAGUUUGAGUACAUGGCCCGUAAAGGGAUAAGAAUCCUCUGCCCACCAAAAGUCUCAGCACCAGCUAAGUAUAUAAUUGUAUUUGGCGGGUAGCCUAAUGCUCGAAGAAGAAGUCCAACCUACCAAAAGAAAAAACAAAAUGGGAUGGUUGGAGAACACUUGCCCAAGAAUAAAGUAUCUCACUCUAGAGUGGAACAGAGUAUUAAAAACAUGUAAUAUAAACAAACAUAUUCAUUUUUGAAGCACAGUAAUCAAAAUGAAAAAGAAAAACAAAACUUGCAACAGGGUACAAUGAAAAAGUUGGACGGGGGAGUCUUGAAAUAUACCAGCAUUAAGUUGAUUAUACUUUAUAAGCAGCAUGUUUUUAUUCGAAGUUGGAGAAAACAACUUCAAACUGUGCUGCAUAAAUUAGCUAAUUACCUCUUCAGGCAUGAGUGGACAUGAACCAUUUUUCUUUCUAGCAACCGAAUCAACACUCAGUUCUUCCUUCAAAGUUCCAAGUUUAAUCAUCUGCUGCCUUCUAUAUUGUAUCAGUUCUGUGUGAACAUCCUAACAAGGUUAAGUGAAAGAUCAGUUACAGACAGAGAUAUAGAAAGAGAGAAAGAGACUAAAAAAAGAGUAAAAUAAACAACUGAGUGGCACUUCUACACGACACGCAAUGGCAAGCGAUGAUUAUCAAGAAUAAAUCUUACGACAAACAAAAUGAUAUAAAAGUUAAAGCAACAAAAACACUAGGUUUCAUUGAAUGCUUGAUGACAGAUUAUUCUUCACCAACCUGGAAAAGUUCAGCACAUCCAUGAAAAGCUAGAGUAUCUCUCACAAGACCUGGGUGAUAUGCUAGAUAAGGACGGCCAGAUGCUCGCAAUCUGCAAAUUACAACAAGAUUGGAAAACAAUAAUAGGAAGCAGUAAUGGAUGAACAAGACCACCACUUGUACAAUUCUAAAAUCAGCAUAAUGUUUUACAGCCUACGAUUCAAGGUAAGUGGAAGUCUCGACCUCAUAUAGCAGUGCAACAAAUUAUGAAUUUAAACUUAUGUUAUAAGAAAAGAAUUUGAUCUUUUAAUCACAUAUAAUUGCUGCAGAGCUAAUAGUUUUACCUCUCUACAAGUCGGUUUCCAAGUUCCUGAAUUUCUUGGCGGAACUGCAGGGCAUGGAAGGCUACCCUGCAUCUGAGCCUCUGAUACUCGACCAUGCUUGGAGGAAGAAUAGACUACAGAAAGCAUAUGAGAACAUGAUCAGGAACUCUUACAAAAAAACACAACUUUCAGUCUCUGUAUAUUAAAAAUAUCUAUCAAACUACUCAACAGAAAACCAGCAGUUAAGUGUAUAUAAAAUUUCAAAAGUUAGUAAACAGGCAUGGAGGGAUCAUCAAACUGUCCUCACAAGUCGAAAGAUCCAGCAUAUAGAAGAAGCGAGACAAUUUCGCAAUCAUAGUAUGCGGAUCCGUUGUAGAUCGAAAACAAAUACUUAAGUUGUACAGGAGACAUAUAGAAGACAAGAAAAGUGAACAAUGGAAAUAGAAUAAGCUCACACCUCAAGGCAUCGACCAUUGGUGAUUACUAGCCCAACAACUUUUGAUUGUUUAAGUUUGGGUAAGACUUCUCUGAUAAAGAAACUCGGGGAGGCUGAUUUUCUAAGUGAAAUUGUAGGAAACUUAGUCUUUUUUCUAGCCUCUUUCAGGUCCAGCGGCAAGCUUUUGACAAUGAUUACAUCACUUGCAAGUGCUGUUAUGAACUGCUCCUCAUUGUAAAUAUAAGAAAAACUUUUGAAUUUUGAACUGCAAAGCACAAUGACAACAGUAAUUAUGUAAGUAUAAAAAAUUAACUAAAAGCUAAAUAUUCAUAGUAAAGAAGGGGAACCUGAUGCCUUUAGAGCGAAGACUCUCUUGUAUUUCUGGAAUAACUAGAGUAGCAUUGAGAAGUCUAGAGACUGCGACAAGAUCACAGAUCUAGCAAAUGAAAGAACAUGUCACAAAUUUCCAAAAGAAAAAGUCCAUACCAAGAAUCUUACAGAAAAGAAACUCACAGAAGAUCUUAUUUUGUCAAAUCCACCAUGUAUCUUUGCAUAGAUGAAACCGUUCUGCUCGCUGGGAACUAUAAGAAUAUGCAACAGGAAGUUUCAGAAAAAGAUCAAUUUUCAGUCAUUUUAAGAAAGAGAGACCGGCUCCAAUUUUCUAUUCCAAAAGGCUUGUGCAGGAAGUGUUUCCAAAAUUUAUCCAUUCCAACCUGACAAAGUUAGUUACUCAAAAAGCAAACUAUUAGAAUGACCAAUUUAUGAGGAUAUAAGGAAUUUUAGAAUAGAUUUUACUAAAGCUUUCUUGAAUUAAUUAACAACUAAUAACGGCAACGCUUUGGUCUUUUCCAUAUCUUUCGAGUGGUGGCAAUUCAGAGACUCAGAAUACAGCUAAAAGAGCAAAGUUUAUCCAAUUUAAGUUCCCCUCAAUAAGAAGUUAGCUAUGCCAAAUAAGCAACCAAAAUAAAGUGCAAGUCUUAGAAUUAAAUCUUAGACCCCAGUAGGAUAUAUAUUUUGCCAAUAUGUGAGCAUUUAGCUUUUACUGAAAUAUUUCUAGACAGUAUCAAACAAAAGCGAUUAAGUAAAAAAGGUUGAAGAAAUACAAAAGCAGUUGCUGGAGUCAGUAUUACCAGGGUAGAAUUUUCUAGGGUUAGCAAAUGGUUGUAAGGCAUCUAGAGAGCUCACUGGGCCCCAUAACUUUCGACUUCGGAGUUUCUGUUGCUGCAUUAAAAAAAAAAAAAAUUCAAUAAUUGCGGCAAACAUAUUUUCCACCUAAAGUUUAUUAUAGAAACUAUUCAUUUAAAGAAUUUCUGAUACAAAUUCUGAAUCCACUUCAAACAGUUACAUUAACGUCUCUGAACAAGUACAUGAUUAUUAUAAUGGAAUGGUUGACAUACUUGCCCAAUUGGAUAGAAAUCAUCCACAUAUAUCUUGUACUGUGUAAUAUUCCCACUUGAAUAAUUUGCAAGGAGGAGGUGCACCAACAAAGACACUACAGACAAGGCAAUUCCGACAAGCGCAGCCAACUUGAUCUUGCUCUUGUGAAACAUCUUAUUUCAUUUCUGCGUUGUCAAAACCACACGAAACAAGCUUAUUCUUGAACACAGCACACAUAUAGUACAUGCUUUGGAUAUAUCUGUCUAUGUAUUGUGUGUUCAAUGAAGCAAAACAAGUGGCACAAAAUUCUUCUAAAUUGAACAUAUAUUUAGAAUAUCAAUUUAUCGCAAAGACAAAGUAAUGCAAAUUCAGAAGUCCUCCCUCUGCUGGACAAACAUACUUCAUAUCUUUGCUUAUUACAACAAAACAAACGUUGGUUAACAUCAAAUGACAAGAUGUAUAACUGAUGUUACCAAUGCAUAUCUUUAAAGAAGUUUAAGCAAUAGAUCUCAAACCAAAAGUACCAAAAACCACAAAAUAAGUGACUCUUCGGCAACUAAGAACUGAUACGGCACAAGCAAAUGAACUGCAAUGCUAAGUUGUAAGCUGAGGUACUAACUUAACUGUCAGUAUAUUGCACCAAAUCGAAUCAUCAACUAUGCUUUACAAGUACAAUGCAAAAUGCACUUGACAUAAAGGCGUAAAGAUGCUCUGAUUUUUCCUGAUCUUGUUGCAAAAUCCAAACUUUAAGUUCCUCAUCUACAAUAAUCCGCAAAAGCUCUAAUCUCAAAAGCAGAGGCACAUUCAAAUCUAAGUCGCCUCCCUCAGCUAAGAUUCGAAUGGGCAAGAAAACCCCAACGAACACUUCUUACCCUAUUCAACAACCUGAGAUCUACAAAAUCUCCACAACCGUAUAAUCUAAAGAAUUAGGGUUUUGAUCACUACUCCCCUCGCUCGCACCGAUCACAAUCAAACACCUCGAACCACUUCAACAAGGCAAAUGGAUCAGUAGAGCACAUAGAGAUCUAGAUCGAGAGCUUCGACUCCGCCGCUUCUCCGAGCGCAAUGAGGAGGAGGAAGAAGAAGAGGGGGCGGGUGAUCGUACCUACGGCGCGCGCCACCACCUCCGGGGAUCGGAGGAGGCGCCGGGGGAGCGCGGAGCGCAGAGAUGGGAUCGGCGCAGGGGAGAGGCGAGAGAGAUCGAUGAGGAUCGAGGCGGAAGGGGAAGUGGAAUCUGAAGAGUUGAGUGUCGAAGUGUUUUUUAUUUUUUUAUUUUUUUAUUUUUUUUUCGUUGGGGUAAUAAUUUUUGAGGCGAUAAAAACACAGCAAAGUGAUCUCCGCGAGAGUGCGUGUAUCUUCGUAAAUAUAUAUAUACGAAGAAGAAGAUAUGGACUUAUCCGGAUUAUUCAAAAAAACAAAAAAAUGCAAAAAAACAAAAAAAAAAACAAAGAAAAAUUGUUGCAGCGCUUACAAGUAGCAGGUCACAAUCUCAUUGAUCAAAUCCGUAGCCGAUGUGCAGGAAAGCGGAAGUGGGCGCGGCCUGGUUCACGGAAUAUGGGUCCGAGUUAUCUGGAUGCAACUUGGAACUAAAGUGACUUCCAACGAGGCAUGUUUGUUUUACCGUAAUUUAUCGUAAAAAAAAUACGAAUCAAUUAGAAUUCGAAUUUAAGAUCUCAUAUACCAAUCAUCAAGUUCUUUAUCACUUGCGCUUAGAACAGUCGGUAACAUUUUUUGAUAUGUCAAACCACUUUAAAUCUAAUUUUCUUUUUCAUUAUACUUUCACCUCUGAUCUGUAUAAGAAUCAAACCCAAGACCCUCUUUAUUGCUGUUUUAUCCGUCGUUACAAUUUCUCCAACUCUCUAUUUUUGCCUCUAAGGAGAAAAUCGUCUCCCCGAGCUUCAAACUUCUGUUAACUCAAGCAAGAAUAGACUAACUAGUAACUAGUUUAUUAUUCUCAUGGAUCUAAUCCCUAAUUAAGAAGGUUUCACACAAAUGCAUUGAGAUCUUGAGAACAAAGGUCACAUUUUUCAAACUUAUAAAUUGGGAAAUUCCUAAAAGGUUUCACUGACAUAGUUGCUAUUAUAAUAAAGUAGGCCAGUAGAAGUGCAAUGAACACCCCACCUAACUGGUGCAGGGAUUGUAUAUAAUUUCUAAAGAGGAAAACAAUUUUGAUAUACUGUUUUACUGUGUGAAUAAGAUGGUUCAGUAUAAAUGUCAGAGAGGGCACAUGCAUAAGUGGCUUGAGGGGCUUUACUAUGACUUUAUAUUAAAUAGCUUUAUCCACUUUGUGCUCUUCUUGUUUAGGAUGAAAAGGCAAAGUGGAGAGGGAAAAUCCUUGUACAUGGCUCUAUUCAUUUGGGCUUUUUUGAAGCAUGAAGAAAGAGUCUCUUUAUUCUAAGGAACUUUUUACACUUAUGGCAAUGGCAAGUUGAUGGCAACGAGAUCGCUCGGUCUGUUACCUUCGCUCAGCUGAAGUUUAUGUAGAAAAACUGUUUGAGCGACGAUUUGAAAGAUACACUUUCAGAUACCAGAAAUAUACAAAAACAAAAAAGAAACCUUAUGUUUGCGAAACUCAAAAUCUCUUUUUGGUUUUAGCCAUGACUAAAGCUCGAAAACCUUUUUAAUUAAACAAUCGCUUUAAAAGUUAGACCCAAUAGGCAAUAACCAUCCUUCCUGGCAAAGAAAUGAAUCCAUGAAGAGUUUCAAUUUCAACUAAAAUCUGAUGAAUUAAAUUGAAAUUAGCGAAUCGUUACUACCACAAGUGGCAAAGAGCUUGAUGAUUGAUACUCCAGGUUCCAAAUUUGAAUGUUAAUUGAUUCAUAUUUUCAAAAAAACAAAAGAUUGCAGUGAAUAUUUUAAAAAUUAAAACCAAAACACAAAAAUUGCUGUAACUUUUGUGUUCUAGCUCAGAUUAUUAUAAAUUGAUGAUGAUAUUUUCCAAGAAAAAAUGAAGUGAUGUAUAUUGUUUCUCUAUCUAUAUGAUUGAUAUUCUUUCUAUUUCAACUUUUCAUUUUAAAUUCGUUGAGAAGACAAGGUUUGAUUCUCCUGGCUGGGACUUGGUGGGUAGUCUGGAUGGACAGAAACAACUCCGUUUUCAGAGGAAAGCCGCCCAAUGCCAUAGGGUCUCUUGAACAUGUCAAACUACUGAUCAGCAAUUGAACCACAAUGCUCUGAUAUCUCUCCUGUUCCUCCCUUCUCUGUUCCUCUUUCUUUUGUUACCUUGUUGUUCCUUUUGUUUUUCAUUUCUAUCUUUUUGCCGGUUUUUCGGAGGCCUAAACUGCUUCCAACUUGUACGCUCAGUUCAUUUAAACUUAAUGAAUGAAGCAAAUAGUUUGCUAUCUAUUUCUCAAAAAAAAACUUUUCAUUUUAAAUUUUAAGUCAAUUACUCAAAACUAUUAUUAUUGUUUUAACAAUUGACCUAUAAUUUGUAAGUAUCAUCUUAUAGGUUCUAAAAAAAAAAAGAAAAUGUAAUUUAGUAGUAUGAGAAAAGGCACAACAUUUUCUAUUUUUUUUGAAACUCUCCUUAGCAAUCCUAAUAUUUUCUUCGGAAACAUUUUUAUCAAACGGUCAAAAAUAACUUCAUUUUAUACCACAAAAAAAAUUUAAAAAAAAAAUUUAAAAGUUGCACUUAUCAAACUUGCAAUUAAAAUAAGUUCUUUCUAUAGAAGAAGCCGAAUCGGAUACCAAGUGUGAAUAUCAAACCUAGUCGGAUUCCAUAAUCUUACCGAAUAAGUAAAUUCUCGGAUCCGGCCCGUUCUCAGUCCGAUAUCAUGCCCGUUCACAAGGGAAACUAUUCCUUGCACCCAGUGCACUCUAUAACCCGUGCACCGAACUACAUCUUUCCGUCCAUCACAUCAUGUAUUGGGCUUUUUUAAGCUUUUAGCCCCGCAAUUUUUUUUUUCAUAAACAAUUUUAUAAAAUUUAUAUUUACAAGAUUGACGGUAUUCUCGCCAUAUAAGCGUUACGUGAGUAUGGUCGGUUAAAUUAAACACGAUAAAUUAGUUACCGUGUCUUUUUCAUAUUUUACUUGAAUCAUAUCCUUUUAAUAUUUAUCGUGUUUAUUGUAUUAAACAUUGUACAAGUUAAGUUGAAUACAGUAAACUAUUCACCGUGUAUUUUAAUCUUAGCCAUCAAAUUCUCUUUGAUCUAUAAAACCCAAAGCUUUCACUGAUUUAACGGUAAGGAUUAAAUUAAAUGGUGAGAUCGACGGUGGAUAGGAAGUCGACACCGCCUUGGUUCGUCAUACCCUGAUUUCUCUUUUUCCCUUCGAAACUCAUACUCCACAACCCAAAAAGAUCAUAAGAAAAGAAAAAAAAUAAAAAAUAAAAGAGGAUCGAAACUCCCUUUUAUUUUUAUUUUUAUUUUUACUCAUUAAUCCACUCCGCUUCCUCAUCUCCUCCAACGCGGGAGAAGCACCGCUUCGCGACGCAGUGCUUUUCCGAGCAGCGGAAGCCACUUUCCGGUGAGCAAUUCCUCGCUCUCUCUCUCUCUCUCUCUCUCUCUCUCUCUCUCUCUCUCUACAACGUCGUAGUUCGUCGCUAUCCAAAAGAAGUGACAUCAAAUUUACCAUAUCUCAAAGUAGAAAAGAUACAUUGUCGUAUUUUGUGCGCACAAAUCUCAGAUUUUGAUCUAUUUAGUAAUUAGAUAUUGUUGUAGUUGUUCUCGUUUAAGUUUAUUUUGGAAAUUAUUGGAUAAAAAUCGCAGCUUUUUUGUUAUAUAUUAGUUUUGUUGGAGAUUAUUAUUCAGGGAAUGAAUUUUAUUCUUCUUAAAGAUGAAAUUGAUUUUACCUUUUAUGUAACGUUUUAUGUAACGCCUCUCACAAUAUUACCUACUUAAUGCACGUAUUUCGAGCUGGGGAGGUGGUAUUGAUUAGAAUUAGGUUUGUUGUAUGCAUUGUCGUUUCCCAAAAAAAAAAGUAGUUUUUUCUUGGGAAAGAGAUAAAGAUGAGAUUUUUUUUUCUCUUCCUUUUUUUGUUUUUGGAAUUUUCUUCUAUUUGUAUUAAUUUACCUGUGUUUUCUUCCUUUGGAGGAGCCUCUGACUACAUCAGAAGUUUAUGAGUGGUAAAAGGUUCCUUUUUUAUUUUUAUUUUGUGGUUUACAGUGUGGUCUCAAGUAUUAGGCAUUCUACUGUGGUGGUACAGAGAAUUGUGGUUAUAAUAGUAAACGCAGAGAGAAGGAGUGUUAGAAUUAGGGCCUGUUUGGCCCUUAGGCUCUUUUUAAGUAUGAGUUUAGGUGGCUGCCGCGGCAGCUUUACGCGCAUUACGCUAAUCCAAAGAAAAGAGUGUGAUUAGCGGCCCAACAAACACGGAAGAACUGUUAAAGUUAUGUGGGAAUUGUUGCAUUGGAACCUUAGUUUGCGGAUUCAUAAUCCUACAUGCUUUUCCGAACGGGCAUAAUUAUUGCUCACGCUGCAACAUGACGCCAUAGUGCUGCUGGAUGAAGUGUUGUAUGAGUAACGCUAUAAGGAGAAACACUAUAUUAUAAUACCUCUAACAGCUUACUUCUAUAACAGAAUCUACAGCAUCAAAUUGGACCUUCGCUCUCUGUACAGCUUCUGAGCAUCUGGACAUGGAUUCAAAGGAUGACUUUUCGCCAGAUGUCUUAGGAGAGAAUCCGGUAUGUGAUCUUUUGGAUUUAUUGCAUACUAAUAGAUACCUUUUUAUCUAGCUCCGAAUUACUUAGCUUUGUGCCUUCAUUCAGAUGAAUUGCGAAAAAUGCACCUCGGAUGUUGUAUGUUCUUAAUGGUAUCUCUUUUCAGGGUACUCAAGUAGAGCAAGGUAAGGCAGUUAACAGACAGGAUCAUGCCCGACCGGCCAGCUCGUCUCCAGGAGUAGGAUAUUCUGGGGAAGUUGCUACUUUUGGGUUAGAAUCGGUCCCGAUUUCCUCACAAGAUUCAAGAUCGGCUGUUCGAGAUAUGAGAAAUAAAGCCUCGUUUAAUGACAAAUCAAACCCAGGUGCUCCUACCCCAAGUUUUGCUGACGGGGGCUAUUCGAAAAGUCCAUACUCUACAACCGGAAAAGUUGGUGUUGAUAUCAAAGCUUCUACACCUAUGAAGAAGGUAUCAGCUGUUCUUUUAAGCAUUAGUUUUGCUUUAAAUAUCCCUAACAUGACGCAGUCCAAACAUUUCUGUGUAAAUGUACUGGUAGAAAGGCAGUGAUGCAACUGUUGUUUCUUAGAGCAUUUUGAUCACCUGAACCUUAGUAAUGAGCAAUGCAAAAAAGUUGCAAGUGAAUUUUUAUACAUUUGUAUUCUGAAGGACCCUAACCUGAUAUUCUUUGACAUUGAUUAAUGAUUUAUUAGAUUUAUACUAGAAAAGAUAUCAAAAACCAUCGUAAGGUGUUUCUGGCUCUUGUGUUUGGAAGAUUUUGACUGCACAAACCUCAAAUGUUUAACAAUUCAUCUCUCAACUAAUCCUUCAGCUUAUCUACUAACCUAUUUCAUUUUAAUUUGAGGUAUUUUAGUAGUUAAUUUAAGGCAUUUCCGUACACACCAAGAAACUAUUUCUUUCUUUUUAAUCAAGGUCCGCACAACAUGUGAUUGUAAAAUUAGGCAGCAAUUCCUUUACGAAUGAACCGUCGAGCAGGUGACUCGUUUAACUAUUUAUGUAGCUAUGCUUUAUUCUACCUUGAUUUGUUUGUUUGUUUUUUUUUUUUUCAAUAUACUCAUAUUUAAGUGAUAUUUAUUGCUGUAAGCUAAAGUCUUGCUACAUUUGUGAAAGAUAGAAAAUUGAUAACAGGGUUCUGUAUAAUAAUUUUUUUUUUUAUUUGCACACUUGACUUCUAAUUUGUUAUAAUGAAUGCUUCAGGCUCAACCGCCCUCUGUUAGAUCUACUCAACUUCACCGCUACAGCGACGAGAUCCCUUCACUCUCUAGUCAUGGGCAAUGCCGAUUUGUUCAUAAAAAUCACCAAUAUGGUGAUGAGAUCCCUUCACUUUCUAGGCACCGGCAAGGCCGAAAUUUUCCUAAAAAUCAUCGCUAUGGUGACGAGAUUCCUUCACUUUCUAGGCAUGGGCAACGCCAAUUCUCUCCUAAAAAUGAUCACUAUGGUGAUGAGAUCCCUUCACUUUCUAGUAAAAGGCAAGGAGGACAUUUUGCUAGAAAUCACUCCUGCGGUGAUGAGAUCCCUUCACUUUUUAGCCACGGGCAAGGCCGAUAUUCUUCUAAAAACCUCCAGUAUGCUGACGAGAUCCCUUCGCUUUCUAAACAAGUCCAAGUUGGAUACUCUUCUAGAAAUCACCACUAUGGUGAUGAGAUCCCUUCACUUUCUAGCCAAGGGCAAGGCCNUAAUCCUUCAGCUUAUCUACUAACCUAUUUCAUUUUAAUUUGAGGUAUUUUAGUAGUUAAUUUAAGGCAUUUCCGUACACACCAAGAAACUAUUUCUUUCUUUUUAAUCAAGGUCCGCACAACAUGUGAUUGUAAAAUUAGGCAGCAAUUCCUUUACGAAUGAACCGUCGAGCAGGUGACUCGUUUAACUAUUUAUGUAGCUAUGCUUUAUUCUACCUUGAUUUGUUUGUUUGUUUUUUUUUUUUUCAAUAUACUCAUAUUUAAGUGAUAUUUAUUGCUGUAAGCUAAAGUCUUGCUACAUUUGUGAAAGAUAGAAAAUUGAUAACAGGGUUCUGUAUAAUAAUUUUUUUUUUUAUUUGCACACUUGACUUCUAAUUUGUUAUAAUGAAUGCUUCAGGCUCAACCGCCCUCUGUUAGAUCUACUCAACUUCACCGCUACAGCGACGAGAUCCCUUCACUCUCUAGUCAUGGGCAAUGCCGAUUUGUUCAUAAAAAUCACCAAUAUGGUGAUGAGAUCCCUUCACUUUCUAGGCACCGGCAAGGCCGAAAUUUUCCUAAAAAUCAUCGCUAUGGUGACGAGAUUCCUUCACUUUCUAGGCAUGGGCAACGCCAAUUCUCUCCUAAAAAUGAUCACUAUGGUGAUGAGAUCCCUUCACUUUCUAGCCAUGGGCAAGGCCGAUUCUCUCCUAAAAAUGAUCACUAUGGUGAUGAGAUCCCUUCACUUUCUAGUAAAAGGCAAGGAGGACAUUUUGCUAGAAAUCACUCCUGCGGUGAUGAGAUCCCUUCACUUUUUAGCCACGGGCAAGGCCGAUAUUCUUCUAAAAACCUCCAGUAUGCUGACGAGAUCCCUUCGCUUUCUAAACAAGUCCAAGUUGGAUACUCUUCUAGAAAUCACCACUAUGGUGAUGAGAUCCCUUCACUUUCUAGCCAAGGGCAAGGCCAAUACUCUUCUAAAAACAACCACUAUGGCGAUGAGAUCCCGUCACUUUCUAAACAAGGCCAAGUUGGAUAUUCUUCAAGGAAUCACCACUAUGGUGACGAGAUCCCUUCACUUUCUAGCCAAGGGCAAGGCCGAUACUCUUCUAAAAACAACCACUAUGGCGAUGAGAUCCCGUCACUUUCUAAACAAGGCCAAGUUGGAUAUUCUUCGAGGAAUCACCACUACGGUGACAAGAUCCCUUCACUUUCUAGCCAAGGGCAAGGCCAAUACUCUUCUAAAAACAACCACUAUGGCGAUGAGAUCCCGUCACUUUCUAAACAAGGCCAAGUUGGAUAUUCUUCGAGGAAUCACCACUAUGGUGACGAGAUCCCUUCACUUUCUAGCCAAGGGCAAGGCCGAUAUUCUCCUAAAUACCUCCAGUAUGGUGACGAGAUCCCGUCACUUUCUAAACUAGGCCAAGUUGGAUAUUCUUCUAGAAAUCACCACUAUGGUGAUGAGAUCCCUUCACUUUCUAGCCAAGGGCAAGGCCGAUAUUCUUCUAAAUACCUCCAGUGUGGUGACAAGAUCCCUUCACUUUCUAAGCAAGGCCAAGUUGGAUAUUCCGCUAGAAAUAAUCAUUAUUGUGAUGAGAUCCCUUCACUUUCUAGUCAAGGCCGAGGUGGAUUUUCUCCUAAGAAUCACUGUUAUAGGGACGAGAUUCCUUCGCUUUCUAAUCAAGACGUUGGAUAUUUUCCAGGAAAUAAUCUUAGCGAAUCCAGACCAGUUGACCAGAUUGUAAACAAUAAUGACCAUUUUAAUAUGAAUGAAAUGAAUAAUUUCUCAACUGAGCUAGUUCGCGGUCCCCGUGCCGACAGAUCGAAUAACUCAUUGGCAUCAUCUGAUGAGAAAUACAGCAUGAAGCAGUCUAUUGCUAGAGACCAAUAUAACAAACCGGACUUUGAGACCAAGUAUGAACAGGCCAAGUUCUUCAUGAUAAAGUCGUUUAGUGAAGAUGAUGUCCAGAAGAGUAUCAAGUAUAAUGUUUGGGCGAGCACUACAUAUGGAAACAAGAAGCUUGAUAUGGCUUUUCGAGAUGCACAAAUGGUAGUAAAGGAGAAGGGUACGAAGUGUCCUAUCUUCCUAUUCUUUUCGGUGAGUAGCUCUUCUCUAUAGAAAAUAUCAGUCUAUGAUUUCUUAAUGUUUCCUCUAAUGGAACCGUAAAUUAAUAUAAUUUAAGGGAUUCUUUUGUUCCUCUUUAAAUUUCCAAGGUAUGUUUUGGUCCUUCCACCCAAAACUUGACUUGUUUCGUUCUCUCCACUUUUUAAUACCCUCGUUUACAAGUAUUUUUUUUUUUUAUACCAGGUUACCUUCCUAACAUUUCCUUCUGUAUUCUUCUAUACUCUUCAUAUUCUACCAAAUUUGAUUCAGAAAGUUACUAAGAAUUAUGUGAAUCUUACCUCGGCAGUUUUGUUUUUUUAACUGUAUAAUAUGCCUUAUCGCCCUUUGAUUUCUAAUUAUCAUUAUUGUUUACCUUAUAAUAUUCGAUUUCAGGUUAAUACCAGUGGCCAGUUUGUAGGAUUGGCCGAGAUGAUAGGCCCUGUUGAUUUCAAAAAAAACAUGGAAUUUUGGCAGCAGGAUAGAUGGAAUGGCUUCUUCCCACUGACGUGGCACAUAAUAAAGGAUAUUCCGAACAGGCACUUUCAUAGUAUUAAACUUGAAAACAACGACAACCAGGUUGUAACUUUCAGCAGAGAUACUCAAGAGGUUCGCUAUUAGUUCAUUCUUCCAUUUAGUAUGUAUUAAUUCAGAAUUUAGAUUUCCAUUUAUCUUUUCUUUAAGACUUUCAAUAAUACUAGAUAUUCCAUCUUGAAAAUAGAAUGAAGUAUUUCUGAGUGUUACUUGUACUUGAAAGGCACAGUUGGGAUUGCUCAUUGCUUGUAGCUCAUUCUAUUAUUUUUUUAGAUACCCCUCAAAAUGUUGUCAUCUCUUCUCAUACUUGUUUUAAUCUACAUAAAGCAGAAAUGAGCAAAAUUGCCCUAGGGGCUAAAACACAGAAGCUUCUACAUUGGAAAUCCUGAAAAGUUAAACAGUCAAAAUUGUUGACUGGUGCAUUUCUAUUUUAAGAGCUUUUAACAACAAAAGAAACAAAGAACCAAUUGCGCUGGAUAGAAUGUUGACAUAUCGAUUCAUCCAUGCGGACUCGAUUAAUGUCUCCUUGCACAAACCAAUUUUAUCUUUCAUCUUUUAGGGUUGUGACUUUUGUUAGAAGAAGCCUAUUUCUUUUACUUUUGUUAGCACACACGGGAACAUUUUUGCAUCCCUUGUAUCUCUUUGCAUUUUUGACCGCUUGUCUUUUCGGCUUGGCUUCUAUAACAACUUCUCUACCCUAAACAACAGCAGUCACAUGUUGGACAAACAAAAAAUCUGGGGCAUCCGCUAUGGACUACGGUGGGAAGCUAAAUAAGCUUCCCAGCCUCUAUAAAAAAAGGCUCCAAUUUGAAGAAUUUGUGUAAGAAGUUGGUAGCGGUACUUCAAACAGAUACUCGAACAAUACUUCUGUAGAAGCUUCAGCUAGCCAAAUAUGCCCAAUUAUGUGGAUGCUUUUUUACUUCUUUCAUAGUGUGUUGUUUUUCACUUACCUUUCUUUUUCCAUUUUUCAGAUAGGACUUCCACAAGGCCUAAAAAUGCUGGAAAUUUUCAAGGAUUAUCCACUGGCGACUUCAAUUCUAGAUGACUUCGACUUUUAUGAAGACAAACAGAAGUCACUUCAUGCGACGAGUAGUCAUCAUGUUACAUAUGCGCACCAAGUGGAGUUCGAUGAGGAUGUGUAUGAAAUGGAAUUCAAUGAGGACGAUAGUACCAUGGUUUGUAUGCUUAUUUUUACUCUUAAUUAUAUGGAGAUGCUUUUACAUAUGUUAGGGCAUGUUUGGCAUUAUUGCAGGCAAUCAAAUGAAUUGCUUUGUUUUGCUUUUUUUUAUUGUUAGACAGCUCACAAAGUCAUCUUUAGAGAAACAAGAAAACGAAAAACAAAGAGAAGUUACUCUUGCAUGUUUUUUUGUUGUUGUCAACGAGUCCUGUGAAUAUGAAAUUUGCAAACAAUUCAACUAUAACAAAAUUAUAAUAGUUGACCUCUAGGCAGCCUUUAACAACAUAUAUUUUGAAAUUAACCAAAAAAAAAAAAAAACCCAAAGAAGCAUUUAUGCCAAACAUGUAGUUUAUUUCUUAUUCCUCAUGUUGCUUAUAAAACCACAAGAUGUAAAAUCUAUUUGCAAUAAGAUCAAAUGGCUAAAUAUCUGUAGCUAAUACACUGCAUUUACAGGGAUUGCUUAAUUACUCUUUGUUUAUUUCCGUCCAUUGCAGAAUUAUUUGGAAGAGGGCUUCGGAGAAAUGAGCUUUUCUUCGGGACACCGGAAACAUUCUGGGCCAAGUGUAUACUAAUGAGCCCUUCAAGAACUCAUUGCUCAAAAGCUGCACGAGAAAGCGAGUGCUUUGAGUUUUCAAAAUUUUGACCUAAUUUAGUUUUUCCUUCGGCAAAUCUGCUGCUCAUGUUGUACAGUUUUGAGUUGUCCUUAUAAAAUUUCUGACUCAAAAGAAGAUCCUCAUACAGUAAAAGAUUUUGUUAAUAUAUAAUCAGAUCGAGCAUGAAUGGCUUGUAUUCACCAGUAUAUGUGCUGUUUUGGAUUGUAAUAAGCUGACUUGCGUUUGCUGCAGAUCCUGUAUUUGACAUUAUUUAAAGAUCCAAUUGUUAACAUUUGUUCUUAAAGCCAGACUUAUUGCUUUUUUUUUUUUUUUGGGUGCUUAACAUGACACUCCAAUACACACAUAUCAAAAUACUGAAACAGAAAGAAUUAUUACUCAUCAAUAUUAUUAAAUCAAUUAUCGUCUGAUAUGAAUCAUUUGAUGUAUAAUUUAGAACUGCCAUAAAAUUACCGGGCAGAGAUUGUCCCUGGAAACAUCCACACGAUCCUGUCCAAACAUAUCCUCUUGAAUCCCCUCAACGACACCAUACUGUCGAAGGCCAGCCGGUGUCGCGCUGCUGCGGCAUUACGUCUCACUGCGAGCUGCCACGAGCUGUUUAAUCAUCACAAUUGUGCCCCCAAAGGGGGAUCUGCAACUCGCGCAGGUUGUUGAAAUAUUUACAGACGGUGCAGACGGUGCAAGUUGCAGCUUCUGAUCGAAAAGAGAUCAGCAGACACUAUCUCGCAGAAUAUACACUUUCCUCGGCCGCAUUUAACUCUUCAAGAUCUUCGAAUUUGGCUUUCAACAAAUCAUCACUGCCCAUGAUGUGACUACAUCGGUUCCGGUUCACCUCGAUCCAGCUCUUACCGGGUGUUUUUCGUACAUCCCUCACUCUCAUCAACCUCCUGAUCUCCAAAGCCUUGUCCCAUCGGCCAACCGUCUUGUACACAUUUGCGAGUAAAACGUAGCUCAAGUGAUACUCAGGCUCCAAUUCCAUCAUCUUCUUUGCCACCCGUUCCGCUAUGGCUGGGUCAGAAUGUGAAGAGCAGGCGCCCAAAAGAGCUGCCCACAGAGAAGAAUCAUCUCUAAAAGCUGAGCCGCUUAUUAAAGCUUCAGCUUCUUCAAGAAGCCCUACUCGGCUGAGAAGAUCGACCAUGCAAUUGUAAUGCUCGACCCCAGCUACGAUCCCGUAACGUGCUCUCAUCGAUGAGAAAUACCCUCUCCCUUCUUCUACUAAACCUGCAUGACUACAUGCGAAAAGAACCCCGAUGAAGCUAAUGUAGUCAGGCCUGCUUCCUUCUUUCAGCAUCUCAGCGAACAACUCAAUAGCUCGAUCUGCACGACCAUUUUGGGCAAACCCACAUAUCAUAGCAUUCCAAGUUAUCAUAUUCCGCACCGGCAUCUUCGCAAACGCUCUAUGCGCAUAAUCUAUAAGACCGCAUUUCGCAUAUAAAUCGACAAGCGCGGACUCCACGACGACGUCUCUCCACCCUCCGGUCCGCAAGAACCGGCAAUGGACUUCUUUCCCCGGUCUCACGGCCGCAAGGCCUGCACAGGAACGCAGAAUCGUACCCAAACUGUACCGAUCUUCCUUCUUAUCCAUCUCCCUAAAUAGACUGAGAACAGUUUCAUGGUCCCCACUCUGGCAAUAGCCGCCGAGCAACGCGCACCAGGAAACUGCAUUCUUCGCGGGCAUUCUAUCAAACACCCUGCGGGAAUCUUCUACGAGCGCGCAUUUUGCAUACAUAUCAAGAGUGCUACUCUCCACCACCACAUUCCCGGAGAGCCCGGUCGUAAUGAGCUUGGCAUGAGCUUCUUUGCCUUGCCUCGCCCUACCCAAAUUGCCCAAUGCUGUCAUGAUCGUCCCGAACGUGAAUUCGUCGGGAGGAAACCCUACCCCCCGCCGCAUCAUCAAGUAGAAGUGCAAAACUGCUUCUUCAAAUCGGUCGUUUCGCGUUAGCGCGGAGAUUAUGGAAGUCCAGCAAAUGGGAUCCGGCUCAGACAUUUCGUCGAACACCCGGCGAGCACCCUCCGGCGAGGAGCAUCUCCCGUACAUGUCAACCAGCGCGCUCGCGAUCACGAGAUUGGAUUCAAACCCGCGAGCCACAACCAUUCCAUGGACGGAUCCGCCGAGCCUCACGUCACCGAGAUCGGAGCACGCCUUCGCGGCGGCGGAGAGGGUGAAGGCGUUGGGAUCGGCGCCGAAGCUCGGCAUGGACGCGAACAAGCGGAGGGACUCGGCGGGCUCGCCGGCGCGGGCGUAGCCGGAGAUGAUGGAGGUGCAGGAGACGACGUCGGGGAGGGGGAGGGAGUCGAAGGCCCGGCGGGCGAGGGAGAGGUCGCCAUGGGAGAGCUUGAAGUAGAGCGAGAGUAGGCUGUUGCCGACGAAGCGGUCGGAGUCGAGCCCGGAUUUGAGGACGCGCGCGUGGAGUUGGAGGCCGAGGGGGAGGGAGGGGGAGAGGGUGGUGGCGCUUUGGAGGAGGGAGGCGUAGAGGAUGGGUUUGGAGGGGAGGAGGAGGGGAUCGGCGGAGUCGAGGGCGCGGAGCGCGGCGGAGACGGCGCCGGAGCGGCAUAGGCGGAGGAUCUCGGAGUGGAGGAGACGAGGAGGAGAGAUCAUUAUCGUUCGGGAACGAAGCGAACGCGCUGCACAAGAAGGUGGAGAAACUACUUCCUGGACCUGGUCCACCGUGGACCGCUGCUUCGAAUUCUCUGUUGUAGUAGUUUUGUAGAUAGAUACCUUUCAAAACGAAAUCAUCGAAUUGGUGCAACAUUAGGAAAAUUUGUAUCGUUGAUUCAUUUGUGGAUGCGAUAAAUCGAUUCUGGAUGUGUUUUGUAAUGCAGCAAUUGCUUCUAUAUUGACAAUUAUAAAUUUUGAAGGUUAAUUUCUCACAGAUUAAACAAUCAUUUUGUUUUCUACUUAAUUCCUGAGAAUGGAUAGAUUUUGGAAUCUUGUAAUUUUUGCACAAAUGUUUCAGAUGCUACGGAUCCAGAUUGGAUUUUCAUUUUAUUUAGAACAUUAAUCAUGAAAAAUGAUCAGUGGUGCAUGGAAUGUACGGAUGCACAAGGUGCAGGCAGAGGAAGCACGUGCCAAGCCCUCCUAAAACCCCUAAUCGGAACCUGAUCGUGAUCGAGAGUUAUCUUCGCUUCUCAUCUUAUGCUGCGAUGAACGAAGAAGGCGAAGCUUCGUCCCACGCCGAGCUCUCUUCGGCCUCGCACUCUGAAUCGAAGCGCCCUCUCGAUCUCCCCUCCGAUUCCCUGAAACCAUUGAAGAUCUCGCGAUCUUCAACCGAAGGAGCCGAGAAGGAGGCGAACGAUCGAGGGGAAGUGGGAUCCGCUGGUGCGAUGAGCCAAAGCCCUAGGGUUCAGAGAUAUUUGAUCGCGGUGGAGUACAUCGGAACCCGAUUCUUCGGCUCCCAGAAGCAGCCCAACUGUAGAACCGUCGUUGGGGCUCUUGAGGUAUGCGUUCUCUGAUCUAGGGUUAGGGUUUCUUAUGAUUCUUGUGGAUUAGUGUUCAGCUUGUUGUGAAAACCAAUCUUGUGUCAAAUGCAAGAAAAUUUGCAAUGAAAGACGGAACUUAGUUUGUUGUAGUGGUCUUGACUAUGUGUUUGUACUUAUUUAUGUAGGACGCGUUUCUCAAAUUCAUCGGACAGCCGGUCUCGAUCUUCUGCUCUAGUCGGACGGUAAACAUGCUAUUUAAACACUGCAUUGCUGUUUAUUUUAUAUUAAACCUGGACACCUAAUGACAUCGCCUAAUAUGAGAGUUUCUGCAUAUAAUUGUUAUAUUUCUUUUAAGCCAGUGAACAAUGGAUCAAUCCUUGUUUUUAGGCCAUUGAGAAAAGAUUGAAACCAUAGGAAAUGUAAUUAAUUAGAGAAUCAAAAGAAAUUUGGUAGGAACAUUGCAAUAAGCUACAAAGAAUUUGGGAGAGUUAAUUUAUCAGUAUCAUAAAGAAACUGGUUAAUAAAGUAACUAUUAAAUUUAUUUAAGGGUGCUAGUUUGAGCAUUACUUGCUAAUAACAGAACAAAAUUUUUUAGAAAUCCCAUAGAAUAGUGAGAUGAACAAAAAAGAAUAUAAAUCUAUACCUCACUGUGUUCAUGUUAGUGCUUGUGCUAUGUAUGAUAAAGGAGAGGGAGUCAGUGACUUAUUCUUAGCUUCAACAUUGUUGUCACUUUGUCUCUGCAUAAUUGAGAAUUGAAACUUUCUGCAGAUAAAAUAGUCUCACACUUGUGUGACUGACUGUUUCUACUAAACUAUCUUUCAAGAAGUUUCACCUCGGAAUUGUACUCAUAUGCUAUAUAUAUGAUUCAGGACGCAGGAGUGCAUGCUUUGUCAAAUGUAUGCCAUGUUGAUGUGGAGCGCAUAAGUAAAAGGAAGCCUGGUGAAGUGGUUUGUCACUAGCAUAAUCUUAUUAUUAGGCUACUUUUUUAUGUACUUUCAUGUGGCUUUCUGUAUAUAAAUCUUUAGACAAGUUAUUUUAGGGUCUUAUUAUGCUGUAACUACUAAUAGGCAUACGCAACAUUAGGUCUUUGAUGUUUUAUUUUAUUUUCUUUUGGCAGAGGUGGAACUUGAUUAAAUUAUUUGAUGGCAAAAUAAUUACCAUAAACAUGCAAAUGGGAUCACUGUUGUACUUGUUUGCAAACCACUGAAUUAUGCAUUAAUUAAUACAUUUCUUUGGCCAUCUUGCUUAUUACACUACUCUUCUACUUUUUUGAGUUUAGUAAUCUUCAACAAUUAUGUCAGAAUGUUCUCAUUGUGUCACAUAUGCAGUUGCCACCUCAUGACCCUGGCGUUGUUAGACGUGCUGUGAACCAUUUCUUACAGGUUUGUUUCUUACUUAUAUUUUGAUAAAUAGAUAAACUUGAUCUUGAACUUUAUUCAGCAUUACAUAGCCCUUUUUUUAACCGAAAUAAGUACACUACUUGCUGCCAAACUUGACAAAUUACUGUUUUAUUUUCUUGUUAUUGGCAGAGGAAUGAAGGUGACAUAAUGGUAACCGAUGUUCGAUGUGUUCCUCCAGACUUCCAUGCUAGGUUCAAGGCUCUAGAGCGCACGUAGGUAGCAUUUUGCAGUCUGAUAUUGUAGUCAUAUUUUUCAUUUUAGAGAUGAUAUUCUAGAGAUUUUUUAUUUUUUAUGUUUCUAUGUAUUUGAAUGCUGCAAGAUGUACUGAUCUUAAUGCAAUCAAGUUUGGCGGUUGUAUUCUAAUGGGUUCCAUUUUCUAUUUCUUUAAGGUACCACUACCGUUUGCUUUCUGGACCUGCGCCUUUGUCAACCUUUGAAAAAGACCGCGCUUGGCAUGUACCGGAGGAUCUAGAUGUUCAUGCUAUGAAGGUAUACUUUUAUACUUACUAAUACUAUAUGAAGUCCUUAAUGUUUGUUCACUUCCUCCACAAAUUGUCCUGGAUGCAGGACGCAUGCGGCGUACUUGUUGGAUGUCGUGAUUUCAGCUCGUUUAGGGCAGCUGGAUGCCAGGUUUAUUCUUAUUCCCAAAUUAUUAUGGCCUUAAGAUCUAACAAUAUGGAGAUGGUGCUCAACAUAUCACUUUGUUUAUUUUUAUUACAUUUAUGUUAAUAUUUUAAUAACUUCACAACUGCAUCCAUCUCUUUCUAGCCUGCAUGAGUUUUGGGCAUGUCAACUUUGAAAUUAUGAGUUUUCUAUAGGCAUUCAUACAAGUUUAUUUUGGAAGUAAAAAAUGUUUUCUUUGUCUACUCUAAAAAGUGUGCGUGAAACUAUGAAAUGGUGUGCAUUUUUGGUCAAUGAUGUGCAGUUAUUUCAUUCAGGCGAACUCUCCUAUCAGGACAUUGGAUGAGCUUACUGUUACUGAAGUAUUUCCUGCUCUGUAUUUCCCAUCCAUUGUUGAGAGGUCUGAGGUGAAAUCAUCAGACGGUGCACUUGUUCUUACUAAAGCAUCUGAGCUGAAAUCGUCAAGUGAAUGCUCUAAUUCCUCUGAGAUGAAUGUUGGAAAGUGUGGUGCUGAAAAUGGUCAAAUAUUUGGGCACAGAUCAAAGCAUCGCUGCUAUGUUAUAACUGCUAGGGCUCGCUCUUUUCUUUACCACCAGGUUAAUGGCUGAUUUAUUAUAUCUAGCUGUAGCCACUCAACAUAUUUCUAUAUUUAAAACCAUAUCAGAAUUUCCUUCAGUUGGGAUCCACGUAAACAAUAACUUCAAUAGGACAUACUUCUACAGAGAACUAUUUGAUUUAGAUGCUGAUGUGCCUUUAUUGGUGAACAUUAUUGCUCAAUGUGAUGACUUUGAUUAUUGACUUUUCAUGAUAUUGCUAUCAGUGCACCUGUCGCAUCAUUCAGACAACAUGUAGCUUGGCAUCUAUGAAUAUAUCUUUACUAGAAGCGCUAAAAAUUGAUGACGACUUAUUACUUGUUUUACAUUAUACCUAGUUAAUAUACAGAGUCUUGUGAUAUUCUUUUGUUGUUUCGAGAUUUUUCAGGUUCGUACUGAGAUCUCUGUAUUUGCAGGUAAGGUUGAUGGUUGGUGUUCUAAAAUCUGUUGGAACUGGGGACUUGACAACUACUGAUGGUCUGUUCUAAUAUCAUGUUGCCUAUAUGUUGCUUGCUGAAACCAGAGUUUUUAUAUAAACUUCGCUAAAAUAUCUACAUUGCACACCCUUGCAAAAUUUGAAUUUUACCAAACCUGGUUCCUUACAGAUGUGCCCUUGCACUUAUAGAAAUGCUCAUUCUAAACAACUUUUUUAAUAUAAAACCAACUUCCAGGAUUAAUUGGAUGACCCUAAGUUAAAAUAAGGGUAUUCUUAAAUGAAACUACUUUUGAAGGGGUAUAGAUAAGAAGUCAGAUUACAAGGUAUAUAUGUCAAUAGAUGAUUUUGCUGUGAUAUACAUGUAGAAACUCUGAAUUGUGUUGUUUUAUCUUCAACAUGUUGCAAGUGAACUAUCAUGUGCUAUUCCUGUGACACAGUUGAGCAAAUUCUUAAUGCAAAGACGGUGACUGCUGCAAGUCCUAUGGCACCUGCUUGUGGUCUUUACCUUGGCAGCGUGAAGUAUGAUCUAUCCUGAUGUAUGAACUUGAAGAAUGUGCUAAAAGUUGGGCUGCAAAAUGGGGUCAUACGGAUUCAAUAACAUGCAGAGCUGCACGAAACCCAGUGUAAUUUUCUGGCCUUAUAUUGUUACUUUUGAUUAGAUAAAUUCUCAGUUUUGUAAGCUGAGAAUUAGCUCAUCCAACAUAGGUUAAUGCUUCAAAUCAAUGUUUAAGUUGCAUAGAACUCUGUAUAUCAAUCCCUUUUUCUUUUGUAGCUGGAAUCCGCAGUGUGCUUACUUUGAUGGUUGUCAUUAUUCAUCUCAUUGUUUUUCUGUUUACUUUUCUUCUUCUUUUUUUGUGUUGUCUAUCAUUAGUUCUAAAUCGUACAAGUUUCAUAUUUUGAAUCUUACUAAUCAUUAUUUUACCACUUUGCAAAAUACCUUUUCUGUAUAAGCCCCUUCCGUCUUUCCUUUGAUAUGAACAUUUCAAUUAGAAUAUAAUUUCAUUUUGUUUGUCAUAUACUUAUCAUUGUUGGUUGAUUACUAUGUUUUAACACUCUUCAAGUUUUUCAUUUGACUUCCAUGCCCUGCCAUAGUUAUUUUUCCUCUUUCUCCAUCUGACAAAUUCAUAAUAGUUGGAGUUAUGCAUUUUGUUAAGACUUGCUACCACUCUACAGAGUACAACUCAAGGCGAUUAUUCUUCAAUAUGCUUACCGAGGAUUGAGAUACAGCUUGUUGGCUCAAACUUACAGAAGGAAGUAUUGCUGAACUCUUCCCUGCAAUGUUCUGCUGCCUUUUGAGUUGGUAAUUGUUGUCCCUAUUUGUUCCCUGUUUAGGUCAGACUCGACUAUCUAAAAAGAUAGGAUUAUGCACUUUGGAAAUGAUCAUGUAUUAGGUUUCCACAAUGAUUAGGCUUCUGCAAUUAAUUCAAGUUGUUGUCUCAUGGUUUUUUGAUGCUUAUGAAAGGUUUUGGAACACUUUCACCAAAUUAAUUUUCAAGGGCAACGGAAUAACCCUGAUUUUUUAUGUACCCUUUUUCCAUUUGUUGUCAGUAUAUUUCUUCAAUUUCAGAAAUAGUAAUAUAUCUUUGCAUCCAAAAGUAGUCUUAUGUGUUUAUUAAUUAUUAAAUAAAUUUCUCUUUAUUGUUUUCUCUUUCACUGAAAGUAAGUAGCAUGAUUGGCAAUUUAAUUAUUGUCGGCAUUAAGCUUCUUUGCUCUUUAUGCUCUCUUACGACUCCUCAGACCGAAGCGUCAUUUAUUCCACAUGAGCAGAAAGCACACUAUGCUAUGAGCUAUUUUGCAACCUUGAAGACGCUUAAAUAUUUGAGAUGAAAUCUUCUAUUAGGGAGAGAAAUGGUAGCCCCUUAUGAGGGUAGUAGAAAGCUGCCAUGAAAGGAGAACAUGACGGAGAGGCCAAGAGAGCGAGUGAAUUAAAGAAAGGAAGAAAGGAGAGGACUGAAUAGUCAAACAGGAAUGAAUCGCCCGCCAUUUCCCCAAUAACCUUAUUGCACUUUGAAAAAGACACUGCACGAGCGAAAAGCUCCGAUCCCCUGGUUCUCUUUGGCAGAGAAGAUUGAUUGAUAUGAUGGCUCUAUUGGCCAACACGGGGCUGGGCUUUUCUCUUUUUUGGUGACACUUAACAAGGUAAUGAUAUCACCAACCUCCUUUCUUUGCUGAAUGUGGGCCUGCUUUAGUGGGCCUCAGUUCUCAUGCUAUAUUAGAUUCCCAUUAUUACAUGUUUCAUUACAUAGGGUCUGUGUCUAUUUGCCUGUGGUUCUAUUGUUGCUUUCACAGUAUCAAAUGUUGUUGGCAAUCAGCUUAGUAGUUUGUGUGAUGGCACUGCAUGGUGAAGGCUGUUAGGCUUGAAGAAAACAGAUCAUACUUACUCAUUUUCUUUUCACUUUUUUGAAAACAAAUUUCGGUAAAGCAAGAGGGACAGUUUUUUGUCGAGGUACUAUUGAGUUACUUUUCAUAUUUCAUUUUUGUGGUAUGUGAACAUAUGAUGCUUAAUAGAGCAAAAUAUGUGAUCAUCUAUCUAUAUACCUGAAUAAACUAGUUCAAUUGCACAUACACCAGUCUAGCUUUGCAAAUCAUUCCAUUUGGAUAUUAUCGCUCAUCCCCACCCAUCUUCACCCCAAUAAGAGGAAAUUUUACAAGUCAAUGCUUUGUGUGUGACUUACUGCUAUCUUGUUGUUUGAUCAUAAUUUCACAGAUUAUAAAAUCCAGUUUCAAAUAUUUAGUAACUAUGUAUAUUUGCUGACUUAGAAUUGCUGAUGGACUGUACUAGGGAUGUAGUAGUGCUCAUUAUAAUUGGCGAGGUUGGUGACUUGUACUUGGCUUGCUGGAGAGAUUAUAUGGUACUUAUUAUUCUAUUGUAAGGAAGAAAAUGGAGGCAUUCUAUUACAUGAUUAGGUCAAGGACAGGAUAUUACUGCUGAGCAAAAUCUAUCUGAUUUUUUAAGAUGAUAAUUUUAGGCCUUGUCGUGGUUGAAAAUAUGAAGCUUUACUUUGUGUCAUUGUUUCCAUUCUCGCAUGUAAAUUUGAUGCACUGACAUUGCUGCUGUUGAAUAAAAUAAACAUCCAAUGCCUCAUUGCUUAUGAGCAAUCUGCACUUAUCUUGUAUUUGGACUUCUUACUUGAUUGUAUUACUGCGUUUUCACCACUGUAACAGCUGCAAGAAUUUAAACGACAAAAGAAGAGCACGUAGUAUGGGUAGUUUUGGCAGUGUGGGAUUAAAACAAGAUGCGUACUUUAUUGUUCUGUUUGUGUGUUAAUGUUCUUUGUUUUUAUUUUUUAAUAGUUUUACGAGGUUAAAACACAAGUAUCAUGUUAUUGAAUAUUUGGAGUUCUCCACUGCUCUCAAACAGACAAAAUGAAAAUUAGUAGUCAUAAUUCUAAAACAUGGUACUUUGGUUAUUCUGUUUAGAGUUUCUAGUUUUUUAGUUUAAUAGAUGGCACCGUAAUUUGGAGAACAAGCUUUUCUUUUCUUUUUCUUUUCUUUUUCUUUUUGCCUCUUUAGUCCUCAUUUUCUCUUUUAAGAAGGCUUUCUUGUCUCUUUCUACUCCAGUAAAUUAACUUUUUUUUGGGCUUCCCUGCGAAAAAGAGGAUAGAAAAGAAACAAAAGAAAAAGAAUAGAAAAGCAGCAGUAAAUCAUCACCUAGGUUUUUGCAUACAUGGCCCAUUUUUUUGAGUAGCUUAACCCCUUUAAUUUCUAUUUGUUGAUUGAGUAGCUUAAUUUUCAUCCCACAAGGUGGUACAUUUUUGGUCCUCUCGUUUGUUAAGCCAAGUGAAUAUGACACCCACAAGCUAACAGCUGGGAGUGCUAAAAAAAGAAAUAACAGCUCGUGAUGUGAUCAUUGCUGUAGGGCAGUUUAGAUGAGCACCCACUCUAUUCGGGGGGUGAUGAUGAUCAUGACUCAACUUUGCACUUUAAGAGGUUCCCUACCGCAUCAUUUUCCUGUUUUCUGCUAUUCAAUACAACGAAGGUUUCUCUCUUUCAAAUAUUCAGUUUGAAGUGAUUCACUAGUUUUGUCUCAUCAAUCUACUAGAUAUUGACACAAUUGUGGGAGCAAAUGCCUGCCUAUUCUUCGCCCAUCAUUUUUCAUCCGCUUAACAGCUGUCACAACCAAUUAAAAGGCCACUUAAUUUGUGUAGUACGGUAUGUAGAACUGGUUCACUAUUGAUAUUGAUUUUUUUAAAAAAAUUUUUUGAGAGAGAAAAAUAACAUACUAUAUGUUUCGUUUAUUUUUUAGAAAUAAAUUUAGCUGGUAAUAUAAACCAACUAAACUUCGAACUUGAAAUCUCAUAUAUCAACCACUAAAUUUUUUGUCACUUGCAUUAAAGACAGUCAGUUGAUAUUGAUAUUUUGAUUUUAUUUUUUUUCCUCAGUCGAAGGUACUAGUACAUCCUUUGUUUGGCAUGAGCUAGCUAAAGCUUCACCAGGAAUGUGGUGGCUGAUUUUUUUUGUGGACACUAGUUAUUAGUGUAUUAUAGUGUUUGAAAAUGGAUACAUCCAUCGACCGUCCCUAGCGUAAGUGACGAAGGGCUCGGUGAUUGGUAUCCGAGUUCUCAAGUUUGAAUUCUAGUUGAUUUAUAUUUUCAGCUAAAUUUAUUUCUAAAAGAAAUAAACGAAGAGGAUAGCAUCUUAUUAUUCCCUCUCAAAAAAAAAAAGAAAAAGAAAAUAGAUACAUCCAAGUUUAAUCACUACUGUUUGAGCUGCACUAGGAGAUCUAAUUACUGUAGUUGCAUAUCCAGAUUUAAAAACAAAAUGUAGCUUUACAAAAUCAAACAAAAUGGGUGAAAUAAUAAUUUAGCAUAUUUGCGACUGCAUGCAUUUUUAUUUGUACUGUAUUUCAAUGUAUGGGCUACAGAGUCUUUGGAAACCACUCAGUUUUCUUCAUUUUCUGGUGAAACUAAAGUUGAAAGACUACUUUAUUAAAGGAAAUAAAAAAUACAUAGGAAACUGCAAUCCGUAGGAAGCUUAGGGACUGCCAUGUAUAUUGUGCUUAAAAAGGAAAUAAAAAAGAUACGAUGCUUUGUGGUGUUUGUGCUUGUGGAUACCCUAUUCUGUAAGGCUCACCACUUUAAAUGGGAACAAGCUUACUCAUGAUAAACACGUGCCCAAUCGAUUGAUUACUAGUAAAAGAAAUCACAAGGACGAUCUUCAAGAACUUCAAACUACUUCUUUAAUCGACACAAUGGAUGAUUACGAUAACAACGAAUGUAGAUCGUAUAGCAUUUCUUUUUGGGCUGUUUAAAAGGAUGGUGCUAAAUUUUUAGUGUGUCAAAAACAUAAUCAUUCCGCUUAAUUAAACAACUCCCAAGUGUAAAGUAGAGAGAUUCAAAGUGAUCAUUAAAGAUGUUUGCCUAGUAGGAGUUCAUCAUGGGUUGGUGGAGGAGAUAGGAGAUAUCAUCCACAGUUCCACACCCUUAGCCGCAAAUCCGAGCAAAAGUGUGUGCCUAAUAUCUACAGGAGAGGAGGAUAGGGAUGGGGACUUGUAAUUAAAUAGGGAUAUAUAAUGCUUUAUGAUGAAACAUAAAGAAUCAUUUAUGAUCCAAUGUUUCCAUAAGUUGGUAUCACGACUAAAGUAGCAUAAUUGUGAGUUUGAUGGAUAUUGAUUAUAGUUCGUGGGGGAGAAUCAUAUAAAUUAGUAAUGUUUGGCAUUAAUUGUUGCUGCUAUAUAUAAUUUUCUUUUUCUUUUUCUUUUUCUUUUACUUGUAAUUACAAAUUCCAAAUAAUUUGAUGUGCUGGUGAAUGAAAUUCUUUUACUUAAUUUGGUUAUUGUUCAUAAGCUUUUAAUACAUCCUGAUCAUGAGGACUAAAAGUAAAAAAAUUGUCACUGAUUUUUUUUUCUUUAACCUGUAGGGAAUAAAUACAGGGUUAAAGUAGUGGAGACAUGCGCCUUUUGUAGUUAAGCAUGGUCUUUUUCUCGAGAGAAAGCCAAUAGGCUCUCACCACCCCGACUAAUACUUUGUUUUGGUGCCACAAAGCUCCCUCCCUUUGUCUCCACCACCCUCCAUUUAUUCUCCCCCCCCCUCCUCUCCCACGCACUCUCCUCCAUUAAUUUCCCAUCUCUCUCUCUCUCUCUCUCUCUCUCAAUAAAGGCCAUGCCAUUUGAAAGGGGAGGUACCCAUGAAGAUCAUAACAACACUAAGGAAAACGCCAUCUCUUUCCAAAGCAACUUAGAGCUACGGCUCGGCAUCAGCUCCUCGGAUAACAGCUGCUCCAACAACAUGGCUUGUUCCAAAGCCAUGAACUCCACUGUCAAGGGCUUCAGCUGCUCCACCAGCACAAGUAAUAUUGCACCUGCAGUGUUGUACCAGAGCAGUAGUAGUAGUGUGCUCGGGCUCGGAGGAGGAGGGUCUUAUAUGGGCUUUCCUCAAAGCCCACUCGGUUUCGUUCAUCCGUGGAGUCUCGCCGCCCGGCAGCAGAAGGCCGCCAUCGAGCAAGCCCACCACCAAAAGUCCAAUAAUCUCGCUUCUGGUUCUGCUUCUGCUUCUGCUGCUGUUGCAUCUUCUUCUCUAUCAAGGUGCGCGUGGCCUAGCUAGUUAAUUUGAAAGUGUGUUUUUCAAUUGCAACUAUUUUAUUCUUUAGAUUCUCCGAAGAAACACGGCCGAUGCUAAAACGCGGCAAUGGGAACUUUCACCGGAGAAGCCGCUGGCCAGUAUGUAGGAUGUAUCUUGUUGGAGGUUUCUAGUGUCAUUUCUUAGCAUCAAAUUAAGUAUAGUGGAGCUCCAAACGGCUUUUAAUUUUUUUUUUCUAAGAUUUAAAACAUCAAAGUGGUUGCAUUUGGUGUUCAUAACAUAGGGUAGCUUAAUCUGUUAUUACUCAAGCGAUAAAAUCUCCUAGCUGAAGCACACUUUCUCCAAAUUAAAGGUUUAUCUAACCUAGCCGGUGCAAUUCAUGAAGCUUCUCUGAAAGUGUUGUUAUAUUAUAACUAUCUAAAAAAGUAUUAAUUUUUCGCCACAGCUUUUUGUUGUAAUAGAGCAGAAGUUUCAAAUUGAAACCUUCACGGUUAGAGUCUGAAAGUAUACUUUAAAUUCUUUAAGGACAUAUUUUAAAAUCUUAUUACAACAAAGGCUCUAAAUUUUAAUUUAUCGAAUAUCUAACGGCUACUGUUUGAAGUAGAAAAGUGGUUUUAGUGGUAAGAAUAUGCAUAAAUUUAGUCGGGUAAUGAGGAGUGUUAAAGCCUACAAAUCAUGCCAUGCAACAGUAAUAUGCUCUUUUAAAACAGUAAGUAAAGUUUACUAUACUUAUGAGAAGGCAUGAUUAGAAUAUGGUAUUGGUCAAUAUCUAGUUCUAAUUAAAAUAAAAGUAAUAAAUAUGCGUGCUAAUGAUAGCUAGUUGUCUGAUAAAAAAGGAGGAGCCUACCUAUCUAUAGCAACCCCUUAAUUAGAAAAGGUACUUAAAAGAUAUAUAUAUUAUGGGGAAUUGGAUAUAGCGAGUGGGGUAAAGAGUGUAAUUAUGAGUAGUAUACAUAUGCGACGGAACUUUGAUCACGAACGUACAUCUUAGCAAGUUAUUUUCAUUUUAACCUAAUGUGCAGUGCAUGCGUACGUCCUCUUGAGCGCAUGCACACGAACAUAGAGGGAGAGGAAUUAUGUAUAUAUAGUUAUAUAUAUAUAUAUAUAUAUAUAUAUAUAUAUAUAUAUAUAUAUAUAUAUAUAUAUAUAUUUUGUNACAUAGAUUAAGGUUAACAUUCUUGAUCUUGAAUUUAAAAGUCCUAUACUCAAAUUUUAAAGAUUAUUCAAUUUUCACCGUCCAUUUUGAUAUAAUUUAUUUACUAAGUAAACGAUAUCGAAAAAAACUAAAAUUUUAUUCCUAAGACAUUCAUAUACCUUAGAUCAUAUUUAACGGUGUGGAUCGUUGAUUUGAACGCCCUAAGAUCGAAAACAAACACUAUAGUACCGGAGCUCGGUACUAUAGAUAGUAUAGUAGCCUAAUUCUAUAUAUAUAUAUAUAUAUAUAUAUAGUUGAGCUAGAAUACUUUUAAAAGUAUCAUGGAAGUGGUGCUUUUAUGUUUUUAGCCUUUGGAUGGGGAGAUGUAAGGUUGAGAUGAUGAUGGUAGGUGGUGGUAGGUGGUGGUAGGUGGAAUAGUGUUUGAUCCAAGAAAUAUUAGUAAUCAAGGAGUAGAUCCAAGGGAUAAAAACCUAAUAGCACCUAGGGGAUGAUACUUGUAAAAAUAUUCUAGCUCAAUUCUAUAUAUAUAUA